CAACGAUGAAGAAGCAGCAGUCGCCGUCGCCAUUCUUGCGGAGGGAGGAGCAGCCGUCGCCGUCACCGUUCUUGAGGAGGGAGGAGCAGCAGUCGCCGUUCUUGAGGAGGGAGAGAAUGAGACUGAUGAGCAGAGGAGACGAGAGGAGGAAAGAGAGAGUAGAGAGGAGAUAAGGCUCCACACUUUUGAUUCUCCUUUUUUAUUCUCGGAGGAAGAAUCAUAUUUUUUAUGAUUCUCAAUUCUUGUCCAAAACUGAUUCUGAGAAUAAAUUUGUUGUUAGGAACAAAAAUUUUACUAAACGCGAUUCUUGGCCCAAACUGAUUUUGGGAAUAAAGAAUCAAAAUUUGGCCCUGUUUGGAUGGUUAUCAAACAUGGCCUAAAAGUAACUCUCUUUGAGUAUUAGGUAAAUUCUCGAUACAGAAUUUGGUGUCAGCCAAGCCCGAAGUAAAUUUCAUCCUGAUCACAAAGAUGCUUUGACAAAGCGUUCGUUCAUAUUAGUAGUCUUAACAAGUAUCUUUAGGGCACUUCUACACUUUUAAACAAAUUUUUUUAUGUUAAUUGUAAUAAACUCUUCAAUUUUUUUUGUUUAAAAUCAAGGGAUUUUAUUUUCGCUCUAUAAUUAGCUCGCUCUUAAAUUACAAUGCGGUGGUUACUUACAAGUGGAACCCAUGUUAGGAGAUCACUCGGCAAAUCCACAGCCGUCAAGUUCAGAUUUUGGAGGAAUAACGGCAGACGGAAAGGAAAGGAAAAAAAAAAUCAGAUAAUUUCUUUUUCCAUAACAGUUUCCAGGCAAUAAUGAACUUCAUUUUAGGAACCAUAUAAAGAAAAUGACACCCAGUCACAGCUGGACAACCUAUCUGAAAUUGAUUGCUAGGAAAUAACUUGGCCAAAAAAAUCCCAUCAAUUAAUUAAUCUCUAUCUAAUUCUUAUUUGAUGAAAGAAAAAUGUCAAAAGUAGAGUAAUCUUGAUUUCGAAUCUUACGCCAGUGACAGCCAUGUUGAUGACUUAAAGCAUCCUCAGUCACGUCAGCUUUGGACCAAGGCCUUUUUUUAGAUAAUGACUUCUUGACAAUAUUUAUCAUUUCAUAAAUAUUAUCAAGGGGUCAAAAAAUUCGAAGAAGAAACGAGGGAAAAAGACUGACGAGAAAGGAAUUGCAUAUAUUUUUAUCAAUAUCUUUACUUUUUAGUAUGUAAUCCUCUAAGAAUCAAGCUAUUUGAUGGUCAUAGUAAAUACUCUGUAGUCCCACUCUUAAUAGAGCAUGUCCCAUAUUUAGUGUUUGUCUAGACUAAUCUAUCUUCCGUUAAUUGAGAAUUUAAAGGAAUAACAAUAAUUUCCAUAGUUCAUCAUAUAGUUCCCUUGAUGUGCUUCUAAAAGGUCUCAUCUAUUCUAUCAUUCGCCUAUUGCAUAUCAAGUUUCGACAUAACUGGCAACUUCUUAUUGCUUGCAAUCACUCUUAGAGGGCAACAUCUCCUAAACAAUGAGUAUAUUGUCUUGAAUUUGACAGCUAAUGACAAAAGCAUUUUGUUCUAUGUAGAUAAUAUCCAAAAUUAAUGAUUUUAAUCUAUUGGUCAUAACUUUGGAUAUAAUUUUGUAGACAAAAUUACACAGGCUAAUGGGACGAAACUAUUUUAGCUUUUCUAGGUAUGGUUUUUUUGGGAAUAAGUAUAAUUUAGGUUUUAUCAACUUUAGCAUUUAAGCAUCCAAUGUUCUAAAAGGAAGUUACUUCUUGAAAAACAUCAUGUCGAAUGUCCUCCUAGUGGUGUUUGAAAAAAUGUCCACUUAAACCAUCGGGAUUGGGGGCUUUGAGAGCUCCUAACUAGUGUACGGUUUCUGAAAUUUCUAGUAUGGUGAUCUUAGCUAUCAACUUUCAAUCCAUAUCUUCCAACACUAAAGUUGGAAUAUAUUCAAUAACUGGUUGGAAAUUUCUUUGUCUUGAUGACACAUAUAAACUCUUAAGGUAUUCCACCAUCAUUUGCUUUAGAGCACUCGGUUCACGCAUCCACUCCCCAUUAGUAUUAGCAGCAUAGAGAUUCUAUUUCUUACCUCUUUUGAAUAGUUGUUGCAUGAAAAAUUUUGGAGUUUUCAUUCCCCAUUUCAACCAACUAAUUCUAGAACACAUGUCCCAAAAAAAUUUCUUCACUUUUCCACAGUGAGCCAAUUUCCUUUUUUCAAACUCAAUAUCUUUUCUUUACUUUGGGAAAUAUCUGGGCUGUUUGUUAUAUUUUUUAUUUCCUGCUUUAGCGUCUCAAUUCUCCUAUGAGCGCUUUGAGAAUUUUUUCCUACUCCAAGAUGCAAGGGCUUAGGUCACUUUUCACAAUUUAGUUAUUAAAUCGGCUCCUUCUUGCUUGGGAGAUAACCAAACCCCAUUGACAAUAUUUCCAUACUCGUUAUCCUCUAAGCACUAUAUUUCAAAUCUGAAUUCUUUUGCCUUUUUCAUUGGUUGUGGGAAUAAUCUUAGCAAGUAGGACUAUGGUCUGACCAACUGCAAAUAAAGCAAAGACUUCCAUGUCUGGAAAAGCACUAUCCAUUCAAUCAUUCAUAAGACUCUAUCUAGUUUCUUUUUGACAGUCCUUGGGCUUCGUGGUCUUUUGCUUUUGGAUUCUUUAAUUGGCACUAAGUUGAAAUCAUAGUUCUUGAAUUCAAACAUCCACUUCUUUGGGCCUUGCAAACUGGACCAGGCCCUUCCAAUCAUGACCACAUUGGUGGAGCCUUGUUUAUCAUUUUCUCUUUUUUUUUUCUUAUAAAUUCAUUUUAAUAUACAAGGGUCUAUGCUUGAUUUGUCAACUAAAACUUAUGUGUCAAUAUUGACAUGGACAAAUUUUUAUUUUUUAUUUUUAUUUUUUCUUCACAUGGCCAACAAGACUGUUGACCUUUGGUAGAGGCAAUGGCCAACGAACCCCUCGCCAAGGGUGAGUAAGGGUUCGUUAUUUUACAAAAAUAAUAUUUACUAUAUACCAAAAUCAAGACUAGGUCAAACUUAAACAUGAAUGUUCCAUAUGAUAUUGAACUUUAACUGACAAUACUCAAUUCGAUAGUCUUAUAAGUCUAAUUGAGUUUUUCUUUUUAUAAAUUAGUUAGAUGAAAUUUCAAGCCCAAUCUAUUUAAUUGAAUCUAGGUGCAACUUUUGAAUACUUUGAUUUUCUUUAGUUGAGUUCAAGCAAGAAAUUCAAUACUUGAUCAAGCUAAGCUUGAGUGAAGUUUCAAGCAAUCAAACAUGUGAGUCGAGCAUGACAUUGCAUCAGCUCGUCUCAAUGUGAUUAUCCUUCUAUCUCGAGGACUAGGCCUAGGAUGUCAGCACUUAGACUUGAUACCUCAAAGGUGGAUUGACUUUUUCUUUUUGUAAAUUAUUUAAUACUUCUAGAUAAGAUUCCCUUGUGUAUGAAAUUUCAAGCUUUGAUCCAUUUAUACUUCAACAUAAUCAAAUUGAAUUCAAGUGAAACUUUUGAAUACUUCGAUUUUCCUUUCCAGUUGAAUUCAAGCACGAAAUUCAAUACUCGAUCAAGCUAAACUCGAGUGAAGUUUCAAGCGGUCAAACAUGUGAGUUGAGCUUGACUUUGCAUGAGCUCAUCUCAUUGCGAUUAUCCUUCUAUCUCGAGGACUAGGCCUAGGACAUUAGCGCUUAGACUUGAAACCUCAAAGGUCGAUUGUGUUAAGAUAUGAAAUCUUUUUGAAAUCUUUUUGAUAUCUUUUCGUAUUUCAUGUUAGCAUACCGGCUGUAUCAACUGUAGUUGACAUUCCAUCUGAAUGUCAACUACAGUUGGUACAGCCGGUAUGCUAACAUGAAAAAUUUCAUAUCUUAACACAAUCCACCCAUCUUUCAUAUUAGCAUACCAACCGAAGAUGAGUUGGCAUUUCAUGAUUCUUCCAUGAUCUACGGUUGGUAUGCUAAUAUAAAAUAUAAAAAGAUAUCAAAAAGAUUUCAUAUCUUAACAGGUUGUGCAAGAUCAUGGAAGAAUCAUGGAAUGCCAACUUAUUUACGGUUGGUAUGCUAAUACAAAAUACAAAAAGAUAUCAAAAAGAUUUUAUAUCUUGCGCAUCCUUGCGCGUGGACUGAGAGACACCAGGCGAACAGGUUAUCACGUGGGCCAGUGGCACCUUUUGUCUUCGAGGCCUCGGCCGAUUCUUCAUCGUUCCAGAUUCUUUGGUCGAUUGCCACGUGUUCUGGUGGAUCCGACGCUUCAGAAACUUCCGUUCUUUCUGCUUCCCUGGCUUCCUCUCCUCUAUAUUUUCUCCUCUCCUUUCUCCCUCUUCUCACUUUCUUCUUUCUCCUCCUCCAUACUUCUUCAAAACAAGAGUCAACUCAGAACCGCCUGGCAGCCACAAUCCAAGAUCUCUCUCUUCUCGCCCUCGACACCGUCAGGGCCGUUCGAUCCAUCGUCGUUACGGAUGAGCUUCAUUUACUUUUGCACAUCUAUUGUUUUCCGCCGAUCCCAAUGUCGAUCUCGUCCUCCACAUCCUCGCCGCCACGCCUUCCUUCCUCGUCAAGCAGCAUAUUUAUCUGAAAUCGAAAGCUGAAAACGUUUUCACCAACCAAAUGGCCCUGAGUCUGGUUCAAUAUUUUCCUGCGAAUGUGACAGGCUAAGAGCGCUUGUUUCUUUGAAGCGAGCGAGAGCGAGAGCCAAAGCAAAGGGAAGAGAUCGUUGACUUAGCUUCCGAUCGGGGAAGGCAAACCCGGGUCAGAGGCCGCCGAGCAUCUUUGAGAGCAAAGCCCACUCUGCUUCAGCUUUAAGCCCUUGAUUUUCUUAGCAGGACUCUCUCUCUCUCUCUCUCUCUCUCUCUCUCUUCCGAAGCUUGGCAUUCUAGAGUAGCACGUAUACCAUCAGCUCUUCUAAUGGCUGCUUCUUCGGAUGUGAAAAGGAAUUACCAUGUGUUCCUCAGUUUCAGAGGGACAGAUGUCCGCCACGGCUUCCUCAGUCAUCUCUAUGUGGCUCUGGACCAGAAAGGAAUAUACACUUUUGUGGAUAGCGAGGAGCUUAGGAAAGGAGAGGAAAUAUCGCCGACGCUCGUGAGGGUGAUCGAGGAAUCGCACAUCGCAAUCAUUGUCUUCUCUGAGAACUACGCCUCCUCACCGUGGUGUUUGGAAGAGCUCUUGAAAAUCAUGGAGUGCAAGGAGCAAAAUAACCUAAUGGUGUUCCCCGUGUUUUACAAAGUGGAACCGAGAGAAGUGAGAGGGGGGAGAGAGAGUUAUAAGAGAGCUAUGGACAACCAUGAGUCCAAGUUCGGGAAAGAGAAAGUGAAGAGAUGGAAGAAGGCUCUCUCUGAAGCCGGUAGCUUGUCUGGGUGGGAGUUGAAUGACAGGUACGCACAAAUGUGACAUGGUGUUAUGUCAUUGUUAGUUUGUGAUUGUCUGUUAGAUAUCAGAGUUCGAAGAUACAAAGUGGAGAUAAAUUAGACGGUGGACACAAAAGUCAAAUAACCAAAGCUAGUAGAUUUUUUGAAUUGAUUCUUGCUGUGUGGAUAAUGAGAUAUUUAUGUAACAUGUGUGAUUCAUAGUGCCCGAGUCAUUAUUGUCUUCAGAUUCAGGUUCUUUGUAAUUUUCCUUGCAUAGAUGUUGGCGCAGGUUCACCCACCUUUCAUCUUAUAUUGUGCUAAUCUUAUUAUGGAAUUUUACUUAUUUGAGAUGCUAAAACCUGUUUUUAUUUCUCUUGAAUGCUUAUCAGAAGUGAAGCGGAGCUCAUACAAUGCAUAUUAAAGGAAUUAUCAAUUCAUCUCAACCGAACGCCUUUACAUGUCGCUAAUUAUCCAGUCGGAGCAGAUUCCCAAGUUCAACAAAUUUUAUCGUUGUCAAAGAAAGAGUCAGAUGAUGAUGAUGUUCUCAUGAUAGGUUUAUGGGGGCCUGGAGGCAUAGGGAAGACAACAAUUGCCAAGGCCUUAUAUAAUGCUAUGGAGAGACAAUUUCAAGGUUGUAGUUUUUUGGAGCAAGUUAGAGAAAAAUCAAACCGAAGCGAUGGUCUUGCUACUUUACAAAAGGAUCUUCUAUCUGAGAUCCUGGUUCAUCCUUUAACGGUCUACAGUGUUGCUGGAGGAACUAGUUUGAUACAAGAAAGACUAUGUUGCAAGAAGGUUCUCCUGGUUCUUGAUGAUGUUGACCAUAUGAAUCAACUGAAUGCAUUAGCUGGAAAAGGCAAUUGGUUUGGAAAAGGAAGCAGAAUCAUUGUUACAACAAGAGAUAAACAAUUGCUGACUUCUCAUGACAUAAAUUGUGUGUAUGAAAUUCAAACUUUAGGAUACCAUGAAGCACAAGAUCUUUUUAGUCUGUGUGCUUUCCCAAAUAGCAAGAGUGUUGAAAUAAGAAGCGAUCUCAUAGAUAAAGCACUGCAUUAUGCCGACGGACUUCCAUUAGUCCUGGAAGUGUUGGGCUCAUUCUUACGUGGAAGAAAGGAACAUGCAUGGGAAAGUACAUUGCAUAAACUCGCCAAAACUCCUGAACCAACUAUCAAUCAAGUUCUCAAGAUAAGCUUCGAUGGAUUGGACGACAACGAGAAGGAGAUUUUCCUCGAUAUUGCUUGUUUCUUUAAGAGAAAAGAAAUGCAACACAUCGAGGAAGUUCUUGACAGCUGCGGUUUCAACACAACCAUAGGAAUGGAAAUUCUCAUCGAGAGGUCCUUGAUAAAAAAUGACAGGGGUUACCUUCAAAUGCAUGAUUUGGUUCAGUUGAUGGGUAUGAAUAUUGUUAAACAAGAAUCUCGUGAUGAUCCUGGGAAGUGUAGCAGAUUAUGGCUUUUGGAAGAUGUUGAGGACAUUUUUUAUCAUAAUACGAUAAAAGUUGUUUAUGUCAGUUUUGCUACAUUUCAGUUUAUAUUACUCUAAUUUGGACAGUAUAAUGUAAAUCUUAAAUGGAAAUUUUGUCUGACAACUGAAUUUGCUGUGUUAUGGAUAGGAGGCGGAUGCAGUAAAGGCCAUAGUACUGGAUUUGUCCCUACCAGAAGCGAUAAUCAUCAGUCCUGAUGCUUUCACAAAUAUGAAAAAGUUGAGAAUACUCAUUUUGCAUGGAGUGCAUAUCUCUUCACAAGCUCAAAUACGUCUCCCUAAUGAGCUAAGAUGGCUUGAAUGGCCCAAUGCCCCGAAUCUAGAAUUUGUCUCUAGUCCAAAUAAACUCAUGACACUCGAUGUCCCGUCAAGUCAUAUCAGGCAAUUAGGGGGCAACUCUCAGGUAAGCCCUUGUGAUGAUUAGUUUUUCCUUUUUAUAGCUAUAAAAAACAUUUGUAGAGCUUAAUGGCCGCACUAGUAUGUUUUUGCAGAAUUUUAGAAAGCUGAAGUCCAUCGAUUUCAGUGGAUGCAAGUCCUUGGUUAGUAUUCCCGACCUGUCAUCGGCUCCAAAUAUGGAGGAAUUGACUAUUGGUGGGUGUGAGAGCUUGGUGGAGGUUCACCCAUCCGUCGGAGAUCUUGUCAAGUUGAAAGUUUUGUCGGUAAUAUGUUGCUCUAAUCUUAUAAAUUUUCCUAACACGCUAAGGACUAAAUCUCUUCAAAUCCUUCAUCUCUUUCGUUGCUAUAAACUUGAGAAGUUCCCAGAUAUAGACGGAAAGAUGGAACAUUUGAAAGAACUUCGUCUAUUUGAUACGGCUAUUAAAGAACUCCCUUCAUCAAUUGAAAAUCUUGUCUCUGUGAAGUUGAUAGAUUUAUCAUAUUGCGAAAACCUCAUGAGGCUUCCGUCGCAAAUUUGUGAGUUGAAAAAUCUCGAGCACUUUUUAUCUUAUGGGCUGCUCGAAUUUAAUCACGUUUCCAAAAAACAUGGAGGAUUCAACUAAUCUCGAUGGCCGUCGGGGAUUCCGAAGACUAAUGCUCCUGACACUUCAAUGGUGCAAUCUAUCAGAAGUAGAGUUCCUUGAGAGUUUCUCCAGUUUUCCCGAAUUGCGGUCUCUAGAACUUGACUAUAACAAGUUUGCUGAUUUGCCAAGAUGCAUAAACAAGUACUAUCGUUUGAACUUCUUGGGUGUUAAAAGAUGCGAGCUACUACAAGAGAUUCCUCAGCUUCCACCAAAUGUCUCUACACUAUCAGCAGAUGGUUGCAAAUCUCUGCAAAAACUCCCAGACUUGGGUCAACUCUCCCACAUCAAACUGGUUCGCUUGUCUUCAUGUUGUGAAUUAUUCCGCAAAGGGGUCGAUAUGGAUGAUGUGGCUACAGCGUCAUUACUCGAGGUCUCUCUCUGUGUAUAUAUGUAUAUGUAUAUGUAUAUGUAUAUGUAUAUGUAUAUAACUUCAAAUGCUUGACAUGCGUACUUUCCAUGUGACAGAAACUGCCAAAGAUGAUAGGUCACGUCGACAUUUGCCUAAUUGGAAGAGAGAUGCCUAAAUGGAUUCUUCCCAGCGAAGAGGAUUCCAUAUCUUUCAUGAUUCCCCAGGAGUUGUACGGCGAGUUCAAAGGAGUAGCACUCUGUUUUGUUCUUGGUGCGGAGGAAGGAAAAGUGGUCAAUGCUACAUGUAUGGUCAGAACAUAUGUUAAUGGCUGGCCAGUGGGUGAAUGUUCGCAAAGUUUUUAUGAAAUGGAAACUGACCAUGUGUGGUUUCAUUAUUAUCCACAUUUUUUUCCACAUCUGCCAAAUGAUUGGAGCCAUUAUCAAGUUGGCCUCUGGGAAAACAAUCCAAGCAUAAAGAAGUGUGGAAUCCGUCCAAUAUGCAAUCAAAAGGACGAUGUUCUGAGGAUGGUGAUCCCAGCACCAUCAGCCGAUGGAAACAAAUUGGAGUUUUCAAUAGACUGCAUAAACGCAGAUGAUACAGAUAAAUUGUAUGCAGAGGCAAGCAAAAUACCUAUACCAAGAAGAAGAAGAGGGUCUUAACUACGGUGAGACUUUGAGUUCCAUUGUCUUUGCUUUUCCCUUUUCUGGGCCUUCACUAGAGAUUUGCAAGUGCCUGCUCCUUCAAUUAGAAUUCAAGAUCAUUAUCAAACAGGGGUUUCGCAUGAUUGAGGAACUUUUUUUUUUUUUUUUUUUUCCAUUGCUUCUCUAUGAUUUGUGAUCCAGAGUGUAUUAAACCAAAAAUUAAGAGGAUGCUUGUUAAAAUGGCCAUAGUCUUCCAAGUUGCUCCAUGUAAUUUAUCACAUAGGUCUCUCUCGCCUCUCUUAAUCCAAUUAAUGAUGUCAAUAUUUUGUACUUUAAAAUUCCGAGAUAGUAAGUUUUGCUCACUCUAGUAUAAUCUGUAUUAUAGUAAGUUUUGCUCAAUCUAGUAUAAUCUGUAUCUUUAGGAAAGUGUCAUUUGAAUUGUCUAAAAGAUCAAGAGGUCUACAGAGGGAAAAUUAGUUGAUUCCUCUGUUGUUGGUCGGCAGAUUGCAUUGGAUAGGUAUAAAGGGAUAGCGCUGGCUUCUAAGAAACUUUGCAUUUUGGCAAAGGAGGUUGACUUCAAGGAUUUUCAUAAAGCAAAUAGUACGUGGCAACCUUCUAAAAUAAGUAUUGCAAAGCAAUUUUUAGAAUGAGAAAAAAGAUUAAAAAGAGAGGACGAAGGAACUUGCAGGUACAUGUGAAAGCACAAGUGAGUGGCACAGCAGUAGGACCAAUGCCGACGUCGUGCGACCCUAGGCAACAUGCUGCUGAGGUCAACCAAACCUAGGGGACGCGACACCAGCGUUGUUUGACCCUAGGCGACACAACACUGAACGCCAAUGUCCCAUGACCUCAGUGGUGGAAUGUCGGAGCCAUAGGACUAGGCAAUGCGAAGCUCAACCUCCGCGAGCUAAAUCUAGCAUCAAGCAACCCUUGCAAAGCUUCUCGGAAUCAUGCAGCCCUCAACGAAGCUUUGCCGGUGUCCGUUAACCCAGCCUCCUUCAUGAAGCUUCCUAGCCAUGACCAACCAUGGCUUUCUCUGUCCUGUCCUAACCGAGGUUGAGGGACAAAACAUUAUUACAAAUAUAUUAAUGAUGGUAAGAUUGUAAGGAAAAAAAAAUUCAUUAAACUCCCGAACUUGCAUUCGGAAAAUACUAAAGCUCAAAGGUGAGACUUGCCUCGAGCUUCAAGCAUUUCAAAGUAGAACUUUUUGCUAGUCUUUGAAAUUGUGUUACCAAAUAUCAAAACUAAUUUUAAGAACUUUUCAAAGCCCAAAACAGCUUAAUUCAAGAUGACAGAGUACCCCAAUUUUUAAAGGCCAAAUUGGAUGGUAUUGAAAGGAGGGCAAAAUUGGAAUAGUGUAUCACUUUAGGGGUCCUUGUGAGUCAAAAAAUAAUUUUGAGUAAAUUAUUUAAGGGUGCCAAUUUAAGAUUUUCCGUGAAGUUAAUCUAAAUAAUAUCUAUGUAUUAUUUUGUUAUUCUUUUUUACAUUUUGAAGAGUUGAGUUUGAUUCAGUUGACAAGUGAAAUGCCAAGUAACAUGUUAAUAAUUUCCACCAAGAAUAUUAGUAAGUUCAUACUAGGAUUGUCUUUAUAUUCUUCAUUGGCUUACACCAAAGUUCAUUCUCUUCUCACUUUCUACUAUUAGUCACCCUUCAUCUAAGUCCAGUUGGCUUGAUAUCAUCUAUUUGAAAUGCAAAAUUCAAUAAACUAGAAAUGUUGUUGCCCAUCACUUUCUAAAGCCAAAUGUAAGAUUAUGAUAACCUCCAAAAAGGUGACCCAAUCACAUUAUUAGAGAAUACGAGAUAUCAAAUGCUCGUUACUAAACUAUUAAUUACAAUCAUUAAGGUUCGGAAUCAUGUACACCGAUAAUAUAUCUUUUCAACUCGAAUUAAAUCUACCACCCACGAUCAGAUUCCAAAAUUAUAGCAUCACCCCCUCCUUCUUGUCCUCCUUUUCCUCUCUCUCUAGAUAAAAAUAUGGAGAAGAGCUAUCAACACCAACGACCCUUUUUGAAAUGUACCAACCCAUUAAGAGUAUAUACUUCAUUUCACAUCUUAUUAUAAUUGGAGAAAUACUGCCUAUGGGAAACGAUUAAUACUCCUGGAAGUAAUAUGCCGAUUCUAUUUAGACAUCAAGUCAUCCCGUGUGAUGAACCUUUCCUAAUUCUUAUGAUUUAUAAUGUAUUAACAACGUUCAAGAGCAAAAUCAAAUGGAUGACUCCAACCUUUGCAAAGUAUGCAACCCAAAAUGUCAAGAAGCACGAAGCGAUGUUGGGCUACUACUCGAGCAAAAUCUUGGGCUGACCAGAAUUGAAACAGUCCCAGGUGAACUCCACCAAAUGGGCAACCAAGACUAAAAUGAUGGGCCGAUUGAAGAAUGGGCCAUCUUCAUACCUCAUAUCUAGAAUAAAUCGACAUUGGGUUGUCGACCUUCACAAGAUUAGAGAUCAUAUCAUCUCAUCAAUCAUAAAAUCCAUCCCCCAACUCCUCUCAAUUAAAAAUAAUGCGAUUGUUACUUACUAGUGGAAUCGAUGUUAAGAGAUUACUUGACCAAUUGAGAGCCAUCCAAUUCAACAUUUGAAUUAAAAACGAGAAAGAGCAACCAAAAAAAAAAAAAAAUCCUUCACAACACUUUCAAAGCAAUACUAAACUUUAUUUGAGGAAACUAUGAGAAAAUGACACCUGACUACUGCUGAAAAACCUAUUUAAAAUUAAUUUUUUGGGAAUAUCUUGGCCCAAAAAAUCCUUCUUAUAUUAAUUAACCUCCAUUUACUUGUAAAUUUUUUAUUGAAGAAAAAUGUCAAAAGUAGAGCGAUCUUGAUCUCGAAGCUCGCAUCAGCAAUAGCCACAUGGACGACUUCAAGCAUCCUCAAUUAUGUUAGGAUGGACCAGGCCUUGUUUGAGAAAAUGAAUUCAUGACAAUGUUUGUCAUUCCAUAAAUAUCGUCAAGGGGUCCAAACGAUCAAAAAAGUGGGGGAAAUUGAAAAAAAAAAAAAAGGAAGGGAAUUGCCUAUAUUUUCACUUUUGAUAUUUGCAAUUAGCUCCUAUAUUUUUAGUAUUUUAGUAUAUAAUCCUCUAAGUUAGUUUGUUUUUUCAUUGGUAAAUCUUUUUAUUAGAUUUAACAAGCUUAAUUCUCCAAAAUUUUGUUCCAUAACCAAUCUUCGACGAGCAUAGACAAAUUUUCACGACUAUCCAACGAAGCAGCAUCGACAAUUCCUACCAAAAAUGAGUGGACGCAAAAAUAAAUUGGCCAGAGCUAGGAAGAGAGCAAGAUCAAGCGGGAUAGAAUUAUCCUAAUGUUAUUGAUUUUUUUUUCACCUAAAAGAUAUUUUUAUUUUCUUCUUUGAUUUUGUGCUAAGUAAUUUAAUGGUCAAAUUUCACGUGUAAUUGACUUUUCUUUUCUCUUUUUUUAUCCAAUCAGUGUUCUCUCCGUGGCCGUUGAAUUCGGUUUAUUGUAAAAAAAAAAGCGGCACUUGAUUUCAACCGUCGAGUUGUCUCUGGAAAAAAAAAAAAAGGAAAAUGAUUAAAUCGUCUGACUACACGAGCCGUCCGAUUGUGUAUAUUUACAAGUGUAACCUUGGCUCUCCUGGAAAAGAGGGGAUUGUCGGAUUUUUCUUAAUUUUUGGUGUCCGUCGUCUCUCAAUUUUCCGAGCGCCUUAACCUAUUGAAAUGAAAUGUCUAUCAAAAAAAAAAAAAAAACCUGUUGAAAUGUAUUCAAGUUUUAAAUUUUAGUUUUCUAAUAUUACUUAAUGUACAAAAAAUGUUAACAUGUGGCAUUCUUUCUUCCUAUUUAGUGAGGUUAAAAAAAUAUUAUGCAAAAUAGAGUUUAUUAAUGCACGCCCAUAAUUCAUGGGUUUGUUAUUCUAUCACUACACUAAAUCCAGCCACAAAAUAAAAUUUAUUUUAAGUUAUUAAUGUCUGCUCACUUCAAGUAAUUUUACAAUGUUUUAUACCAAAUGAAGUAACUUUAGUAUGCUAAAAUGUCUCUUUAGUCUUUACCUACAAGGUUUACACUGGUUUCAUGUACAUUUAUUCUCUAUUAUAUUAUUUGUUUUUGGGGUUAGACAUUUUAACAUAUCACAAAGUCAAGUUCUAAACCAGUUUUAUUUUUUUCCACUCCUCGUUCGUUAAUUCCACAUCUUGUUCUCACGUUAAUUUUACACGCUAAUAAGCUUAUUAAAGAAUUACAUAUCACUUGUCUACGAAAUUUAUACGAGCCUUAUCAUCUCCCUAUGGAUCGCAAACAACAACAAAAAUAUAAUUUACUCCUUCAAGUGAAUGAUUACAGAAUACCAAUUGCUAAAAUUAAAAUGUCGAAGUUCACUGUAUGUGUCUUAAUUUUUUAAAUAACGAGUGAUUGACUUACACUUUACAAAAUGAACGUGAUGCAUUUUUACAUGUAAAAAAGAAAAAGUUUAACCUAGCUACGAAAGUGAGAUGAAAAAGAAAAUCAAAAUAAAUUGUUUAUCAAGCUCCUUUUGUUUUUUUUUUUUAGUUUAAAGUCUAAGUCUAGGUGGCAAGUACGCAAAGAUUGACAGGGUUGCGUUCUUUUAAAAUAAUAGUCCAGGAGGUACUUUGAGUAAUUAAAUGAUUAAUUCACACAACUGAUUUAGUAUUUGUUACAAAGUCACCGUUGACAAAAAAUUUUAGCGGUCAUGCCCAUUAUUGGCUUAUUGAUGAGGUCUUGUUGCUCAUGGAUAAGAUGAUUUGCAUGCAUUAAUAAGAUUUAGUCAAGUGAUGAUUCGUAUUCACUCUUGAAAAAAAUUAUACCGUAGAAAUAAUCUUAUUUAUUGUUAAAAAAAAAAUAAAAUUCCUGGAUGGGGGAGAGGGCUCUGUCGGCCCAACCUUCAAUGGCAAGUGGCCAACACGUGUAAAGAAAUGGGGUUGGAAAGAAAAACAAGAAAAAACUGCAAACGAAAGGCUGCAGUGCAAAUCCUACACGUUGUGAAAUAAAUUGUACGAAUGUGGGACAUGUACCGAUUCCCACCUUUUUAACGUGGUUUUACGUUACGGUUANNNNNNNNNNNNNNNNNNNNNNNNNNNNNNNNNNNNNNNNNNNNNNNNNNNNNNNNNNNNNNNNNNNNNNNNNNNNNNNNNNNNNNNNNNNNNNNNNNNNNNNNNNNNNNNNNNNNNNNNNNNNNNNNNNNNNNNNNNUAUAAUGGAAGGAAAAUAAAAAAAAAGUGACAUUCACACUUUUUUUUUUUUGGUACCCAGGGAACCUCCGUGUGCCGCUUCACAGCGGAGUAAACCCUGAGGUGACCUGGGCCCCCACCGCUGACCCAGAACCAUAGGUAAAUCGCACGUUAGCACUGAAGCAACGCGACCACGAAGUUUCGAACUCCUCCCCCAGCGGAUAGGGUACUAAGCACGAAGCCAACGCGGCCACCGCGGGCGGUGGUGACAUUCACACUUUUAUAUAUGGCAAUAUGCCAAUUGGAAAGAAGGUUUUUCAAUUUAUAAUAAGGAUUAAUUAGACAAUGCACAAACGAGUUCGGGUGAAACUUAAACAUGAAUGUAGCACACAAUAUUAAGCUCAAACUUGCUAAUACCCAAUUUGAUAGUCUCACAAGCCCAAUUAGGCUUAACUUACUUUUUGUCCAUUAUUUAAUAUAGUUAAGUGGAGUAAGUCAAAUUUGAAUAGUCCAAUUUUCUUUUUCAAGUUGAGUUUGAAUAAGAACUUUAGGCUUCGUUCAUUUUACGGAAAAUAACUUCUCGGAAAACGUUUUCCAAAAUAUAUUAAUAUAUACAUGUAUAUAUAGUGUUAAGACGUUUUUGUAUUUAAUUGCAAUGACACAUAAUAAUCUUAUACAAUACAUUUUAAUUAUCGUAGAAGUGCUCCUAAGAUACAAGUUUAUCAUAGAAGCAAAAUAAAAAAGUGACAUUCACACUUUUAUAUAUGGCAACUUGCCAAUUGGAUAGAAGGUUUUUCAAUUUAUAAUAAGGAUUAAUUAGACAAUGCAUAAACGAGUUCGAGUAAAACUUAAACAUGAACGUAGCACACAAUAUCAAGCUCAAACUCGCUAAUACCCAAUUUGAUAGUUUCCGGAGCCCAAUCAGGCUUAACUUACUUUUUGUCCAUUAUUUAAUAUAGUCAAGUGGAGUAAGUCAAAUUUGAAUAGUUUGAUUUUCUUUUUCAAGUUGAGUUUGAAAGAAUUUUAGGCUUUGUUCGUUUUACGGAAAAUAAUUUCGGGAAAAAUGUUUUCUGAAUUUUUCGGUAUUUGUUUCACAAAAAAUGAAUUGCUUAAGGAAAACAUUUUCCAUGAAGGGAAGAGAGUUUUCUAAACUAGGGGAAAAUGUUUUCCUCUUUUGAAAAGUGAAAAAUAUUUUCUUCAUUUGAUCUCUUUUAACUCACAUAUCUAUAGGCCUUCACUUCUUCCUCCUCUUCCUCCUUCUUUUUUAGUUUCCUUCUAAUUUGAAUUAUUUUUAAUUUUCUUUGUUUUCCCUCUUCUUCUUUAUUUUAAUAUUUUAAUUUUUUCUUUUUUUUCUUUUUUUAAAUUGAUUUUUUAAUUCCUUUUCUUUUUCUUCCCUUUUCUUUUUCUUCUUCCUUGGCCAAUCGCCGACCACGGCGGCGACCAAUAACCGGCCAUAGGCUAACUCCAGCCUCGCCCAAGGCCAGAUCUGGCGAGGGCAAGGCUCGAGGUCACUGAAUCUAGUGAGUCGCAAGCUCGCCAACCUUGGUGGAACUCAUCGGAUAGGGCGAGCCACAAGCUCGCAGCCCUUGAUGGAACUUGGGCUUGCUUGGAUUAGGUCAGCGAGCUUGUGGCUCGGCCAGUCUAGGAGAGCCCAAGCUCCGUUGAGGUUGAUAAGCUUGAGGCUUAGCCAAUCCAGGCAAGUCAUGUUCAUUGGUUGGCAAACUCGGGGAUCAUUUGGGCCUCGAGCUCGCUGAAUCUGGCGAUUGUGUCUUGGUCGACCACCAAGUAGCUGGCCACAUCGAGGCACACAGAGGUGGAGGAAGGAGGAGGAAGAAGGAGGGAGAAAAAGAAAAAAAGAGAAAGAAAAAUUAAAAAUAAUAAAAAAUAUAUUUUUAAAAAAUAAAAUAAUUAAAAAUUUAAUUUUUUAAAAAAAUAUGUAAAAAUUAAAAUUUAAUUUUUUUGGUCAAUUAAAAAUAUUUUUAAAAAUUAGUAAUUUUUUUUAAAAAAAAUCAAAUCAGAUAACGAACCAUAGAUAAUAUAUUUCACUCAAAUAUUAGGUUUCAACCAAAUACCAAAAAAUAUUGUUAUUUUCUUGGAAAAUGACUUUCUAAAAAAUAUUUUCCAAAAACGUGAUAUUGUUUGCGAAAUAAACAAACCCUUAAUACUUGAUUCAAUUCAAGUGAAGGUUUAAGCAUCAAGUUGUAUUAGCUCAACUCAAUUUGGAUUAUAUCUCCACAUUGAGACGAGAGACACCAGCUAAACAAGUUAUAGCAUGGGCCACCUAAGACCCUACCUUAAAAUGACGCGUCCGAUUACUCGAUCUCUUCCUAUAAAUUUCCGAUUGGAAAAAAAUUCAUUGGAUUACACGAAAAUGCGCACGAUGAUUUUCUGUUAGUGGCUUUGAUAAAUUGAUAGUACCUAUCCCCGGUUCCCGUACGAAGAAGGAAAAUAAAAAACAAAGUCGUUGCUCUCCCUGAUGGUGCGAGUGUCUUGGCUCACCGAGGGCACAAGUGUAAUUGCACGAGCGCCUAGCUUGGUCGGCUCAGGAUUUCGGCCUCUCGUGUAGGCCCCCUCCCCCAGAGACGAAUCACGGCCGUCGAUCAUACCCGGUCCGUGUGUCGGCACAUAGUGACCCGACACACGUGCGGAGUCUCAUUUACGUGCUUUCCCUCCCACCAGGCAACGACCCAUCCCUGUCUCUGUUGGACCUAGGGGUGAGCAUGGUCCGGGUUGGUCCGGGCCACCCCCUAACUCGAGAACCAACCCGUACAGUGUCGGUCCUCAAUUUUUAGGACCGAGGACCGACCCUAUUGAGCCUGGGACCAAGGACCGAACCGACCCAAUGGGUUCGGUCCAGUUCCAGGGUCAACCCGGGACCGAUCGAUAAUUUUUUUCGUCUUAUUUUUUAUACUUCCUAAAAAAGCAAACCUACAAAUUCAAAUUACACAUCCAUCAACAAUACGGUAUUGUGCAACUAAACUAUAAUAUACCAAUACAUAUUUAGCAAAUUUAAGAUGACACAAUAAUAGAAAUUUCGUAUCCACUAAUCGCUCAUUGAGAUAUGGGACAAGAUGGAAAGUUCUUGUAAUCAUCUAUCUUUAAUAUUUAUAACACCAUAUGCAAAAGCGUUUUCCUGAUCAUGUAGAGUCUACUCAACCAGAAAAUGAGCUUUACAUCACUUGACUAGCAUUUGAUCAUGUAAAGUCUACUUAACCAAAAAAUGAGCUUCACACCACUUGACUAGCAUUUGAUCAUGUAGAGUCUACUUAACCAAAAAAUGAGCUUCACACCACUUGAUUAGCAAAUCAUCAUAGCAACUGCAGUACUACUCUACUCUUCAAAAACUUCUACCAUUUGACACAAAUUGAAAAGCAAAAUGCAGCUGAAAUUCAUUAGUAAAAUACAAUUAAAUCAUAAAAAGUUCAAAAUACUUAAUAUAAACCAUGAAUAUAUAACUUCACAUCUUGUUAAUUCACUUGAACUUCUAAACACUUGAAAACAAAACAAACGACACAUAAUUAAUACUUAAAAAAAGUUUUAAAUUGAAAUUACUAUUAGUGUUAUUGAUAGAACAUCUCAAUAUAAUAUAAUAUAAUAGACAUUUUACUUGGGUUUGAAUAUAUAAAAGAAUUAUAAAUAAUAUAAUACAAUAUACAGGGUUGGUCCAGGGUUGGACCGACCCAAAACUCUUAAGACCGAGGACCAACCCGCACAGUGUUGGUCCUGGAAUUUCAGGACCAAGGACCGACCCAGUCCCCUUGGGAACCGGACCAGGACUGGCAGGGUUGGGCUGGUCCAGGGUCGGUCUAAGGUCGACCCUAAACCGCUGCUCGCCCCUAGUUGGACCCCACUACAUAUCCCCAUCCCUGGGCCAUGGCCCCCACCAUACGCUUAUCCCGAAUCUAAUCUCAGCCCGUUUCCAAUUUGUUAUUAAAAAGAAAUUGAGCAUAAAUGAAAAUAAAAAGGGAAAAUGACACUGCGGUUUCUGAAAUUUAGCCCAACAAAUAAUGAUGUCCCUGAACUUUCAAUUUGUUCAAUAUGAUCCUUAAAAUUUAUAUGCAACCUAGUUCUAUACGAAAAUGUUCAAACUUGAAUUAUUGAGACGAUAGCUAGGGGUGAUUGAUUUCAGGGUAGGUAAGUUCUAAAGUUGGAAUAUGAAUUCUACCUUAUUAUAACCGGUUUCUAUUUUUUGGACCCUGGAACCUAUCAUGUUCUCUAUUUUUCCGAUCUAGUUCGAGGGUUCACUCGAGAAUUUGUUUUAUCUUUUUUUUUUUUCCUUUUUUUUUACUGCAAAAUCAUAUGGGAUUAUGAGUAACGAAAUGAUUUAAAGUAAAAGAUGAAUAACCAAAAUCCUAAUAUACCAAAAACAACAAUUUGAAUACAUAGUCAAGUACAAUUAUAAACAAUAAAAAAGUUCAAACGCGUAAUACAAAACAUAAAUUCCCCAUUCAUCCAUAAAAAUUAAAUGAAAAUGAAAGACUAGCAAAAAGUUUCUAAAAAGGACAAAAGACGAAAGGGUGCUCAGGUUAAAAUUUAGGAAUAAAAACAAUUAGAAUUUAAGCUUUUUAACUUAUAAAAUAGAUUCCAAAGUAGAGUGAAAUCGGUGGAUCUUUACUUGAAACCUAUUCCUAGAACUAUUUCAAGGAGAAUCGAUUCUUAGACAUAUUUUUUUCAAAAGUUGGAUCCAAUUUCUAAGUAGAAUCGGUUUAGUUGCACAGCCCUAAUAACAACAUUAAGCAUCUUCAUAUAACACAGGAACUAACUUGAAUAUGUACUAAAAUUUUAAGGAUCAUAUUAAAUAAAUUAAAAAUUCAAGGACUGCAUUAUAAAUUAAGUCAAAAUUCAAAGACUAUUUAUGUCAUUAUCCAAAAUUGAUAUCAAUAUCCAUUUAAAAAUUUUAAAAGAGCAAUUUGCUUUUAAGUUAGCAAUUUUUUUUAAUAUUAUCAAAGCACUAUUAAUAACCGGAAAGUCCGCCACCACAGAAACAUUAUCGCUAUCUCCCCCUAUCUUAAAGUCUCAAAGCUCAAAAGGAAAAAAAAUAUUAACAGCGCUCAGAGCUUCUCACUCGAUAAACCCUCGCGGCUGCUUUCGUCUUCCGAGUCCUUGGCCGAUUCAUCAUCGUUCCAGAUUCGUCGGUCGAUCACGUCGAUCUCGCCCUCCAAACCCUGAGAGCGCUUGUUUCUUUGAAGCGAGCGAGAGCCAGAGCCGGGGCAUAGGGAAGAGAUCCUCGACUUCACUGCCGAUCGGGGAAGGGCAACCCCAGGUCAGAGGCCGCCCAGCAUCUCCGAGAGCAAAGCCCACUCUGCUUCUGCUUUAAGCCCUUGAUUUUCUUAGCAAGAAUCUUUCUCUCUCUCUCUCUCUCUGUUCCGAAGCUUGGCAUUCUAGUGAAGCACAUGUACCAUCAGCUCUUCUAACGGUUGCUUCUUCGAAUAUGAAAAGGAAUUACCAUGUGUUCCUCAGUUUCAGAGGGACAGAUGUCCGCCAAGGCUUCCUCAGUCAUCUCUACGCGGCUCUGGACCAGAAAGGAAUAUAUACUUUUGUGGAUAGCGAGGAGCUUAGGAAAGGAGAGGAAAUAUCUCAUGAGGGCGAUUGAGGAAUCGCACGUUGCGAUCAUCGUUUUCUCUGAGCACUACGCUUCCUCACGGUGGUGUUUGGAAGAGCUCUUGAAAAUCAUGGAGUGCAAGGACAAAAAUGGCCUGAAGGUGUUCCCUGUGUUUUACAAGGUGGAACCCAGAGAAGUGAGAGAGGGGAGAGAGAGUUAUAAGAGAGCUAUGGAUAACCAUGAGUCCAAGUUCGGGAAGGAUUCAGAGAAAGUGAAGAGAUGGAAGAAGGCUCUCUCUGAAGCCAGUAGCUUGUCUGGGUGGGAGUUGACUGACAGGUACGCACAAAUGUGACAAUGGUGUUUUGUGAUUAUUAGCUCGUGAUUGUCUGCUAGAUAUCAGAUCAUAUGCACUUUUUUGGAUCUUCAAUUGAAGAUACAAAGUGGAGAUAAAUUAGACAGUAGACACAUGAUCAAAUAACCAAAGCUCGUAGAUUCUUUGAAUUGAUUCUUGCUGUGUGGAUAAUGAGAAAUUUAUCAAACAUAAAUAGUGCGAUUCAUAGUGCCUUAGUCAUUAUUGUCUUCAGAUUCAAGUUCUUUGUAAUUUUCCUCGCGUAGAUGUUGGCGCAGGUUCACCCACUUUUCAUCUUAUUAUUUACUAUUCUUCUUAUGAAAUUUUCCUUAUCACGUCGGAGGUUGAAUUCCUGCUAUGGCUUUGAAAUGCUAAAACGGGUUUUUUCUAUCUUUUGAGUACUUAUUAGAGAUGAAGCAGAUCUCAUACAAUGCAUCGCGAAGGAAUUAUCGAUUCGUCUCAACCAAACACCCUUACAUGUCGCUAAGUAUCCGGUUGGAAUAGAUUAUCAAGUUCAAAAACUGAUAUGUUUGUCACAGAAAGAGUCGACUGAUGAUGAUGUUCUGAUGAUAGGUCUAUGGGGACCUGGAGGCAUAGGGAAGACAGCAAUUGCCAAGGCCCUAUAUAAUGCUAUGAUGAGACAAUUUCGGGUUUGUAGUUUUUUGGAGCAAGUUAGAGAAAAAUCACACCAAAGCGGUGGUCUUGUUUCUUUACAAAAAGAUCUUCUAUCUGAGAUCCUCGUUCAUCCUUUAACGGUCUACAGUGUCGCUGGAGGAAUUAGUUUGAUACAAGAAAGACUAUGUUGCAAGAAGGUUCUCCUGGUUCUUGAUGAUGUUGACCAUAUGAAUCAACUGAAUGCAUUAGCUGGAAAAGGCAAUUGGUUUGGAAAAGGAAGUAUAAUCAUUGUUACAACAAGAAAUAAACAAUUGCUGACUUCUCAUGGCAUAAAUCGUGUGCAUAGAAUUCAAACUUUAGGAUGUUGUGAAGCACGAGACCUUUUUUGUCUGCAUGCUUUCCCAGACAAUGAGAGUGUUGAAGUAGGAGUGGAUCUCAUAGAUAGAGCACUGCAUUAUUGUGACGGCCUUCCGUUAGCCCUCGAAGUCUUGGGCUCAUUCUUAUGUGGAAGAAACGAAGCUGCAUGGGAAAGUGCAUUGCAUAAACUUUCCAAAAGUCCUGACCAAAUUAUUAAUCAAGUUCUCAAGACAAGCUUUGAUGGAUUGGAGAACAAUGAGAGGGAGAUUUUCCUCGAUAUUGCUUGUUUCUUUAAGGGAAAGGGAAUAGAAUACAUCAAGGAAGUUCUUGAUGACUCUGGUUUUAACACAACCAUAGGAAUAGAAAUUCUCAUCGAGAGGUCCUUGAUAAAAAAUGAGUAUGGAACCCUGCAAAUGCAUGAUUUGAUUCAGUUGAUGGGUAAGGAUAUUGUUAAUGAGGAAUGGCCUGAUAAUCCUGGGAAACGCAGCAGAUUAUGGCUUUUCGAAAAUGUUGAGGAAGUUCUCUAUGAAGAUACAGUAAAAGUUGUUCAUGUCCAUUUUGCAACAUCUCAGUUAUUUACUUUGCUCUGAUUUGGAUUGUAAUAUGUAAAUUUCAAUUGAAAAUUUUGUCUGACGAUUGAAUUUGCUCUGUUAUGGAUAGGUAAUGGAUGCAGUAAAGGCCAUAGUAUUGAACUUGGCCACACCAAAAGAGAUGACCAUUAGUCCUUGUGCUUUCAAAAAAAUGAAAAGGUUGAGAAUGCUCAUCUUGCACAAAGUGCAUAUCUCUUCACAAGGUCCUGUACGCCUCCCUAAUGCGCUAAGAUGGCUUGAAUGGCCCAAUGCCCUGCAUCUAGAAUUUGGCCCUGGUCCAAAGAAACUGGCAAGACUCCGUUUUCAGAACAGUCAUAUCAAACAAUUAGUAGGCAACUGUCAGGUAAGCCCUUAUGAUGAUCAGCUUUCCCUUUUCAAAGCUAUGAAAAUAUUUCAGAGCUUAAUGACUGCACCAGUAUGUUUUUGCAGAAUUUUAUAUGUUUGAAGUCCAUUGAGUUCCGGGAUUGCAAGUCCCUGGCUAGUAUUCCUGACAUUUCAUCGGCUCCACUUCUGGAGAGCUUAGAUCUUUUCAGUUGCAAAAGCUUGGUAGAGGUUCACCAAUCCGUCGGAGAUCUUGACAAGUUGAAACAUUUGAAUAUAUCAAGUUGCUCCAAUCUUCGGAUCUUUCCAAACACACUCAAGACAAAGUCUCUUCAAUGGCUUGAUUUCUCUGGUUGCUCUAAACUUGAGAAAUGCCCUGAUAUUCUGGAAAAGAUGGAACACCUAAUAUAUUUUUUUCUAAAAGGGACAGCUAUUAAAGAACUCCCUGCAUCAAUUGAAAAUCUCGUCUCUAUAGAGCAGAUAGAUUUAGGUUGUUGCAAUAACCUCACAAGGCUUCCAUCGAGCAUUCAUAAGUUGAAAAAUCUCANNNNNNNNNNNNNNNNNNNNNNNNNNNNNNNNNNNNNNNNNNNNNNNNNNNNNNNNNNNNNNNNNNNNNNNNNNNNNNNNNNNNNNNNNNNNNNNNNNNNUUGAUCCUGAUGACGAUUUGGGAUUCCCAAGUUUAAGGUGGCUAGACCUCUCUCACUGCAAUCUAUCAAAAGCAGAGUUUCUUGAGAAUGCUUCCAGUUGUCCUGUAUUGACGUGCCUAAAUCUUACAAAUAACAAAUUUACUCAUCUUCCUACAUGCAUCAACAAGUAUGAUUAUUGGAAAGACUUGUUUGUUUAUAGCUGCAAGCAAAGCAAAGGGGUCAGUGUGGCUGAUGCAUCAUCACCCAAGGUCUCUCUCUCUCUCUCUCUCUCUCUCUCUCUCUCUCUCUCUCUCUCUCUCUCUCAUUUUGAAUGUUUGAUACGUGUACUAUCUGUAUGACAGGAAGUUGAGAUUCUUGUAAAUGGAAGAGAGAUGCCUGAAUGGAUUCUCCAUUGUAAAGAGGACAGCAUAUCUUUCAUGGUUCCCCCAGACUUAUGUGACAAGAUCUUGGGACUAGCAAUCUGUGUUGUUCUUCGCCAGAAUAAGAAAGGCUCAUUCGACGAUUCGUCCUGUUCAUUUGACAUCAGCUUGUUUGUAAAUGGCAUAAGAUCGUAUUACCGUUUGAUAUUUUUUGAUCCAUUGGAAUCCGAUCAUGUGAGUCUUGUUUAUUUCCCAAGCAACAGAAAGAUAGAAGAGAAGCCUCUGCAAAACGAUUGGAGCCAUAUCCAAGUUUGCCUCAGGGCACUGGAAGGAACCAUAAAGAAGCGUGGAUUCCGUCUAAUAUGCGAGCAACAGGAGGAUGAUCUGAGGGUCUGUUUUCCAACACCAUCGGCAGAUGGAAACAGAUUGGAGUUUCAAGGAAAGAUACUCAAAGGAAGACAAUUAUCAAUAGACACCGAGGAAGAAGAUAGGCCACUGGAACAGAACUCCACAAAGAAGAUGAGACGGUCUUAGCAAUGGCGAGAGUAUGGGUUGAACUCGCACCAACUGUUGAGGUAGCGAUUCUUGGGGAUGCGAACCGGUGAUCUUGAUUUCAAUGCCUCUUGCUUUUCCCUUUUUUUCUCGUCUCUACUAAAAAUUUGCAAUUGUCUGCUCCUUCAAUUAGUCGCGUAGUGCUACUGACAUGGUUGAGGAACUUUUCAUUUCCCUCUCGAUCUCUAUGAUCUGUGAUGCAAGAGUGCACCAAUCCAAUAUCAAGUGGAAUGCUUGCUGAAUGGCCAUUGUCUUCCAAGUUCAGUGAGAUAUAUCACGUAGAACUCUUGUCACCUCUCUUAAUCAAAUUAAUGAUGCCGAUGCUUCAUAUCCUAGAAUUCUUAGAUAGUAAAGCUUUACUUCUCGAGGAAAGUGUUGAUCUAAUUGUCUCAAAAAUCGAAAGGUUUACACGGGAAUGAUUAGUUGAUUCCUUUGCUGUUCCUAGGCAGAUUGCGUUGGAUAGAUACCAAGGGAGAGAUCUAGCUUCUGAGGCUUUGCGGAUAAGCAAAGGGUACUGACUUAAAAGAUUUUCAUGAAAAGCGAAUGGUGUUUAACAAACGCCUUGUAAAAUAUUUAUUACAGAACAAUUUUUAGUAUAAAGAAAAAAAAAUAGAGAAGGAACUUGCAGUUGUAUAUGAAAGCACAAGCGGGGGCGACGCAAAAGUUGGACUGGUGCUGACAUUGUGCAACCCUAGGCAAGGCACCUCUAAAGUUGAGCAAACCCGUCGAUGCGACAUUGAGCUACACUGAAACUAAGCAACACAAUACUAGUGUCACGCAACCCCAAGUAAUAGAAUGCCGGGGCCACACUACUAGGCAAUGCGACGCUUGACAACCUUGGCAAGCUAGAUCUGACAUCAAGUGACCCUCGCAAAGCUCCUCAAUGUUGCGUGACCCUCGACAAAGCUUUGCUGAUGUCUUUCAACCCUCUACAAAGCUGCACCUGCAUCCCUCGGUCCCUCUUCUAAGCUUCCCGGCCAUGAUCAAACACAUCUUUGUCUCUCUUAUCCAAGGUUGAGGGGUAAAAUAUGAUUGCAAAUGUAUUAGUGAUGGUAAGAUUGGAAGAAAAAAACUUUAUUAAACCCCUAAACUUGCAUUUCAAGAAUGCUAGAGCCCAUACUCGGAGGCUUACCUUGAACUUUGAGCGUUUUCAAAGCAAAACUUUGGAUCAAAAUCUUUGAAAUUGUGUUAUCAUACAUCAAAUCUUUAGCUCAAGGCCCCUUGAAGGUCCAAAAUAGCUUAAUUCAAGAUGACUGAGCACUCAAAUUUUUAACAGCAAAAUUGGACGGGAUUGAAACAAAGGGUAAAAUUGAAAUACCGGUACCAAUUAAGGGGUUUUUAUGAGUCCAAUUUUUUUUUUAAAGUAAAUAUUUUUGAGUAGUACCAAUUGAAGAUAUUUUUUUAUAUUAAUCCUAGUAACAUAUAUGUAUUAUUUCCUUUCUUUUUCCCCUUUUCAGUAGUCAAGUCCCAUUUCAUUGGGCAAGUGAAAUGCCAAGUGGCAUUUUGAUAAUUUCCUCUCAGAAUCUUGGUAAGUCAAGUUCCUACUAGUAUUGCCUUUGUAUUCUUCAUUGGCUUUCACUAAAGUUCAUUCUCCUUAUACUUUCCCUCCCAUCAGUUGCCCUUGGUUUUAGUCUUGGUGGUCCCAAGUUGUCCAUUCUUAAAUGCAUAAUUCAAUAAAGUAGAAAUGAUAUCGCCAAUCACUUUCUAAAGGCAAGAAUUGGUAAGAAUAGACGAUUACUGUAGUCUCCGCACAAGCAACAUAAUCACAUCACGAGUGAAUAUGAGAUGUCAAAUGCUCAUUACUAUACUAUCACUUACAAUCAUUAAGGAUCUAAGAUUAUACAAAUUGUGAUGUCUUAUGUCUUUUUUGAAUAUCUAAUUUUUUGAAUUGUAACACGUGUUCAUCUCACAUAUAUUUACCACAAAUGAUCAAAUUUCAAAAUCAUAUGGCAUCACCAUCUUCUUUCCUCCCCUCCUCCCCCUCCUCUUUCCUUCCCUCUCUCUCUCUCUCUCUCUCUCUCUCUCUCUCUCUCUCUCUCUCUCUCUCUCUCUAACACAAGUACAAGCACAAAAUAAUUUAUACUACCAAAGAAUAGGAAAGAACUACCAACGCUAGUGGCUCUUUUUGAGGUGUAACCCCAUAAAAGAGAAUGUACUUAAUAAACAUUGACUCUUUUCGAAUCUUAUUUUAUGGGAGCAACACCACCGAGAGAAAAUAAUUAAUAAAAACCGAAGUAACAUAAAGAUUUUAUUUAGACAUCCAAUCAUUCCGUUUUUUAUGAGCCUUUCCUAGUUCUUGUAACUUAUUUUGCAUUAACAACGUUCAAGAACAAAUUCAAAAGGAUGAGCAAUGUUGGGCAACUACUCGAGCAAAAUCUUGGGCCGACCAGAAUUGAAACAGUCUCAGGUCAACGCCACCAAAUGGGCAACCAAGACUGAAAUGAUGGGCUGAUCCUCUAGCAGGACUGGAGAAUGGGCCAUCUUCACUCCUCAAAUCUAAAAUAAAUUGACAUUUGGUUAUCCACCUUACCAAGAUUAGAGAUCAUAAUUCAACAAAAAAUUCAACCCCCAACUCCUCUCAAGUAAAAAUAAUGCGAUAGUUACUUACUAGUGGAAUCAAUGUUAGGACAUCACUUGACCAAUUGAGAGUUGUUGCAUUCAACAUUUGAAUGAAAAACCACAAACAGCAACAACAACAACAACAACAACAAAAAUCCCCUUUUCACAACACUUUCAAAGCAGUAUUGAACUUUAUUUGAGGAAACUAUUAGAAAUUGGCACCCAACUACUGCUGAAAAACCUAUUUGAAAUUAAUUUUUGGGAAAUAUCUUGGCCAAAAAAAUCCUUCUUAAAUUAAUUAACUUCUAUCAACUAGUAAAUUUUAAUUGAAGACAAAUGUCAAAAGUGGAGAGGUAAUGAUCUUGAAUCUUACAUCAAUGAUAGUGACAUCGACGACUUCAGCAUCCCUCAAGGGGUCCAGAGAUCUAAGAAGUAGGGAAAAAUGAAAAGAGAAAGAAUUGCGUAUUUUUUCACUUUGAUAGUUGCAAUUAGCUCCUAUAUUUUACUAAGAAGUAGGGAAAAAUGAAAAAGAAGAAAGAAAUUGCGUAUUUUUCACUUUUGAUCAUUGCAAUUAGCUCCUAUAUUUUUAGUUUUUUAGUGUAUAAUCCUCUUAGUUUUUUUUUUCAUUGGUGACAAUAUGAUUUUUUUCAUUAGAUUUAACAAGCUUGAUGCUCAAAAUUUUGUUCCAAAACUGAUCUUCAAUAAGCGUAGGCAAAUCUUUGCGACAAUAUGACUAAGUAGCANNNNNNNNNNNNNNNNNNNNNNNNNNNNNNNNNNNNNNNNNNNNNNNNNNNNNNNNNNNNNNNNNNNNNNNNNNNNNNNNNNNNNNNNNNNNNNNNNNNNNNNNNNNNNNNNNNNNNNNNNNNNNNNNNNNNNNNNNNNNNNNNNNNNNNNNNNNNNNNNNNNNNNNNNNNNNNNNNNNNNNNNNNNNNNNNNNNNNNNNNNNNNNNNNNNNNNNNNNNNNNNNNNNNNNNNNNNNNNNNNNNNNNNNNNNNNNNNNNNNNNNNNNNNNNNNNNNNNNNNNNNNNNNNNNNNNNNNNNNNNNNNNNNNNNNNNNNNNNNNNNNNNNNNNNNNNNNNNNNNNNNUAUUUACGAGUGUAACCUUGGCUAUCCUGGAAAAGAGGGGAUGUCGGAAUUUUCUUAAUUUUUGGUGUCCAUCGUCUCUUAACUUUCCAAACUCCUUAACCUGUUGCAUGCCAUUCAGGUUUUAUAUUUUAGUUUUCUAAUAUUAGUUAAUGUACAAAAAAUGUUAACCCGUGGCAUUCUUUCUUCCUAUUUGGUGAGGUUAAAAAAAUCUCAUGCAAAAUAGAGUUUAUUAAUGUACACUUGUAAUUCAUGGGUGUUGGGAAUAACGGAUUCCCGAAAACCGGAUUCGACACUGAAUCGAACCCCUAAAUCAAUGCGGAAGACGAGGCCCAGGAAAAUCACGUAUCACCGAUCGUAAAGCACACCACGGAUUCGAGCGUACCUUGUUAGCCACAGAUUAGACACCAACGCCGAUAGAGGAAGAGAAACUAGGCCUUGUUCAAUCCGAGGAGGCAAAAUCCUUCAAGCGCUUCACUGGUUUCGCUUUAAAGAAAAACGAGAGAGAGAGAGAGAGAGUACGUAGAGAGAAAGCGUACGUCUUUUUCUAAAAACAAAACGGUGCCUUUUUCUCUCUCUCUCUCCUCCCUUUUAUACCUCUCCCCUUUCAUGGGCCCUAUUCCCGUGGGUCGAGCUUUAUGGGCCCAACUUGGGCGGACGGGCCUUAAGCCCAUCUCGUAUAAAACCAUCAUCUCCCACUGGCACAUGGUGGGCCGAACAUGAUUCUCUUUACCUCUCUUCAACAUUCAUACCGGUGAAUAAUCCGUGCGACCAGCAUACUUUGAGAGCUCGUUGCUAUACAUCUGUUAGGAAUAUAUAGCAACUCAUAAUGAGCGUCACACUCCGAGUAGAUUUAGUAUGCAAUACCCUAGAUCGAUCGAUCACAUUUUAUAUCUCUUUUGAUCUCUUUUAAACAUGAUAUAUAUAUUGUAUUCACAAUUAUAAUUAUCACAAAGACAGUCAUAAUUGGUCGACCAGUGAAUACAAAACUAUAAUGUGAUUCUCCAAAAUCGAUCUUCCUCUUUCCUUCAAAUUCUCAAUUUCAGUUCAGCUUGCUUUUCUAGAAAUGCCCCAUUAGAUCGAAUCAUCUCAUGACUAUUGGCAACACCCUAAGAUAGCAAACACUAAAUAGAAAUCUUGAGAAUAAGUAAGAGUCAUGAGGGGACUAAAAAUUGAGGAACUCUUUUCCUUAAGAGUCUCACACAUCAUAAAAGUUGAGAUCAAACUUUUUGCCACUCUUAUUGGUCGUCUCAUGCAUAUGUAGUAUGAAAUACGUAUUACGGUAUUAACUCCUUUCCCAUGGAGCGUAUGUCUACACCUUUCAAUACCGUACAGAUGAUAGUUCAGACAUACCCAAUGUCUAACUUGAGUUCACGUAUCUACUCAUUUACAAAAUUCAUCAGAACUCACAUCUGGCAUCUUAGACAGAUAAAGUAAAAUAUGUGGGGUAUUUUACUUUCGGACAUAGUAAGUAUUAUGUCCUCAUCUUAACACUCAGUUAAGGCAAUAUACGUAUUUUAAGCUUGAGCUCUCGAUUAUCACCUAGAUAAUAAGCUUAAAAACAGUCUCAUCUCUAUUUAUCACAUAGUAAAUAGAGGCGAUUACCUGUGUGAGUGGGCUAAUCUUAUAUCUGUCCGACAUACUUUCUCAAAAUAAUGCACUUAGCAUUAAGAUACAUAAAGAUCAAACAAAGAAUCAUAGGCAUUAAUGAUGAAAACACAAAUUCAUCAAAUGUGAACACUUAGGGAAAUUACAAUAUUUAGUACAUCAGCCUCUACACAAUCCUAGAGAUUUCAUAUAGCCACAAAACACAUCUCUAGGUAUUGGGUUUGUCAUAGGAUCUGCUACCAUUUUAUGCGUAAUAUAUACUCUAGGUUCACAUCUUUUCGUGCAACCAUAUCCAUAACAAAAUUAUACUUGGUAUCUAUAGGUUUGGUCUUGUCAUGAUAUUUUGGAUUUUUGGUGUACGCUUUUGUUGCUUGGCUACCACAGUUAACCAACAAUGAAUUUGCAGCACUUCCAAUAACACCUAAAUGAUCCAAAAAAUCUCUUAAGCCAAACACCUUUUUAUACUGCUGCUGAUAAUGUCACGAACUCAACUUUUAUCGUGGACAAGGCUAUACAUUUUUGUUUCUUACUGCUCCAACAUAUGAUGCCAUUAUUCGGUAAGAAAACAAACCCAGAGGUAGAUUUUCUUUCAUCUAAAUCUCCUCCCCAAUCAGUAUCAGAAUAGCCUUUGAAUUGCAGAUCCUUUCCUUAAUAACUCAGCGUAUAAUCAGCAGUUCCCUUUAAAUACCUUAGUAUUCUUUUAACGGCUUUCCAACCUGCUUGACCUGGGUUGGAUUGGGUAUCUACUCACCAUUCCAACUGCAUAACAUAUGUCANNNNNNNNNNNNNNNNNNNNNNNNNNNNNNNNNNNNNNNNNNNNNNNNNNNNNNNNNNNNNNNNNNNNNNNNNNNNNNNNNNNNNNNNNNNNNNNNNNNNNNNNNNNNNNNNNNNNNNCCUUUGCAUAGGAGUGUCUAUGGGUUUACAAUCUUGCAUACGAAAUCGUUCAAGAACCUUAUUUAUAUAGAUUUCUUGCGAAAGAGAUAACGAUCUCUUCGAACGAUCUCUUGAAAUCUUAACUCCAAGAAUGUAUGCAGCCUCACCCAUAUCCUUCAUCUCAAAGUUAGAAGACAACCAACUCUUGACAGUAUUAACAAACUCUCUAUUGCUUCCAGCAAUUAGUAUAUCAUCAACAUAAAAUGAUAUGAUCACAAAUUGAUCCUUGGAUCUUUUGAUAUAUACAUAAUGAUCCUCAUCAAUCAUUGUAAAAUCAUAUGCCAUUAUGGCAUUAUGAAAACAUAUAUACCAUUGUCUUGAUGACUGCUUGAGGCCAUAUAUCGAUCCCCAAAAUCGACAUACUUUUUCUUCUUGGCCUUUCACUAUGAAACCAACAGGUUGUUCCAUAUAUAUUCUUCCUCUAAUUCUCCAUUGAGGAAAGCAGUCUUUACAUCCAUUUGAUGUAACUCAAGAUCCAGACUAGCCACUAUUGCUAGAAUAAUGUGAAUCGAGGUAAAUCUCACUACAGGAGAAAAUGUAUCUUCAUAAUCAAUUCCUUUCUGUUGAUUAUACCCCUUUGCCACAAGGCGGGCCUUAUGCAUUUUUAUCGAGCCAUCAGCCUUUCGCUUUAUUUUGAGAACCCACUUGUUCCCAAUAGCUCUGCAUCCCUUUUGGAAGAUAAACCAGUUCCUAGACUUGGUUUGACUUCAUUGACUCCAUCUCCUCUUUCAUUGCAUAAAUCCAUUUUUCCUUACUAGGGCAUUUCAGAGCCUCAUUAAUAUUUCUUGGCUCAUCCUUAUCUCGUGGAGCAAUUAUAAAAGUUUCCCUUUCAAUGUCCAAAUGUCGACGAGGAAUACUUUGGCGACUUGUUCGCCGUAUGAAAGAUUGUACACUUAGCACAUCAUUCCCCAUCAUGUUCCCACUCGGAUUAGAUAAUGAUGAUGUCGUCUCAUCAUGUGGUUGCAAUUGAGAAUGAGUUGAAUUAAAUUCAUCACUUUUCAUAUUACUCCUACUUGGACGAACUCCACUAAUAUCAUUAUCUUGAUUCAAGGUUUCAAAUAGGGAGUAAUCCUCACCUAUUUCGCCCUUCUUAAGAAAUUCAUCCUCUAAGAAUGUGACAUCCCGUGAUUCAAAUUCAGUUAUACUCCCACUUUCCUGCUCACCUAUGAACAUAUACCCUUUCGAGUGUUCGAAGUAUCUCAUUAAAAUACUCUUCUUUCUUUUGGGACCCAAUUUCCCAAACUUGUGAGAGGACUCAUAAGUAUAGGCAGCACAACCCCAUGACUUAAGAAAAUUUAAAUCCGGUUUUCUACCUAUCCAUAACUCAUUUGGAGUGGAAGUAACUGAUUUGAAAGGCACCCGGUUAAGUAUAUAGGCUGCAGUUAACAACGCAUCACUUCAAAAAGUAAUUGGUAAGUUAGCAUGCGCCAUCAUGGACCUAACCAUUUCUAGUAGGGUAUAUGGAAUAGAGAAGUAUAUGGAAUAGAUAACUAUCUUUCUAUUCCUUUUUCAUCACGUAAUUUUCUGAACUCAUCAGAUAAAUAUUCUCGACCUCGAUCGAAUCUAAAUAUUUUUAUUUUAUUGUCUAAUUGAUUUUCAACCAAUUUCACAAACCUUUUGAAACAACAUAAUGCUUCAAAUUUAUGAGAAAUCAAAUAGACAAUAUCCGAAUCGAGUAUAAUCAUCUAUAAAAGUGAUGAAGUAAACAGCCCCAUGCCUUCCUCUCACAUUCAUUGAACCACAGAUGUCAGAAUGGAUUAAAUGCAGAAGAAAUUCAGCUCUUUUACCUUUUUUAAAUGGUUUCCUUGUUGUUUUCCCUACUAGGCAAUGCUCAUAUAUGGACAAAUCGACUUUUUCAAUGUUGCCCAACAAGCCCUCUAUGGCUAGUCUAUUCAUAUGUUGUUGGCCAAUAUGACCAAGUUUAGCAUGCCACACACUCACAUCAUUAUCAUGUAAAGUAGGAGACGUGAGAAGGGAAUAACAAAUAUUGACAUCACCACAGUCAACAUAUAGUACAAUAAAACCAUCCAGAAGGUAACCACGACCAUAGUAGUUUGUAUCCAAAUACAAAUCUACACUUCUAUUAUGGAAGUUCAUACUAAAACCAAGCGUAACCAACACCAAAACAGAUACAAAAUUUCGACGAAUCUCCAGAGCAUAUAGAACAUUAAGGUGCGUCCACCACUCAUGUUCAAUUGGCAGGUGCCAAUUCCUUUACUUCAGCUCUGGAGUUGUUUCCCAUAUGGAUCCACUUAGUUCCAGUUGGUACUUGUCGAAAUUCCACGAAGGAUUCUCUAUCCUUCCCUUCAUGGUCUGUCGCUUCUGAAUCUACAGUCCACAAAGGAUUGGAUUCAGCCAAUAAUACAGAACUUGACACAUAAGCAAAUUUCUCAAAUGUACAAGAGGUGUUUACUUUUUUUUUUUUGGCUCACAACAGUUGCGAACAUAGUGACCUCUCUUGUCACAAUUGUAACACCUCACCCUUGACAUCUUCUUCACUUGAGGACGUUUUCCUCUCUUGUGUUGGUUAACUCUUGAUUUCUUGCAAUAAGGACUUGAUCCUUUGCAUUCCCACAUAUUGAACGAAUUAAUACGCUUGCGCUUAGAGCUCAAAACCCUUUCUGAGCUAGAACCAGCAUUACAAAUGUCCGUUUUCGGCUCAAAUGCCGUUAGGCGGUCCUCUACUAACUCAAGGUAGCGCAUGGCAUCCUCAAGAUCUUCCAUAACAUGGUCAAGAGCUUCUAGUGCUUCUUGCUUUUCCAGCACAUAUUGAAUCUUUAUAUUCAAUAUUUCACAAUUGUCACCGUUCAUAUCAGCAAUUACGUUCUUAGUUGCUGAAAUCAUCGAUCUAAACACAUCAGACAUACAUGCACGAAUAAUUAAUGCCUAUCAUUUAUGCAUCCAUUUUGCACAGACCCAUCAUAUUAAUAAACAAUUUCAAGUAAGGUUUCAGAAUCAAAAGGUCACUACGUUUCCAAUCAUCCUCCAAAAAUCCUAACUUAAAACUAUCAUUAAUAUGAUUGUCAUAUGCAAAAUCAAUUUAUUAUUAAUAUAAUUGUCUUAUGCAAAAAUAAAUUCUAUGAAGUUAUAAAAACUUCUAUAACUACCCACAGCUAACUACCCACAGUAAUCAGAAAUAACAGAAAGCAAAUAAUAAUUGACAUCCAAUAAAUUAAUAAUGCUUUCACAUAAUACAACUAACAUAUCGGUUGCUACAUCAACAACAAUCAGGUAGUAAACAAUACAUAAUAUGUCCACAAAGCACACUUAACAAAAAAUCAGCCAAUACAUUUAAGAAAAUUGAAGGCACAUUUGCCAACCAUGGAAAAAACUUUUGGAGAGCUUUCAUGUCGCCACCAAGGCGCAUUCACUCUGCGCCAUGUGGCGCUCAAUCUAAGGGUUGAAGUUUUGGUUAACUCAAUCCUAUAGUACUCUCUUACAAAAGUUUCCAUUAGCCUCCUAUAACCCGAGACCACGUUGACCUCCCAUAGACGAUCUAACACUGCUUGCCAUUUAGCUAGAAGAGUGUUCAUCAAAGCCGGCACUUUCUCAAAAUUCGGCAUAAGAUAACCAUUGUAGCUGAUUUCCUGUAUCAUCUGUUUGACCCUGACCACAUGUGAUACUAAAUCACCGUCAUACCACCGAUAAUUAGCUAAAUCUGACAUCAGCCUUUUAAGUCUUGCAUUUCCCUCGUCCAUUCUCGGGAUUGCAGGUAUCCGUGCAAAACGCAUCAUAGUUCCUGCAACAAAUGCAGAACUAAAAAUGGAUUACUUAUAAUCCAUAAUGUACAAAAGGAAAAAUACAUAAUUUUCCAUAAUUCAUGUAACAAAUGCAGAAUUAAAAAAUGGAUUACUUAUAACCCACAUAGGCAUGACUGAAAAAGAAACAAAUUCCUUUUCUUCUUUUUUUUUUCGGGUCAACAGUCAACGGUCAAAGUCAACGGUCAACGGUCACGGUCGUCGGUCGUCGGUCAACGGUCAACGGUUCAUAGGGUCGGGUCGACGGGUGCGCGGGUUGGACCAGUUGGACCGGUCAGACCAAUCGGACCGACCGGCCGGUCGGACGAACCAAUCGGCACGUGUCACGCGCGUGCGUGGGCUGACGUCACGCAGAUGUCACUUGCACGUGCCGCAGGCGUGAGCAGUUUGACGUCACGCAGACGUCAGCCGAUACGUGCGCGGCAUGCGCCAGCUGGUCGGGUCGGGUCGCUUUCGAGUCGGGUCGGGUCGGGUCGAGUCGCCGGCCGGUGACCGCCCGGCCAACGGUCGUCAGCGAUGACGUCAUCGGUGACGUCAUCCCAGCGGUUAUCGACUGUUGGGUGAUGUCACGGUGACGUCAUCACGCGUUGGUUCGCCAACCGGCGCGUGCCGGUUUGCUGGUCGCCGACAUGCACGUGCCGGUUCGCCGCCGGCGCAUGUGGCGCACGCGCUGGCCAAUGCCAGCGCUUCGGGCGCGUCGCGCCCACGCGCAGCGCCUUCUGGCCGCGCGUGUGGUCGCGUGUGGUGUCGUCCGGCGGCGCACGACAUGUUGCCGGACUCGUCUCGACGACCUCUUUCUCCCUAUGCCAUCAGAAUUCGAUUUCGACUUACGAAAACUCGGAAAAAUGGCCGAACAACGCUCGGGUGUCGGGAUUUCUUGCCCCAAUCCGUAUGGCCGAAUUACUUUCACGAAAAAUCAAUCAAAAAACAUCAAAUUGAUCGGGAAAACGUGAAUUAGGGCUCUAAUACCAAUGUUGGGAAUAACGGAUCCCCGAAAACCGGAUUCGACACUGAAUCGAACCCCUAAAUCAAUGCGGAAGACGAGGCCCGGGAAAAUCACGUAUCACCGAUCGUAAAGCACACCACGGAUUCGAGCGUACCUUGUUAGCCACAGAUUAGACACCAACGCCGAUAGAGGAAGAAAAACUAGGCCCUGUUCAAUCCGAGGAGGCAAAAUCCUUCGAGCGCUUCACUGGUUUCGCUUUAAAGAAAAACAAGAGAGAGAGAGUACGUAGAGAGAAAGCAUACGUUUUUUUCUAAAAAUAAAACGGUGCCUUUUUCUCUCUCUCUCCUCCCUUUUAUACCUCUCCCCUUCCACGGGCCCUAUUCCCGUGGGUCGGGCUUUAUGGGCCCAACUUGGGCGGACGAGCCUUAAGCCCAUCUCAUAUAAAACCAUCAAUGGGUUUGUUAUUCUAUCACUAUACUAAAUCCAGCCACAAAAUGCAAUUUAUUUUAAGUUAUUAAUGUCUGCUCACUUCAAGUGAUUUUACAAUGUUUUAUACCAAAUGAAGUAUCUUUAGUAUGCUAAAAUGUCUCUUUAUCUAUAGGGUUUACACGGGCUUCAUAUACAUGUGUUCUCUAUCAGUAUAAUGCUUUUUGUUUUUGGGGUGGGACAUUUUAACAUGAUCACAAAGUCAAGUUCGAAACCAGUUGUUUUUUUGCACUCCUCAUAUACAUGUGUUCUGAUAAUAUUUCCAGAUGAUGUCAUUUGGAUCUCACAGGAUUCGGUUUUUUUGCCUGGUAAGUUCUAUGUGUGACAAAAAAUAAGGUACGAAUUAUUCUCUCCAUAUUUAUUUAUUUAGAAAUUUAUUUUCGAUUAUCCCUUGAAAAUCGGAUUCCUAUUCAAAUUUUUUCGGAAACCGCUUAUUGAAAAAUCGUGCCUUUUCGGUUUCCCUUAUUCAGUUUCCAAAAAUUUGCUAUUUAUAUUUUUACAUCUUUUCCAAGAAGUAAUCCUCAUUCCCUUAAACCACUUUUCUUCCUCUUCGAAACCCUUAUUCUUCGAAACGUCUCCUUCAUCCUCUCAAAGAUCGAAACUUUUUCUCUCAAAACAUCCAUGGCCCCAAAAUCUGCCCAAGGAACAAAAUCUAGACCCUCUGCUUCAUGAAGAUCUAGACAUAUAGCAGGAGUGGCAUCGGGAGCGAUGGGGACCAUCGAGCAUUUUGAACUGUCAGAUUCUUCCAACAAUGUCAAUGGUACUACAAGCGAGGCUCCUGUAACCUCUAAGAGCGAUUCUUCGGCUGAGUGGAGAAAGUUGAAAGAGGCCAUUGCAUCGCUCCGAAGCCUAGGAAACAACAAAGAGAUAAUAUCUACCCUCUUGGCUACAAAUGGGUUUGACAAUGAGGAGGCUCUAGACUUAAUGGUUGCAAAUCCUAUUCGUAUUAUAUCAUACGUAGUAGUCGAAAUUGUUGUGACCCGACCUCACCACCACCCGGCCCUCAUAAAAAGAGGAAUGGGGAAAGGUCGGACUUAGAGGUACUCGAUCACGAAAGUUCCCUCAAAGUUCUUAUUCACAAAAAGCGUCAUCACCUCACCUUUCGGACAAACCUCUUGUGAGUUUACUUGAUCAUGGUCGUGAGCUCUUUCAAGCUCGUACCUCGCAUGACAGCGGAAGGUUUCCUGACCUUAGGCUGACGUCAUGGCAUGUCUUGAUCGACGGUUUUAAGUUUGAAGGGAAACUGGAAGUAAAAGUAAGUUUGAGGGUAUUUUACAAUCAUGAUAGCCCUCUUAAGAUGCACAUCUAUUAAAGAUGGCAUCACUUGAUCUUUAUCAACUUCAUCAUCUUGGUAUGCUAAAUCACGGCCGUGAACCUUUUCCAAAGGUCCAUACCCCUCAUGACAAGUUUAAUUAUACAAUUUAGUUGUUUAAGACAACCUAGAUAUAGGACAUAAGUUGCCACUAGCCUCAUUUUUUAGGGUCGGCUAGAAAACACAAUCGAGGGUCGAGAGUGGUCUCUCGAUUCCUAUGCAAUCAGAUAUCUAGGUUCAGGAACUUAUGCUAAUAUUUCUAUUAGUGCCCUUUCAAUACCCAACAAUAUGUCGUGUUACUUAAGGUGUCCAUGCAUUUUUAUUUACUUUUUCGGGAUCGUUUUAUCCUAAGCUAGACAAUCAUGCGUGGAUAAUCAUUGUUAUGUCCUUCUAUUUUUAAGAAGGAUAAAAGAAAACAAUCAAUUGAAUUGAGAGUACGAAACAAUAAGUAAACAAUCAAAGAAAGUGAUAAACCAACUAUGGUGUAUUCAUAAUAAGGAUGGAAAUAAAAAAGGGAGUAAGCAAAAAGGAAAUACCUGCAAUUCAUUGGGUGUUUAUACAAACAAGGGGAACCCGAAACAUAUGUCGAGGAAAAUAAAUACAAAAGAGUGAUCGGAAUGGACAUCGACCUUCCAUUGUCUUCAUCUUCAGGAUCCUAAUCUAAACCUAGUCUAAGAAUUAUAGCUAGGUAAAUACAAUGUAAAGAAACGGCCAUGCAAGUCAAAGCAAUCAUAAACAUGAUACAAAAACAAUAUCAAACAAUUCAACAAAAUAAGAUUUAUCAAAUAAGUUUGAGCCUCAGGGGUAGCCUUUGGAAACAUGCGUAGGCCCAUCUAGAUACCUACCUAGUUCGUUUUAUGAUUUAAAGCUAUCAUUGACUAAUUACAUUUCUGCAUGGCUAAUAAUGCUUAUAAGUCCCUAAUUAAAGAAUUCUAUGUGAUCCUCGGGAUUUCCCAUCAGUAUCAUACAUUGUCCUUAACAUGCAUCUAGAAUUCACAUACAGGCAUGAAUUAAACACACACACAUUGUUGACACCUAUUUUUGAACAACAAAAAAAAACCAAAAAAAAAAAAAAAAUUAAUUAAAAAAAAAACAAAAAAACAAAACAAAAACAAAAACAAAAAAAAAACAAAAUGUUUAGGGGUCGGGUUGGACUGGAUCCAGCCUUGGCCCGGCCCGCCCCUCUUCCUUUUUCCUUUCCCCCGUGUAGCUCAGCCUCCUGGUCUCAUCCUCUGCACAUGAGGGGGAAAAAGAAAAGCAGCAAGGGCACAGGGGAAGCGGGGAGGGUGAGACGUAGAGAGAGAGCGGGAGAAGAGAGAGAUCUCGAGAAAGGAGAGACCUCGAGGGAGAGAGAGGAAAAUUUGGGGGGGGGGGGGGGGAGGGCGAUGGCGGUCGAGGAGAAAGGAGGCCUCGUUGCCUCAACUCGAUGCCCCGUGGCUAUUGGAGCCCUCCUCUGCCGAGCACCACUAUUCCGAGCCCUCUACUUGAGCGACCACCAGCUACCCGCUCAAGUACCGCCAUUGCUGCCGUGCUCCCUUCUGCCCAAACUCACGACGCCAGCAGCCCGAGCCGGUCGCUGAGCCCCCUCGCCGCACGACCUGCAACACUUGUCGUCAUUGUCGCCGACCACCACCGCUCCUAGUCCCCUCGCCAAAGAUGCCGCUCGAGCUCGAAAACCACGGCGACGUCCCUGACGAAGAAGUCCCGAUGCUGUUUCUAAGCGACCCACCACGAGUUCCACUGCGCAUGGCUAUUGUUACCUCGUUGAGGCACGUCGUAGACCACUACCGUGCUACCGUCCUCAACAAAGCCCUCGCCGUGCUAGCCUGUGACUCGCUUGCCACUUGCCCGACGCCAUCUGAGCCGCACCUCCGCCCUUCCCCGCAGCUGCCCAUCGCCAUACCGUCACCCAUCGUGUCGUUGAUGUUGUCCACACUACUGUUGCUCAUCGCGUCGCCGCCGCCAAGUCACCGUCAUCCCCAACCAUCCCUCAUUAACGCUACGAAGGAGUAGGGGAGAGAAGAGGCAGAAUCGGGUAGGGUUUGGUCUUCGAAGCAGGUUGGGCGCGGGUCACAAAACGGGUAGGGUUUUUGAGCAAUUCGAGCCGGGUUUGGGCUGUUUUUGCAUGUGGGCUUUAUUUAAAAAAAAAAAAUAGACCAGAUUAGGCCUGCACAUCAGGCCCAGCCUGGUAGGUUUUUGUCGGCUUGGAUCGCGCAGCUCGGUUUAGUCUGGGCUUGGGUCGUUUGGCCUGAUCCGGUCCGGGCUCGGGCUAUCUAGCCCAAGCCCGAGGUUCUGACCCAGGUUGUUUUAAAUAUAUUAUAAUAUUGUAUUAUAAUAUUAUAAUAAUAUUUUUAAAAAUUAAAAAAAUUCGAAAAUUAAAAAAAUGUAGGUUUGGUUGGAAAUUGCCAUGUUAUACCUAGUAUAAUUAGGCCUUUAUUUGCUUAUACAUUGAUUAUGUCGUGGGUUUAAUUUACAUGUUCAAUUAUGUUGGCAAUUGUUUAGUUGCUUACGUUAUUUCCAUUGCAAUUAGGAGCUUGGUUGUUAAUUGUCACUUUAAUGAUUGUGUACUCGUAUGAUCACCUCACAUAUUAGUGGAUAAGUGUAAAAUCAAUCCAAACUGCCUGAAAAAAAAAAUCUUUUCUUUUAAAAUGAACAAGAUUAAGUUUUGAAAGAGCACUAAAAGAUCAAUUAGUGUAAUCAAGUCUCUGAUCCUAAAUUCUCUGGUUGUGUAGGAAGUAAGGUAUACUAACAUGCUUCACUUGGUUUCUAGCCGACCCCAAUAAGCUAGUAGCGACUCCUUUUUCGAAAAUUCUUAAAAAUACCCCAAUGUCACACGAGAUAUGGGUUUGGGAGAGCCCGCGUCUAAUGAUGGGCCUUAGCUCUAUCUUUUGGUUUAUACCCCUAAACCUAUUCCCUCCCCCGAGGGGUAAGUCGUGACACACAUGCCUUUUGGGCCUUAUUUCCCAAUCAAUCAAACAAGAUGAGUGAACCGUUAGCAGGUCAUUUAUUGCCAAGGCACGUGCCAAUCAUGAACACAAGCAUUUCUAUCAAAUGGCGUGAUUAUAUGGUACAUGUGACGUCUCAAAAAUGGAUUCGAAAUCAUUAAAAAGAUUUUUGAGACAAUAUGAUGUCUCGGUUAUGAAACACAUUUAAUUACCAAACCUACCUAGGGUUUGCAUAAAUGUACUCACAAGCAUCGUAGGUAUUUUGAAUACAAUCCAAACUGUGACUUUCACCAUGUCAAAUCAAAGCUUGAAAAGAUUUGAAUUCAUUUUGGACUAAGGAAUAUCUAGGCUAUGAAACGCAUUUAAUUGCCAAGACUAACCCAAGACUUGCAUAAAUGCACUCACAAGGGUGAUAGAAAUUUAAAACACACUCCAAACCAUGAUUUUUCCUAAGUCAAAUCGAUUGUUGAAAGAAUUUCUAAAAUGUUGCUUUUUGAAACAUCACAUGUACCAAAGCGAUUUCGAGAUACAAUUUGAAAAGUCCAUUCAUUGAAAACCAUUUUGACAACGACGAUCAGGGGAUUUGCAACAUAUUCCAUGAAGAUGAUAUGCCCUAAUAUCAUAGACAAACUAACCUAAAGAUUUACUAAACAAUCACAACAACAAAUUCAUAUCAGAAAAUUUCAAACCAAGCACAGCAAAUCAACAAAAUUGGAAAGUAUCCAUCGAUAAUCUAACUAUAAGAAAAUUUCCUAACAUGCAAAACAUGAUAGAGAACAACUUUCAUGAAGGAAGCAAAAAGAGCUAAGCAUGAUUUUCUAAAAAUCAGAAAGCAAGUAACAAUGCAUCAAGAAGUUGUCAAAACAGCAGAACAUUCAGUCAUUACUACUAAGAUUUAAUCUACCAAAUGAAGUCUAAAAAUCACAAAAUUUUCAAUAAAAACAUAGCAAACAUGAUAAUAAACAAACUUUAUUAAGGGACCAAGUCCAGAAUCCUUAUAAAAGAAAUGGUACAAAAAUAGAAAAAGUCUAUCUAAAUAGGGGUAAAAACAAGUGUCCGAAUUUGAUCCUUUAGUCCAAAUUCUAGCCUAGCUUAGAAACAUAGGAAAUAGACCUAACGAUAAGUAAUUUGCACGAAAUCAACGAUAUUUGAAAGUUCUAGGUGUGCUUUACAACUUCCCAGAAGGGCCCGCUUCCAAUCAAGGUUAACUUGGUAUUCUAACACAAUGGUCUCUAAAAGCGUGCAUAUCAGCUUUUAAAAACCAGAAUAUAGACAUGCAUUAUUGAACCUCAAAAUCAUUCAUGUAAUGCACAAAUGGCAUGAAAAAAUCACAUACGGCUUAGAAUCAGAUGUGACAAGCAAUUUGGAUAAUCAUCUAACCUUAAGUCGACAUGCAAAAACAUCAUACAUUCAAUGCCAACACAAGAUUAUUUAGGAUUUAUAAUGUCAUGCUUGAAAGUUUUUAAGUGUAAUAGGCAUUGUUGUGACAUGAUUUUCACAUGCGAAAUGGUGUUCAACCAUGAUGAACCACAUACGCACACAAAGCUUGCUAUAUGUAGUUCUAAUAUCAAGAAGGCGCUAACGUGAAAUUUGGUCUCUAAGAGACCCAAUCAAGCAUACAAAAGUACGCACAUGAUAAGGUUUCAAUCCUAUAACAAGAGCAGAGAGCAUUCAUAAUUUUGAUCACUUAAAGGUAUGCAUAAAUCCAACGAAAAACGUGUCAUAUAAAAUGAAAGAUGACGGACAUUUUUUGUUAAGAACUCAAAAGCCAAUUUUGACCACACGGAUGAUGACGAAAAUGGCAAAACUGAUGCGCGCUCUUAACUUUCAAAUUGCAGCAGGACCUAUAUGCGUUUAAACAUGAAAUCGACGUAUCAAAUGGCAAUAAAAUCAUGCGAAUCAUGCAUCAUUGUAACACAUACGUCAUGUAUAUGAAGUUCAAUGAAGAUCCUAAGAUUGAAAGUCUCAUCUAUAUGCCUAUUUUCAUCAAAAUGCAACUCGAAAUGGUGCGGGGCAGCUUAACCUUGGCUUAGAUCUAAGAGGUUUUGACCCAUUAAAACACAUUCGAAAAUUCUGAAAAAAAAAAAUAGCAGGACAUUCUCAAGACAAAGAGGAACAAGUUUCAUGAACGAAACUUUGUCCAGAAAUCAUCACGGAAAGCAAGACAAGACACUAAGUCGGACCAAAAACAGAAACUAAAAAAAAAAAAAAAAAUCUACAGAAAUCAAGCAGAUUGUAACGUGCUUUUUGGGGGGUCAAACGUCCCCAAUCAGGCUGUACGACCUACUGAUUCGAAACUCAAGCCAAAAUAAGGCUGUUUAAGACCUGGUUUUAGUCAAAACAGCAAGCCAGUUUCAGAAACAUGAAAAUCAUAGAUUAGUGCCAAAAUCAUUCAAUCAACAAUGAACUUGCAUUCAAUCUAUCUUGAAGAUAAACAUAUAAUCUUCAGAUCUAAAGCUUUUUAUUGAUCUAAUAGUGAAUCCUAGUGUCGAUUGGAUAAUCCAACCUAAUAGUGAANNNNNNNNNNNNNNNNNNNNNNNNNNNNNNNNNNNNNNNNNNNNNNNNNNNNNNNNNNNNNNNNNNNNNNNNNNNNNNNNNNNNNNNNNNNNNNNNNNNNNNNNNNNNNNNNNNNNNNNNNNNNNNNNNNNNNNNNNNNNNNNNNNNNNNNNNNNNNNNNNNUUUCUAUUUAUAUUUUUACAUCUUCUCUAAGAAGUACUCCUCAUUCUCUUAAACCACUUUUCUUUCUCUUCAAAACCCUUACUCUUCGAACCAAUUGAUCGUCACUGGAGCAUGAAUGGAACUUUGAGAUCACGAUCCGACCGCCACAAGACGCCAUGAGUUCGGAUAAGCCACCAGUUUGGCCUAUGAAGUAGCAUUGUUCCAAACUUGGACCGGUUUGAGAUCGCGGGGGAAAGAGUGGAUUGCCGGAAGAGAUCCGAGCAGGUGUUGGCCAAGUUCCGACCGUCCAGAGUUUAGAGACAGCGUGAGUAGUAGAUCGGUGACAGUUGUUGGCUUGAGGAAUGGCUAGCGAUUGCCGGUUUAGCCGAUCCAAGACCCGACCGAUUCUGGACAACUGUGGUUUCAGUAGCCACUGGAGAUGAUCUGGGGGCUCUUCAAUCAGUUUCCGACUUAUAGAUGGUCGGAGACUCACCUAGGAUUCAAUUGGAAGUGGCUGAGGGUGUUGAGGGUGUUGGAGACGGCUGCCGGUCUCCCAUGGAGGAAAAAAUCCACCGUUGGUUCAAAGGCAAUUUGACCACCAAAAUAGGAAGUUGUUCCGGAGGGGAAAGACGAGGUCAGAGAGGCCGUCGACUGGGGCCUAAAUCGGCAGCGAUUGGCUCACCAAAGAGAGAGAGAGAGAGAGAGAGAGAAAAAUGCAGAAAUGAGCCCCCCUUUCAAAAAAUUGAAGGGAAAAGUCUAUUUAUACCACCUCAAAUCGGUCAAUCUCGACCAUCAAUUCGAUCCGACGGUCGAAAUCGUAAUGCAACAGGCAAAACUUGAUUUCGAAAGUGUUGACUCUUGAAUCGGAUUGCCAGACCCUCAUUGAGACGCUGAAGGGUUAGCGCCCGCCGCCAUGGGUAGAACGCAGCCUCUUCUCCGAAGCUGCCUUCCUGCCCGCCGCCAUGGGUAGAACGCAGCCUCUUCUCCGAAGCUGCCUUCCUGCUUUCGUCUUUUCCCAAUAUUUCCCUAGCCUUCUGUCAUCGUGAGGCGAAUGUUGCUGCUGACUGGGCCGCGAAGGCCCAUAGGGUAAAUUCCAAGCGAAGUAAUUGAGCUAUCUUUCCCCCUCCCCCUCUAUUAGAACUUGUUUACGCUGAUGCGAUUACUGCUGGUUGUAAUCGGUUUGGUCCUUCUAUAUAAUAUUUAUUGUUUUGACAAAAAAAAAAAUUAUGAUCUAGAGAUGUCAAGUAAUUGAUCUAAUGGGUUCGAUUCGCAAAACCAAAGUCAAAAUCAAGAAUUGUGUUAGAAUGUCUAUUUAGGGGUCAAAAUGCAAGUUUACUAAAUUUGAAGGCCAAUCUUCAAAAUCUUGGGCAACUAAAGAUGCAGAAGUAAAAUUGACACAAUGAGGACCUUAGGACUAGUUGCCGGAGGUCAAGAAUUGACCGAUAAGGGGUCGGACAAGCUUGCCUCGCCAGUAGCCGAUUGGACCGGUCAAAUUGGUUUGCAUCAGUUUGACUAGUUCUUGAUCGGUCUGGUUUGGUUCUAAUUGAUUCACCCGUUUGUAGUCCUUGUGGGUUUAAAAUUCAUGCAAUCAAGGAUCAAAUUGAAGAGAAAACUUACACGAUUGAAGGAAAAUUGCCCAAUUUCAAUUCAAUUAAGCCAAUUAAGCUUUAUAAAUGUGAUCUAUGGAUUAUCUAUUAACCUAAUUGAGUAAUUAUUGUGAAAAUAACGAGCUAAAACCAUGGAUACUUAAGAUUGACCCUAAAAGCCUAAAAUGCACAAAUUUGCAAUUCAAUGGCCAAAAUUGCAAAUUAAUGGAAAUUAGAUUCAAUUUGUGUUGUAAUUGCCCUAUCCAACUAAUUAGCCAUGUGUAAGAUCACCUAGAGUAUUCAAAUUGACUUUGAAUUGAGAUACCAAAACUAAAUCGGGUCUAAUAUUAAAAUUGGACUUAGAUUCAUACAAUUGGGCCUUAGUUUAGAAUGGGUCAGUUCGAAUAUCUUCAAUUGGAGCUCGAUGGUUCAGUUUUCUUACUUUUAAGAGAGAGAAAUCCCUUAAAUUGGAAAGUUCUAAUGCAAAUUUCUCAAAAAGGACUUUGGAUUUGGACUUAUGUUAAGAAAACAAGUGGAAAAUAAUUGUCCGUUUGUAGAUCAUAAAGAAUCAAUUUUUAUCCCCUAAUUACGGCGUAAAAUAAACAUUUAUCUUUUGACACGGUAAUUCACGAAAUUGAACACAUGAGCGGAUUUAGAAUAAUCUCUAAACCAAAUUUCAAAGAAGGAACUACACCUAAUUACGGCCCAAAAUAGAAGUAAAUUUAUUUUUGGUCGAUUUAGAACCAAAAAUCGAAAUAAUUAGAAAACAAGGUUCUUGAUCAAUUUUGUGAAAUUUUCGAUACUAAAGUAAAAUUGAAACGAAAAGAAAUGUUUUUGUGGAUUUUUUGAUAUUUUGAGUUUGAUUUUUUUGUCAAAGAUUUGACCAAAAGUCAACCAUUUAGUUGAUUUUUCCUCAAAGUUGAUUUUUGAGCCAAAUCUUUGGAUUUUUAAAAAAUUGACUUGAGAAAAGUGAAAUUGGCAUCUCUUUUGGUAAAAAGCCAAUUUUUUUACUCGGGGUUAAUUUUUUAUCAAAGGGUUGACUACAAAAAAGUCAACUCGGAAAUCAACCGUUUAACUUUUCAAGUUUUCCUUGAAAAUGAGCUGAAAAUUGUUUACAAUUAGCCAUGUGUAAGAUCACCUAGAGUAUUUAAAUUGACUUUGAAUUGAGAUACCAAAACUAAAUCAGGUCUAAUAUUAAUGCAACAAAAAGAAAUGAAAAACAACAUUUUUUAGUUGAGAAAUGAGCUCUGUUGCGAUCAAAAUCCCGAAUCUUGAUUUCUACCUUUUCUUUUUUACACAUCAACUAAAAAUCAGGUAUCAACAUGAACCUCUAGUGGAGUAAGCUCUUUUGCUAAGAAGGGGAAAGAAAAAAUGGCAGAAACCCCUAUGUCUAGAAAGAAGGGAAAAUCAUCUAAGGCUAGAGGUGUGGAUCUAGAUUAUGGUAGGAAAGGCGAUAAUGAUGAGAAAUUGUUCAUGAACUUCAAAAAAAAAAAAACUCGUUGGAUAUGUUGCUGCUAGAAUUUAGGGUUGGAAAGCUGAUAAAAUCUACUUGACAUAUGAAUUAUUUGCAAAGUUUGAUAAGAAUAGUAGUCAUGAAUCACAAGGUUGUUGAGUUUGAAUUUUUUGAAUCAUUUGGGAUUCAGAUUAAGCACAUUUUUAACAAACUUUUGAUGACUGAUCCGUAUAUUAACAAUUUUCCAAACUAUCCCUCUUUAACAACAUAUUUUUACCCAAGUCUGUCGUUUUACGCACUUGACAUUAUUGAGUUCACUAUUUUUGACAAAUAUGUUCUUAUCCAUGCCACUGAUUUGGCAAAAAUUCUUGGUGUCAAUCACUUAGACUUUUUUCCAAUUGAUGUUGAUCCUGAUGUGGCUUAUCAAUCGAUCUCACGUAUCUCUGAUUUUUCCAUAGAUACUCUAUCCCAUCUUUCACAUCACAAUUUUCUUCUAAACCAAAUUGUCUUGCAUAAAAUCAUCAUUAACUAUCUUCAAUCAAAAGAACAUAUGUAUCUCAGUAUGGAGCCAAGAUCAUCUGGGCUCUUUUAAAUAAUCAUCAUUUUUCACUCGCACACAUGGUCAUCCUUCACAUGUACUAAAUUGUUUUAAAGUCCAAACAACAGUUGUCCUAUGGAUCUUUGAUUACCAAAAUCUAUAUGCACUAGGAUAUCGAGAUCCUAGACAGUUUCAAGAAAAAACAACUCCCUUUAACAUCGGUAAAUGAAAAGAUGAUGGAAAAAAAUGGGUUUUAGGUUUGUCCAAUGAAGAUGGCAAGAUAGACAUGGAAAACCAAUUCGAACAAAUGUUGAAAAUCCAAUGGCAGACUUAGCUUCACCACUUGUAAAGAGGAGAAAAACUCAGAUUGAUAGGAGUGGAUCUCAAUCCUUCUUGCAAAAAUUGACUAAGGAAUCAUGUGAGGACUUUGAUGUAACAUAAGAUUAGGAAGAUGAUUUGACAAGUUGAUUGAAAGAAUUGGCGAUAGCCCUAUGGAUGAUGAUUUGGAGGAAGAUAAGAUUACAGAUGAAACUAAACUGGACAAGCCAGAUGAUGUGGAAAAUCUGCAAAAAUGGCAAGUGACUAACCUCCAGCAAUUGUGCAUGAGAAAGAAAAGGAAGUGGCCAAUGCCUUAGGAUCGAUUAAGAAUGUGUUGCAAGAAGUUGUAGCUAGUGUCAGUAAAGAAAAGCCUACUGAAAUGGACAAUGCCACUUUAUCAUAUCAUCCGGAAAUCGAAGAAGUUUCGAAUCAGCUAUAGGGUGAACAAGUGCUGAUAGAGGUACCCCAGGAUCCUAAUGAGAAUACGGGAGCAACCACUACAUAAAAGGUUGCUGCCUCAAUUGCAGAUGAAGAUGUUGUGGUGGUUGACAAAGAAGUGGAUGUAGAGAAAGAAGUAGAAGCAAACAAAGAUGCUCCAAUUGAGGGGGAACAAGUGCAGACUAUAGGGGUUGUGGAGACAGAGCAGGGCGGAAAGAAAAAGGACUAACCCCCUAGCAAUUGUGCAAGUGACUGACCCUCCAACAGUUACGUGAGAGAAAGAGAGGGAAGUGGUUGAUACCUUAGCAUCGAUUAAGGAUGUGUUGGAAGAAGUUGUGGCUAGUGUCAGUAAAGAAAAGCAAACUGUAAUGGACAAUGCUACUUUAUCAAAUCAUCCAAAAAUCAAAGAAACUUUGGAUUAGUUGCAGGGUGAACAAGUGUUUGCAGAGGUACCCCAAGAUCUUGAUGAGAAUACGGGAGCAACCACGGAGCAAAGGUUUGCUGCCUCAGUUGUGAAUGAAGAAGUUGUGGUGGCUGACAAAGAAGUAGAUGCAGAGAAAGAAGCAGAAGUAGACAAGGAUGCUCCAAUUGAGGAGGAGCAAGUGCAAACUGUUAAAGAAAAUUCAGUUAGUAUUUUGAAGUUAACAAAACAUUUCCAAAAGUCCAGUUUGAAGACUUGCAGACUCAAAAGUUAUUAUCUGAAGAACUCUAGACUCUUUUGUCAAAAUUUGAAGACGACGAGACUUUAGUCUAAAAAGUUUGCCCUCACUGACAGUUUCCAGACUGAAGAAUGAAGACUUAUCCAUAUACGGGAUUAUCUUCAAGAUUUUGAUUUGUAUGAUUUAUGGAUGACCUUAUAGCUGGAUAUAGCACAUAUUUGAUUGAUUAUCUUUAUCGGAUCAAUUCCGAUUUAAAGAUCUUUUGAAAGGCGAACAAACUUAGAAGGUUCUACUUAUGGAAACCAAAAAUCUUAAUUGUAUGGGUGAACAUAAUUGAUGAGCUUUCAUCACAAUCAUUUAACGAUUCGAAAAUCCCCUUGAUUAAUUCUGUCCAACGGGUAAAUUAGAAGAAUUCCUUUGGUAAGUGCCAACGGUUAUGAAGGCAUGAAGGAGUAUUUAAGGCGGACUCUCAAGUUGUUCGAAUGUGUGCAUGAAAGAAGAAUUCCAAAGUAUGAAGCUCUCCAGUUACUUAUUGUUUCAUUCAUUGAGCUUAAAGUUGUAUACAAAAGAAAGAGAUACUUAGUAAGACUUUAUGUGAGACCAGUAGAGACUCAUCACUAAGAAAGUCGAAGAUCACAAGUUGUAAAAUCUCUUUUGAUUCAUAGUGGAAUCUAGCCAGUGGGCUAUCAGCGCGAGAGAGUAGACGUAGGCUUGAUCUAAGCCGAACCGCUAUAAACCUUGUAUUCUAAUUCUCUUUCCUUGAACUCUUUACUUUCAUUCAUAUAUUUGCAUAUUCAUUUAAAAUUGAUUACGUUCAUAGUCUAUCAUUUUCUAAAAGCAAAUUACUUUUGCUAAGUCUUGUGAAAAUUUUUAUCUACACCGAUUCACCCCCCUCUAAGUGGUUGCACUAGUCCUUUCAAUUGGUAUUAGAGCUUGUGUGCUUACUUAUUGAAGUGUUUUUACUUCUUAAGCUAAAGAUUUAUGGGUAGUAUUUUGGCUCAAGGAUUGGUUGAAGGCCAAAGUAACACCAAACCUCCUUACUUUGAUGGGUAGGAGUACAAUAUAUUGGAAAAAAGAAAAAGAUGAAGGCAUUCCUGAGAUCGAAAGAUCCCUUGGAAUGGAAUGUGGUAGAAAAAGGGAUCAUUUCCAAAGCUACAUCAACCUCAAAAAGAGGAAAGGAAGUUGCAGAUGCUGGCGAAAUAACACAAGCAGAAAUAACCAAGAGACAAGCUCCUGAUGCUAAAGCUAUUUACUCAUUAUACUAUGCUUUAUCUCCAACUGAGUAUAACAGAAUUUCAUCUUGUGAAACAACAAAAGAAGUCUAGGACAGGUUGCAUGUUACCUAUGAAGGAACUGAUCGAGUUAAAGAAACAAAAGUCAAUAUACUACUUAGACAGUAUGAAGCCUUUAAGAUGAAGUCAGGAGAAUCCAUCACUCACCUGUUCAUUCGUUUCACGGAGAUUGUAAACGGUCUAGCAUAUCAUGGACAACCAAUCUCAAGACCAAUGAAGGUCAAUAAAUUGCUGCGUAGACUCUCCAAAGACUGGAAUCACAUUAAGACUUCAAUUAGAGAAACCUCGAGGAUCAUACCUCUUACAAUAAAUGAACUUGUUGGCACACUUCAAUCAUAUGAAGUUGAGCAAAUCAAUGAGGAAGAAUAUCCCAAAGGUAAGAAGUCGAUUUUUUUAAAAUCUAACGAUGAUUUUGAUAUUUAAGAUUCAGAAGAUGACUUGGACGAUGAAAAGCUAGCACUCAUGAUAAGGAAGUUCAGGAAGUUGAACAGGAAAGGAAGAAAGUUUAACUGGAAGAAGCGAAGCUCUCAAAGAUUUUAGAAGAAAUCAACUGAAGACAAUGAGACCAACAAAGAUGUGUUUUGCUUCGAAUGCAAGAAAAAUGAGCACAUUAGACCCAACUGCCCUCUGUUGAAUAAAAAGAAAGGAAAAAUAGAGAAAUUCAAAAAUGCUUUCAAAGUAGAGACAUUGAGUGAUACAGAAUGCGAAGAAAAUGAUGAAGAAUAUGCCAACAUAUGUUUAAUAGCAAAUUCAGAAUCAGACUCAGACUUUGAAACAAAUUCAGACUCAGACAAGAAAGUCGAUGUUAGUGAUUUAAAAAUUCAUAUUAAAGUCUCAAAAUAUAUAGAUGAACUCUAUCUUAGUCUCAAAACAUCUCUUAAAAGGACUUCCGAGUUAAAAAAGGGAGAAUUCUAGACUUAAGCAAUAUGAGAUUUCUUGGAAAGAAAAUUUUGAAAAUCUAGAUAAAAGUUUUGUUGAUUUGAAAGAAAACUCAGACUCUCUUUCGAAGGAAAAUGCCUUUUUGAAAGAAGAUAUUUCAAAUAUCAUGAAAAUAUUUUCAAAAGGUUAUGAGAAGUUGGAAAUGAUUCUUUCAGUACAAAGAUCUUAUUUUAACAAAUUUGGUUUAUGUAUGACACAUGAAAUUGUUCCUUUAAUUGAUUUUCCCAAAGUAAAUGAAAAAAUCAAAUAAAGACCUACAAAAACAUUUUAUAGAAAUCAUUUUUAAAAUUUUUUUGUAAAACCUGUUGGCCGAAGUGCUCUUAAAUGUUCAAAGUGUAACAGCUCAGAACAUUUUGAGAAGGAAUGUCCCAAAGUUUGGAGACCUAUUAAGAGAGUUUGGGCAAAGACUGUUUUUGUAACUAACUCCCCUGGACCCAAGAAAAUAUGGGUACCAAAGAAAACUUGAGUUCUUUUUAUGAUUGCAGGUCACUAUUAAGAAAAAAAGAUCAAAUGAUAUUUGAAUAGUGGCUGUUUGAGACACAUGACAGGAAAUCCUGUUCGUUUUAUAAAGANNNNNNNNNNNNNNNNNNNNNNNNNNNNNNNNNNNNNNNNNNNNNNNNNNNNNNNNNNNNNNNNNNNNNNNNNNNNNNNNNNNNNNNNNNNNNNNNNNNNUAUGAAUGGUGGAAAGUUUCUUUUGAUGGAAACAACAAAGGAAAAAUUGUUGGAUGUGGAACUGUGAAGAUUGAAAGUCUCACAAUCAACAAUGUCUCAUUGGUGGAAUGUUUGAAUUACAAUUUAUUUAGCAUAAGUCAAUUGUGUGACACUGGUUUCAAAAUUAAUUUUCAAGAAAGCAUUUGCUUGGGAAUUAGUAAAGAUUUAUCUCAGUCUUUUACUGGACGAAGACAUGGAAAUAUUUACCUUUUGGAUAUAAAACCAGAAAACUCUUAAUGUCUAAUUUCCAUUCAAGAUGAAGUAAAUCUUUGACAUCGAAAACUUGGCCAUGUUAACAUGAAGCAGAUUGCCAAGAUCUCCUCUAAGAAGUUUGUUCAUGAACUGCCCAACUUGACUUAUCAAAAGUCUGAAUUAUGUACACCAUGUGUUCUGGGAAAACAUGUUAGAAGUUCUUUUAAACCUAUAAAUCAAGUUUCUACUAAUUGAGUUUUGCAGCUUCUGCAUAUGAACCUUUUUGGACCAACCAGAACUCAAAGCAUUGGUGGAAAGAAAUACUGCCUAGUAAUCGUAGAUGAUUAUUUUUGCUUUACUUGAGUAUUCUUCCUAGCAAGUAAGUCUGAAGUAUUCUCUUACUUUUCAAAAUUUGCCAAGAAGGUUCAGAAUGAAAAAUAAUAUGCUAUUUCAAGCAUACGAACAGAUCAUGGAGGUGAGUUUGAAAAUCAAGACUUUACAAGUUUUUGUGAUGAAUUUGGUUUCCAGCAUGUUUUCUCUUCUCCAUAUACUCCAGAACAAAAUGGGGUUAUGGAAAGAAAAAAUAAAUCUUUGCAGGAGAUGGCAAGAACCUUCUUAAUUGAGAGUAAUAUUUCCUCUUGUUUUUGGGUUAAAGUAGUUUCUACAACUUGCUACAUCAUUAACAGAGUGUUCUUGAGACCUAUUAUAGAGAAAACUCCUUAUGAAGUAUUUAAAGAGAAAAAGCCAAAUGUUUUUUAGUUUCAUGUGUUUGGUUGUAAGUGUUUUGUUUUGAAAAAUGCAAAUGAUUGAACUGGUAAGUUUGAAGAAAAAUUAGACGAAGGAAUUUUUCUUGGCUACUCAACCUUAAGCAAAGCCUACAGAGUAUUCAACAAAAAGAAUCAGUCUAUGGAAGAAUCUAUGAACGUCAAGUUUCAAGACUCUAUGCAAAAUUAAGUUGACCAGACUCAACUUUAAGAAUCCGAACCUGCUCUAAACGUUAUAAAAUCUACUUCCCCCGAAGUAGUUCAGACUUCUAAAGUUCAAUAACAAAAAGAAUCAAAAGAUUCAACUGAAGCAGAAGAUCAACAAACUCUCACACCAACCAGCAACUGGAAGCAUAAGUCAAGUUAUCCUGAAGAACUCAUCAUUAGCAACAUUGAUGAAGGAAUUCGAACCAGAUCCAAAAGACGAGAAGAGUCUAGUGCCUUGGCACUUAUUUCUGAGAUUGAACCUAAAAGUAUAGAAGAAGCCUUAGUUGAUGAAAGUUAGAUUGAAGCUAUGCAAGAAGAGCUUAGACAGUUCAACAUUAACAAUGUUUGGAAACUAAUUCCUAAACCUAAAGGUAAGUCCAUUAUUGGAACUAAAUGGGUUUUCAGGAACAAAGUAGAUGAGAAAGGAAAAGUGAUCAGAAACAAAGCAAGACUUGUGGUCAAAGGAUAUACACAAAAAGAAGGGAUAGACUAUGAUGAGACCUAUACACUAGGAGCGAGGUUAGUUACUUUUGCUUGCUAUAAAAAUUUCAGGUUAUUCCAAAUGGAUAUAAAAAGUGCAUUCCUAAAUAGAUUCAUCCAAGAAUAAGUCUAUGUGGAACAACCACCUGGUUUUGAAUAUCAAAGAAAGCCAGAUUCAAUCUACAGACUAAAAAAGACUCUAUAUGGACUAAAGCAAGCACCUCGAGCCUGAUAUAAAAGGUUCAGUAAUUUUCUAAUCCAAAAUGGUUUUGUUAAAGGUAAAGUAGAUACUACCUUAUUCAUUAAAAGAGAAGAUAACGAUUUUCUACUUGUUCAAAUUUAUGUUGAUGAUAUUAUUUUUGGAUCACCUAAUGAAAAUUUAUGUAAGAAUUUUUUUAAAUGCAUGCAGGAUGAAUUUGAGAUGAGUAUGAUAGGUGAAUUAACUUCCUUUUUAGGAUUACAAGUUAAACAAUCAAAGGAAUGUAUCUUCAUUCAUCAAGAGAAGUAUGCGAAAAAUCUCAUCAAAAAGUUCUUCAAAGCUGAAUAAACGUGAAGGAGGAAAGGAUGUAGACCAGAAGUUAUACAGGAGCAUUAUUGGUUCACUUCUUUACCUUACUGCAUAUAGACCUGAUAUUUUGUUUAGUGUUUGUAUUUGUGCAAAAUUCCAAUCAAAUCCCAAAGAAUCUCACUUAAGUGCUGCAAAGCACAUCAUCAAAUACGUUGCAAUGACUCCAAAGUUAGAUUUGUGGUAUUCCAAAGAAAGAGACUUUACUCUCCUUGGAUAUUUAGACGCAGAUUUAGCAGGUUGUAGGGCUGAUAGAAAGAUUACUUUUGGUACAUGUCAAUUACUGGGCAACAAGCAUGGUUUUCAAGAAAACAAAAUACCGUAGCUCUUUCAACAGUUGAAGUAGAAUAUGUGGCUCUUGGGAGCUAUUGUUCCCAAAUUUUGUGGAUAAGGCAACAGUUUAGAGAUUUUGGAAUUGAAGAAUCAUGCACUGAGAUCAAAUGUGAUAACCCCACUGCCAUCAAUCUCACAAAGAAUCCAAUUCUUCAUUUAAGAGCAAAGCAUAUAGAGAUCCGACACCACUUUAUUAGAAAUCAUGUUCAGAACGGAGAAAUUAGGAUUCAGUUCAUCAACUCAAAGAAUCAGUUGGCAAACAUAUUCACAAAGCCAUUGGAGAAAAAUUUAUUUGAGUCUAUACGCGCCAGACUGAACAUCAUAUCUCUUAUCGAGUAAAGUCUGAAAAUGUUCAAACUCAAAAUAUCCAAAAGUUACGACUGUAAGUUAAUACUCUCUAAAUGAUUAUGAGUUUAUUUUUGGAUAAAGCUCCGAAAAGGUACGUUGAUUUUUGAAUCGAUACUUGCCUAUUUCAUUUUUAGGAAUUAUCCUUGAAUUUAUGGUGGUUUUUCAUUUUCAAAAUAGGUAGUUUUCAUUUUUGAAAAAUGCAGUUUUUACUUUUUCCUCUGUGACCUUUCAUAUACCCCGUUUCACUUGCUUUAUAUACAGUCGAAAUUCUUCUUCUCCAUUUACACUCAUUCAAACCCUAGAAUAUAGAGAUCCUAUUUUCUCUCAUUUCUCUUGUGUUUGAUCCAAAAAGCUUUCACCUUUUUCCAACAAACGAGAUCAAGAAAUCCUCCAAGACUUUGACAAUGUCUUUCCAGAGGAAAUCUUCGAGAAUUGCGAAUAGGAGACCACAGCACAUGCUUGAGGGUCCUACCCACUUCUAUUUAACUGAAGAAGAAGAUACUACUUAGUAACAACCACAACAACAUUCUCAACAGCGUCACUCCUCACAACAAACAACACAAGAUCCUCCACAAGCAGAAGAAGAGAUCAUUGAAGAUGUUGAAUCUAUAAGAACACAAAAACCCCAAUUUUUGUUUAGACUCUACUCGAACUUAAAGAUGGGUGGUGCUAUAAUGACUUUGAUCGAUGAGUUUCUGAAAACAAAUUGUUAUAAGAACGAAACUUUUUUCUUGAAUACCAUGGAAAGGUGAGGCAUUGCGCCUAAAGGGUUUUGUAGCAAUGACUUUUGCCAACUUUCCAAGUGAUCUGUGCGUUGGUGGUUUUAAUCAACCUGAAGGAAAGGACAAUGAUGAAAGGAUGUAUACCCAUUUUCAGCCUAGAAUGGGUGUUGAUGCAACUCUUUGUAGAGAGGGAAUGAGUUUAUUCUGUUCCAAGGACCACAAAAGGACUUAUUCAAAUCUACUAGAGAGAAGGGUUAUGAACCCUAGAAGUGUGGACUUUGAUUUUCUCAAUUAUUUGAAAGUGAGACUAAGGGAGAAGUUUGCACUUCUUCAACUUGAACGCUUUUGCUUAGAAACUACUGAAGCUUACCCUGAACUGACUGCUUACUUCUAUUCAAAUUUGUCUUUUCUAAAUGCGGAUAGAUUUUGUUUUACGUUUAGGGACAAAGAAUUUGUGGUUGAUGUGGAUAUAUUGGCUGAUGUGAUUGGUGUGGCAAGAGGGAGUUUCUAACCAAUCAGUGUGUCCGUUGGUCAUGCGACUUUGGCUCUUAUUCGGGAUAGAUUUGCUGAGGGCAUGAUUUCUUACACUAGAAUGAAUGCCUCCAAUAUUUUACUUCACAAGAUCGUGAUCAACUGCAUCAGACCCAAAUCCACAUCAAAAACUAAUGUCUCUCACUCUGAAGCGAAGUUGAUGUAUGCAAUCAACAUUGGCUAUAAGUUCUCACUGCCUCACACUAUCCUAAUGCACAUGUAUAGGACAGUUGUGAAGGAUAAGGGGCAACUACCUUACUCUGCGCUUGUCACUCAACUCUUUAAACAUUUCCAAAUUUAGAUUCUUGCUUCUCUAUGUGUUAGAAUCAUUGCGCCAAUGGUGAUUGGGCUGAAAAUGGUUUCAAAGAUGCGUCUAAAGGAGUUGAAUAAGGAAUUGGAGCGCUUGAAGGAGAAGACCCCUGUCAAGGCAAAACAAGACUCUACAGCAAUGAAAAGAAAAGGCAAGGAGCCCAUGACUGCACCAACCAAGAAGAGGAGAGCCCUUAUCUUGCAGGAUGAAGAAGAUGAGGACGAUAUCACUCUCUCUGCCUUACGUAAUUUAUGAAGUUUUGUUAGCUUCAAAGAGCCAGAGGACAGAGAGAAUAGAGAGAACAGAGAAAGAACAAAAACAAAGAAGAGAAGUGAAAAAAGAACAGAGGAAGGAGAAAGAGGAAGAAGAUGAUCAAGAUGACCCUUUUGAGCCAACAUAUGUUGUAUCCUUGUCUGAGGAUUCCGAAAAGACUCGGAGUGGAACUGUAAGAGACGAACAACAUCACUCGGAUGCUGAAGCAAAGUAAGGACAAGAAGAAGAAUUCUUUUCUCCACUUGAAGGCAUAGAAAUAGGGGGAGCUGUUAGAAAAAGAGGUACUUCUUCACAUGUCUUUACUAGUGAUAUAAGUAGAUCUCCAGCAGAUCCAUAGGAUGUCUAUGCCUCUCAAUAUCCUGAAGCAGAUGUAGAGGAAUCCACUCCUAGUCCUGGUGAUCAAACUACUAAUAUUCCCUCACAUCUCAAUACUCCUGGAAUUGAUUCGGCUGAACCUAGUGCUGCAACAGAACCAACAGCAGACUUUCAAAGGUUGUUGGAAAUCCUUUUGGGUGUGAAGGCUCAACAAUAUGGAAUGGAGUGAGAGAUCAAGCAUCUUAAAACAACUUUCUAGUCCACUUCAAACUCUACAUGAAUAGAUACAAGCCUUGAAACUUCAAGUGCAAGAAACCGCAAAGGGUGAAGAUAUUGAACAGCUGAAGGAGACUCUGAGGAAGCUAGAGGAGACUGUCAAGUCUAUGGGGGAUUUCCAAAUCGUUCGUAUCCCCAAACAACCAUGAUUUUUACCCAACUUUUUUUAUAGUCAUUCUUCACUUUUUACUGUGACAAAAAGGGGGAAAGUUUGUGCAGAUUUGACUGAUCUAUCUUUUUGGCUUGGAACCUUUUGAAAUAAUUUUAUGCUUGGUAUCUUGGACUUUGGUAUUUUUUUGUUGUACUUUUUGGUUUGGUUUUAGACUGACCUUGGAUUGUUUGGAUUUGAACUUUUUAAUGCUUGCACUAACUUAGAUUGUGAUACUGAUUACGGUUGGAUAGUCAUUUUGUCUUGCAGGACUAACAUGUUUUUUGUGGUUGCAGAAUCGAUGUUGUCCAGGUCUUAAUAAAAAAAAAUUUAGAUAUCAUGUAUUGCUUAAGUGUUGUUUUGCAGUUCAAAAUUAUUCAAAUCUGCAGGAAAGUUUUGUUACCAUAAAAAAAUGGGAGAUUGUUAGAGAAAACUCCAUUAGUGUUUUGAAGUUGACAAAACAUUUCCAAAAGUCCAAUAUGAAGUCUUGCAGACUCAAAAGUUAUUAUCUGAAGAACUCCAGACUCUUUUGUCAAAAUCUGAAGAUCGCGAGACUUUAGUCUAAAAAGUCUGUCCUCACUGACAGUUUCCAGACUGAAGAAUGAAGACUUAUCCAGAUGUGGGAUUAUCUUCAAGAUUUUGAUUCGUAUGAUUUAUGGAUGACCUUAUGACUGGAUAUAGCACAUAUUUGAUUGAUUAUCUUUAUCGGAUCAAUUCCGAUUUAAAGAUCUUUUGAAAGGCGAGCAAACUUGGAAGGUUCUACUUAUGGAAACCAAAAAUCCUGAUUGUAUGGGCAAACAGGAUUGACGGCUUUCAUCACAAUCAUUUAACGACUCGAAGAUCCCCUUGAUUAAUUCUGUCCAACGAGUAGAUUGAAAAAAAUUUCUUUGGUAAGUGCCAACAGUUAUGAAAGCAUGAAGGAGUAUUUGAGGCGGACUCUCAAGUUGUUCGAAUGUGUGCAUGAAAGAAGAAUUCCAAAGUUUGAAGCUCUCCAAUUACUUACUAUUUCAUUCAUUGAGCUCAAAGUUGUAUACAAAAGAGAGAGAUACUUUGUGAGACUUUGUGUGAGACCAGUAUAAACUCAUCACUGAGAAAGUCAAAGAUUAUAAGUUGUAAAAUCUUUUUUGAUUCAUAGUGGAAUUCAGUCAGUGGGCUAUCAGCGCAGGAGAGUGGACGUAAGCUUGAUCUAAGCCGAAUCACUAUAAACCUUGUGUUCUAAUUCUCUUUCCUUGAACUCUUUACUUUCAUUCAUAUAUUUGCAUAUUCAUUUAAAACUGAUUAUGUUCUUAGUCUAUCAUUUUCUAAAAGCAAAUUACUUAUGCUAAGUCUUGCGAAAUUUUUUAUUUACAUCUAUUUACCCCCCGCUAGGUGGUUGCACUAGCCCUUUCACAGACUACAAGGGUUGCAGAGAUAGAGCAAGGUGGAAAGGAAAAAGACAAUGAUCCAUCCAUUGAGAUCAUUCCUCAACCGAAGGUUACAGCUGAUUCCAAUGAUAACAUUCUUCGAGUGCUUAUGGAACUAAAGGAUGAGGUCAAGGAACUGAAAUAUCAUAUCAAGAGGCUCACACAAGACAAUGACCGAAGGGUAGAGAAGCUUGAGAACACAAUCACUCACAUGAGUCACUAUGUCCUUGUCUUUGUGCCUCCAGAUGAUCUCCCUUCUUCAAGUCCUCCAGCUCAAGACCCAAACCAGCCCUCCACCUCUAAAUAAUCUUUUAGUUUCUUUUCAAAAGUUCUAAGACAAUUUCAUUUGUGUUGGCUUGUUUUUUGCUUGAACUAUCAGUUUGCUUUAGUUUGUUAUUUGGGUUUGCUAUGUCAAUUUGCUACUGAGUUUUGGACUUAUGGUUGCUAUUAUAUAUAUUAUAUGGCUUGCUAUUACCUUUUGUACUAUUGACAAAAAGGGGAAGAAAUAUGAGGACGCAAAAUUUUGUGGAUUUUGAUGUGAUAAUGCAAGGAUGUUGAUGCAACGUGAUCCAUAUUUUGAAGAUUUAUUUCUCGCAAGAUUCGUUAAAGCUUUCCUAUCUCUUACCUUGCAAGAUUUGGAAUAUCUAUAAGAAUCAUAAUCUUUUUAUCUAUCAUUCUUAUAUAUAAAGAUUGCGCUUUAAUUAAAAAUCUUCCUAUUUUCAAAGCUUUACCAAAAUCAUUUCUUUUAAAAUGAUUUUGCUGUGAAAGUUUUGUCAUCAUUAAAAGGGGAGAGACUAUUAAGGAAAAUUCCCUUAUUAGUUUUGAUGAUUAACAAAACUUUCUUUAAUUGUUCUUUAUUUCUGAUGGUAAGAUUUUUCAAGUGGAAACUGUGAUGGUAAGACUAUUAGACGUUACUCAUUAGACUUAGAAAAUCAAACUCUAAAUGUUGAAGAAGUUCAUAUCUUUGAUAUUCAAUACUUGGGGAUAUUGAUAGAGAGAGUAAUCUUCAUGCAACGGCUAGAAAUUUGGUGGAUUCCUUGCUAAAAUUAAAAGAUCUAUCCAAGAAGGAAAUUAUAUCAUAUCAAAUCUUUCAAGAUGGAAUAUAGCAAGACUUGGAUAAAUCAAUCUACAAGAGGCGAAACAUUUUUUCCAAGUGAAGCGAUUUUCUUAUAGAAACUCUAUCUACUGUAUAGGCGGCAAAAUCAUUGAGAGACUUCAAUCUUAGCAGCCUUAAAGCAAUAAGAUCUUCUAACAACAUUCAAAUUCAAUGGGUAGAUUGGAUGGACGAUCCUCUAAGGUUACGUCCAACGGUCAACUUGGAGAAAAAGGAUUAUAAAAGAAGGUCGGGAUGCUGAAAGGAAACAAGAAGCUGAAAUUCUAAAGUUUAUAAUUCCUAAGUCUUGAGGAUCUUCAAUCAUAUAUAUUUGUUUCUAUGAAGUAUACUGUGUAAUCUUUUAGAGGCUGACAGUGUGUGAGGAAUUGUUCACACAAGCUUGAAUAGUCAUUACUCAGAUCUUGUUCCUUUGAUAGAUUCAUCUAGUGAAUUCAACCAAUUAGCUGUUAGCGCGAGAGAAUGGACAUGGGGUUACAAAAGCGGACUGACUAUAAUCAUUUGUGUGUAAUUUUCUAUUCCUUACUCUCUUUAUUUUACUUGUGAUAAAAGUUAAUCGCACACUAAUAAGAUCUGAAAAGUACUCAACUUGUUGCAGACGUUGUAACGUUUUAAAUUUAUUUUAUUCCGUACUAUCACCUAUUCACCCCCUCUAGAUAAUCCAUGUAGCUCUAACAAUUUAUAUGUUGGAUGUCGAUGGUUCACAAGUGUGCAUAUUGAUACUUUGUCGAACCAUCUCUAUUCUCAAUGGUCAUUGUCUAUUCAUAUACGAAGACACAUGCGAGCGCAAUGUAGAAUCUAUCUUCUUGGUAUACAUAUGUAGAUAUACAAGAUAAAAAGUUGAUGUUGUAUGCGAUCUAAUAAUGAUAUUGUAUUGAAAUCGUCGGCCGGAGUUGUAAUCGAAAAUGAAUGGUUCAUAUCUCAUAGAAUACAUGUCAAUUAGAUUUGGGCAUAUGAUUGAAUUGGUAGCUUGACAUAUGGUUCCAUGGCUUUUAUUCGAUUGGGACAUGAUGAGACAGAAUGAUCAAAUUACACAGUCACCAAAGCUAAUAGAUUCAUUAUGUUCUUGAAACAUUCGCACUAUCUUUGUAGCCAUAACACAUUGCUAGAUGUCAUUCAUGGUUUAUAGGAAUCGGAGAUUGAUCAAGACAAUCAAUUCUCCUGGUUGUGCUAAUGUGUUAGUACAAAUCUUGCUGCCAGUUCAGUGAUGAACCUAGGGAUAUUACACACUAUAACCAAUUGGAAUGACGUUUGAAUGAGGGAGACAAUAUUGCAAAUGUGUUUGCAAUUGAGCCAAUUAGAUUGAGUCAGAUUGAAAAUAAAAGAUCUGAAAGUGGCUUCAAAUUUUAUGGUCAAAUCAAAGAUCUAAAGCAUGUUUCAAAAUUUAUAGUAGAAUCAAAGAUCUAAAGUGGGUUCAUAUUCAAUGACCGAAUUAAUAAUUUGAAAUGAGUUCAGAAUUAAUAGCCACAUUAAUGAUCUAAAGUGAAUUCAUAAUUAAUUGCAUCAUUAAUGAUUUAAAGUGAAUUGGAAUCAAUAGUCAAAUAAUGAUUUGGAACGGUUUCAAACUUAAUGACUAAAUUAAAUAUCUAAAACGGUAGUUUUAACGAUCACAUUAAUGAUUUGAAAUAAUUUUAGAAUCAAUGGGCAGUUUAAUGAUCUGAAACGAUUUCAUAUUCAAAUGACCAAUUGAUAAUUUAAAACGGUUUCAAAUUUAAUGGUCAAAUCAAAUAUUUGUAACAGUUACAAAAUUAAUGCCCAGAAUAAAGUCUUGUAACGAUUACAAAUUAAUGCCUGGAAUAAUAUUCUCUAACGGUUACAAAAUUAAUGCGCGGAUUAGUGUCUGAAACGGUCUCUGAACUUACGUCCCUCAAAUGUUACGGUUGAAUUAAUUCUCUAAAACAAUUUUAGAGUUAAUGAACCAAUUUAAAGGUGAUCUGGGAUUAAUUAUAAAAGGCAAUUGAGAGAGCUGAUCACAAGAUGAUUGACAAUCGACAAUUAAAAGUGUUAAUAGUGAUCAACUAAGUCAUUCACACACAAGAACAAUUGCUAGCACAAUUGUAAUGGUGAGAUCUCUCAAUUUAUCUCUACUAUUCAACGUAAGAUUGGUGGUGUGUUUGAAUUAGAGGCUCGACAUUUGUGGGGUUGGAUUUGAAGAACGUCAGAACCUGCAUUAUGGGGAGAUCAGACAUUUAUAGUUAGAAUCUGAAGAAUGUUAGAACUAGUAUUAUCAGAAGACAUUAGACAUUUGUGGUCGGAAUUCCAAUAAUGUCAAAAUCAAUGUUGCCAGAAGAUUAAACAUUCAUAGUAAGAAUCUGAAAAAUGUUAGAAUCAAUGUUAUGAGGACAUCAAACGUUUGUGGUCAAAAUCUGAGGAACAUCAUAAGCAAAUUUUUGGAGCACGGUCCAAAAUGUGUGAUUAGCCCAUUUAUCACUUCUAUGUACUUUUAUUAAAAUGCAUGAACAAUGCUUUGAAAAUACGUGUAUGGACGUUUUUACUUUUGUUACUUAUCAUUUUGAUUCAAAUUUAUCUAUGCAUGUAUUCUUGUUUAUCAAAACAAAUCCCAACAUUGUCUUCAUGUGGGGUCAAUAUGGCAGAUGUGUCACUUGAAGGUCAAUCUCUCUCUCUCUCUCUCUCUCUCUCUCUCUCUCUCUCUCUCUCUCUCUCUCUCUCUCUCUCUCUCUAAGUUUGAACUUUUAAUAUGCAUACUAUCUGUAUGACAGAGACUACCAAAGACAAGCAGAUUCGACAUAAUCCUAAAAGAGAGAUGCCAGAAUGGAUUUUCCACGAUAAAGGGGUUCAACAUCUUUCAUAAUUCCCGAGGACUUGUAUGACAAGUCCUCGAGACUAGCACUCUCUAGCAUUCUUGGCUUGGAAGAAGAAGUGGUCAAUGCUUCAUGUGAGGUCAAAAUAUUGGUUAAAGGCCAAAGUUUGACUUAAAACUUGAAAUUAUUUUUUUCCUUGGAAUCUUAUCAUGUGAGGCUUGAAUAUUUAACACUCGUUAGACUGUGUGAACCAUGGACGCUUCUGCAAAAGGAUUGGUGUCAUUGCCAAGUUUGCUUCGAAGCAAUGAAAGUAAGCACAAAGAAGUGUGGAUUUUGUCUAACAUGCAAGUAAGAGGAGGAUGAUCUGAGGGUCUGCACUCCAACACCAUCAGCUGAUAUAAAAAAAAAAUAUGGAGUUUUAAGGAAAGAGACUCAAAGGAAGACAAUUGUCAAUAGACACCGAGGAAGAAUAUAGUCCGGUGGAACAAAACUUAAACAAAGAAGAUGAAAUGGUCUUUACUGUGGCAAGAGUAUGGCUUGCAAAACAUGCCUGUCAAAUUGGUCAUGACUUGUUGAGGAAAUGAUUCCAAGUGAUUUUGAUUCCAAUGUCUCUCACUUUUCCCUUUUUUCGUCUCUAGUAGAAAUUUGAAAAUGUCUGCUCUUUCAACCAGAAUUUAAAAUAACUAUGAAAUAGAGGUUUCACCUCAUGAUGUUGACAUGGUUGAGGAACUUCUUCGUUUUCCUCUUCUUUUUUUUCUUUUUUUUAUGAUUUGUGAUGCUAAGUGCAUAAAUUCAAAAUUAAAUGGAUGCUUGUUGAAUGGCCAUUGGUCUUCCAAGUUGCUCCGUGUAAUUUAUCAUAUGGACCUCUGUCACCUCUCUUAAUUCAAUUAAUGAUGCCAGCACUACAUACUCUAAAAAUUUAGAUGGUAAGUUUUGCUCAAUCUAAUAUAAUCUAUAUCUUUGGGAAAGUGUUGAUUAAAUUGUCUCACUGAUCAUGAGGUACAAAGGGAGAGCUUUAUCUUUAAGAUUUUGCAUUUAAGUCAAGGACAUUGACAUUGAUAGGUACAAAGGGAGAUUAGUUGAUUCCUCCGUUGUGACUGGCAGAUUGCAUUAAUAGGUACAAAGGGAGAGCUUGAUCUUCAAGACUUUGCUUUUAAGUCAAGGACACCGACAUUAAGCAACUAGCGUUUGGUAAACACCUUGUAAAAUAUUUGCUGCAAAGCAAUUUUAAAAUAAGAAAAAAGAAAAGGAGAACAAAGGACUAUGUAGAUGCAUAUGAAAGCACAGGCGAGCGGCACAAUGGUGGGACCGAUUCUAGCAUUGCACGACCCCAAGUGAUGUGUCAUUGAGGUUGAGCGAGCCCACACAACGCAACGUUAGUGUUGUGGGACCCCAAGUGACGCAUCGCCAAGGCCACCCGCUAGGUAACGUGACACUUGACCCUCAGCGAGCUAAAAUUGAGCGACCUUGAUCAAGCUUCCAAGCAUUGUGCAACUAUCGACGAGCUAGAUCUAGUGUCAAGCAAUCCUCAACAAAAGUUGGGGACUUAUCUUGAGCUUUGAAUAUUUUCAAAACAAAAAUUUGUACAAAAAAUCUUUGAAAUUGUGUUACCAAAUGUCAAAACUUUGAAUCAAGGGCAUUUGGAGGCCCAAAACAAGUUAAUUCGGACACUCAAAAUUUUUAAUGGCUAAAUUAGAUGGGAUUGAAGCGGAAGGUGAAAUUGGAAUAUACCAAAAUUGCCUUUAUAUUCUUCAUCGGCUUACAUUAAAAUUCAAUGAUGUAGAAAUGACAUUUGCUGAUUUCUCAAUCCAACAUCUUAAGCUAAAUAUAAGAUUACUAUAGUCUCCACACAAGUGACCUAAUCACAUUAUGAGAGAAUGAGAUAUCAAAAGCUCAUUACUAAACUAUCACUUACAAUCAUUAGAGGUUCAAGAUCAUGUGCACGGCGAUGUCUUUUUUCAAUAUCUAAUUUCUUGGAUCGUGACAUGUAUUUAGGUCUCGUAUGAUUCACCAGUCAUAACAUCACUCCUUCGCUCCUUCUCUCUCUCUCUCUCUCUCUCUCUCUCUCUCUCUCUCUCUCUCUCAUGUGCAAACAAAUUUAUACUCCACAGAGGACAGGAAAGAACUACCAACGCUAGUGACCCUCUUUUGGAUGUUACCCCAUAAAGAGUAUUGUUGACCUCUAAGUUUUGUCCAUUGUCCAAGUGUCCAUUUUGGGCAAAAACAUAAAAGCGCUAGUGACCCUCUUUUGGAUGUCACCCCAUAAAGAGUAUUGUUGACCUCUGAGUAUUGUCCAUUGUCCAAGUGUCCAUUUUGGGCAAAAACAUAAAAGUGCAAAUAAUAAUAAUUAGAAUUAGUUCAGCCCAAAAUCUAAUCCCCUCAGCCCAUCUUUUAGUUCCCUUUGAGCCCAUUUCUUUUGUUCCUUUUGUUGUCCUCAAUAGCCCAUCUGAACUUAAAACAAGAAGGCCCAGGCCAUAUCCAGGCCCCUUCUCUUUCGCAUGCUCACGUCUGUGAGCGAAGAAGACGCGAGCAGCGACCGAGCAAGAGAGGCGUCCGUGAGUCGGUCCGUGAGAGAACAGCGAGAGAGGGAAAAUAACAUAAAAGAUUCCUUCUCGGAGAGAGAGGGGAGGAGGACGCUCGACGACAUGGAGAGUGCGUGCUUGACGAUAUAGGUGAGCAGGGAGCUAGCUCGAAUGGGAGAGAAAGGGAGAGUGCAUCCCGUUUCGGAGUAGCAGAAAACCGCAUCGCUGGAGUCCGCCGUCGGUUUUCAGACCUCCGGUCAACGGCCAAUCCGUGAGUUGUUCUUCACAGAGUCGGUUUCGAAGAUCAGACGAAUACUGAGAUUUCUUCCGCGAGCGGAGGAAAAUCUCUAACCAGACGCCCUUCAUCGUCGUCAAUCGAGACCUCGAUUCGCCAAACAAACCAGGUACAAUCUCGCUCCAAACGCUCUACUUUGUCUCUGUUUUGGCCGAGAAAGACAUGCUCGAUUCGAUCGAUUUUCUUGAAGAGAUCUUGAUAAAACGAAGUUGUUUUGUUGCUAUCCAUGGUGUUUUAAGUCUGUUCGUAACGUGUGAGGCUCAGGAUCUAGUUAAAAUUAAAACAGAAAACCAUUGAAAGAUUGCGUAUUGCAAGUUUGACAAAAUGCCUACAAGAGGCCGAAUGUCAAGUCCCGUCUAAAUUCAAGAUCGAUUCGUACUUUCUGUGUUUUUUGUUGAAUCAUAUCUAAUACUAGCAUUUUCUCUGUGUUUCUAUGCGAUUUGAUGAUAAAUCUUUGCUUGAGUCCAACGUACAUGCGUAUCCCCAAGGCCGGAAAGCUUUUUGUCAGAGUUCCCCUUGCACCAGCGAAGUCAGCGUUUCAGGGACAUACUAGUUAGCCCAUCUCACUUCAUUCUAAUGUAUUUUUGCUUGUUAAUUUGUUGGGAUGCUGCGGUGAAAAGUGUGGAUUAGGUAGGAUGGUUUUUGUUAAGUUUUGCGAUAAUGGAGCAGGCGGCCAGAGGAGGUCAACGUCGCUCGGAAUAAAUGAUCGGCGGCUGGAGAUAGAUGGGCGGUAAUCUAAGUUCUGGUGAUAAACUCGUCAACGAUGGUAUUUGUUUCGUUAAAAAAAAAAAAAAAUGGCGCGAAAGGUGGGGUUGCAGGUUGAAAAUGGCGUUCGGGUAAAGGAUGUCCGGAGGAAGAAGAGGAAGUGCAGGCAAAAAAAGACAAAAAAGAACAAGAGACAAAAAUAAAAGAAUUAAAAAAUAGAAAAAAAAUCAAAACAUUAAAAAAUCCAGUUUUAAUCGGACGGGGGUGGGAUCCGGAUAUACGGAUCGGGUAAACAAGUCCGAACCCAUUCCCCGAAUAUAAUAAUAAUUAUUAAAAUUUUAAAAAUCCAAAAAGUCAUUAAAUCUAUAAAAAUUCAGAAAAUGAUAAAAAAAGAAAAUAAUAAAAAUUUAGAAAAUUCGAAAAUCAAUAAAAAUCAGAAUUUUUAGAUAAUCAUUAAAGAUUAUAAAAAUCCGAAAAAUCAUUAAAAAAUAAAAAGUAGAUAAAAACAUUUAAAAUUUAUAAAAAUUUAGAAAAUUCAUCAAAUAUUAAAAAAUAGAAAUCCAGAAAAAGAAAGAAUUCGAAAAUCAUUCAAAAAUUCAGAAAAUUAUAAAAAAAAAGUAAAAAAAAAAAAAUUAGAAGCCCUUAGAAAUUGAAACCCAUAUUUGGCCAAGUCUUUAGAGUUUUACAAUAGGGUUCUUUAGGCCCUGUUUGGUAACCAUCCAAACAGAAUCAAAUUCUGAUUCUUUGUUCCCAUAAUUAGUUUGGGCCUAAAAUCGCGUUUGGUAAAAUUUUUGUUCUCGGGAACAGAUUGGGAAUAGAAUCAAGAACCAAAAAAAAAAAAAAGUUGAUUCUUGUUUCGGGAACGAAUUUGAGAAUCAAAAUCAAGAAAUCUUCUUCUUCCCUUCGGCCAUCUCGCGACCGCCGUCCACCACCGCCCACCACCGUCCGCCGUCCGCCGCCAUCAUCCACCGCCGCCGGUCCGGCGAGCUCGCUGGAGGCAAGCCUAGCCACCGGCAAGGCUCGGCCUCACCAGAUCUGGCAAGGCCGAGCCUUGCCGGGGCUAGGCAGGGGCUAGGCAAGCCUUGCGACGCCCAACCCCACCGGUGGCCUGGCGAGGGUCGCCCAGCCUUGGCGAGGCUCACUUGGCCACCGGCGAGGCUCGCCCAGCCCUACCGGUGGCUUAGUAGGCCUCACCUAGCCCCGGCGAGGCCGGCCUGGCCACCAGCGGGGCUGGGCUCACCUCGCUGCUGGCGUGCCUUGGGCGGCGAUGCUCUGGUGAGGUCGCCAGCCACAAGAAGAAGAGAAGAAGAUGAGAAAAAGGAAAAAAAAAAAAAAAAGGAAAAAAAAAAGGGAAAAAAAAAAGAAAAGGAAAAAAAGUAAUAAAAGUAAUAAAAUUAUUUAAAAAUUAAAAGAAAUUGAUUUGGAACAGAAUUAAUGAGUACGGUACGAAACGCAAUUCUAUUUCAGAAUCAGAAAUUUUGAACAGUUAUCAAACAGCUUAAAAUGAUUAGAAUCAGUUCCCGGGAACAGAAUCAAAAAGAAUCAGUUCUGAUCAGAAUCUACUCCUAGAAACAGAAUCGUUACCAAACGCGCUCUUAGUGGUUUGGAAUUUUUUUUUUUUUUUAGGAACAAUAUUAGGGAGUUUUAUGUUUUCUUUUUAUUAUACUCGGUUGUACUUUUUAAUAUAUUGGAUGUUAUUUAUUUUUUUUUUUUUAGAAUGGUUUAGACAAAACUUAAAUUUCUUCGAUAGGUUGCUAUGGCUUUAGUUAACAUAAUCAAAUUAGAUACCGAAAAGGCAUUAGUCUUAGGGCUAACGUAAUUAAAUUCUCGAGUCUAUAAUCUUUGAUUAUAUAAUAAUAAGAUAUUCUCUUGUAUCUUAUUGAUUUCUAAUCGCCCCCUAAAAAAGCUAGUGACCACUUUUUUGUUAAAAUUUGCAUACACUAAAUUGAUUGAAAUUUUCAAUAUUUAAUGCCAUGCAAGGUAUGAAUCUGGGAGACCUCGACUCAAGGAAUGGUCAUCGGUCUUAAGUUGACAAUAACCCUAAACCUAACAAUGAGUUAGGUCACGACAAGUAUAUACUAUCUUUUCAUUCAAAAAUAUAUAUUUUAAUUCACAUCUUAUGCAAUGAGAGCAAGAGCAACACCAUUGAUUGAAAAUGAUUAAUAAAACCCGAAGCAAUGUACCGAUUUCUAUUUAUUUAUCAGAUCAUUCCGUUUUACCAACCUUCCUUAUUGUUAUGAUUUAUUUUGAGUUAAAAACGUUUGAGAACAAAAUCCAAAAGGAUGACUCUACAAAAUUGCCACACGAAAACCAGCAAAGCGCGAAGCAAUGUUGGGCAAAUUCACGAGAAAAAUCCUAGGGCGACCCGAUUUGAAACAAGCUCAUGUCAAAAUGGGCGUCUUAAGACUGAAACGAUGGACCGUUUCUCUUGCUAGCUUAAUUGGAACAUGAAUGAGAAUAUGGUUUGGAUUCGCUUUACAUUUCAUGAAAAUUUUUCUUCCCUACUUUAAAAAAAAAAAAAAUUGUUCCCAGCAUGAUAAUGAUGAUGAUGAUGUUAUUAUUAUUAUUAUUAUUAUUAUUAUUAUUAUUAUUAUUAUUAUUAUUAUUAUUAUUAUUAUUAUUAUUAUUAUGCUUUAGUUUUUCUAGGUUCUAAACUGGCCAAAGAAAUAAAUCAUGUGCUAUUGUAGUUGAUCAGUGCGGUUAAUUCACAUGAUUUUACUUCCAAAAAAGCUAAAAGUAACUCUAUUUGAGUAUUUUGUAAAUUCUCGAAUGCAGAAUUUGGUGUCAGCUAAGCCCGAAGUAAAUUUUAACGCAUCCCGAUCAUGAAAAUGCUUUGACAAAGCGUUCGUUCAUAUUAGUAGUUUUAGGGCACGUUUGGUAACGUUUCUGUUCAAAAAUUGUUCCAAGGAACAAAAAUAGAAAAAACUAUUUCUGCUCCGAAAAACAAUUUUUGAACAGAAGAAGGCGUUUGGUAAACUUGUUCCGAGAAUAAAAAAUGAACAUAAACACGUUUGGUAAAUUUUUGUUCUUUUUUUUGUUCUUUUAUUUUUAAAAUUUUAAUUUUAUUUUCUUUACUUUUCCUAUUUCUUUUUUCUCCUAUGCUGGGUUGCUAGCCCUCGCCCCAUGGCUGGCGACCGACUGACCGAGGGCCGGCGGUCUCGCGACCCACGGCAAGGCUCGCCGACCCUUGCGAGGCCGAGCCUCGCCGUGGUUGGGCGAGGCUCGACCUCGCUUGGCUGGGCGAGCUUGGGCUUGCCCAAAUUUGGCGAGCCCGAGCUCAACCAGCCUUGCCCCACACUAGCGAGGCUCGGCCUCGCCUUGGCCGGCGAGCCCGAGCUCACCCAGCCACCAAUGAGGCCAAGCCUUGCCGGGCCACCGCUAGGUCGACGAGCCUCGCCGGUGGCUGGGCGAGCUUGGGCUCGCCGGAUCUAGGUGAGCCCAAGCUCGCCCAACCAAGGUGAGGCGAAGCCUCGCCAGGGGCCGGCGAUGCUCCAACGAGGUCGCCGGCCAUGGCCGAGGCCGGCGACCGACCAAAGUAAAAAGAAAAGAAAAGAAAAAGAGAGGAAAGAGAAAAUUUGUUUUUAAAAAUUGUUCCAGAAAUAAGAAACAUAUUUUUAUUGUUUCUCGUUUCUGUUCCAAAUGUGUUCCUAGGAACAAAAAAAUAGAUUUGGAACAAAAACGCAAACAAAUGCGUUUCUGUUCUUUUUUUGUUCCCUGUAACAAAAAAACAGAAAAUUUUGUUCAUAAACAGAAAAAAAGAAUGUUAACAAACAGGGCCUUAACUAGUAUCUUUAGGGCACUUCUACACUUUUAAACACAAUUUUUUUUUAUGUUAAUUGUAAUAAACUCUUCAAUUUUUUUUUUUAAAUUCAAGGGAUUUUAUUUUCGCUCUAUAAAAAAUUAGUUCACUCUUAAAUUAUAAUGCGAUGGUUUUCAAGUGGAACCCAUGUUAGGAGAUCACUCGGCAAAUCGACAGCCGUCAAGUUCAGAUUUUGGAUGAAUAACGGCAUAGGGAAGGGAAAGAAAAAUAAAAAAACCAGAUAAUCUCUUUUUCCAUAACAGUCUCCAAGCAAUAAUGAACUUCAUCUUAGGAGCCAUAUGAAGAAAAUGACACCCAGUCACAACCGCAAAAACCUAUCUGAAAUUGAUUCCUAGAAAAUAACUUGGCCAAAAAAAUCCCAUCAAUUAAUUAAUCUCUAUCUACUUCUUAUAGAAAAAUGUCAAAAGUAGAGUAAUCUUGAUUUCGAAUCUUGCGCCAAUGACAACCACGUUGAUGACUUAAAGCAUUCUCAGUCACGUCAAGUUUGGGCCAAGGUCUUUUCUAGACAAUGACUUCUUGACAAUAUUUAUCAUUCCAUAAAUAUCAUCAAGGGGUCAAAAAAAUUCGAAGAAACAAGAGAAAAAGACUAAUGCGAAAGGAAUUGCGUAUAUUUUCAUUUUUUAUAUUUGCAAAUCUUUACUUUUUAGUAUGUAAUCCUCUAACAAUCAAGCUAUUUGAUGGUCAUAGUAAAUACUCUGUCAUCCCACUCUUAAAAGAGCAUGUCCCAUAUUUAUUGUUUGUCUAGACUAAUCUAUCUUCCGUUAAUUGUGAAUUUAAAUGAAUAACAAUAAUUUUCAUAGUUCGUCAAAUAGUUCCCUCGAAGUGCUUCUAAAAGGUCUCAUCUAUCCUAUCAUUCGCCUAUUGCAUAUCAAGUUUCAGCAUAGCUGGCAACUUCUUAUUGCUUGCAUGCACUCUUAGAGGGCAACAUCUCCUGAACAGAGUAUAUUGUCUUGAAUUUGAUAGCAACGGACAAAAGCAUUUUGUUCUAUGUAGAUAAUAUCCAAAACUAAUGAUUCUAAUCUGUUGGUCAUAAUUUUGUAGACAAAAUUACACAGGCUAAUGGGACGAAACUAUUUCAGCUUUUCUAAGUAGGGCAUUUGGGGAAUAAGUAUAAUUUAGGUUUUAUCUGCUUUAGCAUUUAAGCAUCCGGUGUUCUAAAAGCAAGUUAGUUCUUGAAAAACAUCGUGUUGAAUGUCCUCCUAGUGAUGUUUGAAAAAAUGUCCACUUAAACCAUCGGGACUGGGGGCUUUGAGAGCUCCUAACUAGCGUACGGUUUUUGAAAUUUCUAGUAUGGUGACCUUAGCUAUCAACUUUCAAUCCAUAUAUUCCAAAACUAAAGUUGGAAUAUGUUCAAUAAUUGGUUGGAAAUUCCUUUGUCUUAACGACAUAUAUAAACUCUUAAAGUAUUCCACCAUCAUUUGCUUUGGAGCAUUAGGUUCACGUGUCCACUCCCCAUCAAUAUUAGCAAUAUAGAGAUUCUGUCUUCCUACCUCCUUGAAUAGUUGUUGCAUGAAAAAUUUUGGAGUUUUUAUACCCCAUUUCAACCAGCUAAUUCUAGAAUGCAUGCCCCCAAAAAAUUUCUUCGCUUUUCCACAGUGAGCCAAUUUCCUUUUUUCAAUUUCGAUAUCUUUUCUUUACUUUGGGAAAUAUCUGGGCUGUUUGUUAUAUUUUUGAUUUCUUGCUUUAGUAUCUCAAUUCUCCUAUGAGAAUUUUUUUCCUACUCCAAGAUGCAAGGGUCAUUUUUCACAAUUUAGUUAUUACGGGCCUGUUUGGCAAUGUGCCAAAUAGUGUCUGAUUUUGAUUUUUUGUUCCCAGAAUCAGUUUGGGACGAAAAUCGCGUUUGGUAAAAUUUUUGUUCCUGGGAAUAAAUUUGUUCUCGGGAACAUAUUGGGAAGAGAAUUGAGAAUAAAAAAAAAAAUGAUUCUCCAUCCAAGAAUCAAAAAAAGAUCAAGUGUCCUUCUUCCCUUCCGACAUCCCGCAAUUGCCAUCCACCACCACUCGCCGCUGUCCGUUAUCACUCGUCGCCUCCGUUCGCCGCCGAUCUGGCAAGCUCGCCAGGCAAGGGCGAGGUCCAGCAAGCUCACCGGAGGCAAGCCUUGCCUCUUGGCGAGGCCGGCCUGGCCACCGGAGGGGCUAAGCGAGCCUCGCCGACAGCUGGGCGAGGCCGAGCCUUGCCGGUGGCCAAGCAGGCCUUGCCUAGCCCAGCUGCUGGCAAGGCUCAGCCAACAAGAGCCGACCUCGCUGAGGGCCAGCUACGCUCCGGUGAGCGUUGCCGGCCCUUGUUUGGCUGAUCCCCGGUCUGGCAAUCGGCCAAAUGAAGAAGAAGAAGAAUAGGAGAGAAAGGGGAAAAAAAAGAAAAAACAAAAGGAAAAAGGAAAAAGAAAAUGAAAAUGAAAAAAGUAAAAAAAGUAAAAAAAAAGUAUUUAAAAAUUAAAAGAAAUUAAUUUGGAAUAGAAUCAAUUAGCACGGUAUCAAACGCAAUUCUAUUCCAAAAUAAAAAAUUUUGGACAGUUACCAAAUAUGUUUUUUUUACUCAUAAUCAGUUCUCGGGAGCAGAAUAAAAAAUAAUCAUUUAUAGUCAGAAUCAGCUCCCGGGAGUAUAAUCAUUACCAAACGCGCCCUAAAUCAGCUGCUUCUUGCUUGGGAGAUAACCAAACCCCAUUGACAAUAUUUCCAUGCUCCUCGUCCUCUAAGCAUUAUGUUUCAAAUCUAAAUUCUUUUGCUUUUUCCACUGGUUGUGGGAAUAAUCUGAGCAAGAUAGGACUAUGAUCUGACCAACAGCAAAUAAAGCAAAGACUUCCGUGUCUGGAAAAGCACUACCUGUUCAAUCAUGCAUAAGACUCUAUCUAGUUUCUUUUUGACAAAUUCCUCCCAUUCUUUAUUAUUAUCCCAAGUAAAAGCACAUCCCUUGCUUUCCACUUCUAUAAUAUCACAAUUGUUUAGGAAGUUUCUAAAUGCUACUAGUCAAUAAUUGUUAGCCAUCCUCCUCCCCACCUUCUCCCAAGGAUAGAGUAUUUCAUUAAAAUCCCCUACAUACAUCCACCGUAGAUGGUUCGGAUGUUUGAUACCUUCCAACUCCUUCCAUAACAUUUGUCUAUCAUGAAAUACAUUGUGUGCAUGGAUACAAGAUAUAUGCAUUUGUAACUUAUGAUCUUUUAAUUCACAUAAUAUAUCAAUAAAAUCUAUCGAUAUUUUGCUUCAUGGAAAUUGCUAUCGUGGAUGCAAGUACUUUCCCUCUAUGAGCGCAUGUCUUGUUAAUAUCCUUUGACAGGGGAAGGGUAAAGGAAAGAGGAGGGGAGGGGGACCACAUUGGAGCCCUAUUUAUCAUUCUCUUUCUUUUAUUUUUUUUAAAAUUCAUUUUAAUAUAUUUUAUAAAAGUCUAUGCUUGAUUUGUCAACUAAAACUUAGGUGUCAAUAUUGACAUGUGGACAAUUUUUUAAUUUUUAAUUUUUAAUUUUAUUUUUUCUUCACAUGGCCAACAAGACUGCCAGCCCUUGGUAGAGGCGAUGGCGGUUUGGGCAGUGGAGAAAGCCAAGCCCAGGCAGAGCAUAGGUUGAAGCAGGAGGAGUAAAAGAGAAAAAGAUAAAUUUUUUUUUUUUUAAUUUCAAUGUCAAUAUCCAUACAUCAAGAUCUAACUGGAUAUCAAUAAAUAAGUGCACGCCAUAUGAGACGUUGACGUGGCGCUUGCAAAGCGUUGAAUAUUUUUUCUCUCUAUCGCGAGGACUAGGCUUAUGUCGCUAGCGAUUAGACUGCUGCCUCAAAAGUGGAUUGCGCAUCCUUGCGCGUGGACUAAGAGACACCAGCCGCACGGGUGACCGCGUGGGCCGGACCCGAGACCUCGUAGCCAGAUUUACGAACCCUACCGGCAGUCUCUGUCUUUUGAGUCCUUGGCCGAUUCUUCAUCGGUCCAGCUUUUGUCUCUGAGUUCUUCUUUCUGCUUCCCUGGCUCUCUCUCUCUUCCCACUUUCUUCUUCCUCCUCCUUCAAAACGAUAGUCAACGCAGAACCGCCUGGCAGCCACAAUCCUAGAUCUCUCUAUCUUCUCGCCCUCGACACCGUCAGGGCCGGGCGAUCCAUCGUCGUUACGGGUCAGCAUCGUUUAUUUUUGCACUCCUAUGUUUUUCCGGUGAUCCCGACGUCGAUCUCGCCCUCUACACCCUUGCCGCGGCGCGUUCCUUCCUCGUCCAGCAGCAUAUUUAUCUGAAAUCGAAAGCUGAAAACGUUUUCACCAACCAUACGGCCCUGAGACCGCUUGUUUCUUUGAAGCGAGCGAGAGCGAGAGCCAGGGCAUAGGGAAGAGAUCGUCGACUUCACUGCCGAUCGGGGAAGGGCAACCCCCGAUCAGAGGCCGCUCAGCAUCUCCAAGAGUAAAGCCCACUCUGCUUCAGCCUUCAGCCCUUGAUUUUCAUAGCAAGACUCUCUCUCUCUCUCUGUUCCGAAGCUUGGCAUUCUAGAGAAGCACAUAUACCAUCAGCUCUUCUAAUGGCUGCUUCUUCGAAUAUGAAAAGGAAUUAUUACCAUGUGUUCCUCAGUUUCAGAGGAACAGAUGUCCGCCACGGCUUCCUCAGUCAUCUCUACGCCUCUCUGGACCAGAGAGGAAUAUACACUUUUGUGGAUCGCGAGGAGCUUAGGAAAGGAGAGGAAAUAUCGCCGACGCUCAUGAGGGCGAUCGAGCAAUCGCGCGUUGCGAUCAUCAUUUUCUCUGAGGACUACGCCUCCUCACCAUGGUGUUUGGAAGAGCUCUUGAAAAUCAUGGAGUGCAAGGAGCAAAACGGCCUGAUUGUGUUCCCUGUGUUUUACAAAGUGGAACCGAGAGAAGUGAGAAGGGGGAGAGAGAGUUAUAAGAGAGCUAUGGAUAGCCAUGAGUCCAAGUUCGGAAAGGAUUCAGAGAAAGUAAAGAGAUGGAAGAGGGCUCUUCUUGAUGCUGGUAACUUGUCUGGGUGGGACUUCAAUGACAGGUACGCACAAAUGUGACGCAGUGCUUUGCGAUUGUAGCUCGUGAUUGUGUGUUAUAUAUCAAAUCGUAUGUAUAGCUUCGAAUUGCCAAAACGAUGCAUCAAGUUCUUUGAAUUCGCAGUAGACACAAAAGUUGAAAGACCAAAAUUUCAAGCAAGCAGAAAUUUUUGUCUUAGAUAAGUAGUGUGGUUCCUGGGACCCGAGUAAUUAGUGUCUUCAGGCGCAGAUUCUUUGUAAUUUUCCUUCCGCAGAUGUUGGCGCAGGUAUGUGUUAUUUCUUUUCAUCUUAUUAUUUGUUAACCUCCUUAUGAAAUUUUCCUUAUGAUGUUAGACGUUGAAUUCCUGCCAUGGCUUGAAAUGGUAAAAUAUGUUUCUAUUUCUUUUGAGUGCUCACUAGAGAAGAAAGAGAUGAAGCGGAGCUCAUACAACUCAUUGUCAAGGAAUUAUCAAUUUGUCUCAGACCAAGAUCCUUAUCUGUUGCUAACUAUCCAGUUGGUAUAGAAUCCCGAGUUCAAAAACUGAUAAGUUUGUCAGAGUCAGCUGGUAGUGAUGUUUUGAUAAUAGGUCUAUGGGGACCUGGCGGCAUAGGGAAGACCACGAUUGCUAAGGCCCUGUAUAAUGCUAUUCAGACGCAAUUUCGAGGUUCUAGUUUUUUGGCGCAAGUUAGAGAAAAAUCAAACCAAAGCAGCGGUCGUGUUGCUUUGCAAAAGCAACUUCUAUCUGAGAUCUUACCUCAUGAAGAUAUAAUGGUCUACAAUGUCGACGCAGGAAUUAAUUUGAUAAAGGAAAGACUAUGUCGCAAGAAGGUUCUCCUAGUUCUCGAUGAUGUUGAUGACAUGGAUCAACUGAAUGCCUUAGCUGGAAAAGGCGAUUGGUUUGGCAAACAAAGUAGAAUCAUUGUUACAUCAAGAGAUAGACAUUUAUUAACUUCUCAUGACAAAAAUUAUGUGUAUGAAGUUAAAACUUUGGAAGACGAUGAAGCACAAGACCUUUUUGGUCAGCAUGCCUUUAUAAACAGCAAUAAAGUAGAAAUAAGGAGGGAUCUCAUUGAUGGAGCAUUGCAUUAUGCUGGCGGCCUUCCAUUAGCCCUGGAAGUGUUGGGCUCAUUCCUACGUGGAAGAAAGGAACCUGAAUGGGAAAGUACGUUGCAUAAACUCUCUAAAAUUCCUGAAUCAAAAAUCGAUCGAGUUCUCAAGAUAAGCUUUGAUGGAUUGGACGAGAAUGAGAGGGAGAUUUUCCUUGAUAUUGCUUGUUUCUUUAAGGGGAAAAGUAUAAAGGAUAUCCAGGAAGUUCUUGACAGCUGUGAUUUCGACACAACCAUAGGAAUAGAAAUUCUCAUCGAGAGGUCCUUGAUAAAAAAAAAGGGGCCUUACUUGCAAAUGCAUGAUUUGGUUCAGUUGAUGGGUAGGAAUAUUGUUAAACAAGAAUGUCGCAAUGAUCCUGGGAAGCGCAGCAGAUUAUGGCUUUUGGAAGAUGUUGAGGACAUUUUUAAUUAUAAUACGGUAAAAGUUGUUUAUGUCAGUUUUGCUACAUUUCAGUUUAUAUUACUCUAAUUUGGACAGUAUAAUGUAAAUCUUAACUGGAAAUUUUGUCUGACAAAUGAAUUUGCUCCGUUAUGGAUAGGGGACGGAUGUUGUAAAGGCCAUGGUAUUGUGCUUGGCCCCAUCAGAAGCGAUAAUCAUCAGUCCUGAUGCUUUCACAAAUAUGAAAAGGUUGAGAAUACUCAUUUUGCAUGGAGGGCGUAUCUCUUCACAAGCUCAAGUACGUCUCCCUAACGAGCUAAGAUGGCUUGAAUGGUCCAAUGCCCCGAAUCUAGAAUUUGGCUCUGGUCCAAAUAAACUCGUGAGACUCGAUGUCCAGGAAAGUCAUAUCAAACAAUUAAUGGGCAACUUUCAAGUAAGCACUUGCGAUGAUUAGCUUUUCCUUUUUUAUAGCUAUAAAAAAUAUUUGCAGAGCUUAAUGACUGCACUAGUAUGUUUUUGCAGAAUUUUAGAAAGCUGAAGUCCAUCAAUCUCUAUAAAUGCAAGUCCUUGGUUAGUAUUCCUGAUUUGUCAUCGGCCCCAAAUAUGAAGAAAUUGAUUCUUAAUGAGUGUGAGAGCUUGGUGGAGGUUCACCCAUCUGUUGGAAAUCUUGUCAAGCUAGAAGUUUUGUUGCUAGAAUCAUGCUCUAAUGUUAGUAAUUUUCCUAACACACUGAGGAAUAAAUCUCUUAAACUCCUUCAUCUCUCUGGUUGCUCUAAACUUGAGAAGUUCCCAGAUAUUGACGGAAAGAUGGAACAUCUGGAAGAAGUUUAUCUAGCGAGGACAGCUAUUAAAGAACUCCCUGCAUCAAUUCAAAAUUUUGUCUCUAUGAGUGAGUUGUGUUUAGCAUUUUGUGAAGACCUCGUGAGGCUUCCACCGGCCAUUUAUAAGUUGAAAAAUCUCCAUCUUUUGAAUCUUGAUGGCUGCUCGAAUUUAAUCACGUUUCCAAAAAACAUGGAGGAUUCAAUUGAUUCCGAUGGCCUUCUGGGGUUCCGAAGACUAUCCUACCUAGGACUUAAGGGCUGCAAUCUAUCGGAAGUAGAGUUCCUUGAGAGUACUUCCAGUUUUCCCGAAUUGCAGAACCUAAACCUUUCAUAUAACAAGUUUACUCAUUUGCCGACAUGCAUCAACAAGUACAAUCGUUUGAGGCGAUUGAAGGUUAAGGGAUGCGAGCUACUACAAGAGAUUCCUCAGCUUCCACCAAAUAUUAAUAAGCUAUCCGCACCUAAUUGCAAAUCCCUGCAAAAACUCCCAGAUUUGCUGUGGGAUUCGGGUGACUUGACUUCAUGUUUAUUAUUCCGCGAAGGACUCAAUAUGGAUGAUGUGGCUAAUUUCUUAUUACUCGAGGUCUCUCUCUCUCUCUCUCUCUCUCUCUCUCUCUCUCUCUCUCUCUCUCUCUCUCUCUCUCUCUCUCUAUAUAUAUAUAUAUAUAUAUAUAUACUUAAAUGCUUGAUAUGCGUACCCUCUGUGUGGCAGAUGGGCUGCCUUGACGUUAUUAUAAGUGGAAGAGAGAUGCCUAAAUGGAUUCAACCCUGUGAAGAGGAUUCCAUAUCUUUCAUGAUUUUACAAGAAUUGUAUGAUGAGAUUAAAGGACUAGCAUUCUGUGUUGUUGUUAGCCCGGAGGAAGGAGAAGUGGUCAGCGUUUUUUGUUAUUUAACAGUUAAUGGCCAAGAAGGGAUGUCUCGGUUUAAAAAUCUUGGGUCAAUAGAAUCUGACCAUGUGUGGCUUUUUUAUGAACACUGUUUUUGGCUUUCAAGGAAGGAGUUUUUGCAAAAUGAUUGGAGCCAUUUCCAAUUUCGCUUCGAAGUAGGACAGGGAAGCAUAAAGAAGUGUGGAUUCCAUCUGACAUGUUAACAAAAGGAGGAUGAUCUGAGGGUGGUGUUCCCAGCACCACGAGCUAAUGGAAGCAAUGUGAACGUUUUCUGGGAAGACUCAGAAGAAGAUAAUUCAAUAGAACCUAAGGAAGAAACUCCAAUUGAAAUAGAUGCAGAGGAAAGCUCAUCACCUUUAACAAAGAAGAUAAGGUGGUCUUAACUACGGUGAGACUUUGGGUUCAAUGUCUUUGCUUUUCCCUUUUCUGGAUCUCCACUGGAGACUUGCAAGUGUCUGCUCCUUCAAUUAGAAUUCAAGAUCAUUAUAAAAUAGAGGUUUUGCACCAUGCUACUGACAUGAUUGGGGAACAAAUUUUUUUUUUUUUUGCCUCUGAUUCUUUAUGAUUUUUAGUGCAGAGUGCAUUAACCCAAAAGUAAAGAGGAUGCUCGUUGAAAUGGCCAUGGUCUUCCAAGUUGCACCGUGUAAUUUAUUAGAUGGGCCUCUGUCACCUCUCUUAAUCCAAUUCCAAUUAAUGAUGCCGAUACUUCAUAAUUCAAAAUUCUGAGAUAGUAAGUUUUGCUAAAUCUAGUAUAAUCUAUAUCUUUAGGAAAGUGCUGUUUGAAUUGUCUCAAAGAUCAAGAGGUCUAUACAGGGAAAUUUAGGGCCUGUUUGUUUGCAACUUGUUUCUGUUCCCAGGAACAAAAAUUUCUUUUUUUUUUUUGUUCCUGGAAACAAAAAAGGAACAGAAACACGUUUGUUUGCGUUUUGUUCCAAAACUAUUUUUUUUCCCAGAAACAAGAAACAAACAAAAGUUGUUUCUUGUUUAUGAAAAAAAAUUUAGAAACACUUCUCUCUUUUUUCUUUUUCUUUUCUUCUUCUUUUUUCUUUCUUUUUUCUUUGGCCGGUCGCCGGCCUCGGCCAUGGCCGGCGACCGGCCGUCGAGGGUCGGCAACGUCGUCGAGGGCCAGCGACCUCGCCAAAGCGUUGCCGGCCCCCGGCGAGGCCGAGCUCGCGCUGGGCUGGGCGAGCUCAGCUCGCCCAGCCAAGGCAAGGCCGAGCCUCGCCCAAUUACAGCGAGGCUCGGCCGAGCCGGGGGCUGGCGAGCCUCGCCGUGGCUGGGCGAGGCCGCCGGCCCUCGUCAGCCGGUCGCCGGCCAUGGCCAAGGCCGACGACCGGCCAAAAGAAGAAAAAAGAAAAAAGGAAAAAGGAAAAAGAAAAAAAGGAAAAAGAAAUAAAAAAAUAAGAAAGAAAAUAGAAAAAAUAAAAUAAAAAUAUUAAAAAAUUAAAAGAAAUAAAAAAAUUACGCAAAUUUACCAAACGUGUUUCUGUUCAUUUUUUAUUCCCAGAACAAGUUUACCAAACGCGUUUUUUUUGUUCAAAAAUUAUUUCCCGAAACAGAAACACUUUUUUCUAUUUCUGUUUCCUGGAACAAUUUUUAAACAGAAACGUUACCAAACGCACCCUUAGUUGAUUCCCCUGUUGUUACUUGGCAGCUUGCAUUGGAUUGGUAUAAAGGGACAGCUCUAGCGUCUGAGAAACGUUGCAUUUUAGCAAAGGAGAUUGACUUCAAGGAUAUUCAUGUAAAGCAAACGGUAUUUGUCAAACGCCUUCUAAAAUAAGUAUUGCAAAGCAAUUUUUAGAAUGAGAAAAAAAUCAAUUAAAAGGGGAGAAUGAAUGAACUUGUAGGUACAUAUGAAAGCACAAGCAGGUUGCACAACGGUAGGAUCAGUGCCGACCUUGUGCGACCCUAGGCUAUACCCUGCUGAGGUCAACCAAACCUUGGAGACGCGACACCAGUGUCACUUGACCCUAGGCGACGCGACACUAAAUACCAGUGUCCCAUGACCUCAUGUGGCGGAAUGUCAGAGCCCCACGACUAGGCAACGCAAUACUCAACCCUUGACAAGCUAAAUCUGGCAUCAAGCAACCCUCGCAAAGCUUCUUGGAAUCAUGCAACCCUCGACGAAGCUUUGCAGCUGUCCAUCAACCCUCGGCCUCCUUCACGAAGCCUCCUAGCCAUCACCAAUGAUGGCUUUCUCUCUCCUAACCAAGAUUGAGGGGUAAAAAAAUUAUUACAAAUAUAUUAAUGAUGGUAAGAUUGUAAGAAAAAGUAUUUCAUUAGACUUCCAGACUUGCAUUUGGAGAAUACUAAGGUGGAGCUUCAAGUAAUUCAAAGUAGAACUUUUCGCUAAAAAGUCUUUUUGAAUUGUGUUACCAAAUUUCAAAACUUAUAUUAAUAGCUUUUGAAAGCCCAAAAUAGCUUAAUUCAAAAUGACGGAGCACUCAAUUUUUUAAAGGCCAAAUUGGAUAGGACUGAAAUGGAGGGUAAAAUUGGAAUAGUGUACCACUCUCGGCGUCCUUGUGAGUCAAAAAAAUAUUUUGAUAAAUUAUUUAAGGGUGUUAAUUUAAGAUUUCAUGUGAUGUUAAUCCAAAUAAUAUCUAUGUAUUAUUAUUUUUUUCUUUUUUACCUUUUGAAGAGUUGAGUCUAAUUCAUUUGGCAAGUGAAAUGCUAAGUAACAUUUUAAUAAUUUCCACUGAGAAUGUUCGUAAGUUAAGUUGAUACUAGGAUUGCCCUUAUAUUCUUCAUCGGCUUACGCUUAAGUUCAUUCUCUUUCUCACNNNNNNNNNNNNNNNNNNNNNNNNNNNNNNNNNNNNNNNNNNNNNNNNNNNNNNNNNNNNNNNNNNNNNNNNNNNNNNNNNNNNNNNNNNNNNNNNNNNNUCGAGUCAACUCCACCGAAUGGGCAACCAAGACUAAAAUGAUGGGCCGAUUCUCUUGCUGAUCCUCUAGCCAGACUGAAGAAUGGGCCAUCUUCAUACCUCAUAUCUAAAAUAAAUCAACAUUGGGUUAUCGACCUUAUCAAGAUUAGAGAUCAUCUCAUCAAUAAUCAUAAAAUUCGACCCCCAACUCCUCUCAAUUAAAGAUAAUGCGAUAGCUACUUACUACUAGAACCGAUGUUAGGAGAUCACUUGACCAAUUGAGAGCCGUCGAAUUCAACAUUUGAAUUAAAAACCACAAACAGCGAAAAAAAAAAUCCUUUUCACAACACUUUCUAAAGUCUAUUUGAGGAAACUAUGAGAAAAUGAUAUCUGACUACUGCUGAAAAACCUCUUUGAAAUUUAUUGUUGGGAAAUAUCUUGGCCAAAAAAAUCCUUCUUAUAUUAAUUAAUCUCCAUUUACUUGUAAAUUUUUAAUUGAAGAAAAAUGUCAAAAGUAGAGUGAUCUUGAUCUCAAAUCUUGCAUGAGCGAUAGCCACAUGGACGACUUCAAGCAUCCUCAAUUAUGUCAGGAUGGACCAAGAUUAUGCAUUCUCUAGUAGUUAACUUUAGUAUGUUAAAAUGCCUUUUUAUCUACAGGGUUUUCAUAUAUAUGCAUUCUCUAUCAGUCACUGUUUUUUUGUUUUUGGGUUAGACAUUUUAACAUGCUCACAGAGUCAAGUUCUAAACCAGUUUUUUUUUUUUGGCACUCGUCAUUCGUUAAUUCCACAUGUCAUUAUCACAUUAGCUUUACACGCUAAGAAGCUUAUUACAGAAUUACCACAUCACUUGUCUACGCAAUUUAUACGAGCCCUCCCUAUGGAUUGCAGCCAACAAAAAAAUAUAUAAUUUACUCCUUCAAGUGAAUGAUUACAAAAUACCAAUUGCUAAAAUUAAAAUGUCGAAGUUUGCUAUACGCAUCUUAAUUUUUUAAAUAAUGAGUGAUUGACUUACCUUUUAUAAAAUGAAAGUGAUGCAUUGGUACAUGUAAAAGAAAAAAGGUUUAAGCCAACUACAAAAGUGAGAUGAAAAAGUAUAUCAAAAUAAAAUAUUGUUCAAGUUUUUCUUUUUAGUUUAAAGUCCAAGUCUAGGUGGCAAGUAUGCAAAGAUUGAUAGGGUUUCAUUCUUUUAAACCCAUAGUCCAAGAGGUACUUUGAGUAGUUAAAUGAUCAAUUCAUACAAUCAAUUUAGUGUUUAGUUACGAAGUCACCGAUUACAAAAACUCUAAGGGGUCAUAACCAUUUUUGGCUUAUUGAUGAAGUCUUGUUGCUCAUGGAUAAGAUAAAUUAGUAUACAUUAGUAAGAUUUGGUCAGGUGAAGAUUUGUGAUCACUAAUGAAAAAAAAAAUCAUACCAUGGAAAUAAUCUUAUUUAUUGUAAAAAAAAAAAAAAAUCCUCGAUGGGGGAGAUGGUUCGGGUCGGCCCAACCUUCAACAGCGAGUGGCCAGCACAUGUGAACAAAUGGGUUGGAAAAAAGAAAAAAGAAAAAACUGCGAACAAAAGCUGCAGUGCAAAUCCUACAUGUUGUUGACUAAACUCGAGGAAUGUAAAAAAUGUACUGGAUCCCACUUUUUUAACAACAAUUUUACAUCACGAUUAUGAAGAUUUGUGAUAUAAUAUAUAUAUAUAUAUAUAUAUAUAUAUAUUAUAUAGUAUUAAGACGUUUUUGUAUUUAAUUGCAAUGACACAUAAUAAUCUUAUAUAAUAUAUUCGAAGUAUCGUAGAAGUGCUCCUAACAUAUAAAUUUAUCAUCGAAGGAAAAUAAAAAAGUGACAUUCACACUUUUUAUAUAUGGCAACAUGCCAAUUGGAAAAAAAAGUUUUCCAAUUUACAAUAAAGACCAAUUAGAUAAUGCACAAAUAUUCAGGUAAAACUUAAACACGAAUGUUGCGCACAAUAUCAAGCUUAAACUUGCCCAUACCCAAUUGAUAGUCUCAAGAGCCUAUUCAGGCUUAACUUACUUUUUUGUCAAUUAUUUAAUAUAGUCAAAUUGAGUGAAGUCAAAUUUGAAUGGUCCAAUUUUCUUUUUCAAGUUGAGUUUGAACAAGAACUUUAAUACGUGAUUGAGUUCAAGUGAAGGUUCAAAUAUCGAGUAUGUUGUAAUAGCUCAACUCAAUUUGGAUUAUGUCUCCACAUUGAGGGCUAGACCUAGGACCCUAACACUUGGACUAGAGACAUCAGCAAAACAAGUUAUAGCAUGGGCCGCCUAAGACCCUACCAUAGACUUGGGACCUUGGCCCUGGACUUGAGUUGUGAAUUAUGGAACUAUAACGUGCUAUCAUCAAUUUGUAUUUAUAUAUCGCAUAACAACUCCAUAUUACAAAAUACUUGACGAUGUUGUACAAAAAAGAUCAUUAAGUCUGCCACAACGCAAGAUAUUAAUAGAGUACCGAGCAAUAAGUACAGAAACAAUCUCUCGCAACAUAUUUACUCUCAAAACUUACCAAGGGAAACUCUAAGGGUGCGUUUGUUUGUAUUUAUGUUCAAAAAUUGUUCCAGGGAACAGAAAUAGAAAAAACUAUUUCUGUUCCCUGGAACAAUUUUUUAUUAGAAUAACGCGUUUGGUAAACUUGUUCUGGAAAUAAAAAAAAGAACCGAAACACGUUUGAUAAAUUUAUGUUCUUUCUUUUUUGUUUUUUUUUAAAUAUUUUUAUUUUAUAUUUCCUUUUUUUCUUUCUUUUUUCUUUUUUUUUCUUCUUUUGGCUGGCGGCCUCGCCCAGCCAUGGUGAGGCUUGCCGACCCCUGGCGAGGCCGACCUCGCCCAACCACCGGGUCGCCUAGCGAUGGCCCGGCGAGGCCGANNNNNNNNNNNNNNNNNNNNNNNNNNNNNNNNNNNNNNNNNNNNNNNNNNNNNNNNNNNNNNNNNNNNNNNNNNNNNNNNNNNNNNNNNNNNNNNNNNNNGGUAGAACAAGUUUUUUUUGUUUUUUGUUUCUAUUCCAAAUGUGUUCCCAGGAACAAAAAAAACAAAUUUGGAACAAAAACGCAAAUAAACGUGUUUAUGUUCUUUUUUUGUUCUCAGGAAAAAAAAAACAAAAUUUUUGUUCAUAAACAGAAAAAAAGAACACGACCAUGCACGUCCUAAAACACUCUCAAGGUAGAACCACACGAACUCCAUCUUCAGAUCGAUCUUCACUCCAAGCUUCAAGCCAAGUCAAACUCGUGCUCUGGUUUGGCCACAACCCAUGACGUCAAAAUGACAUGUCCGAUUACUCGAUCUCUUCCUAUAAAUUUUCGAUCGGAAAAAAAUUCAUUAGGUUAUGGAAAAUGUGCACUAUGGUUUUCGGUUAGUGGCUUUGAAAGUGCCUUUCCCCGGUUCCCGUACGAAAGAAGGAAAAUAAAAAAAACGAACUCGCUGCUCUCCCUGAUGGUGCGAGCGUCUUGGCUCACCGAUGGCACAAGUGUAAUUGCACGAGUGCCUAGCUCAGUCGACUCAGGAUUUCAGCCUCUCGAGUCGGCCCCAUCCCCCGAGACGAAUCACGGCCGUCGAUCAUACCCGGGCCGUGUGUCGGCACACAGUGACCCGACACACGUGCGGAGUCUCAUUUUACGUGCUUUCCCUCCCACCAGCCAACGACCCAUCCCUCUCUCCGUUGGUUGCGGAGAGAGCAGAGUGAUUUAUAAUGCUUCAGAGCGGUUUUCUGGCUCUUAUCUCAAAUAAGCAUGUCUGAUUCGGCUACCGAUAUAACUAAUUAUUCUCAUAUAAAAUGAUUAUCAUUUACGCCCUUACUCAAUUCUCACGUGAUAUUGACUGAACCGGUGCAUCUCGUUUUAUUCUAAGGCCAAUCUCGAUUGAACCGGCGGUUUUUUACAAACGUCAAGUGGGUCCCGCUUCUUUGCUUCCCGCAUUUUGCCAGCAUAAUCUCUGUCCCUCUCUCUCCACUCUCCCCUCGCCGCCAGUCCUCGAAGCGCUCCAUCAUCAUCCUCGCCGGCGCUUGCUUCGCCAUCCCCGCGAUCUCCUCCGCCUCGCGGCUUAUCGGAAUCACCUUGGGCUAUUCUUGCCAUUUUAACCUUUUUUAAUGUCGCGAAUAAGCAAACGGAAGCAUGGGAAAUAGCCCAAAACCCAGGAAGGAAACGCCCCUGAGAAUGUCUGCCUCCUGCACAGCAUCUUCAUCCUCCCUCAGAAUCUGCUCUAUCCGGUAAGUUCCUCCUUUUUCUCUGUUUUCCCUCGAUUCCUUCAUGCCCUAUACGAUUAUACUCCUUCGGAUUGAGANNNNNNNNNNNNNNNNNNNNNNNNNNNNNNNNNNNNNNNNNNNNNNNNNNNNNNNNNNNNNNNNNNNNNNNNNNNNNNNNNNNNNNNNNNNNNNNNNNNNNNNNNNNNNNNNNNNNNNNNNNNNNNNNNNNNNNNNNNNNNNNNNNNNNNNNNNNNNNNNNNNNNNNNNNNNNNNNNNNNNNNNNNNNNNNNNNNNNNNNNNNNNNNNNNNNNNNNNNNNNNNNNNNNNNNNNNNNNNNNNNNNNNNNNNNNNNNNNNNNNNNNNNNNNNNNNNNNNNNNNNNNNNNNNNNNNNNNNNNNNNNNNNNNNNNNNNNNNNNNNNNNNNNNNNNNNNNNNNNNNNNNNNNNNNNNNNNNNNNNNNNNNNNNNNNNNNNNNNNNNNNNNNNNNNNNNNNNNNNNNNNNNNNNNNNNNNNNNNNNNNNNNNNNNNNNNNNNNNNNNNNNNNNNNNNNNNNNNNNNNNNNNNNNNNNNNNNNNNNNNNNNNNNNNNNNNNNNNNNNNNNNNNNNNNNNNNNNNNNNNNNNNNNNNNNNNNNNNNNNNNNNNNNNNNNNNNNNNNNNNNNNNNNNNNNNNNNNNNNNNNNNNNNNNNNNNNNNNNNNNNNNNNNNNNNNNNNNNNNNNNNNNNNNNNNNNNNNNNNNNNUCCCGCCUUCCCGCUCUUGUUGAAUCUCCAUUUUCCCAUCCCUGGGCCAUGGCCCCCCACCAUACCCUUAUCUCGAAUAUAAUGUCCCGUCCCAUUUCCAAAUUUUUACUAAAAAGGAAAUUGAGCACAAUAAAAAUAAAAAGGGAAAAUGACACCGCGAUCUCUGAAAUUUAGCACAAGAAGGAAUGUCAUUCUUGAACCUUCAAUUUAUUCAAUAUAGUCCAUAAAAUUCAUAUCCAACCUAAUUUUUAGACUAUACAAAAAUAUUCAAGACUGUCAUUGAGUUUAAAUUAUUGAACUGGCGGUUUUUUACAAACGUCAAGUGGGUCCUGCUUCUUUGCUUCCCACAUUUCGCCAGCAUAAUCUGUGUCCCUCUUUCUCCACUCUCUCCUCGUUGCCAGUCCUCGAAGCGCUCCAUCAUCAUCGUUGCUAGUGCUAAUCUCAAGAUUUUGGACUCUGGAACCUAUCACGUCCUCUAUUUUUCUGAUCUGAUUCGAGGGUUCACUCGAGAAUCGGUUUUAUCUUCUUCUUUUUUUUUUCUUUUUUUAACUGCAAAAUCAUAUGAGAUUAUGAGUAACGAAAUGAUUCAAAGUAAAAGAUAAAUAACAAUAAUCCUAAUCUACAAAAAACAACAAUCUAAAUACGUAGUCAAGUAAAAUUAUAAACGAUAAAAAAGUUCAAACGAGUAAUAUAAAACAUUAAUUCCCCACAUAAAAGUUAAAGGAAAAUGAAAGACUAGCAAGAAGUUUAAAAAAAGGACAAAAGACGAAAGAAUGCUAAGGUUAAAAUUUAGGGGAAAAAACAAUUAGAAUUUAAGCUUUUUAACUUAUAAAAUAGAUUCCAAAGUAGAGUGGAAUCGGUAGAUCUUUACUUGAAACCUAUUCCUAGAACUAUUUCAAGGAGAAUCGAUCCUCAGACAUAUUUUUUCGAAAGUUGGAUCCAAUUUCUAAGUAGAAUCGGUUUAGUUGCACACCUCUAAUAACAACAUUAAGUAUUUUCGUAUAGUAUAGGAACUAACUUGAAUAUGUACUAAAAUUUUAAGGAUCAUAUUAAAUAAAUUAAAAGUUCAAGGACUGCAUUAUAAAUUAAGUCAAAAUUCAAAGACUAUUUAUGUCAUUAUCCAAAAUUGAUAUCAAUAUCCAUUUAGAAAUUUUAAAAUAGCAAUUUGCUUUUAAGUUAGCAAAUUUUUUUAAUAUUAUCAAAGCACUAUUAAUAACCCGAAAGUCCGCCACCACAGAAACAUUAUCGCUAUCUCCCCCUCUCUUAAAGUCUCAAAGCUCAAAAGGAUAAAAAAAUAUGAACAGCGCUCAGAGCUUCUCACUCGAUAAACCCUCGCGGCAGCUUUCGUCUUCCGAGUCCUUGGCCGAUUCAUCAUCGUUCCAGAUUCGUCGGUCGAUCACGUUGGUCUCGCCCUCCAAACCCUGAGAGCGCUUGUUUUUUUGAAGCGAGCGAGAGCCAGAGCCGGGGCAUAGGGAAGAGAUCCUCGACUUCACUGCUGAUCGGGGAAGGGCAACCCCGGGUCAGAGGCCACCCAGCAUCUCCGAGAGCAAAGCCGACUCUGCUUCUGCUUUAAGCCCUUGAUUUUCUUAGCAAGAAUCUUUCUCUCUCUCUCUCUCUCUCUCUCUCUCUCUCUCUCUCUCUCUCUCUCUCUCUCUCUCUCUGUAUCUGUGAAUAUAUAUAACUAUGCACGUGUCACAACUUUUUAAUUGAAUGGUUUGUGUGAGGGGACUUUUAAAUUUGUGUGUCUCACAGAGGCACAGACAGACAGGCAUACACUCACUUGUAGUUGAAGAUUUAUAUAUGUCACAAGCUAGAAUAUAUGUAUUUAUAAAGGAUAUAUAUUUUGUGGAUAGCGAGGAGCUUAGGAAAGGAGAGGAAAUAUCGUUGGCGCUCAUGAGGGCGAUUGAGGAAUCGCACGUUGCGAUCAUCGUUUUCUCUGAGCACUACGCUUCCUCACGGUGGUGUUUGGAAGAGCUCUUGAAAAUCAUGGAGUGCAAGGAGAAAAAUGGCCUGAAGGUGUUCCCUGUGUUUUACAAAGUGGAACCCAGAGAAGUGAGAGAGGGGAGAGAGAGUUAUAAGAGAGCUAUGGAUAACCAUGAGUCCAAGUUCGGGAAGGAUUCAGAGGAAGUGAAGAGAUGGAAGAAGGCUCUCUCUGAAGCCGGUAGCUUGUCUGGGUGGGAGUUGAAUGACAGGUACGCACAAAUGUGACAAUGGUGUUUUGUGAUUAUUAGCUCGUGAUUGUCUGUGAGAUAUCAGAUCAUAUGCACUUUUUUGGAUCUUCGAUUGAAGAUACAAAGUGGAGAUAAAUUAGAUAGUAGACACAUGAUCAAAUAACCAAAGCUCGUAGAUUCUUUGAAUUGAUUCUUGCUGUGUGGAUAAUGAGAAAUUUAUCAAACAUAAAUAGUGCGAUUCAUAGUGCCUUAGUCAUUAUUGUCUUCAGAUUCAAGUUCUUUGUAAUUUUCCUCGCGUAGAUGUUGACGCAGGUUCACCCACUUUUCAUCUUAUUAUUUACUAUUCUUCUUAAGAAAUUUUCCUUAUCACGUCAGAGGUUGAAUUCCUGCUAUGGCUUUGAAAUGCUAAAACGGGUUUUUCUUUCUUUUGAGUGCUUAUUAGAGAUGAAGCAGAUCUCAUACAAUGCAUCGUGAAGGAAUUAUCGAUUUGUCUCAACCAAACACCCUUACAUGUCGCUAAGUAUCCGGUUGGAAUAGAUUCCCGAGUUCAAAAACUGAUAUGUUUGUCACAGAAAGAGUCGGCUGAUGAUGAUGUUCUGAUGAUAGGUCUAUGGAGACCUGGAGGCAUAGGGAAGACAGCAAUUGCCAAGGCCCUAUAUAAUGCUAUGAUGAGACAAUUUCAGGUUUGUAGUUUUUUGGAGCAAGUUAGAGAAAAAUCACACCAAAGCGGUGGUCUUGUUUCUUUACAAAAGGAUCUUCUAUCUGAGAUCCUGGUUCAUCCUUUAACGGUCUACAGUGUCGCUGGAGGAAUUAGUUUGAUACAAGAAAGACUAUGUUGCAAGAAGGUUCUCCUGGUUCUUGAUGAUGUUGACCAUAUGAAUCAACUGAAUGCAUUAGCUGGAAAAGGCAAUUGGUUUGGAAAAGGAAGUAUAAUCAUUGUUACAACAAGAAAUAAACAAUUGCUGACUUCUCAUGGCAUAAAUCGUGUGCAUAGAAUUCAAACUUUAGGAUGUUGUGAAGCACGAGACCUUUUUUGUCUGCAUGCUUUCCCAGAUAGCAAGAGUGUUGAAAUAGGAGUGGAUCUCAUAGAUAGAGCACUGCGUUAUUGUGACGGCCUUCCGUUAGCCCUCGAAGUCUUGGGCUCAUUCUUAUGUGGAAGAAACGAAGCUGCAUGGGAAAGUGCAUUGCAUAAACUUUCCAAAAGUCCUGGCCAAAUUAUUAAUCAAGUUCUCAAGACAAGCUUUGAUGGAUUGGAGAACAAUGAGAGGGAGAUUUUCCUCGAUAUUGCUUGUUUCUUUAAAGGAAAGGGAGUAGAAUACAUCAAGGAAGUUCUUGAUGACUCUGGUUUUAACACAACCAUAGGAAUAGAAAUUCUCAUCGAGAGGUCCUUGAUAAAAAAAUGAGUAUGGAACCCUGCAAAUGCAUGAUUUGAUUCAGUUGAUGGGUAAGGAUAUUGUUAAUGAGGAAUGGCCCGAUGAUCCUGGGAAAUGCAGCAGAUUAUGGCUUUUCGAAGAUGUUGAGGAAGUUCUCUAUGAAGAUACAGUAAAAGUUGUUCAUGUCCAUUUUGCAACAUCUCAGUUUUUUACUUUGCUCUGAUUUGGAUUGUAAUAUGUAAAUUUCGAUCGAAAAUUUUGUCUGACGAUUGAAUUUGCUCUGUUAUGGAUAGGUAAUGGAUGCAGUAAAGGCCAUAGUAUUGAACUUGGCCACACCAAAAGAGAUGACCAUUAGUCCUUGUGCUUUCAAAAAAAUGAAAAGGUUGAGAAUGCUCAUCUUGCACAAAGUGCAUAUCUCUUCACAAGGUCCUGUACGCCUCCCUAAUGCGCUCAGAUGGCUUGAAUGGCCCAAUGCCCUGCAUCUAGAAUUUGGCCCUGGUUCAAAGAAACUGGCAAGGCUCCGUUUUCAGAACAGUCAUAUCAAACAAUUAGUAGGCAACUGUCAGGUGAGUCCUUAUGAUGAUCAGCUUUCCCUUUUCAAAGCUAUGAAAAUAUUUCAGAGCUUAAUGACUGCACCAGUAUGUUUUUGCAGAAUUUUAUAUGUUUGAAGUCCAUCGAGUUCCGGGAUUGCAAGUCCCUGGCUAGUAUUCCUGAUAUUUCACCGGCUCCACUUCUGGAGAGCUUAGAUCUUUUCAGUUGCAAAAGCUUGGUAGAGGUUCACCAAUCUGUUGGAGAUCUUGACAAGUUGAAAUAUUUGAAUAUAUCAAGUUGCUCCAAUCUUCGGAUCUUUCCAAACACACUCAAGACAAAGUCUCUUCAAUGGCUUGAUUUCUCUGGUUGCUCUAAACUUGAGAAAUGCCCAGAUAUUCUGGAAAAGAUGGAACACCUAAUAUAUUUUUUUCUAAAAGGGACGGCUAUUAAAGAACUCCCUGCAUCAAUUGAAAAUCUUGUCUCUAUAGAGCAGAUAGAUUUAGGUUGUUGCAAUAACCUCACAAGGCUUCCGUCGAGCAUUCAUAAGUUGAAAAAUCUCAAGUCUCUGGUAGUUAGCUACUGCUCAAAUUUUGUCAUGUUUCCAAAGAACUUGGAGGAUUCAAUUGAUCCUGAUGACGAUUUGGGAUUCCCAAGUUUAAGGUGGCUAGACCUCUCUCACUGCAAUCUAUCAAAAGCAGAGUUUCUUGAGAAUGCUUCCAGUUGUCCUAUAUUGACGUGCUUAAAUCUUACAAAUAACAAAUUUACUCAUCUUCCUACAUGCAUCAACAAGUAUAAUUAUUGGAAAGACUUGUUUGUUUAUAGCUGCAAGCAAAGCAAAGGGGUCAGUGUGGCUGAUGCGUCAUCACCCAAGGUCUCUCUCUAUCUCUCUCUCUCUCUCUCUCUCUCUCUCUCUCAUUUUGAAUGUUUGAUACGUGUACAUCUGUAUGACAGGAAGUUGAGAUUCUUGUAAAUGGAAGAGAGAUGCCUGAAUGGAUUCUCCAUUGUAAAGAGGACACCAUAUCUUUCAUGGUUCCCCCAGACUUAUGUGACAAGAUCUUGGGACUAGCAAUCUGUGUUAUUCUUCGCCAGAAUAAGAAAGGCUCGUUCAAUGAUUCGUCCUGUUCAUUUGACAUCAGCUUGUUUGUAAAUGGCAUAAGAUCGUAUUACCGUUUGAUAUUUUUUGAUCCAUUGGAAUCCGAUCAUGUGAGUCUUGUUUAUUUCCCAAGCAACAGAAAGAUGGAAGAGAAGCCUCUGCAAACGAUGGAGCCAUAUCAAGUUUGUGUCAGGGCACCGGAAGGAACCAUAAAGAAGCGUGGAUUCCGUCUAAUAUGUGAGCAACAGGAGGAUGAUCUGAGGGUCUGUUUUCCAACACCAUCGGCGGAUGGAAACAGAAUGGAGUUUCAAGGAAAGAUACUCGAAGGAAGACAAUUAUCAAUAGACACCGAGGACGAAAAUAGUCCACUGGAACAGAACUCAACAAAGAAGAUGAGACGGUCUUAGCAAUGGCGAGAGUAUGGUUUGAACUCGCACCACCUGUUGAGGUAGUGAUUCUUGGGGAUGCGAACCGGUGAUCUUGAUUUCAAUGCCUCUUGCUUUUCCCUUUUUUUCUCGUCUCUACUAAAAAUUUGCAAUUGUCUGCUCCUUCAAUUAGUCGCAUAGUGCUACUGACAUGGUUGAGGAACUUUUCAUUUCCCUCUUGAUCUCUAUGAUCUGUGAUGCAAGAGUGCACCAAUCCAAUAUCAAGUGGAAUGCUUGCUGAAUGGCCAUUGUCUUCCAAAUUCAGUGAGAUAUAUCACAUAGAACUCUUGUCACCUCUCUUAAUCCAAUUAAUGAUGUCGAUGCUUCAUAUCCUAGAAUUCUUAGAUGGUAAAGCUUUGCUUCUUGAGGAAAGUGUUGAUCUAAUUGUCUCAAAAAUCGAAAGGUCUACACGGGAAUGAUUAGUUGAUUCCUUUGUUGUUCCUAGGCAGAUUGCGUUGGAUAGAUACCAAGGGAGAGAUCUAGCUUCUGGGGCUUUGUGGAUAAGCAAAGGGUACUGACUUAAAAUAUUUUCAUGAAAAGCGAAUGGUGUUUAACAAACGCAUUGUAAAAUAUUUAUUAAGAACAAUUUUUAGUAUAGAGAAAAAAAAAUAGAGAAGGAAUUUGCAGUUGUAUAUGAAAGCACAAGCGGGGGCGACACAACAGUUGGACUGGUGCUAACAUUGUGCAACCCUAGGUAAGGCACCUCUAAAGUUGAGCAAACUCGGCGAUGCGACACUGAGGUACACUGAAACUAAGCAACACAACACUAGUGUCACGCAACCCCAAGUAAUAGAACGCCGGGGCCACACUACUAGGCAAUGCGACGCUUGACCCUUGGCAAGCUAAAACUGACAUCAAGCAACCCUCGCAAAGCUCCUCAAUGUCGUAUGACCCUCGACAAAGCUUUGCUGAUGUCUUUCAACCCUCGGCAAAGCUGCACCUGCAUCCCUCGGUCCCUCUUCUAAGCUUCCCGGCCAUGAUCAAACACAUCUUUGUCUCUCUUAUCCAAGGUUGAGGGGUAAAAUAUGAUUGAAAAUGUAUUAGUGAUGGUAAGAUUGGAAGAAAAAAACUUCAUUAAACCCCUAAACUUGCAUUUCAAGAAUGUUAGAGCCCAUACUUGGAGGCUUACCUUGAACUUUGAGUAUUUUCAAAGCAAAACUUUGGAUCAAGAUCUUUGAAAUUGUGUUAUCAUACAUCAAAAUCCUUGGCUCAAGGCCCUUGAAGGUCCAAAAUAGCUUAAUUCAAGAUGACUGAGGACUCAAAUUUUUAACGGCCAAAUUGGACAGGAUUGAAACAAAGGGUAAAAUUGAAAUACCGAUACCAAUUAAGGGGUUUUUAUGAGUCCGAUUUUUUUUUUAUAAAGUAAAUAUGUUUGAGUAGUACCAAUUGAAGAUAUUUUGUUAUAUUAAUCCUAGUAACAUAUAUGUAUUAUUUCCUUUCUUUUUCUCCUUUUCAGUAGUCAAGUCCCAUUUCAUUGGGCAAGUGAAAUGUCAAGUGGCAUUUUGAUAAUUUCCUCUCAGAAUCUUGGUAAGUCAAGUUCCUACUAGUAUUGCCUUUGUAUUCUUCAUUGGCUUUCACUAAAGUUCAUUCUCCUUAUACUUUCCAUCCCAUCAGUUGCCCUUGGUUUUAGUCUUGGUGAUCCCAAGUUGUCCAUUCUUAAAUGCAGAAUUCAAUAAAGUAGAAAUGAUAUCGCCAAUCACUUUCUAAAGGCAAGAACUGGUAAGAAUAAAUGAUUAUUGUAGUCUUCGCACAAGCAACAUAAUCACAUCACGAGUGAAUAUGAGAUGUCAAAUGCUCGUUACUAUACUAUCACUUACAAUCAUUAAGGAUCUGAGAUUAUACACACUAGUGAUAUCUUAUGUCUUUUUUGAAUAUCUAAUUUUUUGAAUUGUAACACGUGUUCAUCUCACAUAUAUUUACCACAAAUGAUCAAAUUUCAAAAUCAUGGCAUCACCAUCUUCUUUCCUCCCCCUCCUCUUUCCUUCCCUUUCNNNNNNNNNNNNNNNNNNNNNNNNNNNNNNNNNNNNNNNNNNNNNNNNNNNNNNNNNNNNNNNNNNNNNNNNNNNNNNNNNNNNNNNNNNNNNNNNNNNNNNNNNNNNNNNNNNNNNNNNNNNNNNNNNNNNNNNNNNNNUAUAACACAAGUACAAGCACGAAAUAAUUUAUACUUCCCAAAGAAUAGGAAAGAACUACCAACGCUAGUGGCUCUUUUUUAGGUGUAACCCCAUAAAAGAGGAUGUACUUAAUAAACAUCGACUCUUUUCGAAUCUUAUUUUAUGGGAGCAACACCGCCGAGAGAAAAUAAUUAAUAAAAACCGAAGUAACAUAAAGAUUUUAUUUAGACAUCCAAUCAUUCCGUUUUUUUAUGAGCCUUUCCUAGUUCUUGUAACUUAUUUUGAAUUAAGAACGUUCAAGAACAAAUUCAAAAGGAUGAGCAAUGUUGGGCAACUACUCGAGCAAAAUAUUGGGCCGACCAGAAUUGAAACAUUCUCAGGUCAACGCCACCAAAUGGGCAACCGAGACCGAAAUGAUGGGCUAAUCCUCUAGCAGGACUGGAGAAUGGACCAUCUUCACUCCUCAAAUCUAAAAUAAAUUGACAUUCGGUUAUCCACCUUACCAAGAUUAGAGAUCAUAAUUCAACAAAAAAUUCAACCCCCAACUCCUCUCAAGUAAAAAUAAUGCGAUAGUUACUUACAAGUGGAAUCAAUGUUAGGAUAUCACUUGACCAAUUGAGAGUUGUUGCAUUCAACAUUUGAAUGAAAAAUCACAAACAGAACAACAACAACAACAAAAAUCCCUUUUUCACAACACUUUCAAAGCAAUACUGAACUUUAUUUGAGGAAACUAUUAGAAAUUGGCACCCAACUACUGCUGAAAAACCUAUUUGAAAUUAAUUGUUGGGAAAUAUCUUGGCCAAAAAAAUCCUUCUUAAAUUAAUUAACUUCUAUCUACUAGUAAAUUUUAAUUGAAGACAAAUGUCAAAAGUGGAGAGGUAAUGAUCUUGAAUCUUACAUCAAUGAUAACGACAUCGACAACUUCAAGCAUCCUCAAUUAUGUCAAGAUGGAUGAGGCCUUGUUCUAGAAAUGACUUAUUGACAAUGUUUGUCAUUCUAUAAAUAUUAUCAAGGGUCCAGAAGAUCUAAGAAGUAGGGAAAAAUGAAAAAGAAGAAAGAAAUUGCAUAUUUUUCACUUUUGAUAAUUGCAAUUAGCUCCUAUAUUUUUUAGUUUUUUAGUGUAUAGUCCUCUUGGUUUUUUUUUUUCAUUGGUGACAAUAUGAUUUUUUCAUUAGAUUUAACAAGCUCGAUGCUCAAAAUUUUGUUCCAAAACCGAUCUUCAAUAAGCGUAGGCAAAUCUUUGCGACAAUAUGACUAAGUAGCAUUGAUAAUACCUACCGGAAAUGAGUGGAUGCAGGGAUAAAUUGGCCAGAAUUAGAAAUAAAGCAAGAUCAAGUGGUGAUAGGAAUAUCCAAAUGUUAUCAUUUCUUUUACCUAAAAGAUAUUUUUAUUUUCUUCUUUGAUUUUGUGUUAGUAAUUUAAUGGUCAAAUUUCAUGUGUAAUUGACUUUUCUUUUCUCCUUUCUUAUCCAAUCAGUGUUCUCUCCGUGGCCGUUGAAUUCAGUUUAUUGUAAAAAAAAAAAAAAAAAGUGGCACUUGAUUUCAGCUGCCGUUUCUGGAAAAAAAAAAUUGAAGAUAAUGAUAAAUUCGUCCACCACGAGCCGUCCAAUUGUGUAAAUUUACAAGUGUAACCUUGGCUAUCCUGGAAAAGAGGGGAUGUUGGAACUUUCUUAAUUUUUGGUGUCCAUCGUCUCUCAACUUUCCGAACUCCUUAACCUGUUGCAUGCCAUUCAAGUUUUAUAAUUUAGUUUUCUAAUAUUAGUUAAUGUACAAAAAAUGUUAACCCGUGGCAUUCUUUCUUCCUAUUUGGUGAGGUUAAAAAAAUCUCAUGCAAAAUAGAGUUUACUAAUGUACACUGGUAACUGACCAAAAAAAAAAAAAAAAAUGUACACUGGUAAUUCAUGGGUUUGUUAUUCUAUCACUAUACUAAAUCCAGCCACAAAAUAUAAUUUAUUUUAAGUUAUUAAUGUUUGCUCACUUCAAGUGAUUUUACAAUGUUUUAUACCAAAUUAAGUAACUUUAGUAUGCUAAAAUGUCUCUUUAUCUAGGUUUACACGGGCUUCAUAUACAUGUUUUCUCUAUCAGUAUAAUGCUUUUUGUUUUUGGAGUUGGACAUUUUAACAUAAUUACAAAGUCAAGUUCGAAACCAGUUGUUUUUUUGACCUCCUCAUAUACACGUGUUCUGAUAAUAUUUCCAGAUGAUGUCAUUUGGAUCUCACAGGAUUCGAUUUUUUUGCCGGGUAAGUUGUAUGUGUGUGACAAAAAAAUAAGGUACGAAUUAUUCUCUCCAUAUUUAUUUAUUUAGAAAUUUAUUUACGAUUAUCCCUUGAAAAUCAGAUUCCUACUCAAAUUUUUUCGGAAACCGCUUAUUGAAAAAUCGUGCCUUUUCGGUUUCCUUGUUCAGUUUCCAAAAAUUUGCUAUUUAUAUGUUUACAUCUUUUCCAAGAAGUAAUCCUCAUUCUCUUAAACCACUUUUCUUCCUCUUCGAAACCCUUAUUCUUCGAAACGUCUCCUUCGUCCUCUCAAAGAUCGAAACUUUUUCUCUCAAAACAUCCAUGGCCCCAAAAUCUGCCCAAGGAACAAAAUCUAGACCCUCUGCUUCAUGAAGAUCUAGACAUAUAGCAGGAAUGGCAUCACGAGCGAUGGGGAGCAUCGAGCAUUUUCAACUGUCAGAUUCUUUCAACAAUGUCGAUGGUAUUACAAGCGAGGCUCCUAUAACCUCUAAGAAUGAUUCUUCGGCUAAGUGGAGAAAGUUGAAAGAGGCCAUUGCAUCGCUCCGAAGCCUAGGAAACAACAAAGAGAUAAUAACUACCCUCUUGGCUACGAAUGGAUUUGACAAUGAGGAGGCUCUAGACUUAAUGUUUGCAAAUCCUAUUCGUAUUAUAUCAUAUGUAGUAGUCGAAACUGUCGUGACCCAACCUCGCCACCACUCGACCCUUCGGGAGAAGAGGAAUGGGGAAAGGUCAUAUUUAGAGGUACGGUCGAAGAGGAAUGGGGAAAGGUCAUAUUUAGAGGUACUCAAUCACGAAAGUUCCCUCAAAGUUCUCAUUCACGAAAGCAUCAUCACCUCAAGUUCUCAUUCACGAAAGCAUCAUCACCUCACCGUCCGGACGAACCUCUUGUGAGUUUACUUAAUCAUGGUCGUGAGCUCUUUCAAGCUCGUACCAUGCAUGAUAGCGAAAGGUUUCCUGACCUUAUGCUGACAUCGCGGCACGUCUUGAUCGGCUCUCUUAAGAUGCACAUCUAUUAAAGAUGGCAUCACUUGAUCUUUAUUGACUUCAUCAUCUUGGGUAUGCUAAAUCACGGCCGUGAACCUUUUCCAAAGGUCCAUACCCCUCAUGACAGGUUUAAUUAUACAAUUUAGUUGUUUAAGACAACCUAGAUAUAGGACAGGAAUCGCCAUUAGCCUCAUUUUUGGGGGUCGGCUAGAAAACACAAUUGAGGGUCGGGAAUGGUCUCUCGAUUUCUAUGCAAUCAAAUAUCUAGGUUCGGGAACUUGGGUUAUGCUAAUAUUUAUAUUAGCACCCUUUAAAUACCUAAAAUAUGUUGUGUUACUUAAGGUGUCCAUGCAUUUUUAUUUACUUUUUUGGGAUUAUUUUAUCAUAAGCUAGACGAUCAUGCGUGGAUGGUCAUUUUUUUAUGUCAUUCUAUUUUUAAGAAGGAUAAAAGAAAACAAUCAAUUAAAUUGAGAAUAUGAAACAAUAAGUAAACAAUCAAAGAAAGUGGUAAACCUAUCAUGUAUUCAUAAUAAGGAUGGAAAUAAAAAAGGAGUAAGCGAAAAGGAAAUACCCGCAAUUCGUUGGGUGUUUAUACAAACAAGGGGAACCCGAAACAUAUGUCGAGGACAAUAAAUACAAAAGAGUGAUUAGAAUGGACAUCGACCUUCCAUCGUCUUCAUCUUCGGAUUCUAAUCUAAACCUAGUCUAAGAGUUAUAGCUAGGUAAAUACAAUGUAAAGAAACGGCCAUGCAAGUCAAAGCAAUCAUAAACAUGAUACAAAAAAAAUAUCAAACAAUUCAACAAAAUAAGAUUUAUCAAAUAAGUUUGAGCCUCAGGGGUGGCCUUUGGAAACAUGUGUAGGCCCCUCUAGAUACCUACCUGGUUCGUUUUAUGAUUUAAAGCUAUCAUUGACCAAUUGUAUUUUCGCAUGGCUAAUAACGCUUAUAAGUCCCUAAUUAAAGAAUUCUUUGUGAUCCUCGGGAUUUCCCAUUGGUAUCAUACAUCGUCCUUAACAUGCAUCUAGAAUUCACAUACAGCCAUGAAUUAAACACACACACAUUGUUGACACCUAUUUUUUAACCAAAAAAAAAAAAAAAACAAAACAUUUAGGGGUCGGGUCGGGCCGGAUUUGGCCUUGGCCCGGCCCUCCCCUCUUUCUUUUUCCUUUCUCCCGCACAGCCUAGCCUCCUGGUCUCCUUGGGCCCAGCCCGCGUCCAAUGGUCUUCCUCCUCCUGGCCAUCCUCUACACAUGAGGGGGAAAAAGAAAAGCAGCAUGGGCAUAGGGGAAGCGGGGAGGGUGGGACGCAAAGAGAGAGNNNNNNNNNNNNNNNNNNNNNNNNNNNNNNNNNNNNNNNNNNNNNNNNNNNNNNNNNNNNNNNNNNNNNNNNNNNNNNNNNNNNNNNNNNNNNNNNNNNNNNNNNNNNNNNNNNNNNNNNNNNNNNNNNNNNNNNNNNNNNNNNNNNNNNNNNNNNNNNNNNNNNNNNNNNNNNNNNNNNNNNNNNNNNNNNNNNNNNNNNNNNNNNNNNNNNNNNNNNNNNNNNNNNNNNNNNNNNNNNNNNNNNNNNNNNNNNNNNNNNNNNNNNNNNNNNNNNNNNNNNNNNNNNNNNNNNNNNNNNNNNNNNNNNNNNNNNNNNNNNNNNNNNNNNNNNNNNNNNNNNNNNNNNNNNNNNNNNNNNNNNNNNNNNNNNNNNNNNNNNNNNNNNNNNNNNNNNNNNNNNNNNNNNNNNNNNNNNNNNNNNNNNNNNNNNNNNNNNNNNNNNNNNNNNNNNNNNNNNNNNNNNNNNNNNNNNNNNNNNNNNNNNNNNNNNNNNNNNNNNNNNNNNNNNNNNNNNNNNNNNNNNNNNNNNNNNNNNNNNNNNNNNNNNNNNNNNNNNNNNNNNNNNNNNNNNNNNNNNNNNNNNNNNNNNNNNNNNNNNNNNNNNNNNNNNNNNNNNNNNNNNNNNNNNNNNNNNNNNNNNNNNNNNNNNNNNNNNNNNNNNNNNNNNNNNNNNNNNNNNNNNNNNNNNNNNNNNNNNNNNNNNNNNNNNNNNNNNNNNNNNNNNNNNNNNNNNNNNNNNNNNNNNNNNNNNNNNNNNNNNNNNNNNNNNNNNNNNNNNNNNNNNNNNNNNNNNNNNNNNNNNNNNNNNNNNNNNNNNNNNNNNNNNNNNNNNNNNNNNNNNNNNNNNNNNNNNNNNNNNNNNNNNNNNNNNNNNNNNNNNNNNNNNNNNNNNNNNNNNNNNNNNNNNNNNNCCCAAAAAUCAUUUUGUUAAAAUGAACAAGAUUAGGUACCGAAAGGGCAUUAAUUGAUUAAUUAGUGUAAUCAAGUCCCCGAACCUAGAUUCUCUGGUUGCGUAGGAAGUGAGGCACCCUCCCAUGCCUCACUUGGUUUCUAGCCGACCCCAAUAGGCUAGUGGCGACUCCUUUUGUGCAAAAUCUAAUAAAAAUAUCCCAACGUCACGCGGGGUAUGGGCUUGGGAGAGCUCGCGCCUGAUCAUGGGCCUUAGGCCUGUCCUUUAGGCAAUACCCCUAAACCUGUUCCCUCCCCCCGAGGGUAGGUCGCGACAAGUAUAAUUAUGCCUUUAUUUGCUUAUACAUUGAUUAUGUCGCUGGUUUAAUUUACACGUUCAAUUAUGUUGGCAAUUGUUUAGUUGCAUACGUUAUUUCUGUUGUAAUUAGGAGCUUGGUUGUUAAUUGUCACUUUAAUGAUUGUGUACCCGCAUGAUCACCUCACAUGUUAAUGGAUAUGUGUAAAAUCAAUCCAAAUUGCCUGAAAAAAAAUCUUUUCUUUUAAAAUGAACAAGAUUAAGUAUUGAAAGGGCACUAAAAGAUCAAUUAGUGUAAUCAAGUCCCUAAUCCUACAUUCUCUAGUUGCGUAGGAAGUAAGAUAUUCUCACAUGCCUCACUUGAUUUCUAGCCGAUUCAAAUAGGCUAGUGGCGACUCCUUUUUGCAAAAUUCUUAAAAAUACCCCAAUAUCACGCAAGAUAUGGGUUUGGGAAAGCCCACGUCUAAUGAUGGGCCUUCGGUCUAUCUUUUAGUUUAUACCCCUAAACCUAUUCCCUCCCCCGAGGGGUAAGUCGCGACACACAUGCCUUUUGGGCCUUAUUUCCCAAUCAAUCAAACAAGAUGAGUGAACCGUCAGCGGGUCAUUUAUUGCCAAGGCAUGCGCCAAUCACGAACACAAGCAUUUCUAUCAAAUGGCGUGAUUAUAUGGUACAUGUGACGUCUCAAAAAUGGAUUCGAAAUCAUUAAAAAGAUUUUUGAGACAAUGUAAUGUCUCGGUUAUGAAAUGCAUUUAAUUACCAAACCUACAUGGGGUUUGCAUAAAUGUACUCACAAACAUCGUAGGUAUUUUGAAUACAGUCCAAACCGUGACUUUCACAAUGUCAAAUCAAAACUUGAAAAGAUUUGAAAAUAUUUUGGACUAAGGAAUAUCUAGGCUAUGAAACGCAUUUAAUUGCCAAGACUAACCCGAGACUUGCAUAAAUGCACUCACAAGGUCAUAGGAAUUUAAAACACACUCCAACCAUGAUUUUUCCUAAGUCAAAUCGAUUGUCGAAAGAAUUUCUAAAAUGUUGCUUUUUGAAACAUCACAUGUACCAAAGCGAUUUCGAGAUACAAUUUGAAAAAGUCCCAUUCAUUGAAAACCAUUUUGACAACGACGAUCAGGGGAAUUUGCAACACAUUUCAUGAAGAUGAUAUGCCCUAAUAUCAUAGACAAGCUAACCUAAAGAUUUAACUAAACAAUCACAACAACAAAUUCAUAUCAGAAAAUUUCAAACCAAGCACAACAAAUCAACAAAAUUGGAAAGUAUCCAUCGAUAAUCUGACUAUAAGAAAAUUUCCUAACAUGCACAACAUGAUAUAGAACAACUUUUAUGAAGGAAGUUUUCCAAAAAGAGCUAAGCAUGAUUUUGUAAAAAUCAGAAAGCAAGUAACAAUGCAUCAAGAAGUUGUCAAAACAGCAGAACAUUCAGUCAUUACUACUAAGAUUUAAUCUAUCAAAUGAAAUCUAAAAAUCACAAAAUUUUCAAUAAAAAAAAAACAUAGCAAACAUGAUAAUUAAAAUUUUUUUUUAUUAAGGGACCAAGUCCAGAAUCCUUAUAAAAAAAUGGUACAAAAAUGGAAAAAGUCUAUCUAAAUAGGGGUAAAAACAAGUGUCUGAAUUUGAUCCUUUAGUCCAAAUUCUAGCCUAGCUUAGAAAAAUAGAAAAUAGACCUAACGAUAAGUAAUUUGCAAGAAAUCAACGAUAUUUGAAAGUUCUAGGUGUGCUUUACAACUUCCCAGAAGGGCCCGGUUCCAAUCGAGGUCAACUUGGUAUUCUAACACAAAGGUCUCUAAAAGCGUGCAUAUCAGCUUUUAAAAACCAGAAUAUAGACAUGCAUUAUUGAACCUCAAAAUCAUUCAUGUAAUGCACAAAUGACAUGAAAAAAUCACAUAUAACUUAGAAUCAGAUGUGACAAGCAAUUUGGAUAAUCAUCUAACCUUAAGUCGACAUGCAAAAACGUCAUACAUUCAAUGCCAACACAAGAUUAUUUAUGAUUUAUAAUGUCAUGCUUGAAAGUUUUUAAGUGUAAUAGGCAUUAUUGUGACAUGAUUUUCACAUGCGAAAUGGUGUUCAACCAUGAUGAACCACAUACGCACACAAAGCUUGCUAUAUGUAGUUCUAAUAUCAAGAAGGCGCUAACUGAAAUUUGGUCUCUAAGAGACCCAAUCAAGCAUACAAAAGUACGCACAUGAUAAGGUUUCAAUCCUAUGACGAGCAGAGAGCAUUCAUAAUUUUGAUCACUUAAAGGUAUGCAUAAAUCCAACGAAAAACGUGUCAUAUAGAAUGAAAGAUGGCGAACAUUUUUUGUUAAGAACUCAAAAGCCAAUUUUGAUCACACGGAUGAUGACGAAAAUGGCAAAACUGAUGCGCGCUCUUAACUUUCAAAUUGCAGCAGGACCUAUAUGCGUUUAAACAUGAAAUCGACGCAUCAAAUGGCAAUAAAAUCAUGCGAAUCAUGCAUCGUUGUAACACACACGUCAUGUAUAUGAAGUUCAAUGAAGAUCCUAAGAUUGAAAGUCUCAUCUAUAUGCCUAUUUUCAUCAAAAUGCAACUCGAAAUGGGGCGGGGCAGCUUAACCUUGGCUUAGAUCUAAGAGGUUUUGACCCAUUAAAACACAUUCGAAAAUUCUGAAAAUAAAAUAAAUAGCAGACAUUCUCAAGACAAAGAAGGAACAAGUUUCAUAAACGNNNNNNNNNNNNNNNNNNNNNNNNNNNNNNNNNNNNNNNNNNNNNNNNNNNNNNNNNNNNNNNNNNNNNNNNNNNNNNNNNNNNNNNNNNNNNNNNNNNNNNNNNNNNNNNNNNNNNNNNNNNNNNNNNNNNNNNNNNNNNNNNNNNNNNNNNNNNNNNNNNNNNNNNNNNNNNNNNNNNNNNNNNNNNNNNNNNNNNNNNNNNNNNNNNNNNNNNNNNNNNNNNNNNNNNNNNNNNNNNNNNNNNNNNNNNNNNNUCAUUCAAUCAACAAUAGAUUUGUGCCAAAAUCAUUCAAUCAACAAUGAACUUGCAUUCAAUCUAUCUUGAAGAUAAACAUAUAAUCUUCAGAUCUAAAGCUUUUUAUUGAUCUAAUAGUGAAUCCUAGUGUCGAUUGGAUAAUCCAACUUGGCUUCACAAGAUUCGAGUUUUAAAAAUUUAUUUACGGUUAUCCCUUGAAAGUCGGAUUUCUAUUAAAAAAAUUUCGGAAACCGCUUAUGGAAGAAUCGUUUCUUUUCGGUUUCCCUUAUUUAGUAUCUAAAAAUUUGCUAUUUAUAUUUUUACAUAUUCUCUAAGAAGUACUCCUCAUUUUUUUAAACCACUUUUCUUUCUCUUUAAAACCCUUACUCUUCGAACAAAUUGAUCGUCACUGGAGCAUGAAUGGAACUUCGAGAUCACGAUCUGACCGCCACAAGACGCCUUGAGUUCGGAUAAGCCACCGGUUUGGCCUAUGAAGUAGCAUUGUUCCCAACUUGGACCGGUUUGAGAUCGCCGGGGAAAGAGUGGAUUGCCGGAAGAGAUCCGAGCAGGUAUUGACCAAGUUCCGACCGUCCAGAGGUUAGAGACAGCCUGAGUAGUAGAUCAGCGACAGUUGUUGGCUUGAGGAAUGGCUAGCGAUUGCCGGUUUAGCCAAUCCAAGAUCCAACCGGUUCUGGACAACUGUGGUUUCAGUAGCCACCGGAGAUGAUCCGGGGGCUCUUCAAUCAAUUUCCGACUUAUAGAUGGUCGGAGACUCACCUAGGAUUGAAUUGGAAGUGGCUGAGGGUGUUGAGGGCGUUGGAGACGGCUGCCGGUCUCCCAUGGAGGAAAAAAUCCACCGUUGGUUCAAAGGCAAUUUGACCACCAAAAGAGGAAGUUGUUCCGGAGGGGAAAGACAAGAGGUCAGAGAGGCCGUCGAUCGGGGCCUAAAUUGGCAGCAAUUGGCUCACCAAAGAGAGAGAGAGAGAGAGAGAGAAAUGCAGAAAUGAGCCCCCCUUUCAAUAAAUUGAAGGGAAAAGUCUAUUUAUACCACCUCAAAUCGGUCAAUCUCGACCGUCCGUUCAAUCCGACGGUCGAAAUCCUAAUCCAACAGGCAAAACUUGAUUUCAAAAGUUCAAUUAUGAUCUAGAGGUGUCAAGUAAUUGAUCUAAUGGGUUCGAUUCGCAAAACCAAAGCCGAAAUCAAGAAUUGUGUUAGAAUGUCUAUUUAGGGGUCAAAAUGCAAAUUUACUAAAUCUAAAGGCCAAUCUUCAAAAUCUCGGGCAACUAAAGAUGCAGAAGUAAAAUUGACACAAUGAGGACCUUGGAACUAGUCGCCGGAGGUCAAGAAUUGACCAACAAGGGGUCGGACAAGCCUGCCUCGCCAGUAGCCGAUUAGACUGGUCAAAUUGGUUUGCAUCAGUUUGACUAGUUCUUGACCGGUCUGGUUUGGUUCUAAUUGAUUCACCCGUCUGUAGUUCUUGUGGGUUUAAAAUUCAUGCAAUCAAGGAUCAAAUUGAAGAGAAAACUUACACGAUUUGUAGGAAAAUUGUCCGAUUUCAAUUCAAUUGAGCCAAUUAAGCUUUAUAAAUGUGAUCUAUGGAUUAUCUAUUGACCUAAUUGAGCAAUUAUUGUGAAAACAACAAACUAAAACCAUGGAUACUUAACAUUGACCCUAAAGGCCUAAAAUGCGCAAAUUUGCAAUUCAAUGGCCAAAAUUGCAAAUUAAUGGAAAUUAGAUUCAAUUUGUGCUGUAAUUGCCCUAACCAACUAAUUAGCCAUGUGUAAGAUCACCUAGAGUAUUCAAAUUGACUUUGAAUUGAGAUACCAAAACUAAAUCGGGUCUAAUAUUAAAAUUGGACUUAGAUUCAUACAAUUGGGCCUUAGUUUAGAAUGGAUCAGUUCGAAUAUCUUCAAUUGGAGCUUGAUGGUUCAGUUUUCUUACUUUUAAGAGAGUGAAAUCCCUUAAAUUGGAAAGUUCUAAUGCAAAUUUCUCAAAAAGGACUUUGGAUUUGGACUUAUGUUAAGAAAACAAGUGGAAAAUAAUUGUCCAUUUGUAGAUCAUAAAGAAUCAAUUUUUAUCCCCUAAUUACGGUGUAAAAUAAACAUUUAUCUUUUGACACGGUAAUUCGCAAAGUUGAACACACGAGCGGAUUUAGAAUAAUCUCUAAACCAAAUUUCAAAGAAGGAACUACACCUAAUUAUGGCCCAAAACAGAAGUAAAUUUAUUUUGGUCGAUUUAGAACCGAAAAUCGAAAUAAUUAGAAAACAAGGUUCUUGAUCAAUUUUGUGAAAUUUUCGAUACUAAAGUAAAAUUUAGACCAAAAGAAAUGUUUUUUGUGGAUUUUUUGAUAUCUUGAGUUUGAUUUUUUUGUCAAAAAUUUGACCAAAAGUCAACCAUUUAGUUGAUUUUUCCUCAAAGUUGAUUUUUGAGCCAAAUCUUUGGAUUUUUAAAAAAUUGACUUGAGAAAAGUGAAAUUGGCAUCUCUUUUGGUAAAAAGCCAAUUUUGACUCGGGGUUAAUUUUUUUAUCAAAGGGUUGACUAAAAAAAAGUCAACUUGAAAGUCAACCAUUUAACUUUUCAAGUUUUCCUUGAAAAUGAGCUGAAAAUUGUUUACAAAUAGUAAUGCAACAAAAAGAAAUGAAAAACAACAUUUUUUAGCCGAGAAAAGAGCUCUGUUGCGAUCAAAAUCCCAAAUCUUGUUUUUUACCUUUUCUUUUUUACAUGUCGACUAAAAAUUAGGUAUCAACAUGAACCUCUAGUGGAGUAAGCUCUUUUGCUAAGAAGGGGAAAGAAAAAAUGGUAGAAAUCCCUAUGUCUAGAAAGAAGGGAAAAUCAUCUAAGGCUAGAGGUGUGGAUCUAGAUGAUGGUAGGAAAGGCGAUAAUGAUGAGAAAUUGUUCAUGAACUUCAAAAAAAAAAAAAACUCGUUGGAUAUGUUGCUGCUGGAAGUUAGGGUUGGAAAGCUGAUAAGAUCUACUUGACAUAUGAAUUAUUUGCAAAGUUUGAUAAGAAUAGCAGUCAUGAAUCACAGGGUUGUUGAGUUUGAAUUUUUUUGAAUCAUUUGGAAUUCAGAUUAAGCACAUUUUUGACAAACUUUUGAUGACCGAUCCGUAUAUUAACAAUUUUCCAAACUAUCCCUCUUUAACAACAUAUUUUUACCCAAGUCUGUCAUUUUACGCACUUGACACUAUUGAGUUCACUAUUUUUGACAAAUAUGUUCUUAUCCAUGCCACUAAUGUGGCAAAAAUUCUUGGUGUCAAUCACUUAGACUUUUUUCCAAUCGAUGUUGAUCCUUAUGUGGCUUAUCAAUCGAUCUCACAUAUCUCUAAUUUUUUCAUAGAUACUCUAUCCCAUCUUUCACAUCACAAUUUUCUUCUGAACCAAAUUGUCUUGCAUAAAAUCAUCAUUAACUAUCUUCAAUCAAAAGAACAGAUGUAUCUUGGUAUGGAGCCAAGAUCAUCUAGGCUCUUUUAAAUAAUCAUCAUUUUUCACUCACACACAUGGUCAUCCUUCACAUGUACCAAAUUGUUUUAAAGUCCAAACAACAGUUGUCCUAUGGAUAUUUGAUUACCAAAAUCUAUAUGCACUAUGAUAUCGAGAUCCUAAAUAGUUUCAAGAAAAAACAACUCCCUUUAACGUCGGUAAAUGAAAAGAUGAUGGAAAAAAAUGGGUUUUAGGUUUGUCCAAUGAAGAUGGCAAGAUAGACAUGGAAAACCAAUUCGAACAGAUGUUGAAAAUCCAGUGGCAGACUUAGCUUCACCACUUGCAAAGAGGAGAAAAACUCAUAUUGAUAGGAGUGGAUCUCAAUCAUUCUUGCAAAAAUUGACUAAGGAAUCAUGUGAGGACUUCGAUGUAACAUAAGAUUCGGAAGAUGAUCUGACAAGUUGAUUGAAAGAAUUGGCGAUAGCCCUCUGGAUGAUGAUUUGGAGGAAGAUAAGAUUGCAAAUGAAACUAAACUAGACAAGCUAGAUGAUGUGGAAAAUCCACAAAAAUGGCAAGUGACUAACCUCUAGCAAUUGUGAAAGAGACAGAAAAGGAAGUGGCCGAUGCCUUAGGAUUGAUUAAGAAUGUGUUGCAAGAAGUUGUAGCUAGUGUUAAUAAAGAAAAGCCUACUAAAAUGCACAAUGCCACUUUAUCAUAUCAUCCAGAAAUCGAAGAAGUUCCGGAUCAGCUAUAGGGUGAACAAGUGCUGAUAGAGGUACCCCAGGAUCCUGAUGAGAAUACGGGAGCAACCACUAAGUAAAAGGUUGCUGCUUUUGGAGAAAACUUCUUUACUUGUUUUGAAGUUGACAAAAUGUUUCCAUCAGUCUAGUUUGAAGACUUGCAGACUCUUUCAUCAAAAUCUGAAGACCGCCGGACCACCAGACUCAAGAUUCAAAGUCUACCCUCAUUGACAGCUUCUAGUCCGUCGAAAAAGUCUUAUCCAGAAUUGAGUAUUUCUUUAAGGAUUUGAUUCUAUCGACUAAAGAAGAUCUGUCGGCUGGAUAUAGCAUCUCGGAAUCUAUUAUUCAUCUUGAUUUUAAUUUGGGUAAUUUAGAUCCGUUGAAUGGCGAAGCAUACUUAGAAGGUUUUACUUAUGGAAACCUAGAUCCUGAUUGUAUGGGCGAGCAGGAUUGGUGCGCUAUCAUCAUAUUCCUUCAAUAACUCGAGAUCUCCCUAAUUGAUUAUGUCCAACGGGUAGAUUGGAAGAGCUCCUUUGGAAAGUGCCAACGGUUAUGAAAGCCUGGGGAGUAUAUAAGGAAGACGUUCUAGUUAUUCGAGUGUGUGCGCGAUAGAUAAAUUUUAAAGUCUGAAGCUCCUUGUUCUUUGCCAAUUUAAUUAUUGAGCGUAAACUUGUACUCAAAAGAGAGUUUAUACAUUUGUGAGAUCUUGAGGAAGUGUAGCAGAGUCUUUACACUGUGGAAUCAAGGAUGUGAUACUGUAACGACUCUUUUGAUUCAUAGUGAAAUCCAGCCGGUGGGUUGUUAGUGCGGGAGAGUGGACGUAGGCUUGAAUUAAGCCGAACCACUAUAAACCUUGUGUUCUUAUUCUUUUCCCUAAACUCUUUUACUUUACUCGUAACUUUAUUUAAUUGUUAGAGUCUUAUUUCUAUUUUAAAGUUUGUUGUUAAACAAACUCAGGUUAAAAGUAAAGUUUCACACUAUACUUCUCAAAAGUUUGUUUUCGCACCUAUUCACCCCCUCGAGGUGCUCGUACUAGCAUUUACAAUUGGUAUCAGAGCUUGUGUACUCAUUUAAAUUGAAGUGUUUUUACUUUAGAGUUAAUGAUCCAUGGCUAGUAUGUUGGCUCCAGGUUUGGUUGAAGGGCAAAGCAACACAAGACCGCCUUACUUUGAUGGGAAGGAAUACAAUAUAUAGAAAAACAAAAUGAAGGCAUUCCUAAGAUCGAAAGACCCUCUUGAAUGGGAUGUGGUUGACAAAGGAAUUAUUUCUAAAACUAUAACAGUCUUAGAAAGGGGAAAAGAAGCUGUUGAGUCCAGCGAGAUGACUCAAGAAGAGAUAACCAAGAGACAAGCUCUUGAUGCAAAAUCAAUUUAUUCUUUAUAUUGUGCAUUAUCUCCUACUGAAUAUAACAGAAUAUCUUCUUGUGAAACAACUAAAAAAGUCUAGGAUUGAUUGCACAUCACCUAUGAAGGAAUCGAUCGAGUGAAAGAAACCAGAAUCAAUAUUCUGCUCGGUCAAUAUAAAACAUUCAAGAUGAAACCAGGAGAGUCUAUCAUUGACAUGUUUAGUCGUCUUACAGAAAUCGUGAAUGGUCUUGAGUAUCAAUGUCACCCAAUCUCUAGACUCAUGAAGGUUAACAAGUUGCUGCGUGGACUUUCCAAAUAUUGGAAUCACGUAAAGACCUCAAUAAUGGAGACACAAAGAAUCAUGCCACUCUCUGUUGACGAAUUGGUUGGCACUCUUCAGUCUUAUGAAGUGGAGCAAAUCAAUGAAGAUGAAGAUCCCAAAGGUAAAAAAUCAAUUGCAUUAAAAUCUAAUGAUGAUUCCGAUGUUACAGAUUCUGAAAACGAUAUGGACGAUGAAGAGCUUACUCUCAUGAUAAGAAGGUUAAAAAAACUAAACAAAAAGGGAAGAAGAUUCAAUUGGAAGAAACAAUGUUCUCAAAAGGUUCAAAAUAAAUCAAUUGAGGAUGACAAGUCCAAUAAAAAUGUGAUUUGUUUUAAAUGCAAGAAAAAAGGACACAUCAGACCCAACCGUCCCUUAUUGAAGAAAAAGAAAGGAAAAGCUGAGAAAUACAGAAAGGCUCUCAAAGUAGAAACUCGGAGUGAUACCAAAUGUGAAGAGAGUGAUGAUGAUUAUGCUAAUAUUUGUCUAAUGGCACAGUCAAAAACAGAUUCAAAUUUUGAGACAGACUCAGACUCAAAUAGUGAAAUCGAGGUAAGUAAUUUAAAAAUUCAUACUAAAGUCUCUAAAUAUAUUGAUGAACUGUGUCUUAGUCUCAAAACCUCUCUCAAAAGAAUUUCCGAACUAAAAAGGGAAAAUUCUACACUGAAGCAAUGGGAUAUUGUUUGGAAAGAAAAAGUCGAAAAUUUGGAUAAAAGUGUUAUUAUUUUGAAAGAAAAUGCAGACUCUCUUUCAAAAGAAAAUGCACUUUUGAAAAAUGAUAUUUCAAAUAUUUCAAAAAGGUUUUUGAUAGGUUAUGAGAAAUUAGAAAAGAUUCUUUCAGUACAAAGACUUUACUUUAACAAAUCAGGCUUGGGAAUGACUGCUGAAACCAUCCCUCUAAUUGAUUUUCCAAAAGUAAAGGAAAGAAUUAAACAAAGACCUACAAAAGAUUUUUAUAUAAAUCAUUUUCAAAAAGUCUUUGUAAAACCUGUAGGCCGCAGUGCUCUUAAAUGUUCUAAGUGCAACAACUCAGCACAUUUUGAGAAAAAAUGUCAUAUGGUUUGGAAACCUGUUAAGAAGGUUUGGACAAAGACUGUAUAUUGCACUAACUCCAUUGGACCCAAGAAAGUAUGGGUACCAAAGAAAGCUUGAGUUUCUUUUUUAAAUGCAGGUCACUAUCAAGAAAAAGGUUAAAUAGUACUUGGAUAGUGGAUGCUCAAGACAUAUGACAAGAGACUCAAGUUGUUUCAUAAAGCUUACGCAAGUUAAUAGUGGAAAAGUUUAUUUUGGUGGAAAUAGCAAAGGCAGAAUUGUGGGAUACGGAACCGUAAAGAUUGCAAGUCUCACAAUCAGUAACGUUUUCUUAGUGGAAGGACUCAACUACAACUUGCUGAGUAUCAGCCAACUAUACGACACAUGUUACAAAAUCAACUUUCAAGAAGGAAUAUGUUCAGGAACUAAUAAAGACUCCUCUCAGACAUUCACAGGGCGAAAACAUAGGAAUAUAUAUCUUUUGGAUAUCAAACUAGAAAAAUCCCAAUGUCUAAUUUCAAUUCAAGAGGAAGCUAAUUUUAGGCAUAGAAAACUUGGCCACAUCAAUAUAAAGCAAAUAGCCAAGAUCUCUGCAAAGAAGCUUGUUCGUGGAAUACCCAACCUAACAUACCAAAAAUCUAAAUUAUGCACACCGUGUGUAUUGGGAAAACAUGUUAGAAAUUCUUUCAAAUCAAUAAAUCAAGUUUCCACUAUCGUGUGCUGUAGCUCUUGCAUAUGGAUCUCUUUGGACCAACCAAAACCCAAAGUAUUGGAGGUGAGAAAUAUUGCCUAGUAAUAAUGGAUGAUUAUUCACGAUUUACUUGGGUAUAUUUUCUGGCAAGUAAGUCUGAAACCUUUUCUUAUUUAUUGCUAAGAAAGUUCAAAAUGAGAAAGGGUAUGUUAUUUCAAGUAUACGGACAGACCAUGGAGGUGAGUUUGAAAAUCAAGACUUUGCUAAAUUCUAUGAUGAAUCUAGCUUUCAGCAUGUGUUCUCACCAUAUACUCUAGAACAGAACGGAAUUGUAUUGCAAGAAAUUGCUUGAAUACUUUUAAUUGAAAGUAACAUUUCUUCUCGUUUUUGGGAUGAAAUAAUGUCUACAGCGUGUUAUAUUAUUAAUAGAGUCUUCUUAAGGCCUAUUCUGGAGAAAAGUCCAUAUGAGUUGUUAAAAUGAAAGAAGUCAAUUGUUUCCUAUUUUCAUGUGUUUGGAUGCAAAUGUUUUAUAUUGAAAAAUGCAAAUAAUCGAAUUGGUAAAUUUGAAGAAAAAUCAUAUGAAGGCAUCUUUCUUGGAUAUUCAACCACCAGCAAAGCUUACAGAGUAUACAACAAAAAGACUCAAUCUGUGGAGGAAUCGAUGAAUGUCAAAUUUCAAGACUAUAUACAAAAUUAAUCGAUUCAGACUUGAAGAAUCUGAACUUGCUCCAGAUUCUACAAAGUCUAAAUCACAAGAAGCAGCUCAGACUUCAGAAGAUCAGCAACGAAUGAUCAUUGAAGAGUCAAAUAAAGAAAAAGAUCAACAAUUUGACAAACCAACCAGUAACUGGAAGCACAAGUCUAGUCAUCCCAUAGAACUCAUUAUUGGUGACAUUGAUGAAGGAAUUCGUACAAGAUCCAAAAGGCGUGAAGAGUCUAGCGCUGUGGCUCUUAUUUCUAAAAUAGAACCCAAGAGCAUAGAAGAAGCUUUAACUGAUGAAAGCUGGAUUGAAGCUAUGCAAGAAGAACUUAGGCAAUUUAGUAUCAACGAUGUCUAGGAAUUAACUCCUAAACCAAAAGGUAAAUUUGUCAUUAGAGCUAAAUGGGUCUUCAGGAACAAGUUGAACGAGAAAUGAAAAGUCAUAAUGAACAAAGCAAGACUCGUGGCCAAAGGAUAUACACAAGAAGAAGGGAUAGACUAUGAUGAGACUUACGCACCAGUAACAAGGUUAGAAGCAAUUAGAUUAUUACUUGUUUUUGUUUGUUAUAAGAAUUUCAGGUUAUUCUAAAUAAACGUCAAAAGCGCUUUCCUAAAUGGAUUUAUCCAAGAGGAAGUCUAUGUGGAACAAUCUCCCGGUUUUGAAGACCCAAGGAAACCAGACUCUAUAUUCAAACUGAAAAAUGCACUAUAUGGUUUAAAGCAAGCAUCUUGAGCAUGGUACGAUAGGUUAAGUAAGUUUUUAAUUCAAAAUGGCUUUGUUAAAGGUAAAGUAGACACUACCUUAUUUAUUAAAAGAGAAAGCAAAAACUUUUUACUUGUUUAAAUUUAUGUUGAUGAUAUUAUUUUUGGAUCCCCUAACAAAAAUCUAUGCAAGAAAUUCUCUAAGACUAUGCAGGAUGAGUUUGAAAUGAGCAUGAUGGGUGAACUAUCAUUCUUUCUCGGACUUCAAGUAAAACAAUUGAAGGAAGGAACUUUCAUUCACUAAGAAAAAUAUGCUAAAAGAACUUGUUAAAAAGUUUGGUUCGGAGAAUUGCAAAAAGAAUGAUAUACGAAUGUCAAGUUUCUCGAAGUUGGACAAAGAUGAAGGAGGAAAGAGUUAACCAGAAGCUAUACAGAAGUAUCAUUUGUUCACUUCUUUAUCUUACUGCUUCUAAACCUGACAUUUUGUUUAGUGUUUGUAUUUGUGCCAGAUUUCAAUCAGAUCUUAAAGAAUCUCAUUUAAGCGCUGCGAAACGCAUCAUCAAAUACGUUGCAACAUCCUCUAAUUUGGGUCUCUGGUAUCCUAAAAAAGGAGACUUUACUCUCUUUGGAUAUUCAGACGCAGACCUAGUAGGAUGCAGAGUUGAUAGUAAGAGCACCUCGGGCACUUGUCAAUUACUUGGUAAUAGGACGGUAUCUUGGUUUUCAAGGAAGCAAAGUACUGUAACUCUUUCAACAACAGAAGUAGAGUAUGUGGCUCUUGGAAGUUGUUGUUCUCAAAUCUUGUGGAUAAAACAACAGCUAAGAGACUUUGGAAUCAAAGACUCAUUUACUGAGAUCAAAUGCGACAACACCAGCACGAUUAAUCUCACCAAGAAUCCAAUUCUUCAUUCAAGAGCAAAUCAUAUAAAAAUUCGACAUCAUUUUAUUAGAGAUCAUGUUCAAAAUGGAGAAGUCUUGAUUCAAUUCAUUAACUCAAAGAAUCAACUAGCGGACAUUUUUAUAAAGCCUCUAGAAAAAAGUCAAUUCGAUCCUAUUCGUUCCAGACUCAAUAUCUUAAAAGUUUGAAGAAAUUCAGACUCAGUGAUAAAAGUCUAAAGAUACUCAGACUCAGAAGAUCAAGAUUCAUGACUGUAAGUUAUUUAUGUUUUAGAAAUUUAUCUCUCGGAUAAAAUCUCGAAAAGGUAUGUUCAUCUAUUAAUCUAUAAUUUAUUGAUGUUAUCUUCCCUAGUUUUCGUGAUUAUUGCAAUCAUUCCUUUUUGAAAAAGAAGUUAUUUUUUGACAGUUAUCUAUUUUUUUAAAAAAAGAGCAGUUUUUUUUUAAAAGACAUUUUCUAUUUUUCCUUUUACGACGUUCCGUAUGCUUCUUUUCGAUUGCUUUAUAUACUGUUUGUUUUCUUUCGCUUUACUCACAAAACCCUAGAAAGCACAGAACUUCACCUUCUCUCUUUUACUCUCUAGUUUAAUCCUCAAAUUUUUAAUCUUUCUCGCAAAACGAGUUUGGAAUCUCUCAAAGACUGAGAAUGUUUUUCCAAAGAAAGUCUUCAAGGAUUACGAACUGGGACCACAACACAUGCGUGAGGUUCCUACGCAUUUUGACCUUACCGAGGAAGAAGAAUUCUAAAACAGCAACAGAGUCCACAACAUUCUCAACCGCAUCAAUCUCCUUAAGCUAGACCUCAGGAUAUUGAUCAUCGAGCGAAGGAAGAAAUCAUUGAAGAUGCAGAACUUGUAAGAACUCAAAAACCCGUUUUUACCUUUAAGCUCUACUAUGCCUUGAAGGAGGGAGGUACUCCCUUAAACUUUAUUGACGAAUUUUUGAAAGAGAAAGGGUAUUGAAAUGAAACCCACUUUCUGCGAACGAUGGAACAAUUGGGAGUUGCUCCUGUGGGGUCAGCAGAAAGAGCAUUUGCCAACAUUCCAAGCGAUCCACGUGUUGGAGGUCUUAAUCAGCCAGAUGGAAAUGAUGAUGACAAGUUGUACACUCAUUUUAAGCCUAGAAUGGGUGUUGCAGCGAAUAUUCGAAGCAAAAGGACAUAUUUGUUUCGCUUUGAGGAACACAAGCGACUUUAUUCUGAGUUGCUAAAGUAAGGGGUGAUUAACCCAAGAAGUGUGGACUUUGAUUUUCUUGAUUCUCUGAAUGUGAAGCUGUGAGAGAAAUUCACUCUACUUCAACUUGAACGAUUUUGUUCUAAGAUGACUGAGGCUCAUCCAGAACUUAUUGCGUACUUCUAUUCUAAUCUAAGUUUCUUGGAUGAGAAUAGAUUCUCUUUUGGUGUUCGAGAUCAGGACUAUGUAGUUGAUAUGGACAUAUUGGCUGAUGUGAUUGGAGUAGAACGGGGGGCAUUCCAAUCAAUUAGUGUAUCUGUUGAUCGUGCAAUGGUAGGGCGUGUUCGGGAUGGAAUGGCAGAAGGACGAAUUUCGUACUUGAGGAUGAAUGCCUCAAAUAUUUUGCUUCACAAGAUUGUGAUCAAUUGCCUUAGACCCAAAUCGACUUCGAAGACUGAUGUCUCCAACUCAGAAGCAAAGCUAAUGUAUGCUAUCAAUGCUAGCAAAAAGUUCUCUCUACAACACACUAUCAUGUUUCACAUGUAUAGAACGAUGGUGAAAGACAAGGGCCAACUUCCUUACUCAACACUUGUUACAAAGUUAUUCAGACAUUUGAAUAUUCAGCCUCCCAAGAUUUUGUGUUCAUACCUAUGAUCAAAUGGUGGUGGGACUGAAAAUGGUUUCCAAAAUGCGUCUAAAAAAGUUGAACAAGGCUUUGGAAUGAUUUAAGGAGAAAACCCCUGUCAAGACUCACCAAGUUUUUAUAAUUGCAAAACGGAAAGGGAAUGAGCCUAGAAAAGCUCCAUCCAAGAAAAGAAGAGCACUCGUCUUGCAGGAUGAAGAAGAUGAGGAAGAUGUCACCAUUUCCGCUCUUGCGUUGAGAAACUUACAUCGUUCUAUUCCAGAGACAGAGGAGAGAGAGGAUCAAGACAGAGAAGAAACGGAGUAAAGGAGUGGAGAGAGAGAAUCAAUGAGAAAAGAAGCAGAGGAAGAAAAAACUGCUGAAGAAGAGGGCAUAUGAGAACAAGAAGAGACAGAGCAUGAAGAGUACUUCUCUCCACCUGAAGGCAAUGAAAUAAGGGGAGUUGCCGAGAAAAGAGGUCAUGAGGUUUCAUCGCCAAAUUUGGGUGCUCAUGCUGAAAUGCCAUUAUCUGUCAAUAUUCCUCAAACUGAUCAUGCAGAGGUAAGCAUUAGACUGACAAUUCAGCAGACUUUCGAAGAUUGCUUGAUAUUCUUAUGGAGAUGCGAGGCCAGAUUUAUGCCCUGGGAUGCGAAGUUCAGAACUUGCAGAAUGUCGGUCAAGCCUCUUCAGUUUCUUUGCAUGAUCAAAUUCAUGCCCUUACUCUUCAAGUUCAAGCAAAUGCCAAGGGUGAAAAAGUGGCUCAACUGAAGGAGGAUUUGAAAAAGCUAGAAGGGAUUAUCCAGUCGAUGUGAGAUUUCCAGCUUGUUUGCGUUCCAAAACAAUCCUAAUUUUAUUCUCUUUUCGGCUCUACCUUUUUAAUGCUGACAAAAAAGGGGAGAUGGUGCAGAUUUGAAAUUUGACUCUUGUUUGAUUUGACUUUUUGACUUUUGUUUGGUUGUGGUUGUGACUGAUUUGGAUUUGGAUUGUUUGAUCGUUUAAUGUUUACAGUAUCUUAAGCGCUGUUGGUAUUCACGACAAAGAUAGUUUUUUUUUUUUAACAAGACUAACUUAUUUCCUGUGGAUGCAGAUUUAAUGCUAUUUUUACUAAGCCAAUUAUCUUUUGUGAGAUAUCCAUGUUUGGUUGAGUAUUGUCUUACAGGUAAAAAAUAUCCAAAUCUGUAAGAAGUUUUGUCACCAUAAAAAAUGGGGAGAUUGUUAGAGAAAACUUCUUUACUUGUUUUGAAGCUGACAAACGUUUUCAUCAAUCUAGUCUGAAAACUUGCAGACUCUUUCGUCAAAGUCUGAAGACCGUCGGACCACCAGACUCAAGAUUCAAAGUCUACCCUCAUCAACAGCUUCUAGUACGUUGAAGAAGUCUUAUCCAUAAUUGAGUAUUUCUUUAAGGAUUUGAUUCUAUCGACUAAAGAAGAUCUCUCGGUUGGAUAUAGCAUCUCGGAAUCUAUUAUUCAUCUUGAUUUUAAUUUGGGUAAUUUAGAUCCGUUGAAUGGCAAAGCAUACUUAGAAGGUUUUACUUAUGGAAACCUAGAUCCUGAUUGUAUGGGCGAGCAGGAUUGGUGCGCUAUCAUCAUAUUCCUUCAAUAACUCGAGAUCUCCCUAAUUGAUUAUGUCCAACGGGUAGAUUGGAAGAGCUCCUUUGGAAAGUGCCAACGGUUAUGAAAGCCUGGGGAGUAUAUAAGGAAGACGUUCUAGUUAUUCGAGUGUGUGCGCGAUAGAUAAAUUUUAAAGUCUGAAGCUCCUUGUUCUUUGCCAAUUUAAUUAUUGAGCGUAAACUUGUACUCAAAAGAGAGUUUAUACAUUUGUGAGACCUUGAGGAAGUGUAGCAGAGUCUCUACACUGUGGAAUCGAGGACAUGAUACUGUAACGACUCUUUUGAUUCAUAGUGAAAUCCAGCCGGUGGGCUGUCAAUGCGGGAGAAUGGACGUAGGCUUGAAUUAAGCCGAACCACUAUAAACCUUAUGUUCUUAUUAUCUUCCCUAAACUCUUUUACUUUACUCGUAACUUUAUUUAAUUGUUAGAGUCUCGUUUCUAUUUUAAAGUUUGCUGUUAAACAGACUUAGGUUAAAAGUAAAGUUUUACACUAUAUUUCUCAAAAGUUUGUUUUCGCACCUAUUCACCCCCUCUAGGUGCUCAUACUAGCAUUUACAGCUGCCUUAGUUGUAGAUGAAGAUGUUGUGGUGGUUGACAAAGAAGCAGAUGUAGAGAAAGAAGUAGAAGCAAACAAGGAUGCUCCAAUUGAGGGGGAACAAGUGUAGAUUACAGGGGUUGUGGAGAUAGAGCAGGGUGGAAAGAAAAAGGACUAACUCCCUAGCAAUUGUGCAAGUGACUGACCCUCCAACAGUUACGCAAGAGAAAGAGAGGGAAGUGGCUGAUACCUUAGCAUCAAUUAAGGAUGUGUUGGAAGAAGUUGUGGCUAGUGUCAGUAAAGAAAAGCAAACUGUAAUGGACAAUGCUACUUUAUCAAAUCAUCCAAAAAUCAAAGAAACUUUGGAUUAGUUGCAGGGUGAACAAGUGUUGGCAGAGGUACCCCAAGAUCCUGAUGAGAAUACGGGAGCAACCACGAAGCAAAGGUUUGCUGCCUUAGUUGCGAAUGAAGAAGUCGCGGUGGCUAACAAAGAAGCAAAUGCAGAGAAAGAAGCAAAAGUAGACAAGGAUGCUCCAAUUGAGGGGGAGCAAGUGCACACUGUUAAAGAAAACUCAAUUAGUGUUUUGAAGUUGAAAAAACAUUUCCAAAUGUCCAAUCUGAAGACUUGCAAACUCAAAAGUCAUUAUCUAAAGAAUUCCAGACUCUUUUGUCAAAAUCUGAAGACCACGAGACUUUAGUCUAAAAAGUCUGCCCUCAUUAACAGUUUUCAGACCAAAUAAUGAAGACUUAUCUAGAUGUGGCAUUAUCUGAAGAACUCCAGACUCUUUUGUCAAAAUCUUCGAGAUUUCGAUUUGUAUGGUUUAUGAAUGACCUUAUGGCUAGAUAUAGCACCUAUUUGAUUGAUUAUCUUUAUCGGAUUAAUUCCGAUUUAAAGAUCUUUUGAAAGACGAGCAAACUUGGAAGGUUCUACUUAUGGAAACAAAAAAUUCUGAUUGUAUGAGCGAACAUGAUUGACGAGCUUUCAUCACAAUCAUUUAACGACUCGAAGAUCCCCUUGAUUGAUUAUGUCCAACUGGUAGAUUGGAAGAAUUCCUUUGGUAAGUGCUAACGGUUAUGAAGGCAUGAAGGAGUAUUUAAGGCGGACUCUCAAGUUGUUCGAAUGUGUGUGUGAAAGAAGAAUUCCAAAGUCUGAAGCUCUCCACUUACUGUUUCAUUCAUUGAACUCAAAGUUGUAUACAAAAGAAAUAGAUGCUUAGUAAGACUUUGUGUGAGACCAGUAGAGACUCAUCACUAAGAAAGUCAAAGAUCACAAGUUGUAAAAUCUCUUUUGAUUCAUAGUGGAAUCCAGCCAGUGGGCUGUUAGUGCGGGAGAGUGGACAUAGGCUUGAUCUAAGCCGAACCACUAUAAACCUUAUAUUCUAAUUCUCUUUCCUUGAACUCUUUACUUUCAUUCGUAUAUUUGCAUAUUCAUUUAAAACUGAUUACGUUCGUAGUCUAUCAUUUUCUAAAAGAAAAUUACUUCUGCUAAGUCUUGUGAAAAUUUUUAUCUACACCUAUUCACCCCCCUCUAGGUGGUUGCACUAGUCCUUUCAAUUGGUAUCAAAGCUUGUAUGCUUAUUUAUUGAAGUUUUUUUUACUUCUUAAGCUAAAUAUCUAUGACUAGUAUUUUGGCUCAAGGAUUGGUUGAAAACCAAAGUAACACCAGAUCCCCUUACUUUGAUGGGAAGGAGUACAAUGUAUGGAAAAAAAAAAAGAUGAAGGCAUUCUUGAAAUUGAAAGAUCCCUUGGAAUGGAAUGUGGUAGGAAAAAAUGAUCAUUUCCAAAGCUACAUCAACCUUAGAAAAAGGAAAGGAAGUUGCAAAUGCUGGCGAAAUGACAUAAGCAAAAAUAACCAAGAGAUAAGCUCUUAAUGCUAAAGCUAUUUACUCUUUAUACUGUGCUUUAUCUCCAACUGAGUAUAACAUAAUUUCAUCUUGUGAAACAACAAAAGAAGUCUCGGACAGGUUACACGUUACCUAUAAAGGAACUGAUCAAGUUAAAGAAACAAAAGUCAAUAUACUACUUGGACAAUAUGAGGCCUUCAAGAUGAAGCCAGGAGAAUCCAUCACUAACAUGUUCAGUCAUUUCACGGAGAUUGUAAACGGUCUAGCAUAUCAAGGACAGCCAAUCUCAAGACCAAUGAAGGUCAAUAAAUUGCUGCAUAGACUCUCCAAAGACUGGAAUCACAUUAAGACUUCAAUCAAAGAAACCCAGAGGAUCAUGCUUCUUAUCGAAGACGAACUUGUUGACACACUUCAAUCAUAUGAAGUGGAGCAAAUCAAUGAGGAAGAAGAUCCCAAAGGUAAGAAGUCGAUUGCUUUAAAAUCUCUUUUGAUUCAUAGUGGAAUCCAGCCAAUGGGCUGUCAGCGUGGGGGAGUGGAUGUAGGCUUGAUCUAAGCCGAACCACUAUAAACCUUGUAUUAUAAUUAUCUUUCCUUGAACUCUUUACUUUCAUUCAUAUAUUUGCAUAUUCAUUUAAAACUGAUUACGUUCAUAGUCUAUCAUUUUGUAAAAGCAAAUUACUUCUGCUAAGUCUUGCGAAUUUUUUAUCUACACCUAUUCACCGCCCCUCUAGGUGGUUGCACUAGUCCUUUCAUAGACUACAAGGGUUGUGGAGAUAAAGCAAGGUGGAAAGGAAAAAUACAAUGAUCCAUCCAUUGAGAUCAUUCCUCAACCGGAGGUUACAGCUGAUUCCAAUGAUAACAUUCUCCGAGUGCUGAUGGAAAUAAAGGAUGAGGUCAAGGAACUGAAAUAUCAAAUCAAGAAGCUCACAUGGGAUGGCGACCGAAGGGUAGAGAAGCUUGAGAACACAAUCGCUCAUAUGAGUCACUAUGUCCUUGUCUUUGUGCCUCUAGAUGAUCUCUAUUCUUCAAGUCCUCCAGCUCAAGACCCAAACUAGCCCUCCACCUCUAAAUAAUCUUUUAGUUUCUUUUCAAAAUUUCUAAGACAAUUUAAUUUGUAUUGGCUUGUUUUUUGCUUGAACUAUCAGUUUGCUUUAGUUUGUGAUUUGGGUUUGCUAUGUCAAUUUGCUACUAAGUGUUGGACUUAUGGUUGCUAAAAUAUAUAUUAUAUGGCGUGCUAUUACCUUUUGUACCAUUGACAAAAAGGGGAAGAAAUAUGAGGACGUAGAAUUUUGUGGAUUUUGAUGUGAUGAUGCAAGGAUGUUGAUGCAACGUGAUCCAUAUUUUGAAGAUUUAUUUCUUGCAAGAUUGGUUAAAGCUUUCCUAUCUCUUAUCUUGCAGGAUUUGGAAUAUCUAUAAGAAUCAUAAUCUUUUUAUCUAUCAUUCUUAUAGAUUAAGAUUGCGCUUUAAUUAAAAAUCUUCCUAUUUUCAAAGCUUUACCAAAAUCAUUUCUUUUAAAAUGAUUUUGCUGUGAAAUUUUUGUCAUCAUUAAAAGGGGAGAGACUAUUAAGGAAAAUUCCCUUAUUAGUUUUGAUGAUUAACAUAACUUUCUUUAAUCGUUCUUUAAUUCUGAUGGUAAGAUUUUUCAGGUGGAAAUUGCGAUGAGUACUAUUAGACGUUACUCGUUAGACUUAGAAAAUCCGACUUUAAAUGUUGAAGAAGUUCAUAUCUUUGAUAUUCAAUACUCGGGGAUAUUGAUAGGGAGAGUAAUCUUCAUGCAACAGCUAGAAAUUUGGUGGAUUCCUUGCUAAAAUUAAAAGAUCUAUCCAAGAAGGAAAUUAUAUCAUAUCAAAUCUUUCAAGAUGGAAUAUGGCAAGACUGGGAUAAAUCAAUCUACAAGAGGCGAAAUAUAUUUCCAAGUGAAGCGCUUUUCUUAUAGAAACUCUAUCUAUUGUAUAGGAGGCAGAAUCAUUGAGAGACUUCAAUCUUAGCAACCUUAAAGCAAUAAGAUCUUCUAACAACAUUCAAAUUCAAUGGGUAGAUUGGAUGGACGAUCCUCUAAGGUUACGUCCAACGGUCAACUUGGAGAAAGAGGAUUAUAAAAGAAGGUCAGGAUGUUGAAAGGAAACAAGAAGCUAAAAUUCUAAAGUUUAUAAUUCCUAAGUCUUGAGUGAUCUUCGAUCAUAUAUAUUCGUUUCUAUGAACUAUAUUGUGUAAUCUUUUAGAGGUUGAGAGUGUGUGGGGAAUUGUUCACAGAAGUUUGAAUAGUCAUUACUCAGAUCUUGUUCCUCUGAUAGAUUCAUCUAGUGAAUUCAACCAACUAGCUGUUAGCGCGAGAGAAUGGACAUAGGGUUACAAAAGCCAAAUGACUAUAAUCAUUUAUGUGUAAUUUUCUAUUCCUUACUCUUUUUAUUUUACUUGUGAUAAAAGUUAAUCGCACACUGAUAAGAUCUGAAAAGUACUCAACUUGUUGUCAGACGUUGUAAUGUUUUAAAUUUAUUUUAUUCCGUACUAUCACCUAUUCACCCCCUCUAGAUAAUCCAUGUAGCUCUAACAAUUUAUAUGUUGGAUGUCUAUGGUUCACAAGUGCGCAUAUUGAUACUUUGUCGAACCAUCUCUAUUCUCAAUGGUCAUUGUCUAUUCAUAUACGAAGGCACAUGUGCGUGCAAUGUAGAAUCUAUCUUCUUGGUAUACAUAUGUAGAUAUACAAGAUAAAAAGUUGAUGUUGUAUGCGAUAUAAUAAUGACAUUGUACUGAAAUCGUCGGCCGGAGUUGUAAUUGAAAAUGAAUGGUUCAUAUCUCAUAGAAUACAUGUCAAUUAGAUUUGAGCAUAUGAUUGAAUUGGUAGCUUGACAUAUGGUUCCAUGGCUUUUAUUCGAUUGGGACAUGAUGAGACAGAAUGAUCAAAUUACACAGUCACCAAAGCUGAUAGAUUCAUUAUGUUCUUGAAACAUUCGCUAGCCAUAACAUAUUCUUAGAUGUCAUUCAAGGGUUGUCGUGACCAAUAAUUUUUUCGGGAGUGUGAACCACCUAGGGUUUGGGCUAAUUGUUAAGCCUAAACUUAACUCGGGCUCUCCCAAGCCCAUACCAAUUGGCUCUCCCAAGCCCANNNNNNNNNNNNNNNNNNNNNNNNNNNNNNNNNNNNNNNNNNNNNNNNNNNNNNNNNNNNNNNNNNNNNNNNNNNNNNNNNNNNNNNNNNNNNNNNNNNNNNNNNNAAUUUAUGUCAAAUCAAGGAUCCUAAGCAUGAGAUGAUAUAUUCUAAAUAAUUUUUUUAUUUUCCAUGAGAUUCGAAAUUAAAAAAAAAAUGCAACACUUAAAUAUGCAAUCUAAAUUAAUCUAAUGACCUAAUUCUAAUGACGGGCAAUUUCUAAUUAAAUGCAUCUAACAAAAAUCACUAAAUGACGUGCAUUGUAUGAAACUAAUUCUAUAUGACGUGCACAUGAUUUUUAUUUUCCUAAUAAGCAUGCAAUCUAUUUAGGAGAAAUUAUCUAAACCUAUAACAUGCAAUCUUAACAUGCAAUGACGUGCAAAGAAUGCCCUAAUUCUACAUGACAUAUGCAUAAUGACUUUUUUUUUUUGUGUUUUUCCUUUUUUCCCUUUUUUUAAAAUUUCGAAAUUAAUAAUUGCCAGAUAAUUAAACAUGCAAUCCAAGUUUUAAAAAAAAAAACUAGCAACCUAAAUUAAUUGAUUUGAUUUUUUUUUUUUGAAAAUUCGAAAUAAAAUACCUAUUAUGAACAUGCAAACCCUAAAACUACAUUUUUUUUUAUUUUUUAACGAAAACUAAUUUAAGUAACACCACAACAAAUCAAGCCAUAUUGAUACCCAAAUCGACGAACCAUAUCUCGAGCAUGAGAGCGGGUUAGCCAAUUUCACAUAAAUCACAAAUCGGAUCUCGAGCGGGAGAUCGGAUUGGCAAUUUUUUUAAGUAAUUGCGAGUCGGAUUUCGAGCUUGAAAAUCGGACUAACAAUCACUAAUUUCAAGGCAAUUUCAUAUCAUGGAAUUUCAAUUUCACAUUAAAGGAAUAAUUACACUAAAAAGAUAAAAUAAAAUAGCAAAAAUAAUAAAACAAAAAUAAGAUAAAGAAAAUACCUAAAUUUUCAUUUGCUUUUCUCUUUUUUUAUUUUCUUUUUUUUUCUGAAAAAGAAAAAGAAAAAUAAAUCUGGUGGCCGGUCCGGCGAGGGGAGAUCGCCGGCUAGGGUUCCGACGAGGGCACCGAGAGCGGCGCAACGGCAGCACAGCAACAGGAGCUUCGGGAAUCGGCGCGGCGGCGUCACGGGUCUAGCUGGGCGCGAGCGUCACGGGCGAGGGACUCCGAGCGCGGGCUGAGGCAGGGUGAAGACGGCGUCAGGGCGGCAAGGCAGCAGGGAGCAUCACGAGUGGCACGGCGAGAUUGGCGAGCAGUGUUGCGGGCGGAGCAGGAGGUUCGGAUCUCCUGGCGUCGGGUCACCGAUUGCAAGCGGAGCGCGACGGAGCAGGGGGCUUCGGAUUGACGCGGGCUCAUGGGUGGAGGUUCGGAGUGGCGGUCCCGGACUCCGGUGCUGUAGAUUGGCGACGGGGUGGCGCAAGCUUUGGCGAAGCGGCGGUGCUGCUCGUGGAGGCGGUGGAGCAUCGGGGCGGCUCGAGCUUCAGGCGCCGGGGCUCGCAGUGGAAGUCAGCGAGAGGUUGCACGCGGAGCGGCGUGCGGCUGACUGACGUCUGGGCUCGGAUGCCAGCACGGGCGAGCGGGGACGACACGGUCGGACGCCGGAGGGAGCGAACGUGAUGGCUCGACGGAUGGACCCCCCCCCCUUUUACUUUUUGCUCGGUGUAUUUUAUAGGCCCAAAAAAUGUAUGCUCACGACAUAUAUUUUUUCCUUUUUGCUUGCGCACGAUACCUCUAAAUAUGUCGUUGAACCAUACAUAUUCCGUGCAAUAUUCCCUUUUGUAUUUCUCGCAUAUUCUAUCCAGAAAAAUUCCCUUUUUGCACGAAAUACACCCCUAGUGUAUAUUACUUAAAAAUAUGAAAAGCUUGAACGGAAUAUGUGAAAAAUCUUUCCUUCACCGGCAGCCUAAAAUAAAACAAAAAUGAAAAUAAAAUGUUUCUAAACUAUAUGCCAUGUGUGUUUUUUUAUUUUUUUAUUUUAUUUUUAUUUAGCAAAAAUUAACCCCAAAAAUUUAGGUGUCAACAGCUGCCCCUCUUUGAAGGUGAGCUCGCAGAGGUUGCCUUCAAAGAUAAAUUGAUACCUAAAUUUUGGGAAUGCUCAUGCAAUGAAUGAUUUUUUGUUGGAACAUGAAUUCCAUUUUUAAUGCAAUUUAUAUGAUGCAUGAAAAUGCAAACGCAAAUGAUAGAUGAACCUACCUAAAAUAACUUACCUUCGACGAGGAUAGAGUAAUUCGAGGUAGUGGGUGUUACCUGUCUAGGACCCGUACCAUUAUACGGUCGCCUAGAAUAGUAAUAUGACUUUUUGAAGAUGCUGCUUUCCCAGGACCCGUACCAUUCUACGGUCGCCCAGUAUGGCAGAAAUGAGCUGCUUUCUCAAGACCCGUACCAUUCUACGGUCGCCCAAUACGGCAGAAAGGUUCUGUAAGGAACUGCUUUCCCAGGACCCGUAUCAUUCUACGGUCGCCCAGUACGGCAGAAAGGUUUUGUCUAGGACCCGUAUCAUUCUACGGUCGCCUAAACGGGGAUUCAUUUUCUAGGACCCGUACCAUUCUACGGUCGCCUGAAUAAGGAAUAGGUGUUGUCAAGGACCCGUACCAUUCUACGGUCACCUCGACGAAGAAAAUUAUUUUUCUAGGACCCGUACCAUUUUACGGUCGCCUGAAUGAGGAAAUUGCUUUUCAAGGACCCGUACCAUUCUACGGUCGCCUGUUAGAGCAAUAAAUGUUGUCUAGGACCCGUACCAUUCUACGGUUUCCUAGAUUGAGGUUUUGCUUGGCUAGGACCCGAACCAUUCUUCGGUCGCCCAACCUUGGGACAGAAAUCAUCCGACCAGGACCCGAACCAUUCUUUGGUCGCCUUAAUCAGAUUGAACCUGGAGGAAAAAUCUUUGGGGGACAACUCAAUUGAGUGUUGGUAUUCUUAAAAGGGAAUACCUGUGCAAUGACAAGUAUUCAAGGUAUGGAUAGAGAUAUACUUACCUGGUAAUAUCUCCAAUCUUCGGGGAUACAUCUCCUGCAAAACAUGGUCGUAGGAGAGGCAACAUGCAUUUGUAAUCAUAAACAUGCAUCAAUAUAAUUGAGGUUCAUGAUGAUUUCCAUUAAUCUUGCAUCACCUAAUUUCCAUUAUGAAUACAUGAGUGUCGUGAAUGUGUCAAAUGAGGGAUCAUUUGGUCUGAAAGGACUUUUCUCUCAUCCUCAUUAAAAUGGCAAUUUCAUCCUGACCUUUGAUGCAGGAUUUUUUCAAUCACUCUAUCUCACCAUCGUCAUGCCAAACAAGGGUCUGAGCAAUCUCGUAAGUGGUACGAUCUCACCAAUCUGAGAGGUCUUUAAGAGGGAUCGUAAUGUGGGUUUGGUCAACGGCUUAACAAAGAGGACUCUUUGAGUCGAGGCUAUUUGAAAAAUGACAUUUCAGAAUUGUCCUGGGAUUUUCAAGUCAAGAAACAUAUGAAAUGAGACAAAAAUAAUCUUACUCGCACUUCUUCAAGCGAUGCUUUUAAGCAUAUCAACUCUUACGUUAAUUCAAGUGCCCUAAUCUGAAGAGACUUUGCAAGGGACGUAACGUAGAUUUGAUUCAUGGGUUGUGAAAUGAAAGGAUCAUUAGGCUCAAAAAAUGUUUAGAGGGUCAAAGUUGGUGAUCGUCUUGACAUUUCCACCACUUUCCUUCUCCAUUGUCGGAGAUUUUUUUUUUUUUGCACUCAUUGAUUGCAACAGCAUUUGAGUUUUUUUUUUUCUUUUUUUUUUCUUUUGGACAUCGGCCUUGCUUCGACCAGGCACACUGCUUUUUUCAUGCCCCAUUUUUGCAUUUUUUUUAACAAAAUCUCCAUUUUUGUCGGUAUUCUAGUUCAUGCUACUUGAGUAUUUUUGUCUUGCCCCAGUGUGGGGGAUGAUCACAAACUGGGUUUAAUAUGAAAUGAAUUCAUAAGCUCAAGUGGGCUAUGCAAUGGAUAAAAGUGUGUAGGAUAGAGAAAUGAUUGCUCUUCAUCAUCCUAAGGCACUUUAAAUUUAAUACGAGUUACAAUGUGAAAGCAACACUCAAAGAUUGAUGCAAGUGUGAGUAAGAAAAUUCUUUUCAUUCAUUUCAAACUUUGUCCCAAUGUGGGAUGAUCCUUAAUAGGGAUGAUUUAAAAAUUCUUCAUGUGUGUGGGCUCGAAGGGCUAAACAAUGGGUAUACUUGUGGUGUUUUGGGUAGAGAAAGAACUGCCUCUCGUCACCUUGGUUAGUGUACCCUUUGCGAGAUCACCCUCUUCCUUGCGGGCAUGGAACUCUUCCACACAACUCACCAAGGAUUAAUGUAUGGGAUAGUGUAUGGAACAAGGCUUUCCUUUCAUCAUUCCAAGGUAUCUCAUUUGACACAUUCAAUUUAUUUCACACAAUUCAUCAAGGAAGAAAAAUGCAAGAUUCAUAACAAAUUUGAACAAUUCAAAUGAUUGAGGCAUUUUAUUAGUCACAAAAAUACUUGCAAUUCAAGACAAGACAUGGCAAAUUCUAUCAUGGAUAAUACUUCUUAACAGCAUCAGCAUUAACUGGAGUGGAAAACUUACGACCAUCCAUCUCUGUUUGGAUCAAGGCACCUCCAGGAAGUACCUUCUUCACCACAUAUGGGCGGCUGCAGUUUGGAGCAAACUUGCCCCCAGAAUUUGGAAUUAGAUUGGAUCAUCUUCACACCAUCUCUGAAACAGAAUGUAGAUGGAUCAAAAAGACAAACAAGGUAAAUCAUAUUUUUUUGAAAGAUUUUUUUUUUUUUGAAGAAAUUUUUGAAAAGCAAAUGGAAAAGUAGCAUUUUGACACGAGAAAGCAUGAUGAAGCCCAGGCCUCAGAAUUCUCCUUGAAUUUUCUUUUUCUUUUAUCGGCUGGAUAUCAUCACCGGGCUGGUUUGGUGUACCUCAUCAUGCCCUCAAAAUAAAAAUUGUAAUUUUAUUGAUAUUCAUCAAUCAAUUACAUUUAUUGAAUGGAAAUGUGAUUUUCAAGCCCUAAAAAGAAAGCGAAAAAGAAAGAAAUAAAAAACAAGCCCUAGAAAACGAUAAAAAUUCCCGCGCAGGGGAAUGUGAGAAAGUAGUAAAUGAGUUACUCUUGUGGGCCAGAGCCCAUCCCCUCUGGAGGUCCUUCAUCAAUGGUCACUAUGAAGACGUCAUCGAAGAGACUAGAGAUUCCUUCCAAUGCAUCUUCGGGGUUUUCCGUCUCCAGGGGUGUCGGAUCAUCCAUGCCACCCCAUCCAUCUGGGACAAUGUCGCGAGGAUCAAUGUAGAAACUGGGAGGAGCCGAAUACUUUACCAAAUAGUCGAAUUUUCCGCUUGGCUGCCCCAGGGUGUCCAUUAUUUCUGCCUCAUCAUGCAUCAUUAUCGGAGGAUCGGGGAAUGUCUCGCGAAUGUUCAGGGGUAAUGGGUUUUGCCUCCCUCGCCCUUGGUUAGGGGGCAGAUUCCGUCGUUCCUAUCUUCGUCCUCCAGAACUUUCCCCACCUCUUCCAUGGUACCCUAAUCCAGCAGCACGGGACCUUUGAGGGGCUUCAUUGGGACUUCGAACACCUUGACCAUUUCUUUCAAUGCCACUACCAGGAACAAAACCAUUCCCAAUCGUCACCCUUCCCAUCAUAAGGGCAACAUUUGAAAUUUUAGGAGCGGGUGGUGAAUCUCGAGAUGCAUGUAUGGUGGAUACCAACUCCAAUGACUGGUAACUCGAUUCGACUUCAACGUCUGGAUCCAAAAAAUCAUUGACCAUACCCUCAUGCUCUGGUAGUGGAUUCUUCUGGACAUUCCGCCGAGCAGUUUGAAAUGAGAAGGCCUUUGUGUCUAAGAGGUUUUGAAUCUUAUGCUUGAGAGUGAAACAUUCAUCAGUUGAAUGCCCUAAUUCGCCGCUAUGGUAAUCACACUUCUUCAUCGGGUCGUAGCCUCGGAUGCUUUCACGAUUAGGACGCUUCAGCUCAUUAGUAAGCAAACCUUUCUUUCUUAGGAUUGCCAACACUUGGGAUGGAGAUCCAGGGAGAGGGGUGAACUCUCUUCUUGCUUGGGCAGCUUGUUGCCUUUGAUUCAUUUGGAUAGUCAGGGCACGAUCGGUACUUUCUUGGCUAUAAGCCAUAUUCACAUCUUCAGCAGGCUCUUUAUCCUUCUUGGCAAAGAAUCUUCUACUCGAUGGCUCAGAAAACCAUCCUUCCUUUAUCCCCAUCUCGAUCUGUUCUCCUACAGGAAUAAGCUGAUUGAAGCUCUCAACAUACGUACUGGCCAUUCGAUUACGGAACUCAAAUGGAAGGGUCUUCACGAACAACUUCAUCAACUCCUUGUUGGUAGGCUCAGGAGUAAUUUGAGCCGCCAAGUUUCUCCAUCUCACAGCAUAUUCUUUAAAUGACUCACUCCUUUUAUUUUCCAUCCGCUCCAGGUCUUCUCAGGAAGGCGCGAUGUCCAUGUUGAACUUGUACUGUUUGAGGAAUGUGUCCGCCACUUCGUUCCAGGUUUCGAGGAGGUUUAUGUUCUUCAUCACGUACCAAUUUAGUGCGGGCCCGGUCAAACUUGCAUGAAACGAUUGGAUCAUAAGGGGCUCAUUUUUUACGUGCUGGGCCAUGCACACGUGAUACAUCUACAAAUGAGACUUUGGACAAGAUGUCCCGUCAUACUUCUCGAACUCCAGCAUUUUGAACUUGCUCGGCAUUUUAACCUUCUCAUAGACCGAGAGGUCAAACGGGAGUGAGCUUUGAGACUCCUGCAGCUGUCUCACUUUCUCUUCCAGCUUCGCAACACACUCAUCCUGAUCUGUCUUGGGAAUCAUGUCAUCUUCCAGCUCGAGCAUUUCAUCAUCACUCAUUUGGGCCCUAUUUGCUUGCCUCGAGACUACUAUCUCAGGGAGAGCAGGUGGAGGAAUCGGGUUCACUUGGAGGGAUUGAAGUUGAGCUGUUACAAGCUGCAUGGAAGUGGCUAACUGUUUGAGUUGAUCUUCCAUGGAGGACAUGCGAUCGCGCAUCUCGCUUUGGUCAGCCAUUUUAGCCUUUGAUCGCGUAAUAACAGGAGAUCGCGGAGGAUCCGUUGUUACCUAAAGAAAGAGGGAACGUAAGAACCAGUGGUAGGAUAGAAAAUGGCCCAUGACAACGGUCUAAUCGCCCGAUUUUAUUCAAAAUUCACUAGAAACAUUAAAGCAAAAAAUGAAAAUUCAAGUCCCUAAACAUUGAACUAAAAACAUUGAAUUGAAAAUCGAAAUCAAACUUCCUAGACAUCGGACUAAGAAUCAAAAUUCAAAAGAUCUCAUUUUAUAUGCUUUCGGGAUUUCAACGCCUUGCGAAGCUUCUUAUUUUCAGCUUCAAUCAUUUCCACUUUCCGCUUAAGAUGCUCAAUUUGUGCUCGCUGAGUGGGCUUCUCAGUCACAUCUGGCACUACUGGACGCAAGGUCGCAGGAAUCCGGUGUUGUUGAAUGUAGAAUGCCGACGCAUGGUGGAGUUCCUCUUCCCCUUUCAGUCUUUUGGGCACCAAAAUCUUCUCUGGGUGGCAUUCAUUCCAUGUGGCAAUGAUCAUCUGGAUCUUGUUGAAGUAGUUAUAGUCUGUUCGAACAAAAUGAACCUGGAACAUCUCUAUCUUGAAUGGUGGAGGAACUUCCUGAAGAGCUUUGUACUGGCAGGCCACCCUAUAUGGGUAAUAAGAAGUCGCACCAGAAAGACCCAACAACGGGAUGGGCUCAUCAUGCUUGUGUGAGAAACGAGCCUCCUCAACUCGAAACCAUUUAGUAUGCCAUAGGAAUGCCUUAGGAUUAGGAUUUUUCAAAAAAUUAAUCCAACGAGCGUACUGUUUAUUUGGAGAAAAACGCUCUAAGACCGCAAAUUUUUGUAUGGGAUGCCUAAAAUCAUCAAUCUUAAAUUGUUUCAUGAGGUGCCCAAAUCCUCUUAUGUGGGAGAAAAACCAUAUUUGUAAAAGUUCGGGGAGGGCACGCAUGGUAUUUUCUUCAUUUUGUUUGAAACGGUUUAAUGACAAAAAUGUUUCAGCUAAAACCAUAUUGACAUAAUUUAAGCCAUCACAAACACGAUUAACCACCCAUGAAAUUGAAGGAUUAAUGGCAUUUCUUCGAUAAGGAAAAACAAUUAGCCCGAAAAAUGCUAACAUGAAGAUCCUAGCUUUUGAAAUCAUUGAUUGAUUUGCGAAACAUUUUUCCAAAAACGAAAAUGGGCAUGCAAAACAAUUGGCUUUGACAACUUUCCUCACUCUUUCGGCUUUGGUUUCUAAAAACUGUGAUAAUUCAGAAAUAGAAUCUAUACCGAUAGGCGGUCUAACAAGCUCCUUUUCCAGGGGCAUUCCAAGGGCAACACUAUAUUCUUCUAGUGUUGGCGUUAAUUCGUACUCACCAAAUAUGAACGUGGAAGUUUGUGGACACCAGAAGUGAGGAAGUGCUUGUAUCACACUAGAGUGGAUGUUGAUCUCCAAUAGUGGGAGAAGUCGGGCAAUCCUAGUCUUCACAUACCUCUGGCCCUCUUGAUCUAAUUGAUCCAGCCACAUCUUGAGCUCUUUUUUGGGAGUGGAAAUGAAUUGUACGUCGGUCCUCCCCAUAGCAUAUAAAAAAGAUUGGUGACGAAACCUAUUGUCACGGACCGACAAAAUUGCAAUAAAGUAAGUAAAUUGCAAAGUAAGAAUUUAGACAACUUACUUUCACCGGAGGGGAUGACAAGCACAUAGACACACGCAUGAAAUGUGAGGCUCGAUUUCUAUCUAAAUGGCUUAACAAAGUGGAGCUAAGAGGAUGAUCUGACCGUUGCAGUCUCGCAUUAACGUGUCAGGUCCCCGUAAUUCCGGCUCAGUCGAAUGGAAUGUCCAAUAGUCACGCAGUCUCGUGGAUAUGGACAAACACAUUCGACACCAUGAAAAGACUUUCGGGGAAGAGAAGGUCAACCUCUACACAGCAGUCUCGCUUUGGAGGAAGUAUCCUUCUCAACAUCAUCCUAGAAAUCCUAUCGCAGCCCAGGUCCGACCACAGGUUGUGUGUGCAAUAGUGUAGUGCUAAAAACAAUAAAUCAUGCACAACAGUUUGAAUGCAAACAACACUUCUAAUCAUGGAAAAAUAAAUCAUUAAUCUCACACUCCAACCUGCAAGACAAAGGUUAGCAUAAACUACUCCCCUUAUACCUCCCAUCUGCAAGAACAUUUAACACCUUAGAAAUGUUAGGGACGUACCUGGGAUCCUCCCUGCCAAACAAAAACAUUUUUAAAAGAAAAUUGGCCUAAGUCCACUAAGUUUUUCAACACAAGUCCCCAGCGGAGUCGCCAAGCUGUCGCGACCAAUAAUUUUUUUCGGGAGUGUGAACCACCUAGGGUUUGGCUAAUGGAUUGUUAAGCCUAAACUUAACUCGGGCUCUCCCAAGCCCAUACCAAUUCACGACUUAGAUUCGAGUUCUUAACAUGCAAUUGAUUUUCAAUUAGGAGUCGCCACUAAUCUAUUUUUGGUGGGUCGAUUAGAAACCCAAGUAAAGUAAUGGGAGAUUUACUUUACUCCUACGAACCAGAGAUUAUGGGUACGGGGACUUGGUUACACUAGAUUUCUCUAAUGCCCUUUCGGUACCUUUAUCUUUUAUUUUGAAAAAAUUGUUUGGCAAGCAACUUGAAUUGAUUUUAAUUCCUUAACAUGUGAGGUGACCAUGCAGGUGCGCAAACCACCAAUUUAACACUCAAGAAAGCAAAUGAAUAAAUUGCAGGGCUUACCUCAUAGCAACGAAAGCAUCUGCGUUGUUAGUUUAGAAUUCACAUCAGCAGUCCUAAAUAUGAUUUCUAAUUAACACGCAAUUUCUUUUUUUUUCUUUUUUGUUUUCACUUAAUUAAUGAGAAUCAUGUAAUAUGCAAUGCAUGCCACUAAUUUAACAUGAAAUGAUAUGACAUGGCAACAUGACUUAGCUAUAUGACCUAAGCAAUAUGACAUAACUAUGCAUGUAGUCUAUCCUAAGCAUGAGAUGAUAUAUUCUAAAUAAUUUUUUUAUUUUCCAUGAGAUUCGAAAUUAAAAAAAAAAUGCAACACUUAAAUAUGCAAUCUAAAUUAAUCUAAUGACCUAAUUCUAAUGACGGGCAAUUUCUAAUUAAAUGCAUCUAACAAAAAUCACUAAAUGACGUGCAUUGUAUGAAACUAAUUCUAUAUGACGUGCACAUGAUUUUUAUUUUCCUAAUAAGCAUGCAAUCUAUUUAGGAGAAAUUAUCUAAACCUAUAACAUGCAAUCUUAACAUGCAAUGACGUGCAAAGAAUGCCCUAAUUCUACAUGACAUAUGCAUAAUGACUUUUUUUUUUGUGUUUUUCCUUUUUUCCCUUUUUUUAAAAUUUCGAAAUUAAUAAUUGCCAAAUAAUUAACAUGCAAUCCAAGUUUUUAAAAAAAAAAACUAGCAACCUAAAUUAAUUGAUUUGAUUUUUUAUUUUUUUUUGAAAAUUCGAAAUAAAAUACCUAUUAUGAACAUGCAAACCCUAAAACUACAAUUUUAUUUAUUUAUUUUGUAACGAAAACUAAUUUAAGUAACACCACAGCAAAUCAAGCCAUAUUGAUACCCAAAUCGACGAACCAUAUCUCGAGCAUGAGAGCGGGUUAGCCAAUAUUACAUAAAUCACGAAUCGGAUCUCGAGCGGGAGAUCGGAUUGGCAAUUUUUUUUAAGUAAUUGCGAGUCGGAUUUCGAGCUUGAAAAUCGGACUGACAAUCACUAAUUUCAAGGCAAUUUCAUAUCAUGGAAUUUCAAUUUCACAUUAAAGGAAUAAUUAAACUAAAAAGAUAAAAUAAAAUAGCAAAAAUAAUAAAACAAAAAUAAGAUAAAGAAAAUACCUAAAUUUUCAUUUGCUUUUCUCUUUUUUUCUUUUCUUUUUUUUUUGAAAAAGAAAAAGAAAAAUAAAUCUGGUGGCCGGUCCGGCGAGGGGAGAUCACCGGCUAGGGUUCCGGCGAGGGCACCGGGAGCGGCGCGACGACGGCACAGCAACAGGAGCUUGGGGAAUCAACACGGCGGCGUUGCGGGUCUGGCUGGGUGCGAGCGUCGCGGGCGAGGGACCCCAAGUGCGGGCUGAGGCAGGGUGAAGACGACGUCGGGGCGGCGAGGCAGCAGGGAGCGUCGCGGGCGGCACGACGAGAUUGGCAAGCAACGUCGCGGGCGGAGCAGGAGGUUCGGAUCUCCUAGCGUCGGGUCACCGAUUGCAGGCGGAGCGCGACGGAGCAGGGGGCUUCGGAUCGACGUGGGCUCGUGGGUGGAGGUUCGGAGUGGCGGUCCGGGACUCCGGUGCUGCAAAUCGGCGACGGGGCAGCGCGAGCUUCGGCGAAGCGGCGGUGCUGCUCGUGGAGGUGGUGGAGCAUCGGGGCGGCUCGAGCUUCAGGCGCCGGGGCUCGCAGUGGAAGUCAGCGAGAGGCUGCAGGCGGAGCGGCGUGCGGCUGACGGACGUCGGGGCUCAGAUGCCGGCAUGGGCGAGCGGGGACGGCACGGUCGGACCCCGGAGGGAGCGAACGGUAAUGCCCCCGCCAAACCCCCCCCCCCCCCCCGGCGAGGAAGAUGAACAGUCGCGUGAGGGGCUUUUCUUUUCCUCUUUUUUUUUUUUUCUCACGUCACUUUUUUUCUUCUUUUUUUUCUCGAUCUCUCACCUCACGUCUACUCUCUGCUCUUUUUCACCUUUUGUCUUUUUGUGUUCUUUUUUCUUUCACUCGAUGGAAUGGACCCCCCCUUUUACUUUUUGCUCGGUGUAUUUUAUAGGCCCAAAAAAUGUAUCCUCACGACAUAUAUUUUUUCCUUUUUUGCUUGCGCACGAUACCUCUAAAUAUGUUGUUGAAGCAUACAUAUUCCGUGCAAUAUUCCCUUUUGUAUUUCUCACAUAUUCUAUCCAGAAAAAUUCCCUUUUUGCACGAAAUACACCCCUAGUGUAUUUACUUAAAAAUAUGAAAAGCUUGAACGGAAUAUGUGAAAAAUCUUUCCUUCACCGGCAGCCUAAAAUAAAACAAAAAUGAAAAUAAAAUGUUUCUAAACUAUAUGCCAUGUGUGUUUUUUUAUUUUUUUAUUUUUAUUUUUAUUUAGCAAAAAUUAACCCCAAAAAUUUAGGUGUCAACCAAGGUUUAUAGGAAUCAAAGAUUGAUCAAGACAAUCAAUUCUCUUGGUUGUGCUAAUGUGUUGGUAUAAGUCUUGUUGCUAGUUCGGUGAUGAACCUAAGGAUAUUACACACUAUAACCAAUUGGAAUGACGUUUGAAUGAGAGAGAUGAUAUUGCAAAUGUGUUUGCAAUUGAGCCAAUUAGAUUGAGUCAGGCUGAAAAUAAAAGAUCUGAAAGUGGCUUCCGAUUUUAUGGACAAAUCAAAGAUCUAAAGCAUGUUUCAAAAUUUAUAGUAGAAUCAAAGAUCUAAAGUGGGUUCAUAUUUAAUGACCGAAUUAAUAAUUUGAAGUGAGUUCAGAAUUAAUAGCCACAUUAAUGAUUUAAAGUGAAUUCAAAAUUAAUUGCAUCAUUAAUGAUUUAAAGUGAAUUCGGAGUCAAUAGUCAAUAAUGAUUUGGAACGGUUUCAGACUUAAUGACUAAAUUAAAUAUCUAAAACAAUAGUUUUAACGAUCACAUUAAUGAUUUGAAAUGAUUUUAGAAUCAAUGGGCAGUUUAAUGAUCUAAAACAAUUUCAUAUUCAAAUGACCAAUUAAUAAUUUAAAACGGUUUCAAAUUUAAUGGUCAAAUUAAAUAUUUGUAACGGUUACAAAAUUAAUGCACGAAUUAAUGUCUGAAACGGUCUCUGAACUUACGUCCCUCAAAUGAUAUGAUCGAAUUAAUUCUCUAAAAUAGUUUUAGAAUUAAUAAACCGAUUUAAAGGUGAUCUGAGAUUAAUUAUAAAAGGCAAUUGAGAGAGCUGAUCACAAGAUGAUUGACAAUCGACAAUUAAAAGUGUUAAUAGUGAUCGACUAAGUCAUUCACACACGAGAACAAUUGCUAGCGCAAUUGUAAUGGUGAGAUCUCUCAAUUUAUCUCUACUAUUCAAUGUAAGAUUGGUGGUGUGUUUGAAUUAGAGGCUCGACAUUUGUGGGGCUGGAUUUGAAGAACAUCAGAACCUGCAUUACGAGGAGAUCAGACAUUUAUAGUCAGAAUCUGAAGAAUGUUAGAACUAGUAUUAUCAGAAGACAUUAGACAUUCGUGCUUAGAAUUCCAAUAAUGUCAAAAUUAGUGUUGCCAGAAGAUCAAACAUUCAUAGUCAAAAUCUAAAAAAUGUUGGAAUCAAUGUUAUGAGGACAUCAGACGUUUGUGGUCAAAAUCUGAGGAACAUUAGAAGCAAAUUUUUGGAGCACGGUCCAAGAUGUGUGAUUAGCCCAUUUAUCACUUCUAUGUACUUUUAUUAAAAUGCAUGAACAAUGCUUUGAAAAUACGUGUAUGGACAUUUUUACUUUUGUUACUUAUCAUUUUGAUUCAAAUUUAUCUAUGUAUGUAUUCUUGUUUAUCAAAACAAAUCCCAACAUUGUCUUCAUGUGGGGUCAAUAUGGCAGAUGUGUCACUUGAAGGUCAAUCACUCUCUCUCUCUCUCUCUCUCUCUCUAAGUUUGAACUUUUAAUAUGCAUACUAUCUGUAUGACAGAGACUACCAAAGACAAGCAGAUUCGACAUAAUCCUAAAAGAGAGAUGCCAGAAUGGAUUUUCCACGAUAAAGGGGUUCAACAUCUUUCAUAAUUCCCGAGGACUUGUAUGACAAGUCUUUGAGACUAGCACUCUCUAGCGUUCUUGGCUUGGAAGAAGAAGUGGCCGAUGCUUCAUGUGAGGUCUGGUCCUUAGCAAUACCUUAAAAGGCUAUGACCACCAGGAAAGUCUGAGUAGAGGUAGGGAUUCGAGCCUCAAAAAAGAUAUCGACCCCAUUGUCCGUCCCGGCCACAAACCCUUUAAGGAGUACGGGCAGGCAGCUCUGAUCCCCGGAAUCUGAUCAUGUGAGGCUUGAAUAUUUACCACUCGUUAGACUGUGUGAACCACGGACGCUUCUGCAAAAGGAUUGGUGUCAUUGCCAAGUUUGCUUCAAAGCAAUGAAAGUAAGCACAAAGAAGUGUGGAUUUUGUCUAACGUGCAAGUCCAACACCAUCAACCGAUAUUAAAAAAAAAAAUGGAGUUUUAAGGAAAUAGACUCAAACGAAGACAAUUGUCAAUAGACACCGAGGAAAAAUAUAGUCCAGUGGAACAAAACUUAAACAAAGAAGAUGAAAUGGUCUUUACCGUGGCAAGAGUAUGGCUAGCAAAACAUGCUUGUCAAAUUGGUCAUGACUUGUUGAGUAAAUGAUUCCAGGUGAUUUUGAUUCCAAUGUCUCUCACUUUUCCCUUUUUUCGUCUCUACUAGAAAUUUGAAAAUGUCUGCUCUUUCAACCAGAAUUUAAAAUAACUAUGAAAUAGAGGUUUCACCUCAUGUUGCUGACAUGGUUGAGCAACUUCUUCGUUUUCCUCUCUUUUUUUAUGAUUUGUGAUGCUGAGUGCAUAAAUUCAAAAUUAAAUGGAUGCUUGUUGAAUGCCCAUUGGUCUUCCAAGUUGCUCUGUGUAAUUUAUCAUAUGGACCUCUGUCACCUCUCUUAAUUCAAUUAAUGAUGCCAGCACUACAUACUCUAAAAAUUUAGAUGGCAAGUUUUGCUCAAUCUAUAUCUUUGGGAAAGCGUUGAUUAAAUUGUCUCACUGAUCAAGAGGUACAAAGGGAGAGCUUUAUCUUUAAAACUUUGCAUUUAAGUCAAGGACACUGACAUUGAUAGGUACAAAGGGAUAUUAGUUGAUUCCUCCGUUGUGACUGGCAGAUUGCAUUAAUAGGUACAAAGGGAGAGCUUGAUCUUCAAGACUUUGCUUUUAAGUCAAGGACACCGACAUAAAGCAACUAGCAUUUGGUAAACACCUUGUAAAAUAUUUGCUGCAAAGAAAUUUUAAAAUAAGAAAAAAGAAAAGGAGAACAAAGGACUAUGUAGAUGCAAAUGAAAGCACAGGCGAGCGGCACAAUGGUGGGACUGAUUCUAAUGUUGCAUGACCCCAAGCGAUAUGUCAUUGAGGUCGAGCAAGCCCACACAACACAACGUCUGUGUUGUGGGACCUCAAGUGACACAUCGCCAAGGCCACUUGCUAGGUAACGUGACACUUGACCCUCAGCAAGCUAAAAUUGGCAUCGAGUGACCUUGACCAAGCUUCCCAGCAUUGUGCAACUAUCGACGAGCUAGAUCUAGUGUCAAGCAAUCCUCAACGAAAGUUGGGGACCUAUCUUGAGCUUUGAGUAUUUUCAAAACAAAAAUUUGUACAAAAAAUCUUUGAAAUUGUGUUACCAAAUGUCAAAACUUUGAAUCAAGGGCAUUUGGAGUCCCAAAACAGGUUAAUUCGGACACUCAAAAUUUUUAAUGGCCAAAUUAGAUGGGAUUGAAGCGGAAGGUGAAAUUGGAAUAUACCAAAAUUGCCUUUAUAUUCUUCAUCAGCUUACAUUAAAAUUCAAUAUUGUAGAAAUGACAUUUGCUGAUUUCUCAAUCCGACAUCUUACGCUAAAUAUAAGAUUACUAUAGUCUCCACACAAGUGACCUAAUCACAUUAUGAGAGAAUGAGAUAUAAAAGCUCAUUACUAAACUAUCACUUACAAUCAUUAAAGGUUCAAGAUCAUGUGCACCGGCAAUGUCUUUUUUCAAUAUCUAAUUUCUUGGAUCGUAACAUGUAUUCAGGUCUCGUAUGAUUCACCAAUCAUAACAUCACUCCUUCGCUCCCUCUCUCUCUCUCUCUCUCUCUCUCUCUCUCUCUCUCUCUCUCUCUCUCUCUCUCUCUCUCUCUCUCUCAUGUGCAAACAAAUUUAUACUCCACAAAGGACCGGAAAGAACUAUCAACGCUAGUGACCCUCUUUUGGAUGUCACCCCAUAAAGAGUAUUGUUGACAUCUGAAUUUUGUCCAUUGUUCAAGAGUCCAUUUUGGGCAAAAACAUAAAAGUGCAAAACAUAAAAGUGCAAAUAAUAAUAAUUAGAAUUAGUUCAGCCCAAAAUCUAAUCCCCUCAGCCCAUCUUUUAGUUCCCUUUGAGCCCAUUUCUUUUGUUCCUUUUGUUGUCCUCAAUAGCCCAUCUGAACUUAAAACAAGAAGGCCCAGCCCAUAUCCCAGGUUCCUUCUCUUUCGCCCACUCACGUCUGUGAGCGAAGAAGACGGCAUGCGCCGUGCGAUGCCCGAGCAAGAGAGGCGUCCGUGAGUCGUGUAAAUUAUUUAUAUGAAAUUUCGAGCCUAAUUCAUUUAUAUUUCAACAUAAUAAAGUUGAAUCCGGGAGCAACUUUUGAAUACUUCGAAUUUCUUUUCCAAAUGAGUUCAAGCAAGAAAUUCAAUUCUUGAUCAAGCUAAGCUCGAGUGAAGUUUCGAGCGAUCAAACACGUGAGUCGAGCUCGACAUUGCAUCACCUCGUCUCAAUGUGAUUAUCCUUCUAUCUCGAGGACUAAGCCUAGGACGCUAGCGCUUAGACUUGAUACCUAAAAGGUGGAUUUGCACGUUCUUUUUGCGCGUCCUAGGUAGCGUUCAUUUUGCGCGUCCUUGCGCGUCCUUUUUACGCGUGGGCCGCGCUGGACCCGAUACCUCACCGCCUAGUGGCCGCUUUCGUCUUCUGAGUCCUUGGCCGAUUCUUCAUCGUUCCAGAUUCGUCGGUCGAUCACGUCGAUCUCGCCCUCCAAACCCUGAGAGCGCUUGCUUCUUUGAAGCGAGCGAGAGCCAGAGCCGGGGCAUAGGGAAGAGAUCCUCCACUUCACUGCCGAUCGGGGAAGGGCAACCCCGGGUCAGAGGCCGCCCAGCAUCUCCGAGAGCAAAGCCCACUCUGCUUCAUCUUUAAGCCCUUGAUUUUCUUAGCAACACUCUCUCUCUCUCUCUCUCUCUCUCUCUCUCUCUCUCUCUCUCUCACUCUCUCUCUGUUCCCAAAAGCUAUGGCAUUUCUAGAAGAAGCACAUUUUCCCCAACCAGCUUCAUACUAAAUGGGAUGGCUUUUCUUCCAAAUUGGGGAAAAAAGGGAAUUUAUCUUUUGGAGAUUCCCUCCCGGUUUCCCAAAAGGGGACAAAAAUGGUCCCCCCCCAAGGGGCCUCCCCCCAAAUCUUUCCUCGAAAAGAGGGUUUUUUUUGGCCCCCAAAAAAGGGAAAAUUUUCCCCCCUUUUUUCAGGGAAAAAAGCGAAGGGACCCCUUUUAGGAAAAAAAGAGAGGAGGAAAAAAAAAUAGUCCGGGGGGCCCCCCCCGGGGGGGGGGGUAUUAAAAGGGGGAAAAAUUCCCCCUUUUUGGGGAAAUAUCCCCCGUUUUUUUUUUUUUGUGGAGGAAAGACCCGCCCCCCCCCCCCUCCCCCAAAUGUGGUUCUUCCCCCAAAAAAAAAAAACCCCCCCAAAAAAAAAUUUUUCUUUUGGGGGGCUUAAAAAGAGAGAGCCAAAAAAAAUUUCCCCCUCUUUUUUUUUUAUACCCCCCCCCGGGGGGUUGUUUUUUACANNNNNNNNNNNNNNNNNNNNNNNNNNNNNNNNNNNNNNNNNNNNNNNNNNNNNNNNNNNNNNNNNNNNNNNNNNNNNNNNNNNNNNNNNNNNNNNNNNNNNNNNNNNNNNNNNNNNNNNNNNNNNNNNNNNNNNNNNNNNNNNNNNNNNNNNNNNNNNNNNNNNNNNNNNNNNNNNNNNNNNNNNNNNNNNNNNNNNNNNNNNNNNNNNNNNNNNNNNNNNNNNNNNNNNNNNNNNNNNNNNNNNNNNNNNNNNNNNNNNNNNNNNNNNNNNNNNNNNNNNNNNNNNNNNNNNNNNNNNNNNNNNNNNNNNNNNNNNNNNNNNNNNNNNNNNNNNNNNNNNNNNNNNNNNNNNNNNNNNNNNNNNNNNNNNNNNNNNNNNNNNNNNNNNNNNNNNNNNNNNNNNNNNNNNNNNNNNNNNNNNNNNNNNNNNNNNNNNNNNNNNNNNNNNNNNNNNNNNNNNNNNNNNNNNNNNNNNNNNNNNNNNNNNNNNNNNNNNNNNNNNNNNNNNNNNNNNNNNNNNNNNNNNNNNNNNNNNNNNNNNNNNNNNNNNNNNNNNNNNNNNNNNNNNNNNNNNNNNNNNNNNNNNNNNNNNNNNNNNNNNNNNNNNNNNNNNNNNNNNNNNNNNNNNNNNNNNNNNNNNNNNNNNNNNNNNNNNNNNNNNNNNNNNNNNNNNNNNNNNNNNNNNNNNNNNNNNNNNNNNNNNNNNNNNNNNNNNNNNNNNNNNNNNNNNNNNNNNNNNNNNNNNNNNNNNNNNNNNNNNNNNNNNNNNNNNNNNNNNNNNNNNNNNNNNNNNNNNNNNNNNNNNNNNNNNNNNNNNNNNNNNNNNNNNNNNNNNNNNNNNNNNNNNNNNNNNNNNNNNNNNNNNNNNNNNNNNNNNNNNNNNNNNNNNNNNNNNNNNNNNNNNNNNNNNNNNNNNNNNNNNNNNNNNNNNNNNNNNNNNNNNNNNNNNNNNNNNNNNNNNNNNNNNNNNNNNNNNNNNNNNNNNNNNNNNNNNNNNNNNNNNNNNNNNNNNNNNNNNNNNNNNNNNNNNNNNNNNNNNNNNNNNNNNNNNNNNNNNNNNNNNNNNNNNNNNNNNNNNNNNNNNNNNNNNNNNNNNNNNNNNNNNNNNNNNNNNNNNNNNNNNNNNNNNNNNNNNNNNNNNNNNNNNNNNNNNNNNNNNNNNNNNNNNNNNNNNNNNNNNNNNNNNNNNNNNNNNNNNNNNNNNNNNNNNNNNNNNNNNNNNNNNNNNNNNNNNNNNNNNNNNNNNNNNNNNNNNNNNNNNNNNNNNNNNNNNNNNNNNNNNNNNNNNNNNNNNNNNNNNNNNNNNNNNNNNNNNNNNNNNNNNNNNNNNNNNNNNNNNNNNNNNNNNNNNNNNNNNNNNNNNNNNNNNNNNNNNNNNNNNNNNNNNNNNNNNNNNNNNNNNNNNNNNNNNNNNNNNNNNNNNNNNNNNNNNNNNNNNNNNNNNNNNNNNNNNNNNNNNNNNNNNNNNNNNNNNNNNNNNNNNNNNNNNNNNNNNNNNNNNNNNNNNNNNNNNNNNNNNNNNNNNNNNNNNNNNNNNNNNNNNNNNNNNNNNNNNNNNNNNNNNNNNNNNNNNNNNNNNNNNNNNNNNNNNNNNNNNNNNNNNNNNNNNNNNNNNNNNNNNNNNNNNNNNNNNNNNNNNNNNNNNNNNNNNNNNNNNNNNNNNNNNNNNNNNNNNNNNNNNNNNNNNNNNNNNNNNNNNNNNNNNNNNNNNNNNNNNNNNNNNNNNNNNNNNNNNNNNNNNNNNNNNNNNNNNNNNNNNNNNNNNNNNNNNNNNNNNNNNNNNNNNNNNNNNNNNNNNNNNNNNNNNNNNNNNNNNNNNNNNNNNNNNNNNNNNNNNNNNNNNNNNNNNNNNNNNNNNNNNNNNNNNNNNNNNNNNNNNNNNNNNNNNNNNNNNNNNNNNNNNNNNNNNNNNNNNNNNNNNNNNNNNNNNNNNNNNNNNNNNNNNNNNNNNNNNNNNNNNNNNNNNNNNNNNNNNNNNNNNNNNNNNNNNNNNNNNNNNNNNNNNNNNNNNNNNNNNNNNNNNNNNNNNNNNNNNNNNNNNNNNNNNNNNNNNNNNNNNNNNNNNNNNNNNNNNNNNNNNNNNNNNNNNNNNNNNNNNNNNNNNNNNNNNNNNNNNNNNNNNNNNNNNNNNNNNNNNNNNNNNNNNNNNNNNNNNNNNNNNNNNNNNNNNNNNNNNNNNNNNNNNNNNNNNNNNNNNNNNNNNNNNNNNNNNNNNNNNNNNNNNNNNNNNNNNNNNNNNNNNNNNNNNNNNNNNNNNNNNNNNNNNNNNNNNNNNNNNNNNNNNNNNNNNNNNNNNNNNNNNNNNNNNNNNNNNNNNNNNNNNNNNNNNNNNNNNNNNNNNNNNNNNNNNNNNNNNNNNNNNNNNNNNNNNNNNNNNNNNNNNNNNNNNNNNNNNNNNNNNNNNNNNNNNNNNNNNNNNNNNNNNNNNNNNNNNNNNNNNNNNNNNNNNNNNNNNNNNNNNNNNNNNNNNNNNNNNNNNNNNNNNNNNNNNNNNNNNNNNNNNNNNNNNNNNNNNNNNNNNNNNNNNNNNNNNNNNNNNNNNNNNNNNNNNNNNNNNNNNNNNNNNNNNNNNNNNNNNNNNNNNNNNNNNNNNNNNNNNNNNNNNNNNNNNNNNNNNNNNNNNNNNNNNNNNNNNNNNNNNNNNNNNNNNNNNNNNNNNNNNNNNNNNNNNNNNNNNNNNNNNNNNNNNNNNNNNNNNNNNNNNNNNNNNNNNNNNNNNNNNNNNNNNNNNNNNNNNNNNNNNNNNNNNNNNNNNNNNNNNNNNNNNNNNNNNNNNNNNNNNNNNNNNNNNNNNNNNNNNNNNNNNNNNNNNNNNNNNNNNNNNNNNNNNNNNNNNNNNNNNNNNNNNNNNNNNNNNNNNNNNNNNNNNNNNNNNNNNNNNNNNNNNNNNNNNNNNNNNNNNNNNNNNNNNNNNNNNNNNNNNNNNNNNNNNNNNNNNNNNNNNNNNNNNNNNNNNNNNNNNNNNNNNNNNNNNNNNNNNNNNNNNNNNNNNNNNNNNNNNNNNNNNNNNNNNNNNNNNNNNNNNNNNNNNNNNNNNNNNNNNNNNNNNNNNNNNNNNNNNNNNNNNNNNNNNNNNNNNNNNNNNNNNNNNNNNNNNNNNNNNNNNNNNNNNNNNNNNNNNNNNNNNNNNNNNNNNNNNNNNNNNNNNNNNNNNNNNNNNNNNNNNNNNNNNNNNNNNNNNNNNNNNNNNNNNNNNNNNNNNNNNNNNNNNNNNNNNNNNNNNNNNNNNNNNNNNNNNNNNNNNNNNNNNNNNNNNNNNNNNNNNNNNNNNNNNNNNNNNNNNNNNNNNNNNNNNNNNNNNNNNNNNNNNNNNNNNNNNNNNNNNNNNNNNNNNNNNNNNNNNNNNNNNNNNNNNNNNNNNNNNNNNNNNNNNNNNNNNNNNNNNNNNNNNNNNNNNNNNNNNNNNNNNNNNNNNNNNNNNNNNNNNNNNNNNNNNNNNNNNNNNNNNNNNNNNNNNNNNNNNNNNNNNNNNNNNNNNNNNNNNNNNNNNNNNNNNNNNNNNNNNNNNNNNNNNNNNNNNNNNNNNNNNNNNNNNNNNNNNNNNNNNNNNNNNNNNNNNNNNNNNNNNNNNNNNNNNNNNNNNNNNNNNNNNNNNNNNNNNNNNNNNNNNNNNNNNNNNNNNNNNNNNNNNNNNNNNNNNNNNNNNNNNNNNNNNNNNNNNNNNNNNNNNNNNNNNNNNNNNNNNNNNNNNNNNNNNNNNNNNNNNNNNNNNNNNNNNNNNNNNNNNNNNNNNNNNNNNNNNNNNNNNNNNNNNNNNNNNNNNNNNNNNNNNNNNNNNNNNNNNNNNNNNNNNNNNNNNNNNNNNNNNNNNNNNNNNNNNNNNNNNNNNNNNNNNNNNNNNNNNNNNNNNNNNNNNNNNNNNNNNNNNNNNNNNNNNNNNNNNNNNNNNNNNNNNNNNNNNNNNNNNNNNNNNNNNNNNNNNNNNNNNNNNNNNNNNNNNNNNNNNNNNNNNNNNNNNNNNNNNNNNNNNNNNNNNNNNNNNNNNNNNNNNNNNNNNNNNNNNNNNNNNNNNNNNNNNNNNNNNNNNNNNNNNNNNNNNNNNNNNNNNNNNNNNNNNNNNNNNNNNNNNNNNNNNNNNNNNNNNNNNNNNNNNNNNNNNNNNNNNNNNNNNNNNNNNNNNNNNNNNNNNNNNNNNNNNNNNNNNNNNNNNNNNNNNNNNNNNNNNNNNNNNNNNNNNNNNNNNNNNNNNNNNNNNNNNNNNNNNNNNNNNNNNNNNNNNNNNNNNNNNNNNNNNNNNNNNNNNNNNNNNNNNNNNNNNNNNNNNNNNNNNNNNNNNNNNNNNNNNNNNNNNNNNNNNNNNNNNNNNNNNNNNNNNNNNNNNNNNNNNNNNNNNNNNNNNNNNNNNNNNNNNNNNNNNNNNNNNNNNNNNNNNNNNNNNNNNNNNNNNNNNNNNNNNNNNNNNNNNNNNNNNNNNNNNNNNNNNNNNNNNNNNNNNNNNNNNNNNNNNNNNNNNNNNNNNNNNNNNNNNNNNNNNNNNNNNNNNNNNNNNNNNNNNNNNNNNNNNNNNNNNNNNNNNNNNNNNNNNNNNNNNNNNNNNNNNNNNNNNNNNNNNNNNNNNNNNNNNNNNNNNNNNNNNNNNNNNNNNNNNNNNNNNNNNNNNNNNNNNNNNNNNNNNNNNNNNNNNNNNNNNNNNNNNNNNNNNNNNNNNNNNNNNNNNNNNNNNNNNNNNNNNNNNNNNNNNNNNNNNNNNNNNNNNNNNNNNNNNNNNNNNNNNNNNNNNNNNNNNNNNNNNNNNNNNNNNNNNNNNNNNNNNNNNNNNNNNNNNNNNNNNNNNNNNNNNNNNNNNNNNNNNNNNNNNNNNNNNNNNNNNNNNNNNNNNNNNNNNNNNNNNNNNNNNNNNNNNNNNNNNNNNNNNNNNNNNNNNNNNNNNNNNNNNNNNNNNNNNNNNNNNNNNNNNNNNNNNNNNNNNNNNNNNNNNNNNNNNNNNNNNNNNNNNNNNNNNNNNNNNNNNNNNNNNNNNNNNNNNNNNNNNNNNNNNNNNNNNNNNNNNNNNNNNNNNNNNNNNNNNNNNNNNNNNNNNNNNNNNNNNNNNNNNNNNNNNNNNNNNNNNNNNNNNNNNNNNNNNNNNNNNNNNNNNNAUUGGUUUGGCAAAGGAAGUAGAAUCAUUGUUACGACAAGAGAUAAACAUUUACUAAUUUUGCAUGACAUAGAUUGUGUGUAUGAAGUUAAAACUUUAAAAGACGACGAAUCACGAGACCUUUUUCGUCAGCAUGCCUUUACAAAUAGCAAUGAAGUAAAAAUAAGAAGCGAUCUCAUUGAUGGAGCACUGCAUUAUGCUAACGGCCUCCCAUUAGCCCUGGAAGUGUUGGGCGCAUUCUUGCGUGGAAGAAAGGAACCUGCAUGGGAAAGUAUGUUGCGUAAACUCUCCAAAAUUCCUGAACCAACUAUUAAUCAAGUUCUCAAGAUAAGCUUCGAUGGAUUGGACGACAAUGAGAAGGAGAUUUUCCUCGAUAUUGCUUGUUUCUUUAAGGGGAAAAAUAUAAAGGACAUCAAGGAAGUUCUUAAUAGCUGUGAUUUUGACACAGCCAUAGGAAUAGAAAUUCUCAUUGAAAGGUCCUUGAUAAAAAAUGAGUAUGAGACCCUGCAAAUGCAUGAUUUGAUUCAGUUGAUGGGCCAGGAUAUUGUUAAUCAGGCAUGUCGUGAUGAUCCUGGGAAGCGAAGUAGACUAUGGCUUUUUGAAGAUGUUCAGUGCAUUCUAUGUGAAAAUACGGUAAGAGUUAUUUAUGUUAAUUUUGCUACAUAUCAGUUUUUACAUUACUCUUAUUCGGACAGUGUAAUGUAAAUCUUAACCGGAAAUUUUGUCUAACAACUGAAUUUGCUCUGUUAUGGAUAGGGGACGGAUGCAGUAAAGGCCAUAGUAUUGAAAUGGCCCCCACCAGAAGCGAUAAUCAUCAUUCCUAAUGCUUUCACAAAUAUGAAAAAGUUGCGAAUGCUCAUUUUGCUUGGAGUGCAUAUCUCUUCACAAGCUCAAGUACGUCUCAUGAGCUAAGAUGGCUUGUAUGGCCCAAUGCCCCAAAUCUAGAAUUUGGCUCUAGUGGAAAUAAACUUGUGAGACUCGAUGUCCCGAAAAGUCAUAUCAGACAAUUAGGGGGCAACUCUCAGGUAGGCCCUUAUGAUGAUUAGCUUUUCCUUUUUAUAGCUAUAAAAAAUAUUUGCAGAGCUGAAUAACUGCACUAGUAUGUUUUUGCAGAAAUUUAGAGAGCUGAAGUCCGUCAAUUUCUGUAAAUGCAAGUCCCUGGUUAGUAUUCACGACCUGUCAUCGGCUCCAAAUAUGGAGAAAUUGAUUCUUGAUGGGUGUGAAAGCUUGGUGGAGGUUCACCCAUCCGUUGGAGAUCUUGUCAAGCUGAAAGUUUUGUCGCUAGGAGGGUGCUUUAAUCUUAGAAAUUUUCCUAACACGCUGAAGACUAAAUCUCUUCAAACCCUUAAGCUCUAUGGUUGCUCUAAACUAGAAAAGUUCCCAGAUAUAGAUAGAAAGAUGGAACAUUUGGAAGUACUUCCUCUAUAUGGUACGGCUAUUAAAGAACUCCCUGCAUCAAUUGAAAAUCUUGUCUCUGUGAAGCGGAUAAAUUUAUCAUUUUGCAAAAACCUCAUGAGGCUUCCGUGGCACAUUUAUAAGUUGAAAAAUCUCAAGUACUUUUAUCUUGAGGGCUGCUCGAAUUUAAUCACGUUUCCAAAAAACAUGGAGGAUUCAACUGAUCCUGAUGGCAGUAUGGGAUUCCGAAAUCUAAGGCAGCUGGUACUUCGGUGGUGCAAUCUAUCAGAAGUAGAGUUCCUUGAGAGUUUUUCCAGUUUUCCUAAACUGAAGUGUCUAGAUCUUCAAUAUAACAAGUUUGCUGGUUUGCCAACAUGCAUCAAGUACUAUCGUUUGAACGAAUUGUAUGUUGAUGGAUGCGAGCUACUACAAGAGAUUCCUCAGCUUCCACCAAGUAUCAAUGAGCUAGCAGCAAAUUGUUGCAAAUCUCUGCAAAAACUCCCAGAUUUGGGGGGUCAGUCCUAUCACACUCAGCGUGUUGGCUUGGCCUCAUGUUGUGAAUUAUUUCGCAAAAGGGUCAAUAUGGAUGAUGUGGCUAAUGUGUCAUUACUCGAGGUCUCUCUCUGUAUAUAUGCAUAUGUAUAUGUAUAUGUAUAUGUAUAUGUAUAUGUAUAUGUAUAUAACUUCAAAUGCUUGACAUGCGUACCUUCUGUGUGACAGAAACUGCCAAAGAUGAAAGAUGGCAUCGACAUUGUCCUAAUUGGAAGAGAGAUGCCUAAAUGGAUUCUCCCCUGUGAAGAAGAUUCCAUAUCUUUCAUGGUUGCCUGGGACUUGUAUGAGAAGCUCAAAGGACUAGCAAUCUGUGUUGUUUUCAGCCCGGAGGAAGGAAAAAUGGUCCAUUAUUCAUGUGAUUACACGAUACUUGUUAAUGGCCAAAGGGUGAUAGGGGGCACGAGACUCUUUUAUCCGAUGCAAUCUGAGCAUGUGUGGCUUCGUUGUUUUUUAGAGAGUUUUGAGGGUGCCCUGCAAAAGGAUUGGAGCCAUUUCCAAGUUUGCCUCAGCGUAGAGAAAGGAAGCAUAAAGAAGCGUGGAUUCCAUCUAAUAUGCGAGCGAAAGGAGGAUGAUCUGAGGGUGGUGUUCCCAGCACCAUCAACUGAUAGAAACAAAUUGGAAUUUUCAUGGGAAAGAUACUCUAAAAGACAAUUUUCAAUGGACCCCGAGGAAGAAGACCAGUCCGGUUGAAAGAGAUGGGGAGAGCUUGUCACUUUUAACAAAGAAGAUAAGAUCGUCUAAACUAUGGUGAGACUGUGGGUUGCAAUGACUUUUGCUUUUCCUCUUUUUUGGGUCUCUACUAGAUAUUUGUAAGUGUCUGCUCCUUCAAUUAGAAUUCAAAUUCAUUAUAAAACAGAGGUUUCGCAUCCUGUUACUGACAUGAUUGAGGAACAAUUUUUUUUUCUGCCUAUGUUUAUUUAUGAUUUGUGAUGCAGGGUGCAUUAACCCAAAAAUUAUGAGGAUACGCAUUGAAUGGCCAUGGUCUUCCAAAUUGCUCCGUGUAAUUUAUCACAUCGGCCUCUAUCACCUCUCUUAGUCCAAUUAAUGAUGCCACUACUUCGUACUUAAAAAUUCUAAGAUAGUAAGUUGUGCUCAAUCUAGCGUAAUCUUAUACCUUUAGGAUAAUGUUGUUUGAAUUGUCUCAAAGAUCAAAAGGUCUAUACAGGGAAAAUUAGUUGAUUCCUCUGUUGUUAUUCAGUAGAUUUCAUUGGAUAGGUCAAAGGGUGAGCUUUAGCUUUAAGACUUGGCAUUUAGGCAAAGGACAUUGACUCGAAGAAUGUUUAUGACAAGCGAAUAGCGCCUUAGUAAACGCCUUGUAAAAUACUUAUUGCAACGUAUUUCAUAGAAUAAGAGAAAAAAAUUACUAAGAAGAGAAUGGAGAAACUUGCGAUUGCAAAUAAAAGCCCCCGCCUGGGGCACAACAGUAGCACUGGUACCGACGUCUUGUGACCCUAAGUGAUGCUGCCAAGGUUGCAUGAGCCCACAUAAUGUGUUGGUGCUGCACAAUUCUAGGUGGCGCAAUGCAGAAUCCGCAUGAGUAGGCAACUUGACGCCCGACUCUCUCUAAGCUACAUCUAGCAUCGAGUGACCCUCGACGAGUUAGAUUUGGUGUGGAGCAACCCUUGGCACAGUUUGCCGAUGUCUGCCGACCCUUGGUGGAGUUGUGCCGGCAUCCCUCAGCCUCGUCCGCGAAGCUUCCCAACCACCAUCGACCAUGACCUCUAUCCAAGAUUGUCUUGAAGAGUAAAAGUCAAAAAGAAAAAGGAAAAGUCACGUCUGUAGAAGGUCAGCACAGUAGAAAGUACCACAGAAAAGGAACGUGCGACCAGCAGGGGUGAAAAGAAGAAAAAAAAAACAGAAAAGAAAAGUUGCUGUUUUUCUUCUUCGUCCCCUAUCCGUCGCACCCUUGCUUAGGGGUGAGCGGUUCCAGGUUCCGGUUCGGUUCCACCUGGAACCUGGAACCUACCCUCGGGUACAGGUUCCUCAUUUUUUGGAACCUGGAACCUACCCGUCAGAACCAAGAACCUGGAACCUACCCGUCACAGGUUCCGGGGUCGGGUUCCAGGGUUCCAACAGGUUCUUUUUCUUUUUCUUUUUUUCAUUUUUAGUUUUAAAAAACGAAAAUGAACACAGCAAUAAUAAAUGAUUAUCAAAACUAAAUGAUUCUGGAAAGACUCAUAGUACAUACAUAGGAAUGAGCUUUGGAGCUACUUUGAGUCAUUGACUAUCUAUGCAUGACAAUAUGAUUUACUUUUCCUAUGAGACCGAAAGUAUAUGGAACAUCAAGGCCAACCUCUGGAGGAGUAAUGAACCAGAACUGUUGGACCGUGUUUCCAAUUCCAACUUCAUAAUAGUAUUUAGUGUGUACUGCAAGUAAACAGAAUAAACAUCAGUUACAUUUACCAAAUUUUGCAGACCAGGCAACAAAAAAUUAAUAUUUCUGGAGGAAUUUAGAAAUUUACCAUCAAGUUUUUCAGGGUGCAAUGGUGGAUGUAACCAGAAGUAUAAUUGUAGAACUUAUAAUGAUUAACUUUGCCCUUUGCCUUUUUCUCGUGCUUGCUGUUUUCACUCCAGUAACGCACUACACUGGACCCAGGUUCAUCCGGAGUCACCCAUGACACAAUCACUCCUUUUCCCACAUGAUCUCCUUGGGUAAUAUGUACCUAAAGACUUGCGCCAAAAUCAAAACCAAAUCAAAAACCACAACGGAAGUGCUGUCUUCCCUCCAUUGCACAAAUCAGCCCCAUUCAAAACCAGAACAAGAACAGCCCCAACAAUAGCCAUUGAACAGCAAGAUGAAGAUCCCAGAACAGCCAUCUUGGUCUUAUUUUAGGAUACAGAAGAACCUACGUGACACAACCCCCACAAAUUCCCUUCCCUCACUAUGUAUGUACUUGGAUCAGGGCACACAAGCAUGACACUCACAUCUCAUAAAUCGACCAAAUAAAGCAGCUAAAAUGUUAGAUUAGAUCUAACAGUUAAGAGCAGAAACAACAAGAGAUUAGACCUGCGAUUGAAGCUGCAGGAGGCGAGUUUCUUCAAUGUCGAGGGCGGCGAGCGGUAUCAAGGGACGUCGGGCGGUGUUGAGGGGGUCGAGCGGGCGUUGAGGGGGCCGUGCGGCGUCGAGGGGCCGAGGGGCGUCGAGGGGCCGAGCGAGCGUCAAGGGCGUCGAGGGGGUCGAGGGGGUCGAGCAGCGUCAAGGGACCGAGAGGCGUCGAGGGGCGGCACGGACGGCGCGACGGCUCGUCGGGCUCAACGGCGAAACGGCUCGUCGGACGAGCGAUGGGUGGUGGUGGUGAGUAGGGAGUGGGGCGGCGGUGCGGUGGUGGGCGAAGCAGCAGCAGCAAGAGGAAGGAAGAAGAAGAAGAAGAAGAAGAGGAGAAGAAAGGGGGUUCGGCCGAGAGGGGGAAAGAGGAGAGAGAAAGAAAAGAAAAAAGUGAUCGNNNNNNNNNNNNNNNNNNNNNNNNNNNNNNNNNNNNNNNNNNNNNNNNNNNNNNNNNNNNNNNNNNNNNNNNNNNNNNNNNNNNNNNNNNNNNNNNNNNNGUGAGGGGUUAGGGUUUUUUUUUUUUUAAUUUUGACCGGUUCCGGUUCCGGUUCCGGUUUCUAUGGGAACCGGAACUGGAAUCGGGAACGCCGGUUCCUAGAAAAAGGGAACCGGGAACCGGAACCGGUCUCUUUAGAACCGGGAACCGAACUGGACCCUCCGGUUCGGUUCUCCGGUUCCCGGUUCUACCCGGGAACCGUGCUCACCCUUACCCUUGCUGCCCCUCGCCAGCAGCCUCCUCGCCGCUCCGCCUCUGCCGACCCGCUUCUACACCAAUGCCCCCCAAUCGCCGGUUCCCUGCACCGCUGCCGCACCCGCAACGCUCGUCCCAUGAACACCGGUGCCACCCAACUCCUGCCCUGCUCUGUCUCGCCUUACCAACAUCACCCAAUUUCACCGGAGAUCUGCUCCUGCCCUGCGCUCGCGCCGCAGCUCGACCCCAACAGCGAAGCCGCUUCUGCUCAUGACCCAGUUGUGCCACGGUGCCCCGGCGAAGACGCCUCUACCCCGUCUUGCCUGAAGCCAGCAACGCCACGCGACCCGACGCUGCUGACCCAUUGUUGCUCCAGCUCUCUGUGCCGCUAUUCCUGUCCGCUCAGCCGCACUGUUCCGCCAUCAGUCACGACGCCGCCGCCGCUGUCUCUCAGCCCAGCACCGCGCUUGAUCCCGAGUCCCCAGUGUUGAGCGACGCCCACAGCAACACUCUGCUGGUUUUGCGCGACCUGCUGCUGCACGAGCCUGCUUUUGCCGGACUUCACCGGAGCUCCGACCACCGGGACCUCCGACCGGUGGUGACCAGCGACACCAUAGCCGCUGCCCUUGCACCGUCCUUAGCCGUGCCACCCUGAAUCCGUUCGAAUUUUUAAAAAAAAAUUCAAUUUAGGUAGAGAUUUAUUUUAUUUUUAGGUAGAUUUAAUUUAUCUUAUUUUAGUUUUUGAUAUUUUAUCUCUUUGUUUGAAAUGUUUUCCAAUGGAUGAUUGAAAUUCUUGAUGUAGCAUCCAAUUCGCAACCGUACGAAUUUUUAUUCUAUAUAUAAGGCUUUAGAAGGAAUAAUUAUUCACGCGGGAGUAAAAUUGAUAUCUUGAUCUUUAAGGCUUAAGAUCAAUUUAUCGAUUUUAUUAGCGAAAUAAUUAAGUUUGAAUUUCAAUUCGAAUGGUGAAUGACAUUUGUGAUGAUUUGGGGGUUUAUCUCUUAAUUGCUCUAUUUAUCCUGAAAAUACAAAAAAAAAAAUGCAUUUUGCAUUCCAUGUAGAUUAGGAUUGAUUGCAUGAUAGGUUAGUUAUUUUUGCAUGUUGAGAAGGCAUUUAGAAUAGAUAACAUUUCACUUUAGUUAGAUUUUUAUUGAUUUUAAUUAUGAAUUUUUAUUAAAAAACAAAAAAAAUCAUCAUGCAUAUGUCAUGUAAAGUUAGGGCAUCUUUUUGUAUGUCAUUGCAUAUUAGGGUAAAAUUGCACUUAGUUUAAUUCUAGAUAAUAUUUUUCUUAAUUUAUUAUAAGUUUAGAUAUUAGAUAGAUUGUAUUUUAGGAUUAUUUUGGUUAAGAUAAUAUUUUAGUUUAAAUUAGGAUUUGGUUUAACCUAAUUCCUAAUGCCAAUUAAAUAGAAUCUUAAUCUAGUUAGAUAAUUUUCACAUUUUUCUAAUUUCGAAAUUUCAGAAAAAAUACAAAAAUGACUUAGGAUAAAUUAGUUUUAAUCCCUAGGAUAGAUUGCAUUUUAAAAAAAAAAUAAAAAAAAAUGUCAUUUCAUGUCAUUUAGAAUUAUAUUCAUGAAAUGCAUGCCAUUUAGUGAUCAUUGCUAGGUUCAUUUAAUUAGAAGUUGCAUGUCAUUAGAAUUAGGUUAUUUAGUUAAUAUUGCAUUGCAUAUUGCAUGAUUUUCAUUAAUUAAGUGAAAGCAAAUAACAGAAAUUGCGUGUUAAUUAGAAAUAAUAUCUAGGGUUGAUGAUGUGAAUUUUUAAUUUAACCAUGCAGAUGCUUUCGUUGCUACAAGGUAAGUCCCCUCAUUUUUUUUUUAUUAUUUCAUUGCUUUCUUGGAUGUUAAAUUGGUGAUUUGUGCACUCGCAUGAUCACCUCACAUGUUAGGAAAUAGAUUUAAAGUCAAUCCGAACUGCCUUCAAAAAACGUUUUUUGAAAAUUAAAAGAAAAGUAGUACCGAAAGGGCAUUAGAGAAAUCUAGUGUAACCAAGUCCCCGUACCCAUAAUCUCUGGUUCAUAGGAGUAAAGUGAAACUUCCGUUACUUUACUUGGGUUUCUAAUCAACCCACCAAAAAAUAGAUUAGUAGCGACUCCUGAUUAAAAAAUCAAUUGCAUGUUAAGAACUUGAACAUAAGUCGCGAAUUGGUAUGAGCUUGAGGGAGCCCAAGUUAAGUCUAGGUUUAACAAUCCAUUAGCCAAAUUUUAGGUGGUUCACCCGAAAUUUAGGUCGCGACAGCUUGGCGACUCCACUAGGGACCUGUGUUAAAACACUUAGUGGACUUAGGCCAAUUUUCUUCUUUUUUAAAAAUGUUUUUGUUUUGCAGCGAGGAUUCCAGGUACGUCCCUAAUAUUUAAGUAUUAAAUGUUUUUGCAGAUUAUGAGGUAUAAGGGGGAGCGGUGAUUGCUAACCCUUGUCUUGCAGGUUGGAGUUGAGGAUGGAUGUUUUAAGUUCAAAGUUAUUGAAGUGUUGUUUGAUUUAAACUGUUGUGCAUGCCUUGCAUCUUGCACUACACUAUUGCACACACAAUCUGCUGUCAGACCUAGGCCGCACUAGGAUACAUAGGAUGGUGUUGAGUUGGAUACGACUUCGACCGUGAGGCCGCGUAGUAGAGGUUGCCCAACUCAAUCCCGAAAGUUUUUCUUGGUGUUAAGAAUGUGUACCUCUGCCCGCGAGGCUAUGUCGCAUUGAGGUAUCAUUCUUGACUGAGCCGGAGUUAUGAGGACUUGACUUAGUAUGCAAGGCUGCAACUAAGUCAUCCGACCCUUUUAACUCCACUUUGCUAAGCCUGUCUAGAGUAGAAUCGAGCCUCACAUCUCAUAUGCAUGUCUAUGUGAUUGCUGUCAAUUUUUCUUGGUGUAGUAAGUUUCUUAUCCUUAUACCAUGCAAUUUAUUUUGUUGUGCUUUUAGUCUGUCCAUGACAAUUUAGGUCAAGCAUUGAUUUAACUCCUUUGUCAAUUAGAGAUGAAAUGAGGAAAUUGUCAUGCAAUGAAUCAUUUUGAAAAAAAAAUUAAAAAAAAAACUUUGGAGAAUUUGUUUUCAAUUCAUGUCUAGGAAAUUUGAUCUUGCUAGGGUGUCUAUUUUUCUAGCCUUUUUUUUUUAGGAAAUUCCUCUAUUGUACGAACGUUUCAUGAAUAAAUGAAAAAAAAAAUCAGAUCAUUGUCAUGGAUUGGCUAUCUAUUUACACUUCGUGCUUAUUUUGUUCAUUUCUUCGAAAUAGGUGACAACGGAGCCGUCACAUUCAUCCAUUAUUACACAAUUAAGAGCUAGAAUGGCCGAUCAAGCUGAAAUGCGUGAUCGCAUGUCCUCCAUGGAAGAUCAACUCAAACAAUUAGCCACCUCAUUAUAGCUUAUAACAACUCAACUUCAAUCCCUCCAAGUGAAUCCAAAUCCUCCACCCAUUCUCCCUGAGAUAGUAGUCCCGAGGAACAGGGCCCAAAUGAGCGAUGACGAAAUGCCUGAGCUAGAAGAUGACCUGGUCCUCAUUGGAAAAGCCAAGCCUAAUAGCAUUCCCAAGACAGAGCAGGAUGAGCGCGUUGCAAAGCUGGAAGAGAAAGUGAGAUAGCUGCAGGAGUCACAAAGCUCACUUUCGUUAGAAGGUCCAAAUGCCAAGCAAGUUCAAAAUGCCAGAGUUCGAGAAGUACGAUGGUACUUCUUGCCCAAAAAUCUCAUUUACAAAUGUACCACGUACGCAUGGCCCAGCAUGUCAAGAAUGAGCCUCUCAUGAUCCAAUCAUUCCAUGCGAGUUUGACCGGACCCGCAUUGAACUGGUACAUGAUGAAGAAUGUCAAUCUUCUCGACACUUGGAAUGAAGUGACUGACGCAUUUCUCAAGCAGUAUAAGUUCAAUAUGGACAUUGCACCUUCCCGAGAAGAUCUUGAGAGGAUGGAGAAGAAGAGGAGCGAAUCAUUUAAGGAGUAUGCCAUGAGAUGGCGAAAUUUGGCAGCUCAAAUCACUCCUAAACCUACUGAUAAAGAAUUGAUGAAAUUGUUCAUCAAGACUCUCCCGUCUGAGUUCCGUAACCGGAUGGCUAGCACAUACGUCGAAGAUUUCAACCAACUUGUUCCUGUAAGAGAACAAAUUGAGAUGGGGAUAAGAGAAUGGUGGUUUACUGAGCCAUCUAACAAAAGGUUUUCUACCAAGAAAGAGAAGGACCUUGAAGCUGAGAUUAAUAUGACCUAUUCUCAACCGAAUCGUGGUCGCACCCCAGUAAUUAAAGAUUUCUAUUGAGCAACAAGGUGGAGAACAUCAGCUCCCUAGUCGACGACGUAAUGUUAGAAGACAGUUCACACCUCUUCCUAGACCCCUAUCCAAAGUUUUGCUUGUCCUCCAAAAGAAGGGAUUACUCUCUACUGAGCCGAAGCGACCAAAUCCCGAGCAUUAUCCUGCAUAUAAUCUCUCCGAAAAGUGUGACUAUCACAUGGGAGAGGUUGGUCACUCCACUAAUGAUUGCUAUGUUUUGAAGCAUAAGGUCCAAGACCUCUUGGAUACAAAGGCGUUCUCUUUCAGCAGUAAUCAGAAAAAUCCUCCGCCCAACCAUGAUGGCGGCGCAAACGAUGUCGCUGAGUGAAGAAGUUCUUAUCUUCUAGGACUUCAAGUUUUUUAGGAUUUCAUGCUUUCUGAGAUUUCAAUUAUUGCUUUUGUUUCUAGGGUUUGCUUGUUUGCAUUUUUCAUUCCAAUAAUGUAAUUCAUUUAAUUAUAUUCAAUGAAAUUACAAUUUUAUUUCCAAUUUUGAGGGCAUAAUGAGGCACACCAAACCAGUCCAGUGACGAUAUCCAAUAAUGAAAAGAAAAUAUCAUCCAAGGAGAAUUCUGAGGACUGGGCUUCUUCAUGCUUCCUCAUCCAAAAAAAAUCCAAAAAAAAAAAAAAUACUUUUGAAGCCAAUUCCAAAAGCAUGCAUUAGGUUAGCACUGUUUAAUUUUCUAACUCAUUUACUUUAUGUUUCAGAGUAUUACUUUUUCGGUCUGAUAAGAAGGCAUCUGAAAAGGCACAUUAGGUUGCAAUGAUAGAUCAAUUGGCUCAACUGUUAUCAACAUAUGUCAAAUUGGGAGCACUACAGAUUCUAGUUGUGACAUGACUGAGAUAAAAUGAAUGUGCAAUUUGAAUUCACAUUGGUGUUGCACAAUAUCCUAUUCAUGCACGUUCUCUUAUGCAGGGGCAAAAGCGGAUAGGGACAAUCCAAAGACAUCAACUGCUGAGGCAAUCCCAUUGUAGAUGAAUCCUUGAAUGAAUGCUUAAAACCAUUUUACAUUGUGGAAAACUGUUUGUUUUGGAGUUGAUAAUUUUUCAUACCUAAAGCUGUUGAGCUCUUUUUUUUUUUUUUUUUUCAAAAAAGAUUUUGCAUGAUGACUUUUAGCCACCAAUUCCACUAAAGAACAUCAAGUUGGAUUAAUUUAAUGAAUGAUGUGGAAUUGAUUGAGCAUACUAAAUGAGACGAGUCGGGAUGAUGAAAGGCAAACCUUAUCCUAUACACAGUCCCCUACUCAUACACUUGUGAGAUGAGUGUAGGAAGGUUCAUAUACACAAGGUAAAGAGUUCUCUCGCAAAAGGUACGGCAAUCGAAAUGAUGAGAGGCAGUUCAUUUCUUUAUCCCAAACACUACAUGUGAUCCAUUGCUUAACCCUUUUGAGCCCAUACACUUAUGGAUAUUCUUUUCAAAUUACCCCUGUCAAGAAUCACCCCACAUUGGGGCAAAUGGGAGAUAAAAUGGUAUCAUGAGGUGAGGAAAAUGAAUUGAAAUUUUCUUGCUCUCACUUGUAUCAAUCUUUAAAUCGUGCUAUUGCAUUGAAUUCAUGUGUUAACUUAAGUGCCUUAAGAUGACGAAGAGCAUUUCUUUCUCUAUCCUACAUACUUAUACCAUUAGCAUAACCCACUUGAGCCUGUAAUUUCAUUUCUUUAAACCCAGUUGGUGAUCAUCCCCACACUGGGGCAAGGCAAAAGGCAAAUGAAGACUCUUGAAAGUUUGAGUGUCAUUUAAAGUGUUGCUUAACGCAUGCAUUGUGCGUAAGGAUUGAAAUCAAAAUAAAACUGAGGGGCAUGAAAAAGCAGUGUGCCUGGUAAAAGUAAGGCCAAUGCCCAGAAAAGUGAAAGAAAUCAAAUAUAGUGAGUUGUAUCCCCAACAAUGCGAUACUAAAAAACUCAAAUGCCGUUACAAUCAAUGGAGUUGUGAUAUGAAAAUCUUCGACAGUGGAGAAGGAAAAUGGUGGAAAUUUCAAGAUGAUCACCAACUUUGACCCCCUUAAACACUUUUUGAGCUUAAUGAUCCUUUCAUUUCUCAACCCACGAGCCAAGCCUAUGUUACGUCCCUUGCAAAGUCUCUUCAGAUUAGGACACUUGAAUUAACCUAGGGGUUCACAUGUUUUAAGCAUAGCUCGAAGAAGUGAGAGCAAGAUUAUUUUUCUCAUUUUGCUGGGUUCUUGACUUGUAAACCUGGAGAUGAUUGCGAAGCUAUUCUUUCAAUAGCCUUGACUCAAAGAGUCCUUUUGUUAAGCCGUUGACUAAGCCCACAAUAUGGUCCCUGUUGAAGACCUCUCAGAUUGGUAAGGUCAUACCGCUUGCGAGAAUACUUGGACCCCUAUCGAUAUGGUGAGAUGGAGUGAUUUUCUUUUAAAUGAGAGUGAAUGAAAGUCCUUUCUAACCAAAAGUCUCUCAUUUAGUAUUCUUAAGAAAUCCAUGUCAUGAGUGAAAAUUAUAUUGAGCAGUAAUUCUCUAGUGGAAAUUUGGGUAAUGCAAAUGUCAUUAUGCAUGAACCCCAAUUGAAUUGAUAAAAACUUCAGUGGAUUUUGAAGUGUGCGUUCUAAAAUAGCAUUAAUUACUUAUUUCUUUGGUGAAUGCAUUUUUGCUCUAAUCAUGUUUGACAGAUAAUGUUUUCUCAAAGAUUUAAGAGCUUCUAACAUUCAGGAGGUGAGAAGCCUUCACAGGAUAUCUAAGUUCCAAAGGACAUAUCCCUAAGAAUUAGAGAUAUCACAAGGUAAGUAUAUCUCUACGUAUACUUUAAAUACUUGUCAUUGUGCAGGUAUUCUCUCCCAAGUGCAUCAACACUUGAUUCGGUCAAGCUAUCUUUUAUAUUGACCCGGCAUGUUUUUGUAACCCGGUGUCCUUUAUAUUGACCUGGUGUGCUUCCAUAGCCCAGAGUCCUUUUUAUCGACCUUGCGUUCUUUCGUAACCCGGUGUCCUUUAUAUUGACUUGGUGUGCUUCCGUAGCCCAGAGUCCCUUUUAUUGACUCGGCGUGCUUUCGUAGCCCGGUAUCCUUUAUAUUAACCUAGCAUGCUUUCGUAGCCCAGAGUCCAUUUUAUUGACCCGGCGUGCUUUCGUAGCCCUGUGUCCUUUAUAUUGACCUAGCGUGCUUUCGUAGCCUAGAGUCCCUUAUAUCGACCCGGCGUGCUUUCGUAGCACGAUGUCAUUUAUAUUGACUCCGCGUGCUUUCGUAGCCUAGAAUCCCUUUCAUCGACUCGGCGUGCUUCCAUAGCCCGAUGUCCCUUAAUAUCACCUGGCAUGCUUUUAUAACCCAAAGUCCCCUUAUCAAAUCGGCGUGCUUCCGUAGCCCGAAGUUCCCCUUCUUCAACAUGGUGUGCUUCCGUAGCCUAAAGUCACCUCAUUGAUUUGGGAGAUAUAUCUCUAAAGAUCAGAGAUGCCACCAGGUAAGUAUAUCUCUAUCCAUACCUUAAAUACUUGUCAUUGUACAGGUAUUCCUUUUCAAGCACUAGCACUCGAUGGAGUUGCCCUCCAAAGAUUUUUCCUAGAUUCAUCAGGCGAUCGUAGAAUGGUACAAGUCCUGGAAAAUAAAUCUCUAUUUAGGCGACCGUAGAAUGGUACAAGUCCUAGACAAUCUCAGUUUAGGUGACCGUAGAAUGGUACGGGUCCUAAACAAUACCUAUUCAGGUGACCGUAGAAUGAUACGGGUCCUGGAAAAUGAAUCCCUGUUUAGGCGACCGUAGAAUGGUAUGGGUCCUAAACACAAGCAAACACUGUCAUACUGGACGACUGUAAAAUGGUACGGGUCCUGGGAAAGCAGUCUCUUUGUGAAGCCAUGUUACUAUUCUGGGCGACCGUAGAAUGAUACGAGUCCUAGACAUGUAACACCAAUCUAUUUUGAGUUACUCUACCAUUCUCGAAGAUAAGUAACUCUAAGUAAGUUCCUUUAUCAUUUGCAUUAGUAUUUCCAUGCAUCACAAAUUGCAUUUCAAAAUGGGAUUCAUUUUCCCAAAAAAAAAUUACUCAGUGCAUGUGCAUGAUCAAAAUUUAGGUUUCAAUUUGUCUUUGAAUGCAACCUCUACAAGCUCACCUUCAAAGAUGGGCAGUUGUUGACACAUAAAGUUUAGCGACUUAGUCAUUGAUUUUUUGCAUAAAAAUUAGGGAUUAAUUUUAACCCCUAAAAAAAAUGCAUCAGAACAAAUAAAAUGGAAAAAAAAUGGAAAAUUGAUUUGAUUGAUUAUGCAUGAAAGUUUGAAAUUCUGAUGAAUAUUCAGAUUUUGAUAAAUGCAAAAGCACUUAAGAAAUCAAGUGAAUAAAGGGCAAUGAUUUCGAUAAAAUGGAAAUAAAAAAUUAAAAUGGAGCUAAUUGUGAAAUCACGCUUUAAUUUGCGCCCUUGAUUUAUUGCGACAGAAAAUGGAAAGUCGAAAGUUGCUAUAAAAAUGGCCGUUUGAAAAUCACUAUAAAGGGACCCCCAAUUUUCGUGCCCGGGGGGGGGGGGGAAUUCGGAGAGGGAUUUUCGAAAAAAUUUCAGAGGCAAAGUGAGAGGAAAAUUCAUGAAAAGAGAGAAGAAAAGCUUGAGGAGAGCGAAUUCGAAGGAAAAAUCGAAAAAAAAAAAAAAUCUUCCGUUGAGCCAAUUUUCCUUCGGUUUGUCUUGAAGAGUAAAAGUCAAAAAAGAAGGAAAAGUCACGUCUGCAAAAGGUCAACACAGUAGAAAGUACAACAGAAAACGAACGUGCGGCUAGCAGGGGUGAAAAGAAGAAAAAAAAAACAGAAAAGAAAAGUUGCUAUUUUUCUUCUACGCCCCCUAUCCGUCGCACCUUUGCUGCCCCUCGCCGGCAGCCUCCUCGUCGCUCCGCCUCUGCCGACCCGCUUUUGCACCGAUGCCCCCCAAUCGCCGGUUCCCUGCAUCACUGCCGCGCCCACGACGCUCGUCCGUGAACACCGGUGCCACCCAACUCCUGCCCUGCUCUGUCUCGCCUUUCCAGCAUCACCCAAUUUCACCAGAGAUCUGCUCCUGCCCUGCGCUCGCGCCGCAGCUCGACCCCAACAGCGAAGCCGCUUCUGCUCGUGACCCAGCCGUGCCACCGUGCCGCGGCGAAGACGCCUCUGCCCCAUCUCGCCUGAAGCCAGAAACGCCGCGCGACCCAACGCUACUAACCUGUUGUUGCUCCAGCUCUCUGUGCCGAUGUUCCUGUCCACUCAGCCGCACUGUUCCGCCGUCAGUCACGAUGCCGCCGCCGCUGUCUCUCAGCCCAGCACCGCGCUUGAUCCCGAGUCCCCUGUGUUGAGCGAUGCCCACAGCAACACUCUGUUGGUUUUGCGCGACCUGCUGCUGCACAAGCCUGCUUUGCCGGACUUCGCCGGAGCUCCGACCACUGGGACCUCCGACCGGUGGUGACCAGCGACACCAUAGCCGCUGCCCUUGCACCGUCCUUAGCCGUGCCACCCUGAAUCCGUUCGAAUUUUUAAAAAAAAAUUCAAUUUAGGUAGAGAUUUAUUUUAUUUUUAGGUAGAUUUAAUUUAUCUUAUUUUAGUUUUUGAUAUUUUAUCUCUUUGUUUGAAAUGUUUUCCAAUGGAUGAUUGAAAUUCUUGAUGUAGCAUCCAAUUCGCAACCGUACGAAUUUUUAUUCUAUAUAUAAGGCUUUAGAAGGAAUAAUUAUUCACGCGGGAGUAAAAUUGAUAUCUUGAUCUUUAAGGCUUAAGAUCAAUUUAUCGAUUUUAUUAGCGAAAUAAUUAAGUUUGAAUUUCAAUUCGAAUGGUGAAUGACAUUUGUGAUGAUUUGGGGGUUUAUCUCUUAAUUGCUCUAUUUAUCCUGAAAAUACAAAAAAAAAAAUGCAUUUUGCAUUCCAUGUAGAUUAGGAUUGAUUGCAUGAUAGGUUAGUUAUUUUUGCAUGUUGAGAAGGCAUUUAGAAUAGAUAACAUUUCACUUUAGUUAGAUUUUUAUUGAUUUUAAUUAUGGACUUUCAUUAAAAAAAUACAAAAAAAAAAAUCAUCAUGCAUAUGUCAUAUAAAGUUAGGGCAUCUUUUUGUACGUCAUUGCAUAUUAGGGUAAAAUUGCACUUAGUUUAAUUCUAGAUAAUAUUUUUCUUAAUUUAUUAUAAGUUUAGAUAUUAGAUAGAUUGCAUUUGAGGAUUAUUUGGGUUAAAAUAAUAUUUUAGUUUAAAUUAGGAUUUGGCUUAACCUAAUUCCUAAUGCCAAUUAAAUAGAAUCUUAAUCUAGUUAGAUAAUUUUCACAUUUUUCUAAUUUCGAAAUUUAAAAAAAAAAUACAAAAAUGACUUAGGAUAAAUUAGUUUUAAUCCCUAGGAUAGAUUGCAUUUAAAAAAAUAAAAAUAAAAAAUAUCAUUGCAUGUCAUUUAGAAUUAGAUUCAUGAAAUGCAUGCCAUUUAGUGAUCAUUGCUAGGUUCAUUUAAUUAGAAGUUGCAUGUCAUUAGAAUUAGGUCAUUUAGUUAAUAUUACAUUGCAUAUUGCAUGAUUUUCAUUAAUUAAGUGAAAGCAAAUAACAGAAAUUGCGUGUUAAUUAGAAAUAAUAUCUAGUGUUGAUGAUGUGAAUUUUUAAUUUAACUAUGCAGAUGCUUUCGUUGCUACAAGGUAAGUCCCCUCAUUUUUUUUAUUAUUUCAUUGCUUUCUUGGAUGUUAAAUUGGUGAUUUGUGCACCUGCAUGAUCACCUCACAUGUUAGGAAAUAAAUUUAAAAUCAAUCCGAAUUGCCUUCAAAAAAAUAUUUUUUGAAAAUUAAAAAAAAAAAAGUGGUACCGAAAGGGCAUUAGAAAAAUCUAGUGUAACCAAAUCCCUGUACCCAUAAUCUCUGGUUCGUAGGAGUAAAGUGAAACUCUCGUUACUUUACUUGGGUUUCUAAUCAACCCACCAAAAAAUAGAUUAGUGGCGACUCCUGAUUAAAAAAUCAAUUGCAUGUUAAGAACUUGAAUAUAAGUCACGAAUUGGUAUGGGCUUGAGAGAGCCCGAGUUAAGUCUAGGUUUAACAAUCUAUUAGCCAAAUUUUAGGUGGUUCAUCCGAAAUUUAGGUCGCGAUAGCUAUGCACGUAUUCUUGUUUGUCAAAACAAAUCCCAACAUUGUCUUCAUGUCAGGUCAAUAUGGCAGAUGGGUCAUUCGAGUGUCACUCUCUCCCCUCCCCCCCCCCCCUUCUUCUCUCUCUCUCUCUCUAAGUUUGAACUUUUAAUAUGCGUAUUAUUUGUAUAACAGAGACUAACCAAAGACAAGCAGAUUCGACAUAAUCCUAAUAGAGAGAUGCCAGAGUGGAUUUUCCACGAUAAAGGGGUUCAACAUCUUUCAUAAGUCCGGAGGACUUGUAUGACAAGUCCUUGAGACUAGCACUCUGUGCCGUUCUUGGAUUGGAAGAAGAAGUGGUCGAUGCUUCAUGUGAGGUCAAAAUAUUUAUUAAUGGCUGAAGUUUGACUGAGAACUUUGAAACUAUUUUUUUCAUUGGAAUCCGAUCAUGUGAGGCUUGAAUAUUUACCACUCGUUAGACCGUGUGAACCACGAACACUUUUGGGAAAGGAUUGGUGCCAUUGCCAAGUUUGCUUCAAAGCAACGAAAGUAACCAUAAAGACGCGUGGAUUUUGUCUAAUAUGCAAGAAAGAGGAGGAUGAUCUGAGGGUCUGUACUCCAACACCAUUAGCCGAUAGAAGAAAAAAAGGAGUUUCAAGGAAAGAGACUCAGAGGAAAACAAUUUUCAAUAGACGCCGAGUAAAAGAUGGUCCAGUGGAACAAAACCUAACAAAGAAGAUGAAAUGAACUUUACCUGGCGAGAGUAUGGCUUGCAAAACAUGCCUGUCGAAUUGGUCUUGACUUGUUGAGGAAGUGAUUCCAGGUGAUUUUGAUUCCAACGUCUCUUGCUUUUCCCCUUUUUCGUCUCUACUAGAAAUUUGAAAAUGUCUGCUCUUUCGAUCAGAAUUUAAAAUCACUAUGAAAUAGAGGAUUUCACCUCAUGCUACUGAGAUGGUUGGGGAACUUCUUUAUUUUCCGCUCUUUUUCUAUGAUUUGUGAUGCUGAGUGCAUAAAUUCAAAAUUAAUUGGAUGCUUGUUGAGUGGCCAUUGGUCUUCCAAGUUGCUAUGUGUAAUUUAUCAUAUGGACCUCCGUCGCCUCUCUUAAUUCAAUUAAUGAUGCCAGCACUACAUACUCUAAUAUUGAGAUGGUAAGUUUCGCUCAAUCUAAUAUAAUGUAUAUCUUUGGGAAAGCGUUGAUUAAAUUGUCUCACGGAUCAAGAGGUACAAAUGGAGAGCUUUAUCUUUAAAACUUUGCAUUUAAGUCAAGGACACUGACAUUUUUUUUUGUCGGUUCUACUCUAAUCCUAUUCUAAUACUCACUCUCAAACUUUUGCCAUUGCCUCCUUACAGGGCGUGGGAGUCGAAACCCACUCUUGAAAUGAAAUCGUCCCCACCCCAAUUCCCCCUGAGAAGGUGGGGAUUUGAACUCCCAACCUCCCCCUUCCAAGUUGGAAGGGUGGCCACUGGGGCGAACCCCCAGUGGUUAAGGACACUGACAUUGAUAGGUACAAAGGCAGAUUAGUUGAUUCCUCCUUUGUAACUGGGCAGAUUGCAUUAAUAGGUACAAAGGGAGAGCUUUAUCUUUAAGACUUUGCAUUUAAGUCAAGGACACUGGCAUUAAGCAACUAGCGUUUGGUAAACACCUGUUAAAAUAUUUAUUGUAAAGCCAUUUUAAAAUAAGAAAAAAAAAAGGAGAACAAAGGACUAUGUCGACACAUAUGAAAGUGUCACGGGUCGAUCAAUUUCGGUCGAUCAAACACCGCGCGGCCUUAGGAUCGGUGAUCCCAAGUCAGCCUUACACACACACACGCUCGAACACAACAACUGAAUGGGCAAAGAGAGUGUAUAUUGCUUGUGAACGAACUGGUUACAAGGUGGGAGAGGGAUCCCUAUUUAUACAAGAGUGGGUCACUUUUCGGCCGUGGAUCAUCCCUCCGAUCCAACGGUCCAUUUUGAAUCCGUAUGAUCAUUACAAGCUAUACAACAGACUACUCGAAGGCUACUCGAUGGUCUGCACCCGGCAGUCCCUUAGGAAGUCCAUGAGUCGCGCUCGUCAGGCCUUGGGCAGAUCAUGGGCUUGCGUCAGAAGCAAGAUCAGGGUUGCAGGUCGGUCUGACAGGCGACCAGCUGAACCGUCACGGGCUGCUCGAGCAUCGCUCAGGGGUUGCCCACGGGCUGUGCAUGGGCCUUCCGCUCGUUCUGCUCAUUGGUCGUUCGUGGGCUGCUUCCGGGCAGCCCUUUGUACGUGACACGGUCCCUCACGGACAAUCUUGGAUCAUGCUUGUCCGUGGGCCGUGUCAUUCUCCCCCACCUAAUCCGGCGACGCCCUCGUAGCGUCCGUGGCAUGGAAGGCUUCGAUGUGCCCCUUGAAUUCCCACAGAGCCUCGGAGGGUUCCCAACUUGCUUCACUCUCAGGAAGGCCUCUCCACUGGACGAGGUACUCCUUCCUUGGUGCCCGAUAUUUCUUCCGUAUGGUCCGAUCCGCCAGGAUACACUCAAUAUCCCGAUCAUAGGAGGUUUUCACCCCAAGGGGCGCUCGCUGCGACGUGCCCCGAUCCGGAUCAUCUUCAUCCACGUGAAACGGUUUUAACAUGCUCACAUGGAACACGGGGUGGAGCCUGAACUUGGACGGUAUGUCCAGCUUGUACGCCACCUUCCCGAUCCGUUGUAUCACUCGAAAAGGGCCUUCAUAGCGACGGAUCAGCCCUUUGUUCACGUUUCGGUACCGAAGGACGAGGUGCAACUUGACUAGCACCAAGUCCCCGACCUGAAACUCCACAUGUCGUCGCUUUCGGUCAGCCCAUUUCUUCAUGCGUUUCGCGGCCCUAUCCAGACACGCCCGGGCCAAGUCCACGUGCUCGCCCCAUUCCUUAGCGAGUUUGUACGCGGCUGGGCUACUUCCUUGAUAUCCCGAAGCGAUCGCGCUUGGCGUGAGCGGCUACUGCCCGGUCACAAUUUCGAACGGGCUUUGGCUCGUGGACUCGCUCCGCUGCAAGUUGUACGAGAAUUGGGCCACGUCAAUCAGCCGUGCCCAGUUCGCUUGCGUGUUGCUCACAUAGUGCCGAAGGUAGAUCUCCAGCAAUCCAUUCACUCGCUCGGUUUGUCCGUCGGUCUGCGGAUGCAUGCUGGUGGAAAGAUUGAGACUCGUCCCCAGCAACUUGAAGAGCUCGGUCCAAAGCCGUCCGGUGAACCGAGGGUCGCGAUCACUCACGAUCGUGCGUGGAACACCCCAAUAUUUGACGACGUGCUUGAGGAACAGCUUGGCAGCUUCCUCGGCUGGGCAUUCCAUUGUGGUUAGCACGAACGUCGCAUAUUUGGAGAGGCAAUCCACCACAACCAUGAGGGCCCGACACCCUUCGGACUUGGGCAGAUUCACGAUGAAGUCCAUGGAGACGCUUUCCCACGGACGUUCCGGGAUGGGCAACGGUUCAAGGAGCCCCGCGGGAGGCCAUUGCUCUAUCUUGUCUUGUUGGCAGACAAGGCACGUCCGCACGUACAUCUCCACAUCAUCCCGCAUAUGCGGCCAGAAGUACUGAUCUUCGACAAGCGCCAUGGUGCGGUGGAUUCCCGGAUGUCCCGCCCAUUUGGAGUCGUGGCACUCUUUUAGGACUUCCUUCCGAAGUUUCCCGUGGAGCGGCACAUAGAGUCGCCGUCCUUUGGUGUAGAGGAGGUCAUCCUCAUGCCAAAAUUUCCUCGUUAAGCCCUCUUUGGCGUAUCACAGGAGGACUUGGGCCCUUUGAUCAUGCUUCAGCCCCUCCUUGAUACGAUCAACCCACGGACAAUCGGGCCCGCUUACCAUAUUAGCCAAUUCGAACUUCCUGCUUAAGGCGUCGGCCAUGGAAUUGGACUUUCCGGGCUUAUACUCCAGCACAUAAUCGAACUCGGCCAGGAAGUCUUGCCACCGAGCUUGUUUCGGGCUGAGCUUCUUCUGAGUUUGGAAGUAGCUCGUAGCCACAUUAUUAGUCCUCACGACGAACCGGGACCCCAAGAUAUAGUGCCUCCAUGUGCGAAGGCAGUGCACCACCGCGGUCAUCUCCUUCUCUUGGACCGUGUAUCGUCGCUCGGCAUCAUUCAACUUUCGGGACUCGAAGGCCACUGGAUGACCUUCUUGCAUCAAGACACCACCGAUGGCAAAAUCAGAAGCAUCGGUUUCCACCUCGUAUGGCUUGGUGUAGUCGGGCAGCAUAAGCACCGGCUCUUUGAUCAUGGUCCGCUUCAACCGCUCGAACGUCUCUUGACACCGGUCCGUCCAUUCCCACGGCCUUUCUUUCUUCAGCAUAUCCGUGAGUGGCACGGUGAGACGCGAGUACUCCCGGAUGAAGCGCCGGUAGUAGUUCGUGAGACCAAGAAAGGAUCUCAGCUCAGUCACCUUGGUUGGUGGCUCCCAAUCAACGAUGGCACGGAUCUUGGCCGUGUCCAUCCGCACACGUCCGCCCCCAACGAUGUGCCCAAGGAACGGAAUCUCUUUUUGUGCAAAGGCACAUUUCUCACGUUUCACAUACAAGUCGUUUUCUCGGAGGGUCCGAAAAACUCGACUCAAAUGCUCAACAUGCUCCUCAAGCGUCCGGCUAUAUAUCACUAUAUCAUCAAGAUAAACUACAACGAACCGAUCAAGGAACGGGUGCAGUACCUUGUUCAUGAGUGUGCAUAACGUAGCCGGCGCAUUGGUCAAGCCGAAUGGCAUGACAAGGAACUCGUAUGAUCCAUAACGGGUCACACAUGCUGUCUUUGGCUCGUCCCCCUCAGCGAUCCGCACUUGAUAAUACCCCGAUCGAAGGUCGAGCUUGGAGAACCAACGGGCUUCUCCGAGCUGAUCGAACAAGUCAGCAAUAAGGGGAAUCGGGUAUUUAUUCUUGACGGUCAGCUUGUUCAAUGCCCGGUAGUCGAUACACAUACGGAGGGAUCCGUUGUGCUUCUUUUGGAACAAGACCGGGGCACCGAACGGGGCCUUGGAUGGCCGAACAUAACCAGCAUCCACCAGCUCUUUGAGCUGUUUCCUCAGUUCCUCCAACUCGGGCGGGGCCAUGCGAUAGGGAGACAUGGCCGGUGGUCGAGCAUCGAGUACCAACUCGAUCCGAUGGUCGACCUCUCUCCGAGGAGGCAGCUUCUUGGGCAGCUCAGGCGGCAUCACAUCUUGGAAGGCAUCGAGGACUCGGGACGCCUCUUCCGGUACCGAGCUUUCCUCCGCGCCCUCCUCCUUCAAUGCUGCCAAGAAGGUCACCUCGCCUUUCUUCAGCCCUUUAGCAAGCUGCAUGGCCGAUAGCAUCUUCCUAUCGCGUCCCGAUUCACGAUAGAUCGGGACCAUGCAUUGGCAUCGCUUGUCAAGAAUGCAUAUGCAAUCCGCGAAGGGCAUGACACCCGCAUUGAUCCGGUCGAGAAAUCCCAAACCGAGUACAAAGUCGUAGUCAUCAAGGGGGAUUACCUCGAUAUCUUUUUUGCUGGUCCAAGGACCUAGGUGAAACUCCACGCCCCUGGCCAUGCCGCUGGUCGGGACUUCUCUGGAAUUCACCGUCUUGAGCCAACCGGACUCAUUUGCCUCGACCGGAAGAUGCAGCUUCUUCGCGGCCUCUUUGGAUAUGAACAGAUCGGAUGCCCCGGUAUCCACGAGUGCGCUCAUUGUGGUACCCCCGAUCUUCACGUCUACGAACAUCAUUCCUUUUGGUUCUUUGGCCUUCUUGGAGGCCUUGAUCGUUCCAAGGAUCUGCAACGAUCCCAACCGCGCCUCCUCUCGUGGCUGGUCCUCCUUGCACAGGGCCGCCAACUUUCCCCUCUUCGGGCAAUCCCGAGCCAUAUGGGGACCGUCACAAAAGAAGCACUUGUAUGUGCAUGCCUUUUGUUGGUACCUUGCGUUGCUCGACUCAGGUUGAUUCCUAUGAGGAGUCGACGGUGGUCUGCCAGCAUUUGGUCGAGGGAACCGGCCUCGAUCUCCCCCACCAGUGGCCUUUUCUCUCGGUCGAAAGUCGGGCUUGGUGGUGUUUGCCGGCCUGUAUUCCACAAGGGACUCGGCCACAGAAGUAGCUGUGGUGAGGUCCGUUGCAUUGCACCGUUUGAGCUCCUGCUUGACCCAAGGUUUGAGUCCGCCCAUGAACUGGUGGAACGCCUCCGUCUUGGUCAUGGACGGGAUUUGGAGCAGCAGCUCCGAGAACCGCUUCACGUAUUCACGAACUCCGCCCUUCUGCUCUAGGCGCUUGAGUUCCCCCCGGGCUUCCUCUUCCGCAUAAGCGGGAUAGUAGGUUCGCCGAAACUCCUCGACGAACCGAGCCCAGGUCACGAUAGGCUCGGUAUUCCUACCAUCCGACCGACGUCUCCACCACAGCAGCGCAUCAUCAGAUAAAUACAUGGCUGCAGUGUUUACCCGGAUCACGUCGUCGGUUGUCCCCGUGGUCUGGAAGUAUCGCUCCAUGUACCAUAGGAAGUUGUCCACGUCCUUUGCCACCCGGGAGCCCUUGUACUCCUUUGGUUUGGGUGCAUCGGCACGGGACUGCACGGUGAUCACUCCGUUCACGCGUGCUGCUUCAAGCUCCACGAGCUUGCCCUUCAUUUCCACCAUUUCCGCCCGCAUGGCCACCAUCGCGGCUUCCCAAGUCUCAUCCCGCUGCUGCAGCUCGUGCAUGAAGGAUCCUUGCACCUCGACACGGAGCUCUCCCAUGCCAGCUUGGAGCUCUUGCACUUCGGCCAAGAGUUCUUCCCUACCGGCUUCCACUCCUUCAAUAGUCUGGUGCAGGUCGUCCGUGAACGCCUGGACGUCUAUGACGGUCUCCUCUAUGGCCGUCAGAUGGUUUUCCAGAUCCCUCUUCGGAUCCCUCACACACGAGGCAGCACGGGCCUUUCUCGACUGGUUAGCCCUCCUGGCUGAACGCCCACGAUCUUCACGCUCAUUGUCUUGAACGAUCGGAACAUCAGCGCGAGGAUUGGCCAUUUCGUUUGGAAAUGUUGGCUCUGAUACCACUUGUCACGGGUCGAUCAAUUUCGGUCGAUCAAACACCGCACGGCCUUAGGAUCGGUGAUCCCAAGUCAGCCUUACACACACACAUGCUCGAACACAACAACUGAAUGGGCAAAGAGAGUGUAUAUUGCUUGUGAACGAACUGGUUACAAGGUGGGAGAGGGAUCCCUAUUUAUACAAGAGUGGGUCGCUUUUCGGCCGUGGAUCGUCCCUCCGAUCCGACAGUCCAUUUUGAAUCCGUAUGAUCAUUACAAGCUAUACAACAGACUACUCGAAGGCUACUCGAUGGUCUGCACCUGGCAGUCCCUUAGGAAGUCCAUGAGUCGCGCUCGUCAGGCCUUGGGCAGAUCAUGGGCGUGCGUCAGAAGCAAGAUCAGGGUUGCAGGUCGGUCUGACAGGCGACCAGCUGAACCGUCACGGGCUGCUCGAGCAUCGCUCAGGGGUCGCCCACGGGCUGUGCAUGGGCCUUCCGCUCGUUCUGCUCAUUGGUCGUUCGUGGGCUGCUUCCGGACAGCCCUUUGUACGUGACACGGUCCCUCACGGACGAUCUUGGAUCAUGCUUGUCCGUGGGCCGUGUCAAAAGCAUAGGCAAGCGGCCCAACAGUGGGACUGAUGCCAACAUUGCACGACCCCAAGCGAUGUGCCAUCGAGGUUGAGCAAACCCACACAACGCAACAUCCGUGUCGUGCGACCUCAAGUGGUGCAACAUCAAGGCCACCUGCUAGGCAAUGCAACGCUUGACCCUCAGUGAGCUAUAAUUGGCAUCGAGCAACCUUAACCAAGCUUCCCAGCAUCAUGCAACUGUCGACGAGCCAAAUCUAGCGUUGAGCAAUCCUCAACGAAAGUUGGGGACUUAUCUUGAGCUUUGAGUAUUCUCAAAACAAAGUUUCGUACGACAAAUCUUCGAAAUUAUGUUACCAAAUGUCAAAACUUUGAAUCAUGGGCAUUUGGAGGCCCAAAACAGGUUAAUUCAGACACUCAAAUUUUUUAAUGGCUAAUUAGAUGGAUUGAAACGGAAGGUGAAAUUGAAUAUAGUAAAAUUGUCUUUAUAUUCUUCAUCAGCUUACAUUAAAAUUCAAUGAUGUAGAAAUGACAUUGUUGAUUUAUGAAUCUGACAUCCAAAACUAAAUAAAAGAUUAUUAUAGUCUCCACACAAGUGACCUAAUCACAUUACUAAACUAUCACUUACAAUCAUUAAAGGUUCGAGAUCAUAUGCACUUGCGACAUCUUUUUUCAAUAUCUAAUUUCUUGGAUUGUAACAUGUAUUCAUCUCUUGUAUAAUUUACUAGUCAUGGCAUCACCGUUCCUCUCCUCCUCCUUUUAUCCACCUCUCUCUCUCUCUCUCUCGCUCUCAUGUGCAAACAAAUUUAUACCCCCACAAAGGACGGGAAAGAACUACCAACCCCAGCGACCCUCUUUUGUGUGUCAUCCGAUAAAGAGUAUUGUUGACACCCGAAUUGUGUCGACUAUUCAAGCGUCCAUUUAUUUGCAGCAGGUUGUGGGCCGGAAGAGCUCUUGCGCUCAGCCCAAAAUCUAAUCCCCUCAACCCAUCAUUUACUUCCCUUUGAGCCCAUUUCUUUUGUUCCUUUUAUUGUCCUCAAUAGCCCAUCUGAACUUAAAACAAGAAGGCCCAGCCCAUAUCCCAGGCUCCUUCUCCUCCGCACACUCACGUCCGUGAGCGAAUUACGCGCGUGCGGGGACCGAGCAAAAGAGGCGUCCGUGAGUCGGUCUGUGAGAGAACAGCGAGAGAGGGAAAAUAACAUAAAAGAUUCCUUCUCGGAGAGAGAGGGGAGGAGGACGCUCGACGACAUGGAGAGUGCGUGCUCGACGAUAUAGGUGAGCAGGGGAGCUAGCUCGAAUGGGAGAGAAAGGGAGAGUGCAUCCCGUUUCGGAGUAGCAGAAAACCGCAUAGCCGGAGUUCGCCGUCGGUUUUCAGAGCUCCGGUCAACGGCCAAUCCGUGAGUUGUUCUUCACAGAGUCGGUGUCGAAGGUCAGACGAAUACUGAGAUUUCUUCCGCGAGCGGAGGAAAAGCUCUAACCAGACGCCCUUCAUUGUCGUCAAUCGAGACCUCGAUUCGCCAAACAAACCAGGUACAGUCUCGGUCCAAACGCUCUACUUUGUCUCUGUUUUGGCCGAGAAAGACAUGCUCGGUUCGAUCGAUUUUCUUGAAGAUAUCUUGAUAAGACGAAGUUUUUUUGUUGCUAACCAUGGUGUUUUAAGUCUGUUCGUAACGUGUGAGGCUGAGGAUCUAGUUAAAAUUAAAACAGAAAACCAUUGAAAGAUCUGUGUAUUGCAGGUUUGACAAAAUGCCUAAAAGAGCGCCGAAUGUCAAGUCGCGUAUAAAUUCAAGAUCGAUUCGUUUUUUCCGUGUUUUUUGUUGAAUCAUAUCUAAUACUGGCAUUUUCUCUGUGUUUCUAUGCGAUUUGAUGAAAAAUCUUUGCUUGAGUCCAACGUACAUGCGUAUCUCCAAGGCCGGAAAGCUUUAUGUUGGAGUAUCCCCUCGCACCGGCAAAGUCAGCGUUUCAGGGACAUACUAGUUAGCCCAUCUCACUUCAUUCUAAUGUAUUUUUGCUUGUUAAUUUGUUGGGAUGCUGCCGUGAAAAGUGUGAAUUAGGUAGGAUGGUUUUUAUUAAGUUUUGCGAUAGAUGGAGCGGGCAGCCAGAGGUGGUCAACGUCAGUCAGAAUAAGUGAUCGGCGGUGAUCUAAGUUCUGGUGAUAAACUCAUCAACGAUGGUAUUUGUUUCGUUAAAAAGAAAAAUGGCCGCGAAAGAUGGAGUUGCAAGUUGAAGAUGGCGUUCGGGUAGAGAAUGUCUGGAGGAAGAAGAGGGAGUGCAGGCAGAAAAAGACAAAAAGAACAAGAGACAAAAAUAAAAGAAUUAAAAAAAUCGAAACAUUAAAAAAUCCAGUUUUAAUCGGACGGGGGUGGGAUCCGGAUAUACGGAUCGGGUAAACAAGUCCGAACCCAUUCCCCGAAUAUAAUAAUAAUAAUAAUAAUGAAAAAUUUUAAAAAUCCGAAGAAAGUCAUUAAAAUUAAAAAAUUCUAAAAAAUAUUUAAAGAAUUAAAAAUUCAGAAUAUGGUAAAACAUUUUAGGAAAUAAUAAAAAAUUUAGAAAAUUCGGAAAUUAAUAAAAAAUUAAAAUUUUCAGAAAAUCAUUAAAAAAAUUUAAAAAUCCGAAAAUGUCAUUAAAAAUAUAAACCAUUAAGAAAUUUUUAAAAUAUUAAAUUAAUAAAAAUUUAAAAAUUCAGAAAAUCAUUAAAAAAUAUUUUAUAAAAUUCAGAAAAUCGUUAAAAAAGAAAAUCCAGAAAACAAAAAAAAAAUCGAAAAUCAUUAAAAAAAUCAUAAAAUUAUAAAAAAAAUCAGAAAAAAUCAGGAAAAAAAAAUUAGAAACACCUAGAAAUUGAAACCCAAAUUUGGACGGGCCUUUAAAGCUUUACAAUAGGAUUCUUUGGUUUGGAUUGCCUUUUUCUUUUUAGGGACAAUAUUAGGAUGCUUGUAUGUUUUCAUUAUGAUUAUACUCAGUUGCGCUUUUUGAUAUCUUAGAUGUUAUUUUCCUUGUUUUAUAAUGGUUCGAAUAAAACCUAGAAUUUUUUGAUAGAAUGCUAUGGCUUUAAUUAAUAUGAUCAAGUUAGGUACCGAAAUGACGUUAGUCUUAAGGCUAAUGUAAUGGAGUCCCCAAGUCUAGAAUGUCUGAUUUCGUAAAUGAUAAGAUAUUCUCUCAUAUCUUAUUAGGUUUCUAACUGAAUCCCAAAAAAAUUAGUGGCAACUGCCUUGUUAAAAUUUACAUAGGCUAAAUUAAUUUAAAUUUUGAACGCCUGAUGUUGUGCGAGGUAUAAGCUUGGAAGAACCUGAGUAAAUGGAAACUCGUGGCCCUAAGUUGGCAAUACCUCUAAACCUAACAGCUUCCUAACAGCUACCGUAAGAGGUUCGGUUGUGAUGAGUAUAUACUUUUUUUUUUUUUAAUCAAAACUCUGUACUUCAAUUCACAUUUUAUACAAUGGGAGCAAGAGGAACACCACCGAUAGAAAAUGAUUAAUAAACCCCGAAGCGAUGUACCAAUCUCUAUUUAUACAUCGGAUCAUUCCGUUUUAUCAGCUUUCCUUAUUGUUGUGAUUUAUUUUGAGUUAACAAUGAAGGAUGACUCUACCUUUGCAAAAUUGCCACACGAAAACCAACAAAGCGCAAAGCAAUGUUGGGCAAAUUCACGAGCGAAAUCCUGGGCCGACCCGAUUUGAAACAAUCUCGGGUCAAAAUGGACCUCUUAAGACUGAAACGAUGGGGCAAUUCUCUUGACGCGAUUCAUCAUCAUCAUCAUCAUCAUCAUCAUCAUCAUCAUCAUCAUCAUUAUUAUUAUUAUUUAGAUUUUCUAAGUUCUAAAGUGGCCAAAGAAAUUAAUCAUGUGCUAUUGUAGUUUAUCGGUGCAGUUAAUUCAGAUGAUUUUCUUUCGAGAAAUUUAAAAGUAACUCUAUUUGAAUAUUUGGCAAAUUCUCGAAUGCAGAAUUUGGUUUUAGCUAAGCCCGAAGUAAAUUUUAACGAAUCCCGAUCACGAAAUGCUUUGAUGAAGCGUUCAUUAAUAUUGCUCGUCUUAAGUAGUAUCUUUAGGGCACUUCUACACUUUUAAACAAGAAUUUUUAUGUUAAUUGUAAUAAACUCUUCAUAAUCUAGGGAAAUAAAAAAAGUCAAGGGAUUUCAUUUUCGCUGUAUAAAAUAUUAGUUCGCUCUUAAAUUGUAAUGCGAUAGUUACUUGCUAGUGGAACCCAUGUUAGGAGAUCACUCGGCAAAUCCACAGCCGUCGAGUUCAAAUUUUGGGUGAAUAACGGCAGACGAAAAGAAAAAAAGAAGAAGAUAAUUUCCUUUUUCAUAACACUUUCCAAGCAAUAAUGAACUUCAUUUGAGGAACCAUAUGAAAAAAAUGACACCCAACCACAGCUGGAAAAACCUAUCUAAAAUUGAUUGCUAGGAAAUAACUUGGCCAAAAAAAUGUCAAGAGUAGAGUAAUCUUGAUUUCGAAUCUUACACCGGUGACAGGCACAUCAAUGACUUCAAGCAAUCUUCAAUCAUGUUUGGAUUGGGCCAAGGCCUUUUUCUAGACAAUAACUUCUUGACAAUAUUUAUCACAUAAAUAUCAUCAAGGGGUCAAAAAAAUUGAAGAAACGAGAGAAAAUGACAGAGGAAAAAGGAAUUGCGUAUAUUUUCAUUUUUGAUAUUUGCAAUUAGCUCACAUAUUUUUAGUUUUUAGUAUGUAAUCCUCUAAGAUUCGAGCUAUUUGACGUUCAUAGUAAAUACUUUGUCGUUCCACUUUUAAUAGAGUAUGUCCCAUAUUCAAUGUUUGUCUAGACUAAUCUAUCUUCCCUUAAGUGAGAGUUUAAAGGAAUAACAAUAAUUUCCUUCGUUGUCUGUUUGUCAAAUAAUUUCCUCGAAGUGCUUCUAAAAAGUCUCAUUAUAUUUUAUCAUUCACCUAUUGCAUAUCAAGUUUCAACAUAGCUUGCAACUUCUUAUUGCUUGCACGCACUCUGAGAGUGCAACACCUCCUAAACAAUGAGUAUAUUAUCAUGAAUUGGAUACCCACUAACAAAAGCACUAUGCUCUAUGCAUAUAAUAUCCAAAAGUAAUAACAAUAAUUUCCUUCACUGUCUGUUUGUCAAAUAAUUCUCUCGAAGUGCUUCUAAAAGGUCUCAUUCUAUUUUAUCAUUCGCCUAUUGAAUAUCAAGUUUCAACACAGCUUGCAACUUUUUAUUGCUUGCACGCACUCUUAGAGUGCAAUACCUCCUUAACAAUGAGUAUAUAAUCAUGAAUUUGACAACCACUAACAAAAGCACUAUGCUCCAUGCAGAUAAUAUCCUAAAGUAAUGAUUUUAAUUAAUUGGCCACGGGCUAAUGGGACGAAACUUUUUCAGCUUUUCUAGGUAGGGUAUUUUGGGGAUAAGUAUAAUUUGGGUUUUAUCCUCUUUAGCGUUUAAGCAACCAGUGUUCUAAAAGAAAGUUACUUCCUAAAAAACAUCCUAUUGAAUGUCCUCCCAGUGGUGUUUGAAAAAUUGUCCACUUAAACUAUUAGGACCAAAGGCCUUGAGAGCUCCUAACCGGUGUACGUUUUCUAAAAUUUCCAACAUGGUGACCUCCGCUAUCAAAUUUCAAUCAAUAUCUUUCAACACUAAAGUUGAAAUGUGUUCAAUAAUAGGUUGGAAGUUUUUUGUCCUGCUAACGUAUAUAAACUCUUAAAGUAUUCCACCAUCAUUGGCUUUAGAGCACUAGGUUUUUUUUUUUUUUGGUCAUAACUUUAGAGUACUAGGUUCGCGCGUCCACUCCCCAUUAGUAUUAGCUUGCAUGGAGAUUCCAUUUCCCAGCCUCCUUUGAAUGGUUGUUGCAUGAAAAUUUUGGAUUUUUUAUUUUCCCAUUUCGACCAACUAAUUCACAAAUGUAUGUCCCAAAAAUUUCUUCCCUUUUCCACAGUGAGCUAAUUUCCUCUUUCGAUUUCAUUAUCUUUUCUUUGCUUUGGGAAUAUCUAGGUUGUUUGUUAUAUUUUGGAUUUCCUGCUUUAGCGUCUCAAUUCUCGUAUGAGUAUUGAGAAUUCUAUCCUACUCCAAGAUGCAAGGAUUUAGGACACUUUUCAGAAUUUAGUUAGUAAAUCAGCUCCCUCUCGCUUGGGAGACAACCAAACCCCGUUGACAAUAUUUCCAUACUCCUUGUCCUCUAAGCACCAUGUUUCAAAUUUGAAUUCUUUUGCUUUUUUCACUGGUUGUGGGAAUAAUCUCAGCAAAAAAGGACUAUGGUUUGAUCCUACUGCAAAUAAAUCAAAGAUUUCUGUGUCUGGAAAAAGCACCAUCCAUUCAAUCGUGCAUAAGACUCUAUCUUGUUUCUUCUUGACAAAUUCCUCCCCUUCUUUAUUAUUAUCCCAAGUGAAGGCGCAUCCCUUGCUUUCUACUUCUAUAAGAUCACAAUUGUUUAGGAAGUUUCUAAAUGUGACUAGCCAAUAAUUUUCAGCCAUCUUCCUCUCCACCUUCUCCCAAGGAUAGAGUAUUUCAUUAAAAUCCCUUGCACAGACCCAUGAUAGAUGGUUCAGAUGUCUAAUACCUUCCAGCUCCUUCCAUAACAUUAGUCUAUCAUGAAAUACAUUGGAUGCAUGGAUAUAAGUUAUAACCAUUCGUGACUCAUGAUAUUUCAGUUCACACGUCGUAUCAAUAAAUUUAUUGGUAUUUUGCUCAGUGGAAAUUGCUAUCAUGGAUACAAAUACUUUUCCUCAACGAGCGCAUGAGGGAGGGAGGGAGGGAGGGAGGGAGGGAGAAAGAGAAGAAAAUGGCAGGGCUUUGGAUGCUCUCUGUGCUUUGUGUGCUUAUUCUUUUGGUUUCUUUAUUUGGCAAUGAGUUGAAGUCGAUAGUGUUUGAAUUCAAACAUCCACUUCUUUGGGCCAUGCAAAUUGGACUAGGCCCUUCCAAUCAUGACUGCAUUGGAGCCCUUUUUAUCAUCUUCUCUUUCUUUUAAUUUUUUAAAAUUCAUGUUAAUCUAUUUUACAAGAAUCUAUGCUUGAUUUGUCAACUAAAAGCUUGAUUUGUCAACUAAAAUUUAUGUGUCAAUACUAACGUAGAUAAUUUUUUAAUUUUUAAUUUAAUUUUUAUUUUCUUUACAUGGCCAACAAGGUGAGGGCCAAUGACCCCCUCACUAGGCAUGGGCGAGGGUCCCUUAUUUCACAAAAAUAAUAUUUAUUAUAUACCAAAAUUGAGAUUAGGUGAAACUUAAACAUGAAUAUGCAAUAUAAUAUCAAACUUCAACUCGUUAGUAUUCGACUCAAUAGUCUUACAAGUCUAAUUGAGUUAUUCUUUUUAUAAAUUAUUUAUAUGAAAUUUCGAGCCCAGUCCAUUUUUAUUUCAACAUAAUAAAAUUGAAUCCAGGCACAACUUUUGAAUACUUCAAUUUUCUUUUCUAGGUGAGUUCAAGCAAGAAAUUCAAUUCUCGAUCAAGCUAAGCUCGAGUGAAGUUUCACGCGAUCAAACGUGUGAGUCGAGCUUGACAUUGCAUCAGCUGGUCUCAAUGUGAUUAUCCUUCUAUCUCAAGGACUAAGCCUAGGACGCUAGCGCUUAGACUUGAUACCUCAAAGGUGGAUUUGCACGUUCUUGCAUGUGGGCCGGACCCGAGACCUCACAGCCAGAUUUAUAAAUUCUAGUGGCCGCUUCCGUCUUCUGAGUCCUUGGCUAAUUCUUCAUCGUUCCAGAUUCGUUGGUCGAUCACGUCGAUCUCGCCCUCCAAACCCUGAGAGCGUUUGUUUCUUUGAAGCGAGCGAGAGCCAGAGCCGGGGCAUAGGGAAGAGAUCGUCAACUUCGCUGCCGAUCGGGGAAGGGCAACCCCGGGUCAGAGGCCGCCUAGCAUCUCCGAGAGCAAAGCCCACUCUGCUUCAGCUUUAAGCCCUUGAUUUUCGUAGCAAGACUCUCUCUCUCUCUGUUCCGAAGCUUGGCAUUCUAGUGAAGCACAUAUACCAUAUGCUCUUCUAAUGGCUGCUUCUUCGAAUAUCAGAAGAUAUUACCAUGUGUUCCUCAGUUUCAGAGGGACAGAUGUCCGCCACGGCUUCCUCAGUCAUCUCUACGCGGCUCUGGACCAGAAAGGAAUAUACACUUUUGUGGAUAGCGAGGAGCUUAGGAAAGGAGAGGAAAUAUCGCUGACGCUCGUGGGGGCGAUCGAGGAAUCUCGCAUCGCGAUCAUUGUCUUCUCUGAGAACUACGCCUCCUCACCAUGGUGUUUGGAAGAGCUCUUAAAAAUCAUGGAGUGCAAGGAGCAAAACGACCUGAUGGUGUUCCCAGUGUUUUUCAAAGUGGAACCGAGAGAAGUGAGAGGGGGGAGAGAGAGUUAUAAGAGAGCUAUGGAUAAGCAUGAGUCCAAGUUCGGGAAGGAUUCAGAGAAAGUGAAGAGAUGGAAGAAGGCUCUCCUUGAUGCCGGUAACUUGUCUGGGUGGGACUUCGAUGACAGGUACACACAAAUGUGAUGCAGUGCUUUGCGAUUGUUAGCUUGUGAUUGUUUGUUAGAUAUCAAAUCGUAUGUAUAGCUUCGAAUUGCCGAAACGAUGCAUCGAGUUCUUUGAAUUCGCAGUAGACACAAAAGUUGAAAGACCAAAAUUUCAAGCUAGCAGAAAUUUCUGUCUUAGAUAAGUAGUGUGGUUCCUAGGACCCGAGUAAUUAGUGUCUUCAGGCCUUUGUAAUUUUCCUUCCGCAGACGUUGGCGCAGGUGUGUGUUAUUUCUUUUCAUUUUAUUAUUUGUUAAUCUUCUUAUGAAAGACGUUAGACGUUGAAUUCCUGCCAUGGCUUGAAACGGUAAAACAUGUUUCUAUUUCUUUUGAGUGCUCAUCAGAGAUGAAAGAGAUGAAGCGAAGCUCAUACAAGACAUCGUCAAAGAAUUAUCAAUUCGUCUCAGUCCAAGAUACUUGGAUGUCGCUAAGUAUCCAGUCGGUCUAGAAUCCCAAGUUCAAAAACUGAUAAGUUUGUCAGAGUCAGCUGGUAGUGAUGUUUUGAUGAUAGGUCUAUGGGGACCUGGCGGCNNNNNNNNNNNNNNNNNNNNNNNNNNNNNNNNNNNNNNNNNNNNNNNNNNNNNNNNNNNNNNNNNNNNNNNNNNNNNNNNNNNNNNNNNNNNNNNNNNNNNNNNNNNNNNNNNNNNNNNNNNNNNNNNNNNNNNNNNNNNNNNNNNNNNNNNNNNNNNNNNNNNNNNNNNNNNNNNNNNNNNNNNNNNNNNNNNNNNNNNNNNNNNNNNNNNNNNNNNNNNNNNNNNNNNNNNNNNNNNNNNNNNNNNNNNNNNNNNNNNNNNNNNNNNNNNNNNNNNNNNNNNNNNNNNNNNNNNNNNNNNNNNNNNNNNNNNNNNNNNNNNNNNNNNNNNNNNNNNNNNNNNNNNNNNNNNNNNNNNNNNNNNNNNNNNNNNNNNNNNNNNNNNNNNNNNNNNNNNNNNNNNNNNNNNNNNNNNNNNNNNNNNNNNNNNNNNNNNNNNNNNNNNNNNNNNNNNNNNNNNNNNNNNNNNNNNNNNNNNNNNNNNNNNNNNNNNNNNNNNNNNNNNNNNNNNNNNNNNNNNNNNNNNNNNNNNNNNNNNNNNNNNNNNNNNNNNNNNNNNNNNNNNNNNNNNNNNNNNNNNNNNNNNNNNNNNNNNNNNNNNNNNNNNNNNNNNNNNNNNNNNNNNNNNNNNNNNNNNNNNNNNNNNNNNNNNNNNNNNNNNNNNNNNNNNNNNNNNNNNNNNNNNNNNNNNNNNNNNNNNNNNNNNNNNNNNNNNNNNNNNNNNNNNNNNNNNNNNNNNNNNNNNNNNNNNNNNNNNNNNNNNNNNNNNNNNNNNNNNNNNNNNNNNNNNNNNNNNNNNNNNNNNNNNNNNNNNNNNNNNNNNNNNNNNNNNNNNNNNNNNNNNNNNNNNNNNNNNNNNNNNNNNNNNNNNNNNNNNNNNNNNNNAGGAAUUAGUUGAUACAGAAAGACUAUGUUGCAAGAAGGUUCUCCUAGUUCUCGAUGAUGUUGAUGACAUGGAUCAACUGAAUGCCUUAGCUGGAAAAGGCGACUGGUUUGGCAAAGGGAGUAGAAUCAUUGUUACAUCAAGAGAUAGACAUUUAUUAACUUCUCAUGACAAAAAUUAUGUGUAUGAAGUUAAAACUUUUGAAGACAAUGAAGCACGAGACCUUUUUGGUAAGCAUGCCUUUACAAACAGCAAUAAAGUAGAAAUAAGAAGGGAUCUCAUUGAUGGAGCACUGCAUUAUGCCGGCGGCCUUCCAUUAGCCUUGGAAGUGUUGGGCUCAUUCCUACGUGGAAGAAAGGAACCUGAAUGGAAAAGUACGUUGCAUAAACUCUCUAAAAUUCCUGAAUCAAAAAUCAAUCGAGUUCUCAAGAUAAGUUUCGAUGGAUUGGACGAGAAUGAGAGGGAAAUUUUCCUUGAUAUUGCUUGUUUCUUUAAGGGGAAAAGUAUAAAGGACAUCAAGGAAGUUCUUGACAGCUGUGAUUUCGACACAAUCAUAGGAAUAAAAAUUCUCAUCGAAAGAUCCUUAAUAAAAAAUGAGGACGAGACCUUGCAAAUGCAUGAUUUGAUUCAGUCGAUGGGUCAAGAUAUUGUUAAUCAAGCAUGUCGUGAUGAUCCUGGGAAACGCAGCAGAUUAUGGCUUUUGGAAGAUGUUGAGGACGUUUUUUGUUAUAAUACGGUAAAAGUUGUUUAUGUUAGUUUUGCUACAUUUCGGUUUACAUUACUCUAAUUUGAACGGUCUAACAUAAAUCUUUAUUGAAAAUUUUGUCUGACAACCGAAUUUGCUCCAUUAUGGAUAGGGGACGGAUGCAGUAAAGGCCAUACUAUUGGACUUGCCCCCACCAGCAGCCAAAGUAGUGGACUUGCCCCCACCAGAAGCAAUAAUCAUUAGACCUGAUGCUUUCAUAAAUAUGAAAAAGUUGAGAAUACUCAUUUUUCUUGGAGUGCAUAUCUCUUCACAAGCUCAAGUACGUCUCCCUAGCGAGCUAAGAUGGCUUGAAUGGCCCAGUGCUCCGAAUCUAGAAUUUGUCUCUAGUCGAAAUAAACUUGUGAGACUCGAUGUCCCGAAAAGUCAUAUCAGACAAUUAGGGGGCAACUUUCAUGUAAGCCAUUGUGAUGAUUAGCUUUUCGUUUUUAUAGCUAUAAUUUUUUUUUUUUUUUGCAGAGCUUAAUGACUUCACUAGUAUGUUUUUGCAGAAAUUUGGAAAGCUGAAGUCCAUCAAUUUCAGUGAAUGCAAGUCCUUGGUUAGUAUUUGCGACCUGUCACCGGCUCCAAAUAUGGAGAAAUUGAUUCUUAAUGGGUGUGAGAGCUUGGUGGAGGUUCACCCAUCCGUUGGAAAUCUUGUCAAGCUAGAAGUUUUAUCGCUAGAGUUGUGCUCUAAUCUUAGUAAUUUUCCCAACACACUGAGGACUAAAUCUCUUCAAACCCUUAAUCUCUCUGGUUGUUCUAAAUUCGAGAAGUUCCCAGAUAUUGACGGAAAGAUGGAACAUCUAAAAAGACUUUAUCUUCGUAGGACGGCUAUUAAAGAACUCCCUGCAUCAAUUGAAAAUCUUGUCUCUGUGGAGUGGAUAAAUUUAGCAUUUUGCAAAAACCUCGUAAGGCUUCCAUGGCACAUUUAUAAGUUGAAAAAACUAGAGUUUUUGAAUCUUCCUGACUACUCUAAUUUAAUCACGUUUCCAAAAAACAUGAAGGAUUCAACUGAUCCCAAUGCUCGUGGGGAAUUCCAAAAUCUAAGGUUCCUAGAACUUAGCCGCUGCAAUCUAUCAGAAGUAGACUUCCUUGAGAGUUUUUCCAGUUUUCCCACAUUGAAGUUCCUGUACCUUUUAGAUAACAAGUUUACUCAUCUGCCGACAUGCAUCAACAAGUACCAUAGUUUGUACGAAUUGUCUGUUGAUAGAUGCGAGCUACUAGAAGAGAUUCCUCAGCUUCCACCAAAUGCCGACCUAUCAGCCAGAUGUUGCAAAUCUCUGCAAAAAUUCCCAGAUCUGGGGGGUCGCCCCGACCUCUCUCUUUCCGUUAACUUGACUUCAUGUUGUGAAUUAUCCCGCAGAGGGGUCACUAUGGCUGAUGUGGCUGAUUUGUCGUUACUAGAGGUCUCUCUCUAUAUAUGUGUAUAUAUAUAUGUCAACUGCAAAUGCUUGAUAUGCGUACUAUCUGUGUGACAGGAUCUGCCAAAGGUGGAUCUUCUCAACAUUUGCCUACCUGGAAGAGAGAUGCCUAAAUGGAUUCUCCCCUGUGAAGGGAAGUCCAUAUCUUUCAUGAUUCCUCAGGAGCUGUACGAUAAGUUCAAAGGAGUAGCUCUCUGUGUUGUUCUUGGCCCGGAGGAAGGAAAAGUGGUCGAUGCUUCAUGUUCAGUUGGAACAUUAACAUAUGUUAAUGGCCGGUCAGCGGGUCAAUUGGCACAAAAUUUUUAUUCAAUGGAAUCUGACCAUGUGUGGUUUCAUUAUCAUCCAGACCUUUUUCUAAAUCUGCGAAAUGAUUGGAGUCAUUACCAAGUUUGCCUCUGGGCAGAAAAAGCAAGCAUAAAGAAGUAUGGAUUCUGUCCAAUAUGCGAGCAAAAGGAGGAUGUUCUGAGGAUGGUGAUCCCAGCACCAUCAGCCGAUGGAAACAAAUUGAAGUUUUCAAGGAGUGAUUCAGAAGAAGAUAGUUCAAUAGACACCAUGGAAGCAGAUGAUCUAUUUGAAAUGUAUGCAGGGGAAAGCUCAUCACGUUUAACAAAGAAGAGAAGAAGGUCUUAACUACGGUGAGACUAUAAGUUCCAAUGUCUUUUCUUUUUCCUUUUCUGGGCCUCCACUAGAGAUUUGCAAGUGCCUGCUCCUUCAAUUAGAAUUCAAGAUCAUUAUAAAACAGGGGUUUCGCACCAUGCUACUAACAUGAUUGAGGAAUUUUUUUUUUUUUUAUGUGUUGUUUCUCUAUAAUUUGUGAUGCAGAGUGCAUUAAACCAAAAAUUAAGAGGAUGCUUGUUAAAAUGGCCAUGGUCUUCCAAGUUGCUCCAUGUAAUUUAUCACACGGGCCUCUGUUGCCUCUCUUAAUCCAAUUAAUGAUGCCAAUAUUUUGUACUUUAAAAUUCUAAGAUAGUAAGUUUUGCUCAAUCUAGUAUAAUAUGUAUCUUCAGGAAAAUAUCGUUUGAAUUGUCUCAAAGAUUAAGAGGUCUACACAGGAAAAAUUAGUUGAUUCCUCUGUUGUUGGUCAGCAGAUUGCAUUGGAUAGGUAUAAAGGGAUAGCGCUGGCUUCUAAGAAACUUUGCAUUUUGGCAAAGGAGGUUGACUUCAAGGAUUUUCAUGAAAAGCAAAUAGUAUGUGGCAAACACCUAAAAUAAGUAUUGCAAAGCAAUUUUUAGAAUGAGAAAAAAGAUUAAAAAGGGAGAAUGAAGGAACUUGUAGGUACAUGUGAAAGCACAAGCGAGUGGCACAACAGUAGGACCAAUGCCGACGUCGUGCGACCCUAGGCAAUAUGCUGCUGAGGUCAACCACCAAACCUAGGGGACGCGACACCAAUGUUGCUUGACCCUAGGCGACACAACACUGAACGCAAGUGUCCCAUGACCUCAAUUGGCAGAAUGUUGGAGCCACACAACUAGGCAACGCAACGCUUCACCCUCGACAAGCUAAAUCUGACAUCAAGUGUCCCAUGACCUCAAUUUCAGCUCAUAAAUUACAAGCUCGUGUCUUUAUCAAGCUUGUUGUUCCAACAUGCAACGAUCUAGAUUUUAAAAACAUGACAUCAAUACGGUUUGAUUGCUACUUCAGUUAAAAUCACGAUGGAUGAUGAGCACGAUUCGGUUCUCCAAUCAAAGCUAAAACCCAUCUCCAAAAAAGGAAAGAAAAGCCCAGAAAGAACACAUCGGAUGCAAUCACCCCCAUCAAUCGAGGGUCCAAAAGGGGAGGUCACAGGGACUAAUACCCAGCCAAACUGAUCAUGUACGCGAAGCAAAUGUGGAAAAAUAAAAAUUCAACACAAAUCAAGAGCAUUGAAGAUCUCAAAUGAAGCACAAAGUAGAACUCACAAGCCAAGUUGUGUUUGGAAAGCAAGGGUGACCCGAGUGUUAGGGUUUCUAGUUAGGGCUUUUUUUUUCUUUUCUUUUUUCCUUCUGAUUUACUCGACAUUAAGUGAGGUGACCGGCAUGAGUGGCGAGUGGCAAGUGUCGAGCGUUGAGUGGGGCGAGCGUCAAUUGGCGGGCAACAAGCGUUGAGCAAGGCAAGCGAUGCGAGUGGCACGCACGAUCAGAGGUGAGCAGCAUGGGCAACCAGAGGCGAGCGGGAUAUUGCUACUUUUGAUUUUGGCAAAUUGAAGAACAAGGAAGAUAGUAUGGAAGAGAACGUACUUUGGGGAAGGAAGCCGUGAGGAGAUUUACAGCGUAAACUUCGCGCCAUUUUGGAUGUCGCGAGUUCGUGACUGUGAGGACUCCUUGGUCCUCACAAUGAAGAUUGAAGAACAUACUCUGGACUAUAGAGGACGUCGUGAAGACCUUUACGACGUAAACUUCACGCCUUUUGGAAUCGGAUGCCGUCUGUUUGUGACUGUGAGCCUGAGGAGUGAACAUCUUCAACAUCAUUUUACUUAGGUUCGAAUAUAUAAAAGAAUUAUAAAUAAUAUAAUAUAACAGACAUUUUACUUAGAUUUGAAUAUAUAAAAGAAUUAUAAAUAAUAUAAUAUAAUAUAUAUGGUAGGUCAAGGGUUGGACCGACCAAAAACUCUUAGGACCGGAGACUAACUCGCACAGUGUUGGUCCUGGAAUUUCAGGACCAAAGACCGACCCAGUCCCCUUGGGAACCGGACCAGGACUGACAGGGUUGGGCCGAACCAGGGUCGGUCCAGGGUCGACCCUAGACCGCUGCUCACCUCUACUGCUUCGCUCCUUCUCUCUCUCUCUCUCUCUCUCUCUCUCUCUCUCUCUCUCUCUCUCUCUCUCUCUCAUGUGCAAAUAAAUUUAUACUCCACAAAGGACAGGAAAGAACUACCAACGCUAGUGACCCUCUUUUGGAUGUCACCCCAUAAAGAGUAUUGUUGACAUCUGAAUUUUGUCCAUUGUUCAAGUGUCCAUUUUGGGCAAAAACAUAAAAGUGCAAAUAAUAAUAAUUAGAAUUAGUUCCGCCCAAAAUCUAAUCCCCUCAGCCCAUCUUUUAGUUCCCUUUGAGCCCAUUUCUUUUGUUCCUUAUGUUGUCCUCAAUAGCCCAUCUGAACUUAAAACAAGAAGGCCCAGCCCAUAUCCCAGGCUCCUUCUCUUUUGCCUGCUCCCCGUCCGUGAGCGACGAAGACGCGAGCAGUGACCGAGCAAGAGAGGCGUCCGUGAGUCGGUCCGUGAGAGAACAGCGAGAGAGGGAAAAUAACAUAAAAGAUUCCUUCUCGGAGAGAGAGAGGGGAGGAGGACGCUCGACGACAUGGAGAGGGCGUGCUCGACCAUAUAGGUGAGCAGGGGAGCUAGCUCGAAUGGGAGAGAAAGGGAGAGUGCAUCCCGUUUCGGAGUAGCAGAAAACCGCAUCGCCGGAGUUCGCCGACGGUUUUCAGAGCUCCGGUUAACGGCCAAUCCGCGAGUUGUUCUUCACAGGGUCGGUGUCGAAGGUCAGACGAGUACUGAGAUUUAUUCCGCGAGCGGGGGAAAAGCUCUAACCAGACGCCCUUCAUCGUCGUCAAUCGAGACCUCGACUCGCCAAACAAACCAGGUACAGUCUCGGUCCAAACGCUCUACUUCGUCUCUGUUUUGGCCGAGAAAGACAUGCUCGGUUCGAUCGAUUUUCUUGAAGAGAUCUUGAUAAAACGAAGUUUCUUUGUUGAUAACCAUGGUGUUUUAAGUCUGUUCGUAACGUGUGAGGCUCAGGAUCUCGUUAAAAUUAAGACAGAAAACCAUUGAAAAAUCUGCGUAUUACAUGUUUGAAAAAAUGCCUAAAAGAGGCCGAAUGUCAAGUCCCGUCUAAAUUCAAGAUCGAUUCGUACUUGCUGUGUUUUUUGUUGAAUCAUAUCUAAUGAUGGCAUUUUCUCUGUGUUUCUAUGUGAUAUCUUUGCUUGAGUCCAACGUACAUGCGUAUCUCCAAGGCCGCAAAGCUUUUCGUCAGAGUAUCCCCUUGCACCAGCGAAGUCAGCGUUUCCGGGACAUACUAGUUAGCCCAUCUCACUUCAUUCUAAUGUAUUUUUGCUUGUUAAUUUGUUGGGAUGCUGCGGUGAAAAGUGUGGAUUAGGUAGGAUGGUUUUUGUUAAGUUUUGUGAUAGAUGGAGCGGGCGGCCAGAGGUGGUCAACGUCGGUCGGAAUAAAUGAUCGGCGGCUGGAGAUAGAUCGGCGGUAAUCUAAGUUCUGGUGAUAAACUCGUCAACGAUGGUAUUUGUUCCGUUAAAAAGAAAAAAUGGCGCGAAAGGUGGGGUUGCAGGUUGAAGAUGGCGUUCGGGUAAAGGAUGUCCGGAGGAAGAAGAGGAAGUGCAGGCAGAAAAAGACAAAAAGACAAAAAACAAUUAGAAAAAAACAUUAAAAAUCCAGUUUUAAUCCGACGCGGGUCGGAUGCGGGUAUAAGGGUCGGGUCAAUGGGUCGGAUCGGGUAAACAGUCCGAACCCAUUCCCCGAAUAUAUUAAUAAUAAUAAUUAUUAAAAAUUUUAAAAAUCAAAAAAUUCAUUAAAAAUUUAAAAAAUUAGGAAAAAUUUUAGAAAAAUUCAGAAAAUGAUAAAAAAAACUUAGGAAAUAAUAAAAAUUUAGAAAAUUCGAAAAUCAAUAAAAUAUCAGGAUUUUUAGAUAAUCAUUAAAGAUUUUUAAAAUCUGAAAAAUAUUAAAAAAAAAAAUCGAUAAAAACAUUUAAAAUUUUGAAAAAUGAGAAAAUUCAUAAAAAAAUUUAGAAGAUUCAGAAAAUCAUCAAAAAAUUUAAAAAUUCAGAACAUAUUAAAAAAUAGAAAAUUAUAAAAAAAUUCAAAAAAAUUAGAAGCUCUUAGAAAUUGAACCCAUAUUUGGACAAGUCUUUAGAGUUUUACAAUAGGGUUCUUUAGUGGUUUGGAAUUUUUUUUUAUAUUUUUUAAGGAACAAUAUUAGGAAGCUUGAAUGUUUUCUUUUUAUUAUACUCAGUUGUACUUUUUAAUAUAUUGGAUGUUAUUUCUUUUGUUUUAGAAUGGUCAGGACAAAACUUAAAUUUUUUCGAUAGGUUGCUAUGGCAUUAGUUAACAUAACCAAGUUAGGUAUUGAAAGGGCGUUAGUCUUAGGGCUAACGUAAUUAAAUCCACGAGUCUAUAAUCUUUGAUUGUAUAAAAAAUAAGAAAUUCUCCUUUAUCUUAUUGAUUUCUAACUGCCCCCAAAAAAGCUAGUGGCCACUUUUUUGUUAAAAUUUACAUAGGCUAAAUUGAUUGAAAUUUUCAACAUUUAAAGUCACGCAUGGUAUGAAUUUGAGAGAGCUAGAGUCAAGGAAUGGUCAUUGGCCUUAAGUUGAUAAUAUUCCUAAACCUAACAAUGAGUUAGGUCACGACAAGUAUAUACUAGUUUUUCAUUCAAAAAUAUAUAGUUUAAUUCACAUCUUAUGCAAUGAGAGCAAGAGCAACGUCAUUGAUAGAAAAUGAUUAAUAAAACCUAAAGCAAUGUACCAAUUUCUAUUUAUAUGUUGGAUCAUAGCCUUCCUUAUUGUUGUGAUUUAUUUUGAGUUAACAACGUUUGAGAACAAAAUCCAAAAGGAUGACUCUACAAAAUUGCCACGCGAAAACCACAAAGCGCGAAGCAAUGUUGGGCAAAUUCACGAGAAAAUCUUGGGCCGACCCGAUUUGAAACAAGCUCGGGUCAAAAUGGGCCUCUUAAGACUGAAACGAUGGGCCGUUUCUCUUGCUAGCUUAAUUGGAACAUGAAUGUGGUUUGGAUUCGCUUUAUAUUUCAUGAAAAUUUUCUUUCCUACUUUUUAAUAUAUUUUUUUAUGAUGAUUUAGUUUUUCUAAGUUCUAAACUGGCCAAAGAAAUUAAUCAUGUGCUAUUGUAGUUUAUCAGUGCGGUUAAUUCACAUGAGUUUACUUUCAAAAAAGCUAAAAGUAACUCUAUUUGAGUAUUUGGUAAAUUCUCGAAUGCAGAAUUUGGUGUCAUCUAACCCCGAAGUAAAUUUUAACGCAUCCCGAUCAUGAAAAUGCUUUGACAAAGAGUUCGUUCAUAUUAGUAGUCUUAACUAGUAUCUUUAGGGCACUUCUACACUUUUAAACAAAUUUUUUUAUGUUAAUUGUAAUAAACUCUUCAAAAAAAUUCUUUUUAAAAAGUCAAGGGAUUUUAUGUUCGCUCUAUAAAAAAUUAGUUCGCUCUUAAAUUAUAAUGUGGUGGUUACUUACAAGUGGAACCCAUGUUAGGAUAUCACUCGGCAAAUCGACAGUCAUCAAGUUCAGAUUUUGGAUGAAUAAUGGCAGACGGAAAGAAAAGAAAAAAAAAUCAGAUUUUUUUUUUCCCAUAACAGUUUAGGAACCAUCUGAAGGAAGUGACACCCAGUCACAGCUGGAAAACCUAUCUGAAAUUAAUUGCUUGGAAAUAACUUGGCCAAAAAUAUCCCAUCAAUUAAUUAAUCUCUAUCCACUUCUCAUUUGAUGGAAGAAAAAUGUCAAAAGUAGAGUAAUCUUGAUUUCGAAUCUUACGCUAGUGACAGACACGUUGAUGACUUAAAGCAUCCUCAGUCACGUCAGGUUUGGACCAAGGCCUUUUUCUAGACGAUGGCUUCUUGACAAUAUUUAUCAUUCCAUAAAAUAUCAUCAAGGGGUCAAAAAAUUCGAAGAAACGAGGAAAAAAGACUGACGAGAAAGGAAUUGCGUAUAUUUUCAUUUUUGAUAUUUGCAAUAUCUUUACUUUUUAGUAUGUAUCCUCUAAGAAUCAAGCCAUUUGAUGGUCAUAGUAAAGACUCCGUCGUCCUGCUCUUAAUAGAGCAUGUCCCAUAUUAUUGUUUGUCUAGACUAAUCUAUCUUCCGUCAAUUGAGAAUUUAAAGGAAUAGCAAUAAUUUCCAUAGUUCGUCAAAUAGUUCCCUUGAAGUGCUUCCAAAAGGUCUCAUAUAUUCUAUCAUUCGCCUAUUGCGUAUCAAGUUCCAACAUAGCUAGCAACUUCUUUGCCCGACUUAACAUUGUGUUUAGCUUAUGGGGAUUCAUGUCUCCAGACUUAAUAACGAGGCCAUGUUUAUUUUUUGCCUGACUUGUAUCGAGCUUUUCAUCUCCCAUACUUUUUCUUGGAUGCUUUCGAUACUUGGUUGUUUACUUUAAAAAGCCAUUUUCAAUGGCCUAUAUGUUAAUUUCCUUUCUAGAAGCUUGAGACUAGAACAAUUUUUUAGGUGUCAACUUAAACUUUGGUGUCAAUAUUAAUGUAGAUAAUUUUGUAAUUUUUAAUUCUAUUUUUAUUCUCUUCACAGGGCUAACAAGACUGUCGAGCCCCCACGCUAGCCAUGGGGGAGGGUUUGUUGUUUCACAAAAAUAAUAUUUACAAUAUACCAAAAUUGAGAUUAGGUGAAACUUAAACAUGAAUGUGCCAUAUGAUAUCAAACUUCAAUCUGUUAGUACUCAGCUCAAUAAUUUUACAAGUCCAAUUGAGUUAUUCUUUUUGUAAAUUAUUUAUAUGAAUUUUGAGCCCAGUCCAAAUUGAAUUCAAGCGCAACUUCUGAAUACUUCAAUUUUCUUUUUCAAUUGAGUUCAAGCAAGAAAUUCAAUUCCCGAUCAAGCUAAGCUCGAGCGAAGUUUCAACCGGUCAAACAUGUGAGUCGAUGCGCGUGGACUGAGAGACACCAGCCGAGCAGGUUAUCACGUGGGCCGGUGGCACCUUUCGUCUUCGAGUCCUUGGCCGAUUCUUCAUCGUUCCAGAUUCGUUGGUCGAUUGCCACGUGUUCUGGUGGAUCCGACGCUUCAGAAUCUUCGGUUCUUUCUGCUUCCCUGGCUCUCUCUUUCCCCACUUUCUUCUUUCUCCUCCUUCAUACUUCUUCAAAACAAGAGUCAACUCAGAGCCGCCUGGCAGCCACAAUCCAAGAUCUCUGUCUUCUCGCCCUCGACACCGUCAGGGCCGUUCCAUCCAUUGUCGUUACGGGUCAGCUUCAUUUACUUUUGCACAUCUAUGGUUUUCCGCCGAUCCCGACGUGGAUCUCGCCCUCCAAACCCUCGCCGCCGCGCGUUCCUUCGUCGUCCAGCAGCAUAUUUAUCUGAAAUCGAAAGCUGAAAACGUUUUCACCAGCCAAAUGGCCCUGAGAGCGCUUGUUUCUUUGAAGCGAGCGAGCGAGAGCCAGAGCCAGGGCAUAGGGAAGAGAUCCUCGACUUUGCUGCUGAUCGGGGAUGGGCAACCCCGGGUCAGAGGCCGCCAAGCAUCUCCGAGAGCAAAGCCCACUCUGCUUCUGCUUUAAGCCCUCGAUUUUCAUAGCAAGACUCUCUCUCUCUCUGUUCCGAAGCUUGGCAUUCUAGAGAAGCACAUGUACCAUCAGCUCUUCUGAUGGCUGCUUCUUCGAAUAUGAAAAGGAAUUACCAUGUGUUCCUCAGUUUCAGAGGGACAGAUGUCCGCCAAGGGUUCCUCAGUCAUCUCUACGCGGCUCUGGGCCAGAAAGGAAUAUACACUUUUGUGGAUAGCGAGGAACUUAGGAAGGGAGAGGAAAUAUCGCCGACGCUCAUGAAGGCGAUCGAGGAAUCGCGCAUCGCGAUCAUCGUUUUCUCUGAGGAUUAUGCCUCCUCGCCGUGGUGUUUGGAAGAGGCUGUGAAAAUCAUGGAGUGCAAGGAGCGAAUGGGCCUGAUUGUGUUCCCAGUGUUUUACAAAGUGGAACCAAGAGAAGUAAGAGGAGGGAGAGAGAGUUAUGGGAGAGCUAUGGCUAAGCAUGAGUCCAAGUUCGGUAAGGAUUCAGAGAAAGUGAAGAGAUGGAAGAAGGCUCUCUUUGAAGCCAGUAGCUUGUCUGGGUGGGAGCUGAAUGACAGGUACGCGCAAAUGUGACGUGGUGUUUUGUGAUUGUUAGCUUGUGAUUGUUUGUUAGAUAUCAAAUCGUAUGCUCUUUUUUGGAUCUUCGAAUUGAAGAUACAAAGUGGAGAUAAAUUAGACAGUAGACACAUAAUCAAAUAACCGAAGCUCGUAGAUUCUUUGAAUUGAUUCUUGCUGUGUGGAUAAUGAGAAAUUUAUGUAACAUAAAUAGUGUGAUUCAUAGUGCCCGAGUCAAUAUUGUCUUCAGAUUCAGGUUCUUUGUAAUUUUCCUUGCGUAGAUGUUGGCGCAGGUACACCCACCUUUCAUCUUAUAUUUUGCUAAUCUUAUUAUGGAAUUUUACUUAUUCGAAAUGCUAAAACCUGUUUAUCUUUCUUGAAUGCUUAUCAGAAAUGAAGCGGAGCUCAUACAAUGCAUAGUAAAGGAAUUAUCAAUUCAUCUCAACCGAACGCCUUUACAUGUCGCUAAGUAUCCAGUCGGAAUAGAUUCCCAAGUUGAAAAACUUAUAUCAUUGUCAAAUAAAGAGUCCGAUGAUGAUGAUGAUGUUCUCAUGAUAGGUCUAUGGGGACCUGGAGGCAUAGGGAAGACAACAAUUGCCAAGGCCCUGUUUAAUGCUAUUGAGAGACAAUUUCAUGGUUGUAGUUUUUUGGCGCGAGUUAGAGAAACUUCGAACUCAAGUGGUGGUCUAGUUGCUUUGCAAAAAAAACUUAUGUCUGACAUCUUAUCUCAACGAGAUUUAAUGGUUGAUAGUGUCGAUGGAGGAAUUAAUUUGAUACAGGAAAGACUAUGUUGUAGGAAAGUUCUCCUGGUUCUUGACGACGUUGACCAGUUGAAUCAAUUGAAUGCGUUAGCUGGAGAAGGCAAGUGGUUUGGUAAAGGAAGUAGAAUCAUUGUUACAUCAAGAGAUAAACAUUUGCUAACUUCUCAUAGUAGACAUUUUGUAUAUGAAGUUCGGACUUUAGAAUUCAAUGAAGCACUAGACCUUUUUUAUCGGCAUGCUUUCCCAAAUAGCAAGAGAGUUGAAAUAAGAUGGGAUCUCAUAUAUAGAGCAGUGCAAUAUGCUAACCGCCUUCCAUUAGCCCUUGAAGUGUUAGGCUCAUUCUUACGUGGGAGAGAGGAAUCUGCAUGGGAAAGUACAUUACAUAAACUCUCCAAAAUUCCUGAACAAAUUAUUAAUCAAGUUCUCAAGAUAAGCUUUGAUGGAUUGGAGCACAACGAGAGGGAGAUUUUCCUGGAUAUUGCUUGUUUCUUUAAGGGGAAGAGCAUGAUGUAUAUUAAGGAAGUUCUCAAUAGCUGUGAUUUCAGCACAACCAUAGGAAUAGAAAUUCUCAUAGAGAGGUCCUUGAUAAAAAAUGAGUAUGGGUUCCUACAAAUGCAUGAUUUGAUUCAGUUGAUGGGUAAGGAUAUUGUUAACCAGGAAUGUCGUGAUGAUCCCAGAAAGCACAGUAGACUAUGGCUUUUUGAAGAUGUUUUGGACAUUCUAAGUAGUGAUAAGGUAAAGGUUGUGUAUGUCAAUUAUGCUACAUAUUAGUUCUUACAUUAAUCUCGUUUGAACAGUAUAAUGUAAAUCUAAAUGGAAAUUUUGUGUGGCAACUGAAUUUGCUUUGUUAUGGACAGGAAAUGAAUGCAGUAAAGGCCAUAGUAUUGGAAUUGCCUACAUCAGAAGAGAUAACUAUUAGUCCUAAUGCUUUCACAAACAUGAAAAUGUUGAGAGUGCUCAUUUUGCUUGGAGUGCAUAUCUCUUCACAAGGUCCUAUAAGUCUCCCUGAGGAGCUAAGAUGGCUUGAAUGGGCCAAUGCCCCGGAUCUAGAAUAUGGCUUGAAACUUGUUAGACUUGAUGUCAAGAAAAGUCAUAUCAAACAAUUAGGAAGCAACUUUCAGGUAAGCCCUUGUGAUGACUAGUUUUCACUUUUUAUAGUUAUAAAUAUUGGCAAAGCUCAAUGACUGCACUAAAAUCUUUUUGCAGAAUUUUAGAAAGUUGAAGUCCAUCAGUUUCAAGGAAUGCAUGUCCCUAACCGGUGUUCCUGACUUAUCAUCAGCUCCAAAUCUAGAGAGCUUGGAACUUGAUAGGUGCAAAAGCUUGGUGGAGGUACACCAAUCCAUCGGAUAUCUUGACAAGUUAAAAUAUUUGUCACUACGAUGGUGCUUUAAUCUUAGUAUAUUUCUUGGUACACUCAAGACAAAAUCACUUCAAGACCUUCGUCUCUCUGGUUGUUCUAAACUUGAGAAGUUCCCCUAUAUUUUGGGAAGGAUGGAACAUUUAGAAAAUCUUGAGUUACAAGGGACAGCUAUUAAAGAACUCCCUGUAUCAAUUGAAAAUCUGAUCUCUGUGAAGUGGGUAGAAUUAGGACAUUGCAAAAACCUCAUGAGGCUUCCAUCGAGCAUUUAUAAGUUGAAAAAACUCGAACGUCUGAGUCUUGAAGAGUGCUCGAAUUUUGUCAUGUUUCCAAAGAAUUUGGAGGAUUCAACUGAUCCUAAUGGCAAUUUGGGAUUCUCAAAUCUAGAGUGUCUAGAACUUGAUGGCUGCAAUUUAUUAAAAGUAGAGUUUCUUGACAGUUCUUCCAGUUUUCCCAAGUUGGCCUACCUAAGUCUAUCACCGACAAGCAUCAACAAGUAUAAUUAUCGGAAAGGCUGGUAUGUUGAUAAACGCAAGCAAUUACAAGAAUCAAAUAGGUGCAUCAUGGAAGUGAACAGUUGUAAUUUUCUACAGAAACUCCCAGAUUUGUUGAGUCUGCCCUCCGAUUGCCUUCAAGUUGACUUGAUUUCAUGUUGUGAAUGCAAAGGGGGCAAUAUGGCCGAUGUGUCCUCACUCGAGGUCAGACUCUCUCUCUCUCUCUCUCUCUCUCUCUCUCUCUCUCGCUAACUUUGAAUGCUUGAUAUGCGUACUGUGUGACCGAUGUGUCCUCACUCGAGGUCAGACUCUCUCUCUCUCUCUCUCUCUCUCUCUCUCUCUCUCUCGCUAACUUUGAAUGCUUGAUAUGCGUACUGUGUGACAGAGACUCCCAAAGAUGAUAAAAGUCGACAUUCUCCUCAGUGGAAGAGAGAUGCCAAAAUGGAUUCUCCAAUGUAAAGAUGGAUUCAUAUCUUUCAUGGUUCCUCGGGACUUGUACGACAAGUUCUUUGGAUUAGCAUUCUGUGUUGUUCUUGGCCUGGAGAAAGGAAAAGUGGUCAAUGAUAAAUGUCAGUUCCAAAUAUCUGUGAAUGGCAGAAGGGUGUUUGGGGAUUUAAGAAGCUUAUAUCAAUUAGAAUCCGAUCAUGUGUGGCUUUAUUAUCUCCCACGCAGUAAUCUUGGAUUAGAGAAGCUUAUGCAAAAUGAUUGGAGCCAUUUCCAAGUUUGCUUUGAAGCAUCGAAACUAAGCAUGAAGAAGUGCGGAUUCCGUCUAAUAUGCGAGCAAAAGGAGGAUGAUCUGAGGGUCCGUGCUCCAACACCAUCAGCUGAUAGAAAAAAAUUGGAGUUUCAAGGAAAGAGACUCAAAGGAAGACAAUUUUCAAUAGACACCGAGGAAGAAGAUAGUCCAGUGAAACAGAACUCAAUAAAGAAGAUGAGAUGGUUUUAACCAUGGCGAGAGUAUGGCUUGCAAAACAUGCCAGCUGAAUUGGUCACGAUUUGUUGAGGAAGUGAUUCUAGGUGAUUUUGAUUCCAAUGCCUCUUGCUUUACCCUUUUUUCGUCUCUACUGGAAAUUUGAAAAUGUCUGCUCCUUAGAUUAGAAUUCAAAAUCAAUUUGAAGUAGAGGUUUCGCAUCAUGCCUACCCAGAUGGUUGAGGAACUUCUUUUUUCGCUCUUUCUUUAUGAUCUGUGAUGCUGAGUACACUACUUCAAAAUUCAUCGGAUGCUUGUUGAAUGGCCAGUGUCUUCCAAGUUGCUUUGUGUAAUUUAUCAUGCGGACCUCUGUCACCUCUUAUAAUCUAAUUAAUGAUGCUAGCUAGCACUUUAUACUCUAAAAUUCUGAGAUAGCAAGUUUCGGUCAAUCUAAUAUAAUCUAUAUCUUUGGGAAAGCAUUGAUCUUAAUUGUCUCACAGAUCAGGAGGUCUAUACAAGGAAGAUUAGAAGGCUCCUCUGUUGUCUUUAUUCAGAUUGUAUUGAAUAGGUACAAAGGGAGAGCUUUAGCUUCAAGAUUUUGCAAUUAAGCAAAGGAAAUUGACUCAAAGGAAUAAAUCUUAAAGUGAAUAGUGUUUAACCCCUUGUGAAAAUACUUACUGCUAACGUUUCUUUAAUAAGAAAAAACAAAGAGAACAGAGGAACUUGCAGUUGCAUAUGAAAAGUCAGGCCGGGGCUACAACACUAGAACUGAUACCGACAUCAUGCGAUCCCAAUGCGCCCUGCGGUCGUGAGACCCCAUGCGGUGCGCCGUCGUUGUCACGAUGCGCAACUCCAUGGCCACACAAUAGGGAAGACAAUGCUUGAUCCUUGACAAGCUAGAUUUGACGUCAAGUGACCAACCCUUGGUCAAGCUUGCCGAUGUCGGAAAGCUGCACUGGUGUCUCCCGACCUUCUCGAAAAAGCAUCCCAGCCAUGAGGUACCAUGGUUUUCUCUUUGUCCCUAUCCAAGAUCGAGGGGGUAAAAUGAGAACAUCAAUAUAUUCGCAAGGGCAAGAUUAAAAAAAAAAAAACAUGAACAAGCAUGCCAAAGAUGUUAACCCCCAAGCUCUCGCUCGCCCUGAGCUUUGACCAUUUUCAAUGCAAAAUUUUUGCACCCAAAUAUUCGAAGACGUGUUCCAAAAUGCCAAAACUCUGGCUCAAGGGCUUUUGGAAAUUCAAAGCUGCUCGUCUCCCAUAUGUAGCUUGAGCGUCCUGGCUCGGUAAGGGCAGAAGUGUAAUUUCAUGAGUGCCAACUCAGUCGGCUCAUAAUUUGGGCCUCUUGACUCGGCCCCUUCCCCCGACAGAUAACACCUAAAAUUUUCUUCUGAAACCGAUCUUCGUGUCCGACGUCUUCCCGACUUUCUGAACCUUUUAGCCCUGAGAGCAAAAAUAGAAAUCUCGUUUUCUAGUUAUUUACUCUCUUUCUAAAUUUUGAAUUUUAACUUAUUCCACUUUAAAAUUUAAUAUGAACUUACAAUACUUUCUGAAUUGGUACUUUUUUAAGGCGAUCAAUAUUCACCGCUACAACCAUUUAAUAAUAGGAUUAAUCAAUCUUUUUUUUCAAUUUUUUUUUGUCAAGCUUGCACCCUUUUUAUAUAUAUAAUUUAAGAAUUAGGAGGUAAGAACAUAGUGAUUCAUGGUUCAACAAUUUACAUUAACCUCAAGAAAAAAAAUUAAACGUAGUUAUAAUUACUCUAAAUAUUAUUCUAUCAAAGAAAGAGCCAAUAAAUAAUCUCCAUACUAUAUAAGGAGUUGGCCGAUAUUGAUAAACAGUUAGGAGGACUAAAUAUUCAUUACCCUUAUUAAAAGGUUUACUUGUUUUCUUCUCUCAGAAUCAUACAAGUGUGAAAUAUUAUGUUUCCUUCAUUUAUACAAUAAAGAAUCCCUUAUACUGUGCACGCAAUUCAGGCUUUAUAUUUUAAUUUUUUUUAUUGUAUAAUUGAUGUACACAAAAUAUAAACACGUCUUUGUCUUUCUUCCUAUUUGGUAAAAAAAAAUCUUUACAAAAUAGCAUUUAUUAAUGUAAACACUUAAUUCGUGUGCUUUUUACACUAUAACUAUACUAAUACAACCACAAAAUAGAAUUUAUUGUAAAUUAUUAAUGUCUCUUAAAAAAAAAUAUAUCAAAUUGUUUACUCCAAGUAAUUUUACAAUGUUUUAUACCAAACAACGUAACUUUGCUAUCAAAAUACCUUCUCAUCUAUAGGGUUUACGAGGGUCUUCUAUAUAUGUAGUCUUUCUUUGUCUAAUAGCUUAAAUUUCUAGGUUGGACUAUUCAAUGUGAUAUCAAAGCCAAAUUCAAACCCAGUUUUUUUUUUGUAUAUGUGGCUCUCCAUCCAUCAAUUUCACCUAUCAUUUUAAGAUCGGUUUUGCACGCUAAAAGAGAUAUUAUAAUAUUAUACAUUGCUUGUUUACAUAAUUUACAUAAUUUAUACUUACCUUAUUAUCUCUUCACGAAUAGUGGCCAACAAAAAAAAAAUCAUAAUUAAGUGACUCCUACAAGGGCACGAUUACGUGUGAAAAAAGUUACUUUAACCUACUAUGAACUGAGAUGACAAAAACCAAUCAAAACAAAUGAUGUUGAUUAAGCUUUUUUAAGUCUAAAGUCCAAGUAUGCAAGGACUGACCUGGUUCAUUUUUUUUUAACAUAGUGAUCAAGAUAAUAUUUUUUACUUACUUAUAGUAGAUAGAAAUAAAAUCUAAUUUUAAUUCCCCCAAAAAGUUGACUGAGAUAGUGAGAGAUUGAUUCAUACGACAAAUCCUAUAUCUAAUUACAUACUCACCAUUUAGAAUAACUCUAAGGAUGCACACCCAUGAUCGACCCAUUGGCAGAUCAUGGGCAUGCAUCUCCCAAGCUUAUGGGGGUUCAUGUCCCAAGGUUAAAUAACAAGACAUUAUAUAUUCUUUCCCCAACUAAACAUCGUGUUUAGCUUAUGGGGAUUCAUGUCCCGAGACUUAAUAAUGACACAAUGUUUAUUUUUUGCCCGACUUGUAUCGAGUUUUUCAUCUCCCAUACUUUUUCUUGGAUGCUUUCGAUACUUGGUUGUUUACUUUAAAAAGCCAUUUCAAUAGCCUAUAUGUUAAUUUCCUUUCUAGAAUCCUAAGACUAGAACAAUUUUUUAGGUGUCAACUAAAACUCAGAUAUCAAUACUAAUGUAGACAAUUUUUAAAUUUUAAAUUUUAUUUUUAUUUUCUUCACAUGGCCAACAAGACCGUUAACCCCCUCACUAGGCAUGGGGGAGGGUUUGUUGUUUCACAAAAAUAAUAUUUACAAUAUACAAAAAUCGAGAUUAGGUGAAACUUAAAUAUGAAUGUGCCAUAUGAUAUUGAACUUCAACUUAUUAGUACUGGGCUCAAUAGUUUUACAAAUCCAAUUGAGUUAUUCUUGUUGUAAAUUAUUUAUAUGAAAUUUCAAGCCCAGUCCCCUUAUAUUUCAACAUAAUAAAAUUAAAUCCAAGCGCAACUUUUGAAUACAUCAAUUUUCUUUUUCAAUUGAGUUCAAGUAAGAAAUUCAAUUCUCGAUCAAGCUAAGCUCGAGUGAAGUUUCAAGCAAUCAAAAUACGUGAGUCGAGCUUGACAGUGCAUUAGCUCAUCUCAACGUGGCUAUCCUUUAUUUCGAGGACUAGACCUAGGACGCUAGCGCUUAGACUUGAUACCUCAGAGGUAGGUUGCGCAUCCUUGCGCGUGGAUUCAGACACACCAACCGAGCACGUUAUCACGUGGGCCAGUGGUACCUUUUGUCUUCGAGUCCUUGGCCGAUUCUUCAUCGUUCCAGAUUCGUUGGUCGAUUGCCACGUGUUCUGGUGGAUCCUACGCUUCAGAAACUUCCGUUCUUUCUGCUUCCCUGGCUUUCUCUCUCUUCUCACUUUCUUCUUCCUCCUCCUCCGUACUUCUUCAAAACAAGAGUCAACUCAGAACCGCCUGGCAGCCACAAUCCAAGAUCUCUCUUCUCGCCCGACACCGUAAGGCCGUUCGAUCCAUCGUCGUUGCGGGUCAGCUUCAUUUACCUUUGCACAUCUAUGGCUUUCCGCCGAUCCUGACGUCCAUCUCGUCCUCCACAUCCUCGCCGCCGCGCGUUCCUUCCUCGUCAAGCAGCAUAUUUAUCUGAAAUCGAAAGCUGAAAACGAUUUCACGAGCCAAAUUACCCUGAGCCCGGUCCAAUAUUUUCCUGAGAAUGGAACAGGCUGAGAGCGCUUGUUUUUUUAAAGCGAGAAAGAGCCAGAGCCAGAGCAAAGGGAAGAGAUCGUCGACUUCGCUGCCGAUCGGGGAAGGGCAACGCCGGGUCAGAGGCCGCCCAGCGUCUCCGAGAGCAAAGCCGACUCUGCUUCAGCCUUCAGCCCUUGAUUUUCGUAGCAAGACUCUCUGUUCCGGUGCUCGGCAUUCUAGGGAAGCACAUGUACCAUCAGCUAAUCUAAUGGCUGCUUCUUCGAAUAUGAAAAGGAAUUACCAUGUGUUCCUCAGUUUCAGAGGAACAGAUGUCCGCCAAGGCUUCCUCAGUCAUCUCUACGCGGCUCUGGACCAGCAAGGAAUAUACACUUUUGUGGAUAGCGAGAAGCUUAGGAAAGGAGAGGAAAUAUCGCCGACGCUCAUGAGGGCGAUCGAGGAAUCGCGCAUCGCGAUCAUCGUUUUCUCAGAGGGCUACGCCUCCUCGCCGUGGUGUUUGGAAGAGGCUGUGAAAAUCAUGGAGUGCAAGGAGCGAAAUGGCCUGAUUGUGUUCCCUGUGUUUUACAAAGUGGAACCAAGAGAAGUAAGAGGAGGGAGAGAGAGUUAUGGGAGAGCUAUGGCUAAGCAUGAGUCCAAAUUCGGUAAGGAUUCGAAGAAAGUGAAGAGAUGGAAAAAGGGUCUCUUUGAAGCCGGUAACUUGUCUGGGUGGGAGUUGAAUGACAGGUACACACAAAUGUGACAUGGUGUUUCGUGAUUGUUAGCUUGUGAUUGUUUGUUAGAUAUCAAAUUGUAUGCUCUUUUUUGGAUCUUCGAAUUGAAGAUACAAAGUGGAGAUAAAUUAGACAGUAGACACAUAAUCAAAUAACCAAAGCUCGUAGAUUCUUUGAAUUGAUUCUUGCUUUGUGGAUAAUGAGAAAUUUAUCAAACAUAAAUAGUGAUUCAUAGUGCCUUAGUCAUUAUUGUCUUCAGAUUCAGGUUCUUUGUAAUUUUCCUUGCGUAGAUGAUGGCGCAGGUUCACCCACCUUUCGUCUUAUUAUUUGCUAAUCUUCUUAUGAAAUUUUCCUUAUCACGUUAGAGGUUGAAUUCCUGCUAUGGCUUUGAAAUGCUAAAACGGGUUUUUCUUUCUUGGAGUGCUUAUCAGAGAUGAAGCGGAUCUCAUACUAUGCAUUGUAAAGGAAUUAUUGAUUCGUCUCAACCGAAAAUCUUUACAUGUCGCUAAGUAUCCGGUUGGAAUAGAUUUCCGAGUUCAAGGACUGUCAUGCUUGUCACAGAAAGAGUCGGCUGAUGAUGAUGUUCUGAUGAUAGGUCUAUGGGGACCUGGAGGCAUAGGGAAGACAACAAUUGCCAAGGCCCUAUAUAAUGCAAUGAUGAGACAAUUUCAGGUUUGUUGUUUUUUGGAGCAAGUUAGAGAAAAAUCAAACCGAAGCGAUGGUCUUGUUACUUUACAAAAGGAUCUUCUAUCUGAGAUCCUGGUUCAUCCUUUAACGGUCUACAGUGUCGCUGGAGGAAUUAGUUUGAUACAAGAAAGACUAUAUUGCAAGAAUGUUCUCCUGGUUCUUGAUGAUGUUGACCAUAUGAGUCAACUGAAUGCAUUAGCUGGAAAAAGCAAUUGGUUUGGAAAAGGAAGUAGAAUCAUUGUUACAUCAAGAGAUAAACAAUUGCUGACUUCUCAUGGCAUAAAUUGUGUGUAUGAAAUUCAAACUUUAGGAUGCCAUGAAGCACAAUAUCUUUUUAGUCUGUAUGCUUUCCCAAAUAGCAAGAGUGUUGAAAUAAGAAGGGAUCUCAUAGAUAAAGCACUGCAUUAUGCCGACAGACUUCCAUUAGCCCUGGAAGUGUUGGGCUCAUUCUUACGUGGAAGAAAGGAACCUGCAUGGGAAAGUACAUUGCAUAAACUCUCCAAAAUUCCUGAACCAACUAUCAAUCGAGUUCUCAAGAUAAGCUUCGAUGGAUUGGAGAACAACGAGAGGGAGAUUUUCCUCGAUAUUGCUUGUUUCUUUAAGGGGAAAAAUAUAGAGUACAUCAAGGAAGUUCUUGACAGCUGUGAUUUUCACACAGCCAUAGGAAUAUAUAUUCUCAUGGAAAGGUCCUUGAUAAAAAACCAGGAUGAGACCUUGGAAAUGCAUGAUUUGAUUCAGUCAAUGGGUCGGGAUAUUGUUAAUGAAGCAUGCCGUGAUGAUCCUGGGAAACGCAGCAGAUUAUGGCUUUUGGAAGAUGUUGAGGACAUUUUUUGUUAUAAUACGGUAAAAGUUGUUUAUGUCAGUUUUGCUACAUUUCAGUUUACAUUACUCUAAUUCAGACGGUAUAAUGUAAAUCUUAACUUGAAAUUUUGUCUAACAACUGAAUUUGCCCUGUUAUGGAUAGGGGACGGAUGCAGUAAAGGCUAUAGUAUUGGAAAGGUCCCCACCAGAAGCAAUAAUCAUCAGUCCUGAUGCUUUCACAAAUAUGAAAAGGUUGAGAAUACUCAUUUUGCAUGGAGGGCGUAUCUCUUCACAGGCUCAAGUACGUCUCCCUAACGAGCUAAGAUGGCUUGAAUGGUCCAAUGCCCCGAAUCUAGAAUUUGGCUCUGGUCCAAAUAAACUCGUGAGUCUCGAUGUCCGGAAAAGUCAUAUCAAACAAUUAAUGGGCAACUUUCAGGUAAGCACUUGCGAUGAUUAGCUUUUCCUUUUUUAUAGCUAUAAACAUAUUUGCAGAGCUUAAUGACUACACUAGUAUGUUUUUGCAGAAUUUUAGGAAGCUGAAGUCCAUCGAUCUCUAUGAAUGCAAGUCCUUGGUUAGUAUUCCUGAUCUGUCAUCGGCUCCAAAUAUGGAGAAAUUGAUUCUUAAUGGGUGUGAGAGCUUGGUGGAGGUCCACCCAUCCGUUGGAAAUCUCAAAUGGCCAUGGCAUAUGGACGUCUUUAUUGAAGUAACAAAUCAAAUAGCAAAAUAUAGCAUGGUCAUAGUGUAAAAUCUUUUAUAAAUCAGUAUGAUGAUAACACAUCAAACAGAUUAUCCACGAGCUGAUCAUUUUGGGAUUUAUUCAAUUUUUGUGUGUGUCUAUACAUAUACAUGUGUAUAUAUAUAUAUAUAUAUCUUCUAUGGUUAAAUGAUGAUAUAUCUCUAUAGUAUCACUCUAGUUAUACUAUAGAAAGUAUCACUAAAAUAUGUGUGCUUCACUCAUUCAGUUCUCUGUUUUUUCUUUAAUCUGUUCAUUGGGGGGUGAUGACUUGAGAUGAGAAUUUCUUUUUUCAAUUUUUCAUUUUUUGAUUCGUACUUUCUUAGUUGUCUUAAUAGUUAAACUCAUUAUUUACCUUUUUUUUUUGCCAACAUCAUUUUAUUUUUUAUCUUUUAAUUUAUAUAUGAUUUUUUAUUAUUAAAAAGUCAUGUAAGCAUACCAUGCAAAUAUUGUUAAUCCUGUCAACUACCACAGAGGAUGUCUAUUGUCAAAAUUGGAGGAAAUUGCAAAGGAAGGUAAAAUUGGGACAAUGGUACAGCUUUGACAGUUUUUACUUGUCCUAAGAUAAUUUGUGGUAAAUAUGUUUAAGUCAUAACAAUUUAAGAUUUUUUAUGAUUUAACUCUAAUAUAUAGAUGUAUUAUCUCUUUCCAUUUUCUCCUCUUGCGGAGUCUUGAGUUCCAUUUCAUUUGGCAAGUGAAAAUGCUAAGUAAUUUUCUUGGAGAACAUUGGUUAAGUCAAGUUCGUAUUAGGGAUUGCGUUUUACUUUAUUUGUUGCGCGCUAAAGUUCACACUCUCUCUCUUUCUGUCCCAUUAGCGACCCUUCGUUUAAGUCUGGAUAACCCCAGGUGGUCGUCUAUUCAGGGGAGGACGAGGAAAGUUCUGAAAGGAUCAUUUUCGAAUAUUGGCUCCGAUAGUUAUUUCCUGUUGGGGGGGCGGGGGGCGAAAGGAUCAUUAUAGUUCCGCGGUUUACGCAAAAGGAAGACGAAAGUCAAAAAGAAACGGACAAAUAGAUAUGGACCUUAGCAGAAUCUCUACUUUACCUUGUCUGUGAUCGUACGUGUGAGCUCCCGAAACAAAAAAGAGACCCCCCGGCACUGAGUGGAAUCUGAUACUUUCUUUGGCCUUUGUUCCAUUGCGUAACUCAUACUCCACGAAAAAAGUGAUAUAAAUAGAUGAGAUUGGAAACUCCAUCGGACGGUAGACAUUCUUGACGCAAAUCAUUCAUUAGCUCUUUCAAUGGCUUCUUCUUCUUUGAAUCCAAAAAAAUAUUAUCAUGUGUUCUUAAGUUUCAGAGGUCUGGAUGUUCGCAAGAGCUUCCUCAGUCAUCUCUACACAGCUUUGGACCAGAAUGGAUUAAACAUUUUUAUGGAUGAUGAGGAGCUUAGGAAAGGAGAGGAAAUAUGCCCAGCGCUCAUGAGGGCAAUUGAGGAUUCGCGCGUCGCAAUCAUCGUUUUCUCUGAGAACUACGCUUCCUCACGGUGGUGUUUGGAAGAGCUCUUGAAAAUCAUGGAGUGCAAGGAGCAAAACGGCCUGAUGGUGUUCCCAGUGUUUUACAAAGUGGAACCAAGAGAAGUGAGGGAGGGGAGAGAGAUUUAUAAGACAGCUAUGGAUAACCAUGAGUCCAAGUUCGGGAAGGAUUUAGAGAAAGUGAAGAGAUGGAAGAGGGCUCUCCUUGAUGCUGGUAACUUGUCGGGGUGGGGCUUCAGUGACAGGUACGCACAAAUGUGAUGCAGUGCUUUGCGAUUGUUAGCUCUGAUUGUUUGUUAGAUAUCAAAUCGUAUGUAUAGCUUUGAAUUGGCGAAACGAUGCAUCAAGUUCUUUGAAUUCACAGUAGACACAAAAGUCAAAAGACCAAAAUUUGAAGCUAGCAGAAAUUUUAGUCUUAGAUAAGUAGUGUGGUUCCUAGGACCCGAGUAAUGAGUGUCUUCAGGUGCAGAUUCUUUGUAAUUUUCCUUCCGCAGAUGUUGGCGCAGUUAUGUGUUAUUUCUUUUCAUCUUAUUAUUUGUUAAUCUCCUUAUGAAAUUUUCCUUAUGACGUUGGACGUUGAAUUUCUGCCAUGGCUUGAAAUGGUAAAACAUGUUUCUGUUUCUUUUGAGUGCUCAUCAGAAAUGUAACAAAUGAAGCGGAGCUCAUAGAAUUCAUCGUCAAGGAAUUAUCGAUUCGUCUCAGACCACGAUCCUUGUAUGUCGCUAAGUAUCCAGUUGAUAUAGAAUCCCGAGUUCAAAAACUGAUAAGUUUGUCAGCGUCAGCUGGUAGUGAUGUCAUGAUGAUAGGUCUAUGGGGACCUGGUGGCAUGGGGAAGACGACGAUUGCUAAGGCCCUAUAUAAUGCUAUAGAGAUGGAAUUUCAUGGUUGUAGUUUUUUGGCGCAAGUUAGAGAAAUAUCGAACCAAAGCAAUGGUUGUGUUGCUUUGCAAAAGCAACUUCUAUCUGAGAUCUUACCUCAUAAAGAUCAAACGGUCUACAAUGUCGACGGAGGAAUUAGUUUGAUACAAGAAAGACUAUGUCGCAAGAAGGUUCUCCUCAUUCUUGAUGAUGUUGACCAUAGAGAUCAACUGAACGCAUUAGCUGGAAAAGACAGUUGGUUUGCAAAAGGAAGUAGAAUCAUUGUUACAACAAGAAAUAAACAAUUGCUGACUUCUCAUGGCAUAAACUGUGUAUUUAAAAUUCAAGCUUUAGGAUACUGUGAAGCACGAGACCUUUUUCGUCUGCAUGCUUUCCUAGAUAGCGAGAGUGUUGAAAUGAGAAGGGAUCUCAUAAAUAGAGCAGUGAAUUAUUGUGACGGCCUUCCGUUAGCCCUCGAAGUGUUGGGCUCAUUCUUUUGCGGGAAAAAUGAAGAUGCAUGGGAAAGUGAACUGCAAAAACUCUCCAAAAUUCCUAACCUAGAUAUUAAUCAAGUUCUUGAGACAAGCUUUGAUGGAUUGGGGCCUAACGAGAGGGAGAUUUUCCUCGAUAUUGCUUGUUUCUUUAUGGGAAAGCAAAUAGACUACAUCAAGGCAGUUCUUGACAGUUGUGGUUUCUUCACAACUAUAGGAAUAGAAAUUCUCAUCGACAGGUCGUUGAUAAAAAAAGAGGAGGAUGGAACAGUGCAAAUGCAUGAUUUGAUUCAAUUGAUGGGUAAGAAUAUUGUUAUUCAGGAAUGGCCUGAUGAUCUUGGGAAACGUAGUAGAUUAUGGUUUUACGAAGAUGUUGAGAACGUUCUCUAUGAAGAUAAGGUAAAGGUUGUUCAUGUCCAUUUUGCUGCAUCUUAGUUUUUUACAUUAUUCUAAUUCAGAGAGUCACAUGUAAAUCUCAACAAAAAAUUUUCUCUGACGACUGAAUUUGCUAUGUUAUAUGCAUAGGGAGAGAAUGCAGUAAAGGCCAUAGUAUUGAACUUGCCCGCACCAGAAGAGAUGACCAUUAGUCCCGGUGCAUUUGCAAACAUGAAAAGGUUGAGAAUGCUCAUCUUGCCUGAGGUGCAUAUCUCUUCACAAGGUCCUGUACGCCUCCCUAAUCAGCUAGUUUGGCUUGAAUGGCCCAAUUCCCCGGACCUAGAAUUUGGUCCUGGUCCAAAGAAACUUGGGAGACUUCAUUUCCGGAACAGUCUUAUCAAACAAUUAGUAGGCAACUAUACGGUAAGCCCUUGUGAUGAUCAGCUUUCCGUUUUCAAAGCUGUGAAAACAAAUGACUGCACCAGUAUGUUUUUGCAGAAAUUUAUACGUUUGAAGUCCAUCGAGCUCUUGGAUUGCAAGUCCCUGGCUAGUGUUCCUGACCUUUCAUCGGCUCCACUUCUUGAGAGCUUAUAUCUUUUAAUGUGUGAGAGCUUGGUGGAGGUUCACCAAUCCGUCGGAGAUCUUGACAAGUUAAAACUUUUGACGAUAUCAAGGUGCUCCAAUCUUAGGAUGUUUCCAAAAACACUCAGGACGAAGUCUCUUCAAAUACUUAAUCUCUCUAAUUGCUAUAAACUCGAGAAAUGCCCUGAUAUUCUGGGAAAGAUGGAACAUCUAGAACGUUUUGAUUUAGGAGGGACAGCUAUUAAAGAAGUCCCCGCAUCAAUUGAAAAUCUUGUCUUUGUAAGGACAAUAGAUUUAGGAUAUUGCCAAAACCUCACAAGGCUUCCAUCGAGCAUUCAUAAGUUGAAAAAUCUUCGAUCUCUGAUUCUUUACAACUGCUCGAAUCUUGCCAUGUUUCCAAAGAACUUGGAGGAUUCAAUUGAUCCUGAUGGCAAUUUGGGAUUCCCAAGUCUAAGUUCCCUAGACCUUCAUGACUGUAAUCUAUCGGAGGCAGAGUUCCUUGAGAAUGCUUCCAGUUGUCCUAUAUUGACGCAUCUAAAUCUUUCAAAUAACAAAUUUACUCAUUUGCCGACAUGCAUCAACAAUUAUGAUUAUUGGAAAGACUUGUUUGUUUAUAGAUGCAAGCAAAGCAAAGGGGUCAGUGGAGCUGAUGGGUCAUCACCCGAGGUCUCUCUCUCUCUCUCUCUCUCUCUCUCUCUCUCUCUCUCUCUCUCUCUCUCUCUCUCUCUCUCUCACGUUUGGAAUGUUUGAUAUGUGUACUAUCUGUAUGACAGGUAGUUGAGAUUGUUGCAAGUGGAAAAGAGAUGCCUGAAUGGAUUCUCCAUUGUGAAGAGGACUCCAUAUCUUUUAUGGUUCCCCCAAACUGGUGGGACAAGGCCUUAGGACUAGCACUCUGCGUUACUUUUGAUCAGGAUAAAGAAGACCCGUUCGGAAAUGCAUUUCAGUUCAGUAUAUUUGAUGACGGCAUAAGAGCGUUUGGCCGUUCGAUAUUUGCUUGUCCGUCAACUUCUGAUCUUGUAAGUCUUGUAUAUAUCCCAAGCAACAGAAUGAGAGAAGAGAAGCUUCUGCAAAAUGAUUGGAUCCAUGUCCAAGUUUGCUUCAGAAGACUGAUAGGAAGAAUAAAGAAGCGUGGAUUCCGUCUAAUAUGUGAGCAACAGGAGGAUGAUCUGAGGGUCGGUUUUCCAACGCGGUCAGGCGAUGGAAACAAAUUGGAGUUUCAAGGAAAGAUACCCAAAGAAAGACAAUUCAGAGUCACUGAGGAAGAAGAUUGUCCAGUGGAAAAGAACUCAACAAAGAAGAUGAGACGGUCUUAACAAUGGCGAGAGUAUGGGUUCAACUCGCACCAAUUGUUGAGGUAGCGAUUCUUGGGGAUGCGAACUGGGUGAUCUUGAUUCCAAUGCCUCUUGCUUUUCCCUGCUUUUUUCUCGUCUCCACUAGAAAGUCGCAAAUGUCUGCCCCUUCAGUGUCAAUUAUAAAAUCAUGCCUCUUGCUUUUCCCCGUUUUGUCUCGUCUCUACUAAGAAAUUUGCAAACUGCUCCUUCAAUUAGAAUUCGCAUAAUGCUACUGACAUGGUUGAGGAACAUUUUAUGUCCACCUCGUUCUCUAUGAUCUGCGAUGCAAAGUGCACCAAUCCAAUAUUAAGUGGAAUGCUUGCUGAAUGGUCAUGGUCUUCCAAGUUCAAUGAAACAUAUCACAUCGAACUCCGUCACCUCUCUUAAUACAAAUAUAUUUUGUUUUUUUAAUUUAAUAAAAGUCAUUUACAAAUGUAAAUUUUACCAAACGGUAUUUUGGCAAAAGUUGUUUUUCAAUGCAAAUUUUACCAAACUUUAUUUGUAUUUCGGAAGACCCCCUUCAUCCAAAGGUAUUUGCAUUUCUACAAAUGCAUUCCUCAAAAACCGAACCAAACGGGCCCUAAGACUUUGCGUAUAAGCAAAGGGUAUUGACUUGAAAGAUUUUCAUGAAAAGCGAAUGGUGUUUGACAAAUGCCUUGUAAAAUAUUUAUUACAGAACAAAUUUUAGUAUAGAGAAGAAAAAUAAGGAAAAAAAUAGAGAAGGAAGGAACUUGCAGUUAUAUAUGAAAGCACAAGCGGGGGCGACACAACAGUUGGACCAGUGCCGAUAGUGUGCAACCCUAGGCAACGCGCCUCUAAAGUUGAGCAAACCUGGCAACGCAACACCGAGGUCGAGUGAAACUAAGCGACACAACACUAGUGUAACGCAACCCCAAGUGGUAGAAUGCCGGGGCCACACUACUAGGCAACGCGACGCUUGACCCUCAGCAAGCUAAAUCUGGCAUCAAGCGACCCUCGCAAAGCUCCUCGACGUUGCGUGACCCUCGGCAAAGCUUAACCAAUGUCAUUCAACACUCGGCAAAGCUGUACCAGCGUCCCUGGGGCCCUCUUCAAAGCUUCCCGGCCAUGAUCAACCACAUCUUUCUCUCUCCUAUCCAAGAUUGAGGGGUAAAAUAUGAUUGCAAAUAUAUUAGUGAUGGUGAGAUUGGAAGAAAAAAAACUUUAUUAAACCCCUAAACUUGCAUGUCAAAAAUGCUAAAGCCCAUACUCAGAGGUUUACCCUGAACUUUGUGCGUUUUCAAAGCAAAACUUUGGAUCAAAAUCUUUGAAAUUGGGUUAUCAAACAUCAAAUCCUUGGCUCAAGGCCCCUUGAAGGUCCAAAAUAGCUUAAUUCAAGAUGACUGAGCACUCAAAUUUUAGUAUAGUCAAAUUUAAAUUGCAAAUCCAUGUUUAUGCGAGGUAUGGUCUUGGGAGAGAUUUAUGAUUGAGGGUCCGUUUGCGGUGUUAUCGAGUUAAGGUCCAUUCGAGACUUUAGCUUGUAUGUACCAUUUGGUCGCAACACUUAUUUCAAAAACAUUGUUGGCGGUUUAAGAUAUCUGGCUUCUAUUAAGCAAUAUAUUACUUAUGCCUUUACCAAAAAAAAAAUAUAUUACUUAUGGUGUGGGAAUUAUUGGUAGGUUCAUGGGGAAGUCAUACCAAUCUCAUUUAUAGGCAACAAAAAGAAUUUUAUGGUAAGUGGAACUUGUAAUCAUGGAGUUUAUGUUCUUGUACUAACAAUUUCAAUCUAGUGGUGUAUACAAAUAAUGAUUGGGAUGGUGAUAUCGAAACUCAAAAAAGCACUUGUAAAUAUGCUUUCUUUCGUGGAUCACAAAUAAUCUCUUGGUCCUCUUAAAAACAGGUUGUUAUACUCUUGACUACUAAAGCAGAAUACAUAAUAUUAGUUGCAGUGGCAUGUCAAACAAUGACUUCGGAGAAUAUUGUGUGAAUUAAUGCAUGAACAAAAGGCCCACCAAGCAAACACAGUGCCAUCAAGUAUUACUAUAUUCAUGGGUGUGUCAAAAAUGGUGAAAUCGAGCUUAAUUUCUACAAAUUAGAAGAUCAAGUUGAAGAUAUUUUGACGAAACUAUUAAAAGUGGAUUCUUUCAAAAAAUUAUGGACCAUUUUUGGUGUUGGUGAUUUCCAAAUUCAAUUUUAAGACUAUCAGAAUGAUAUAAAAUUGAUUGUUAGAUCGUUGAAAAUUUGAACACGUCACUUGUUGGUUUCUAUAUAGACUGCUAGUGUUCUUCAAGAAGGUUGCAAGCAUUUUAUCAAGAAGAGCCAUUAAUGACUUCAGGAUGGCUGUUUAUCUAUAUAUGCAAACAAAAUAAGCGGUUUGUUUUUUUUUUUUUCAUUAAAUGGUGUGUGGACUGUUUUGUUUUCUUCAAUAAAUGUUAUUGACAUUUGUGCUUAAUUUGUGUGCAUUUGGCUUCUAUAUAAAGAUCUGAAGUUAAAAAAUUGUUAGUAUGAAAUCACAUAAAGAAAGCAUUCUAAAUAAGAAGUUCUCCUCAUCUUGUCUAUAUUAUUUAUUUGGUUCCAACAAAGUGUUGAUCAAAUUAUCUCAAAGAUGAAAAGGUCUAUACGGGAAGAUUAGUUGAUUUCUCUCGUUACAACUUAGACUUUGCAAGUGAGAAAAAGACAUUGACUCGAAAGGAUUUGCAUAAAAGAAAAUAGUGGUCGGUAAAUAAUGUGCAAUAAACUUAUUGCAAAGCAAUUUCUAAAAUAAGAAAAAAAAAAAGGGAAAAUGAAGAAAUUUGCAGUUGUAUAUGAAAGUUCAGGCAGGUGGCACAAUCAUAUCACCGGCAUUGACGUCGCGCGACCCUAGGGAACAUGCUGCCGAGGUCGGGCACACCCUGGUGGCGCAACAUUAGGGCCACGGACUAGGCGAUGCGACGCUCGACCAUUGGUGAGCUAGAUGGCAUUGAGCGACCCUCAACAAAGCUUGGCGAUGUCUCCCCAGUCAUCGGCAAAGCUACGCUGGGGUCCCUUGAUUUUUUCCGCGAAGCUUCCCAGCCACAAUCCACCACGGCUUUCUCUAUUUCCAUCCAGGAUUGAAGGGUAAUAUAGGAAUAGUAAUAUGUUAGUGACAGCAAGAUUGGAAGAAAAAAAAAACCAUGCCUCGAACUUGGAGCAUUUUCAAAGCAAAAUUUUGCACAAAGUAUUUAAAAUUAUACUAUAAAAAACAAAAUUUCGGGUCAAGGGCCUUCAGAGGCCCUCGUAAAUGCUCUCUCAAACACUGCAGCAUAUUGGCUUUAUAAGAGCAAUGCAAUUUUAUGAGUGCCAACUGAACCCAUAUACUUUGUCAAGAAGUCUUUACCAAAUAUAAUUUGCAUGUCCCUAAAAAGCUUUAAACUUUUAGUAUUUGUAUUUUUCCAAAGCUCAUUUCCAAAAUCGAACCAAAGGCAGCUUUAGUUGGCUCAGCAUUUGGACCUCUUGAGUCAGCCCCACCCCAACAAAUCACCACUGUCCAUCAUACCCUGCCUAUCGGCACGGAGUAACCGAGAUGCAUUUCAGUCUCAUUUUGUACUUUCGCUCCACACCCAUCGACUCAUCUCUCUCUUAAGGCCGCAUAGCAUCUCCCCGUUCUUGGGGCCACUACAUAUCAUCUUCAAAAAGAAAACUCAAGGGAUUUAUUUUCACUCUAAUUUGUUCUUAAGGCUCAAUUCCUUUCACAAAAAAUAAUUUAUAGAAAAACGUUUUUUGGAUUUUCCAAAGGGAAAAAAGUUCUCUAACGUUGGGAAAAAUAUUUUUCACUUUUGAGAAAGAGAAAAAUCUAUUCAAUUCCUUCUUUCACCUCACUUUCCUUUAUCAAAUAAUUUUUUCCUUUUAUUAUUUUUAUUUUUUUAAUUGUUUUUAUUCUUUCAUUUUUUUCCUUUUUUUUAAAAUUUUUUUCCACCUAGGCAGGGCUUGAGCCUCACCAAAGGUUGCCAGACAUCAGCAAGCCUCUGGCAACUUCCGAUGAGGCUCGAGCCUCACCCAAAUCAUUGAAUCUGGCAAGCUCGAGCUCGUUGGUGUUAGGUGAGCUCGGCCUCACUGGCCUGUGGUGAGUCUCUAGCUCACCUUUUGCCAGUGGCCAACUGUUGUUGGGGCUAGUGACCGGCCAAUGAAGAAGAAAAGGAAAAGAAAAAAUUGAAAAAUCUAUUUUUAAGAAAAUAUAUAAUAAUAAUAAAAUUAUUGAAAUGAGUGCAUGAAGGAAAAGAUUUUCCCUACCAAACGGCGAAAAAUAUUGUCAAGUACAUUUUCAGGUUUCAAUCGAAGAACGGAAAAUAUGAUUAUUUUCCUGGAAAAUGGUUUGGCUUCCAGGAAAACAUUUUACAUUUUCCAGAAAAGUCAUAUUUUCCGCAAAAUGGAGUGUAAAUUAUAUGAAGAUCUCCCUUUUUUUACCACUACAAACUAAUUGAAAUAGAGCAGGCCAAAUACAUCAUGCAUUCACAAGAUCACGAGCGUGCCAUAUUGCAUAGACUAGUACUAAUGUUAUAGCACAAAAAACUAUGGUUUAAACUAAGUGAAAAUAUAGUCUAAACUUACCACGGAUUUGACACAAUCUAGAAACGCUUGGAAUAUUAUUGUAUAAGAAGAUCCAGUAAUUUGUUUAGCUUUUAGAAUCCAAGUUCUAAUAGGAUCACGUGAUAGCAUAUGUUUUCAUUAUUUAAUUAGUUAAUUUAACAUAUUUACCUAGGAGUACGGACAAAAAACGAAUUUAGGUAUGUUCCUUUCAAUUAUUAAGGUUCUCCAUGGUAAAAUAAUUCCUGACUUAUAGAAUGGUAUCUUUUGGCAACUGCUGCUCCAAAUAUUUUUCUCUUCCCUUUCCUUUUCCAUAUGGUGAAUUUUUAAGGGUUCUAUACUGCGGUAUGACUUUUUUUUUUUUUUUGGUCAAAGCGGUAUGACUUAUUGAGAUGUGAUUUUUUUACGGAAGAAUGGGUCAACUUCAUUCCUCAUAUGUAAAUUAAAUCCCCAUCGAAUUAUCAACCUUACCAAAACUAGAAAUCAUAUAAGCAAUCAUAAAUUAAACUCCGAACUUGUUUCUUAAUAAUGCGAUACAAGUGGAAUCAAUGUUAGGAGAUCACUUGGCGAAUUGAGAGCUGUCGAACUCAAAAUUUGCAUGAAAUACAGCAAAUCGAAAAAUAAAAUCAGAUAAUUUCCUUUUUUUAUUACAAUUUCAAAGCAUUACUAAACUUUAUUUGAGGAACCAUAAAAGAAAAUGGCACCCAAUCUACUACUGCAAAACCUAUCUGAAAUUAUUUGUCAGGAGGUAAAUAAGGCCAAAAAAAUCAUCUGGCAAUUAAUUAAUCUCUAGCUAAUCGUCAGGUAGAGUGGUCUUGAUUUCGCAUCUUGCAUCAAUGACAGAAACAUCCAUGACUUCUAGCAUCUUCAAUUAAGUUAGGAUGGGCUAGGCCUUGUACUAGACAAUGAUUUCUUGACAAUAUUUGUCAUUGUGUGGGUAUUAUGAAGGGGUUAUAAAAAUCAAAGAAAUGGGGGGAAAUGAAGAACGAAAAAGGAAUUCGUGAAUUUUUCACUUUUGAUUUUCGCAAAUUGUUUCCAUAGUUUUGAGGUUUCAGUAAAUAAUCCUCUUAAUUUGCUUUUUCAUUGGCAAUUUUAUGCAUAAUUUGUAGAAUAUAGGAUGGCGCAAUGGAUAUGUAUUAUUUUAUGUUUUUUCUUAUAGAGUAUUUUUUAAUAAGGAUCUUGGGUACCUGUCGUGAUCUCUUUUUUCGGCAUCCGAUUAGGGCGGGCGCCGACGGAGGCUAAUGGCUUGGUUAGGUCUCUUAGGCCCAACCCGGACUCUCCCAAGCCCACCAAUUCGCGACUUAUGGUUUGAGUCUUUAGUUUAUAGGUUAAUUUUAAAAAAGAGUCGCCACCAAUCAGUUUGAGGUGAGUCAUUUAGAAAUCCAAAAAAAAUAUUGAGAGAAAUAUUCGCUUUUGUGCAAUCAGAUAAAUUAGGAUCGGGGACUUGAUUACAUUAAUUAAUCACUAAUACUCUUUCGGUAUCUGAUCUUGUUUAAACCCUAAAACUUUUUGGAUUUUUAAGGGUUUUCUAUGCAUUUGUGGAGGAAAAACAUUUUUUUGACAUUUUUCUAUUUUUUAAACAUAAAAGGGAUUUUUGGAUUUUUUUUUUGGUCUUUUAUAAAUCAUUUUUUGGCUUUUUCUAACUUUUUUUUGGCUUUUUAAGGAAAAUAUGGGAUGUUUUUUAUUUUUUUGAUUUUCUGGAAAAUAAAUUAUUUUUUAUUAUUUUAUUAAAAUACUAAUUUUUAAUUAUAAAAAAAAGCGACCCGGGUCGGAUUCCCCGGUUGGGACCGACCCGGUUCACUGGCCCUCAGCCCGAAUGGCCGACCGCCGGCCCGGAGGGCCCUAGGCGUGGGCUCGGCCCAUACGCGACAGGGGCCGGUUGGCCCGGACAGACCAAAAACCCUACCCGGUUAUGACCCGCGUUCGACCUAACUCAGUAGCCGCGACCCGAAUCCUGAAAUCCAUACCCGGAUCCGACCCGCUUGAGGACAGACUUAAAAACCCUAGUGGCAGCUUUCGUCUUCUGAGUCCUUGGCCGAUUCUUCGUCGUUCCAGAUUCGUUUGUCGAUCACGUCGAUCUCGCCCUCCACACCCUCACCGCCGCGCAUAAGCAGCAUAUUUAUCUGAAAUCCAAAGCUGAAAACGUCUUCACGAGCCAAAUUACCCUGAGUCCGGUCCAAUAUUUUCCUGAGAAUGGAACAGGCUGAGAGCGCUUGUUUCUUUAACGCGAGAAAGAGCCAGAGCCAGAGCAAAGGAAAGAGAUCGUCGACUUCGCUGCCGAUCGGGGAAGGGCAACGCCGGGUCAGAGGCCGCCGAGCCUCUCCGAGAGCAAAGCCCACUCUGCUUCAGCCUUCAGCCCUUGAUUUUCGUAGCAAGACUCUCUCUUCCGAUGCUUGGCAUUCUAGGGAAGCACAUGUACCAUCAGCUCUUCUAAUGGCUGCUUCUUCGAAUAUGAAAAGGACCAGAUGUCCGCCACGGCUUCCUCAGUCAUCUCUACGCGGCUCUGGACCAGAAUGGAAUAUACACUUUUGUGGAUAGCGAGGAGCUUAGGAAAGGAGAGGAAAUAUCGCCGGCGCUCGUGAGAGCGAUUGAGGAAUCGCGCAUCGCGAUCAUUGUCUUCUCUGAGAACUACGCCUCCUCGCCCUGGUGUUUGGAAGAGCUCUUGAAAAUCAUGGAGUGCAAGGAGCAAAACGGCCUGAUUGUGUUCCCUGUGUUUUACAAAGUGGAACCGAGAGAAGUAAGAUGAGGGAGAGAGAGUUAUGGGAGAGCUAUGGCGAAGCAUGAGUCCAAGCUCGGGAAGAAUUCAGAGAAAGUGAAGAGAUGGAAGAAGGCUCUCCUUGAUGCUGGUAACUUGUCUGGGUGGGACUUCAAUGAUAGGUACGCGCUAAUGUGAUGCAGUGCUUUGCGGUUGUUAUCUCGUGAUUGUUUGUUAGAUAUCAAAUCGUAUGUAUAGCUUCGAAUUGUCAAAACGAUGCAUCAAGUUCUUUGAAUUCGCAGUAGACACACAAAGUUGAAAGGCCAAAUUUCAAGCUAGCAUAAAUUUCUGUCUUAGAUGAGUAGUGUGUUUCCUAGGACCCGAGUAAUUAGUGUCUUCAGGCGCAGAUUCUUUGUAAUUUUGCAUUCUGCAGAUGUUGGCGCAGGUAUGUGUUAUUUCUUUUCAUCUUAUUAUUUGUUAACCUCCUUAUGAAAUUUUCCUUAUGACGUUAGACGUUGAAUUCCUGCCAUGGCUGGAAAUGGUAAAACAUGUUUCUAUUUCUUUUGAGUGCUCAUCAGAGAUGAAAGAGAUGAAGCGGAGCUCAUACAAUUCAUCAUCAAGGAAUUAUCAAUUCGUCUCAGACCAAGAUCCUUUUUUGUCGCUAAGUAUCCAGUCGGUAUAGAAUCCCGAGUUCAAAAACUGAUAAGAUUGUCAGAGUUAGCUGGUAAUGAUGUUUUGAUGAUAGGUCUAUGGGGACCUGGCGGCAUAGGGAAGACGACGAUUGCUAAGGCCCUAUGUAAUGCUAUUGGGUGGCAAUUUCAAGGUAGUAGUUUUUUGGCACAAGUUAGAGAAAAAUCAAACCAAAGCGGUGGUCAUGUUGAUUUGCAAAGACAACUUCUAUCUGAGAUCUUAGCUGAUAAAGAAUUAACGGUCUACAGUGUCCACGGAGGAAUUAGUUUGAUACGGGAAAGACUAUGUUGCAAGAAGGUUCUCCUGGUUCUUGAUGAUGUUGACAAGAUGGAUCAACUUGAUGCCUUAGCUGGAAGAGGUGAUUGGUUUGGCAAAGGAAGUAGAAUCAUUGUUACAUCAAGAGAUAAACAUUUACUAACUUCUCAUGACAAAAAUUAUGUGUAUGAAGUUAAAACUUUAAAAGAUGACAAAGCAGAAGACCUUUUCAGUCAGCAUGCCUUUUCAAAUAGCAAUAAAGUAGAAAUAAGAAGGGAUCUCAUUGAUGGAGCACUACAUUAUGCUGGCCGCCUUCCAUUAGCCCUGGAAGUGUUGGGCUCAUUCUUACGUGGAAGAAAGGAACCUGCAUGGGAAAGUACGUUGCUUAAACUGUCCAAAACUCCUGAAUCAACUAUCAAUCGAGUUCUCAAGAUAAGCUUCGAUGGAUUGGAUGACAAUGAGAGGGACAUUUUCCUCGAUAUUGCUUGUUUCUUUAAGGGGAAAAAUAUAGAGUACAUCAAGGAAGUUCUUGACAGCUGUGAUUUUGACACAACCAUAGGAAUAGAAAUUCUCAUCGAAAGAUCCUUGAUAAAAAACCAGCAUGGGACCCUGCAAAUGCAUGAUUUGAUUCAAUCGAUGGGUCAGGAUAUUGUUAACGAAGCCUGUCGCGAUGAUUGUGGGAAACGCAGUAGAUUAUGGCUUUUGGAAGAUGUUCGGGAAAUUUUUUGUCAUAAUAAGGUAAAAGUUGUUUAUGUCAGUUUUGCUGCAUUUCAGUUUACAUUACUCUAAUUCGGAUGGUAUAAUGUAAAUCUUAACUGGAAAUUUUGUCUGACAGCUGAAUUUACUCUAUUGUGGAUAGGGGACGAAUGCAGUAAAGGCCAUAGUAUUGAACUGGGCCCCACCAGAAGCAGUAGUCAUCCAUCCUGAUGCUUUCACAAAUAUGAAUAAGCUGAGAAUAUUCAUUUUGCAUGGCGUGCAUAUCUCUUCACAAGCUCAACUACGUCUCCCUAAUGACCUGAGAUGGAUUGAAUGGCCUAAUGCCCCGACUCUAGAAUUUGGCUCUGGUCUAAAUAAACUCAGGAGACUCGAUAUCCCGAAAAGUCAUAUCAAACAAUUAGGGGGCAACUCUUAGGUAAGCCCUUGUGAUGAUUAGCUUUUCCUUUUUAUAGCUAUAAAAAAACAUUCGCAGAGCUUAAUGACCGCAUUAGUAUGUUUUUGCAGAAUUUUAGAAAGCUGAAGUCCAUCAAUUUCAGUAAAUGCCAGUCCCUGGUUAGUAUUCACGACCUGUCAUGGGCUCCAAAUGUGGAGAAAUUAAUUCUUAAUGGGUGUGAGAGGUUGGUGGAGGUUCACCCAUCUGUUGGAGAUCUUGUCAAGCUGGAAGUUUUGUCGCUAGGAGGGUGCUUUAAUCUUAGAAAUUUUCCUAACACGCUGAAGACUAAAUCUCUCCAUACCCUUGAGCUCUUUGGUUGCUCUAAACUUGAGAAGUUCCCAGAUAUAGACGGAAAGAUGGAACAUUUGGAAGUACUUCCUCUAUAUAAUACGGCUAUUAAAGAACUCCCUGCAUCAAUUGAAAAUCUUGUCUCUGUGAGGCAGAUAGAUUUAUCAUUUUGCAAAAACCUCAUGAGGCUUCCGUCGCACAUUUAUAAGUUGAAAAAUCUUGAGUCUUUCUGUCUUCAUGGCUGCUCGAAUUUAAUCACGUUUCCAAAAAACAUGGAGGAUUCAACUAAUCCUGAUGGCCAUCUGGGAUUCCGAAAACUAAACCAUCUACUACUUGUGGGGUGCAAUCUAUUGGAAGUAGAGUUCCUUGAGAGUUUUUCCAGUUUUCCUGCAUUGGGGUGCCUAGACCUUCAAUAUAACAAGUUUGCUCAUAUGCCGACAUGCAUCAACAAGUACUAUUGUUUGCACACAUUGAAUGUUAAGGGAUGCGAGCUACUACAAGAGAUUCCUCAGCUUCCACCAAAUAUCAAUCAUCUAUCAGCAGGUUAUUGCAAAUCUCUGCAAAAACUCCCAGAUACAGGGGGUCUCUCCUGCCGCAAUCUUCAGGUUGACUUGACUUCAUGUUGUGAAUUAUUACGCAAUGGGGUCAAUAUGGAUGAUGUGGCUAAUAUGUCAUUACUCGAGGUCUCUCUCUCUCUCUCUCUCUCUCUCUCUCUCUCUCUCUAAUCAAAUGCUUGACAUGCGUCUAUCCGUGUGACAGAAACUGCCAAAGAUGAAAGAUGCCAUCGACAUUGUCCUAAUUGGAAGAGAGAUGCUAAAUGGAUUCUCCCUGUGAAGAGGAUUCCAUAUCUUUCAAAGUUCCUCAGGACUUGUAUAACCACUUCAAAGGACUAGCAUUCUGUGUUGUUCUCAGCCCGGAGGAAGGAAAAGUGGUCAAUAAUUCAUGUAAUUACACAAUACUUGUUGAUGGCCAAUUUGAAAGAGAGGGCACGAGAUAUGUUUCUGGGAUGGAAUCUGACCAUGUGUGGCUUAGUUAUAAGUCACUGAAGUUAGAGCAGCACCUACAAAAUGCUUGGAGUCAUUUCCAAGUUCGCCUCAGAGCAGAAAAGGGAAGCAUAAAGAAGUGUGGAUUCCGUCUAAUAUUUGACUAAAAGGAGGAUGAUCUGAGGGUGGUGUUCCUAGCACCAUCAGCUGAUAGAAACAAAGUGCAGUUUUUUGGGGCAGACUUAGAAGAAGAUAAUUCAAUAGACACAGAGGAAGAAGACACUCCAAUUGAAACAGAUGUAGAGGAAAGCUCAUCUCCUUUAACAAAGAAGAUGAGACGGUCUUAACUACGGUGAGACUAUGGGUUCCAAUGUCUUUGCUUUCCCUUUUCCGGGCCUCCACUAGAGAUUGGUGAGUGUCUGCUUCUUCAAUUAGAAUUCAAGAUCAUUAUAAACAGAGGUUUCGCACCACGCGACUGACAUGAUUGAGGAUCAUUUUUUGGUUUUUUGUUCUUUUUUGCCUGUUUGUUUAUGAUUUGUGAUGCAGAGCGCAUUAACCCAAAAAUUAAGAGGAUGCUUUUUGAAUGCCCAUGGUCUUUCAAGUCGCUCCAUGUAAUUUAUCACAUCGGCCUCUGUCACCUCUCUUAAUCCAAUUAAUGAUGCCUAUACUUCGUGCUUUAAAAUUCUGAUAGACUGAGUUGUGCUCAAUCUAGUAUAAUCAAUAAUACCUUUAGGAAAGUGUUGUUCGAAUUGUCUCAAAGAUCAAAAAGUCUAUACAAGGAAAAUUAGUUGAUUCCUCUGUUAUUACUCGGCAGAUUGCAUUGGAUAGGUACUAAGGGUGAGCUUUAGCUUUGAGACUUUGCAUUUAGGCAAAGGACAUUGAUUCGAAGAAUGUUUAUGAUAAGCAAAUAGCGCCUUAGUAAAUGCAUUGUAAAAUACUUAUUGCAAAGUAUUUCACAAAUAACAGAAUAAAUAUGUCAAAAGGAGAAUGGAGAAAUUUGCGAUUGUAGAUAAAAACCCAAUCCUGGGGCACAACAAUAGCACCGGUACCGACGUCUUGUGACCCUAAGUGACGUGCUGCCAAGGCCACAUGAGCCCACGUAAUCUGCCGGUGUCGCAUGAUUCUAGGUAGCGCAAUGCAGAAUCCGCAUGACUAGGCAACUCGACGCCUGACUCUCUUUAAGCUACAUUUAGCAACGAGUGACCCUUGGCGAGUUAGAAUUGGCGUCAAGCGAAACUCGACAAAGUUUGCCGACGUCUGCUCACCCUUGGUGGGGUUGUGCCGGCAUCCCUCGACCUCCUCCACGAAGCUUCUCAGCCACGAUCGACCACGACCUCUAUCCAAGAUUGGGAGGAGGGAGGGCAAAAUAGGAAUACUACUAUAUCAAUGAUACCAAGAUUGGAAAAAUAAGACUGUAUUAAACUUCUGAAGUUGCAUUUCGGAAAUACCAGAGCUCAAAGCUGGAGUUCGUCUUGAGCCUUGAGCAUUUUCAAAGCAAAAUUUUACACCAAAAAAAUUUGAACCUGUGUUACCGAACCCCAAAACUUUGGUAUAAAGACCUUUAAAAGUCCAUGUUGACACCUAAAAUUUGGCAUCCCCAUCAUCCAUUUAUUGCAUAUAAAAUUAUGGAUUAAUUUUUAACCCCUAAAACAAAAAAUAGAAUUAAAAUUGCAUAACAUAUACUUUUAAGUGGCAUUAUUAUUUAUUUAUCACGUUUGCAUUUGAUUGGCGACGUAAGAAUUUUAAUUUUGCAAGUUAGCGACUCGAUAUUUUCAUAAAGGAUUUGUAUUAUUUUUCCAAUAUUCAAUAAAUCCUUCAUGUAUUCACGUGAUAUAUACAUUGAGCGAUAUAUUUCACUGAAGAAUGGAUUUUUAAGGAUGAUAUAUCAAGAGGGAAUAUUGCACGUGGAGCAUGUAUUGAAUGAUAUAUUUUUUGUCUCAAAACAAGAAAGAUUACAUGUUCAGGGGGAUUUCGUGCGAGAGCCAAAAAUAAAAGGACAAAAUAUUUUAAGAAUCCAAUAUAGGGGAUAAAAUUUGCUCGGCUCGAGCCCUUUCUCUAUAAAAGGGACUCAUUACACGACAAGGAGGAGAGGGGGGGUCACAAUUUUGAGAGAGUAAAUUUGUUCACGAGAAAGGAGACGAUUUUAAUGUGUGCAGGAAGAGAGAGGAUUUUCAUUGCGUGGAGAGGGAAAGAGAAAAGAAGGGGCGGAUGCGGAAACCUUCACUUCCCAUCUACUUCUUCACGGGCGCAACAGAUACAGAGGACGCACGCUGACAAGAAGACCAGCUCUUGCCACGUCUCUUGUCACGCAUGUCCUCCUUGGUUUUUGAUUCCCGGUGAGCGCAGCAAAUUCUCGAACCAAUCGAGGCCCAUCAUUUUUUCGAAGAUUCGUCUCCAGUUUUGUUGCUGCCGCUGACCACCGCUUGGAACUCCCUUCGCUAUCGCGACCUCCGUUCGCUGCUGUUACUCCUUCGACGAACUGCUGCCCCUACGUGACCGAGCUGCUAUCCCUGUGACGUACCUGCUACCUGCCGGAGCCCUGGCGAGCUCGCUGCCUCGACGUAACGAAAGGCAUUUGCAAGUCGCUGUCCCCGACGUGAGCCGCUACUGUGUUGCCUAUCAAGCCAAGCAUCACCUAGACUGCCAAGUGUCCAUUGAGAAUCGUGAGUCGCCGUUCGAAGAUCCACAUUUAGAAGCCAAUAUCCGAAUUAGGCAAAAAUCUUAUCUAAUUUGAUUUCUGAAUUUUUGGUUUUCUUAUUUGAAAUAUUGUUCAUGCACAUAAUUAAAAUUUCCAACAUGUUAUCAUGUCCGCAAUAUGGAAUAGCCUUUUAAAUUAGGGACUAUUUUCUAAUUUCAGAACAUGCAUAUGAUUAACAGUCCGAUUUCAUGUCCGAAAGAUGACUCACAAUCGCAUGAAAAAUUACAAAUCCGAUCUCACGUCCAAAAUAUGAUUAAUAAUUUUGUUAAAAAUUGGCCAAUCUGAUCUCAUGCGCGAGAUACGAUUUGUCAAAAAAAUUAGAUGGGUAUCGAUCAUAUCUUGCUUGAUUUGCCAUCGUGCUUUUAUGCAUUUGCUUGAAUUGAUUUUGUUUCUGUAAAAGAAAACCCAAAAAAUAAUAAAUAUUUGAAGUUUGAUUAAGUUCAUGUUAGAAUAUCGCAUGUUUUAGGAUGGUUUGCAUCUUUAGAUUGGGAAAUUUAUUUAUUUCAAAUUUUUGAAAUAAAAAAUACCAAAAACAUUAAUUUAGGAUGCUAAAUUUUCUUUUCAUUACUUUAAAUAGCAUGUUUAAUUGUUGGGCAAUUUUAAUUUCGAAUUUUAUAAAAAAGAAAAAUAAAACAUAAAAAGUAUUGUGCGUGUGUAACAUAGAAUUAGGUCAUUCUUAAAUGUGUGAUAUAUUAGGAUAGUUUCAUUUAAUAUUCAUUGUCAUUAAAUUAGUUUAUUUAAUUAAUAUUGCGUGACAUAUAGUUUACACAUAUUCUUGUAAAUCAUUGCAUUGCAUUGCACGUAGAUUAUGUUUCGUUAAAUAAGAGAAAAUCGUAAAAAAGACUGAGCGAUUGCAUGUUAAUUAGAAUCAUAUCUAUCUAGGACUGUCGAUGUGAAUUUUUAGUUAACAUUGUAGAUACUUUCGUUGCUAGGAGGUAAGUCUUGUAAUUUAUUUGUUAUUUUAUUGGGGGUUAAAUUGGUAGAUUGUGCACCCGCAUGGUCAGUUCACAUGUUAGGGAGUAAUAAAAUGAAUUCAAGCCACCUAAUAAAAAAAAAUUUCUAUGAAAAGAACGGCACCGGAAGGGUAUUAGAGAAAUUUAGUGUAACCAAGUCUCUAUUCUAAAAUAAUUCUCUCGUUAUUUUACUUAGAUAUCUAAUCAACUUACCCUAAACUAAUUAGUGGCGACUCCUAGAUAAUGGUCUAUAGAGGAAAAAUUCUGAGAUAGUAAGUUUUGCUCAAUCUAGUAUAAUCUAUAUCUUUAGGAAAGUGUUGUUCGAAUUGUCUCAAAAAUCAAAGGUCUAUGGAGGAAAAAUUAGUCAUUCCUCUGUUUUUACNNNNNNNNNNNNNNNNNNNNNNNNNNNNNNNNNNNNNNNNNNNNNNNNNNNNNNNNNNNNNNNNNNNNNNNNNNNNNNNNNNNNNNNNNNNNNNNNNNNNNNNNNNNNNNNNNNNNNNNNNNNNNNNNNNNNNNNNNNNNNNNNNNNNNNNNNNNNNNNNNNNNNNNNNNNNNNNNNNNNNNNNNNNNNNNNNNNNNNNNNNNNNNNNNNNNNNNNNNNNNNNNNNNNNNNNNNNNNNNNNNNNNNNNNNNNNNNNNNNNNNNNNNNNNNNNNNNNNNNNNNNNNNNNNNNNNNNNNNNNNNNNNNNNNNNNNNNNNNNNNNNNNNNNNNNNNNNNNNNNNNNNNNNNNNNNNNNNNNNNNNNNNNNNNNNNNNNNNNNNNNNNNNNNNNNNNNNNNNNNNNNNNNNNNNNNNNNNNNNNNNNNNNNNNNNNNNNNNNNNNNNNNNNNNNNNNNNNNNNNNNNNNNNNNNNNNNNNNNNNNNNNNNNNNNNNNNNNNNNNNNNNNNNNNNNNNNNNNNNNNNNNNNNNNNNNNNNNNNNNNNNNNNNNNNNNNNNNNNNNNNNNNNNNNNNNNNNNNNNNNNNNNNNNNNNNNNNNNNNNNNNNNNNNNNNNNNNNNNNNNNNNNNNNNNNNNNNNNNNNNNNNNNNNNNNNNNNNNCAUAAUGCGCUGAACCGAUCUAGGCGGCAUAUGCCGAAUCCCACAAGAGUAGGCACUCGACGCCCGACUUCUCUGGUGCUAAAUCUAGCAAAUGAGUGACCCUUGCCGAAGUUAGAGUUGGUUGUCGAAGCAACCUUCGGCAAAACUUGGCUGACGUCUGCCAAACCUCUCGGUGAAGUUUGUGCUGGCGUCCCUUGACCUCCUCCGGGAAAGCUUCCUAGCCACGAUGGACCAUGGCUUUCUUUCUGUCUAUCCAAGAUUGUUUUUUCUUUUUUUUUUGGGGGGGGGGGGGUUGGAAGAUGUAAAAUAGGAAUACUACUAUAUCAGUGAUAUCAAGAUUAGAAGAACAAAACUAUAUUAAACCUCUGAACGUGCAUUCCGAAAAUACUAGAGCUCAAAGCUGGAGUUUGUCUUGAGCUUUGAGCAAUUUCAAAGAAAAAAUUUACACACAAAAAAUUUGAAACCACGUUACCAGACGCCAAAACUUCAGCUUAAAGACUUUUAAAGGUCCAAAGCUCCUCGUAAAUGCUCUCCCAAAGACACUUGAUUAUCUUGGCUCAGUCAGAGCAAAAGUGUAAUUUUAUGAGUGCCCACUUUAUCGGCUCAGUACUUGGGCCUCCUAUGUCGGCCCCUUCCCAACAAAUCACCACUGUCGAUCAUGCCUUGGCCGUCUCAUCAUGUACUUUCAUCCCCACCCAUCGACUCAUCUCUCUGUCCAGCGCCAUUGCAUCUCCCCAUCCCUGGGCCCACUACAAAAUCUAUCCAAAAAAGAAAAUUAGCUCUUAAAUUAUAUGAAAAUCUCCAUUUUUAUUUUUAUUUUUAUUUUUGCCACUGCAAAACAAUUGAAUUCCAAGACAAACAACAAUCAGGUUAACUGUUCACUUUCCUCUCCAUUUGGGCGAUUCAGGCACUAUUCACUCCAGCUGGCUUUUUGCGGAUUCUGGUUGAUUCCGCUGGUAUCUGGAGUUGAUUUUCGUGGGCUAGGUCAUUUGGGGACCGCCUACAAACCCCAAGUAAGCUUGGCUUGGUUGGUUUUCGUUUAUCAAGAUGGGAGCUCUCGAUCAGAAUUUCUGGUGCGCCUAGCUUUUCCCGAUUCUGGUCUCUGUCUUCGUGGGUGGCUUUGACUGGUUGGUGUGUUGAUUGUUGGCGGAUUUCCUUGUCCCUGAAGGCCCUUAAGCCCCUACGAACACUUGUUGGGCCGUCCAAAUGAGGAGUCCCAAGUGGGCUCUAGGCGUGGUAGGAGCCGCCUUAGAUCUGCUUCUCGUGGCCCUAGAGUGGCUCGUCCUGCUGGACAAAAAUGGAGUGAGCAGAAAGCCCCUCCAACCCGUUCAUGGGUUAAUGUUGCUAGGCUCUCAGCAAAGGGAUAUGAACUUAGCUUCGUGCCUCCAACUUUUGUUGGAAAAAGAGGAGUGGUGCACCUCUCUGAGGAAGUGGUGCAUCUGGCAGAUCUGAAAUGGAAUCAUUGUUUGAUGGGGUAUUUCAUUGGCAAGAAAGUGCCUUUCAAAAUGACUGAGUCAGUCCUUAAGGAGACGUGGGGCUCCCAUUUAACUGAAAUGCUUGCUGAUGAUGAAGGAUUUUAUUUCUUCUUUAUUCCCGACCUUGAUUACUGCAGGAAGAUUCUUGAGGAAGGUCCAUUGACGGUGAAUAAAGUGCCACUUAUUCUGAAACAAUGGGAUCCCACUCUUGAGCUGAGGAAGGACUUGCAAUCCUUUGUGCCCGUUUGGAUCCGUAUGAAAAACAUACCUUUUGCUUAUUGGUUUGCUCUUGGGAUAAGCCAGAUAGCGAGUGCGGUCGGUAGACCCUUAUAUGUGGACCCAUUGACUGAAAAAAUGAAACGUUUGUCUUUUGCAAGAGUAUGUGUCAAAGUGUUGGCUAAGUUAGAGAAAUGUGAAUCUGUGAAGGUAUUUCUGAAUGGGGAGUCCUUCAUUGUUCCUAUCUUAUACGAAUGGAUACCCAUUGCGUGUCCAAAAUGCCAUGUCUUUGGCCAUAACUGUGAGGAGAAAGAAGUUCCGGCACCCGUAGCAGAUAAGUCCCAUGAUGCUGUUGCUGAGGAAGCUCGAGAUGCUGCUGUGCCUACGGUGCCCCCCUCGAUUCCUCCUGCCUAGCCUCUUAAGGUGUCUUAUGCUGACCAGCAGGAUGGCUAGAAGCAGGUAACUCGGAAGAAGACGCAACCGUUGGGAUCUAAUGGGAAGGACUCUUCGACUCCUAUCUCUUCUUUGAAGUUUAUGGAUAAAUCAGAUUCUUCUCAAGCUUUAAGCAAGUCUGCCCAGAAAAAUAAAGGUGCUUUGAUUCCUAGCUCUUCUGGACCUCCUUGCACGAUGGUUCCUGUUGAGCCAAUCCCAGAAUCUGCUUAUAUUGGGUCUGGCUCUACUGCUGAAGAAUAUGAGGAUGCGGCUAGUGCGGUAAGUAGCAGCUCAGAUGAGGAACUCGAUGGUCCUAGUGAAUUGGUUACAAAUGUUAAGCAUUAUGUUGUUUUUUAGGAAGCCCCUGCUAAAAGGAACUCGCCCAAGACUCCGUCUGUCCCAAAGUUGGCCGCCCCUCCUAUCCCAGCAUUGGCUCCUCCUCCUAACCCUCCUCAAGGCACUAGCCGAAGGAGAUCACGUCGUUAACUUCUAUUCUCAUCGUAAUACAUUAUAUAGUUAUAUAUAGCUAUGUAUAUUGGAGUUUGGAAUAUUAGGAGACUUGGUAACCAUCUCAAGCAAGCUGAAAUUAGAAAAUUUGUUAGAUCUCAUAAUCUAUGUUGUGUUGGUAUUGUGGAAACAAAGAUUUCCCAGGGUGCCUUUAGUGCGAUCUCUGCUGUUUUGUUGCCGGGCUGGAAGUGGGAAAAUAAUUAUAAUCAUUCCUCAAAAGGAAGAAUUUGGGUGGGGUGGAACCCCCGUGAAGUCUUAUUUGUUACGAACUCUUCUUCGAAUCAAGCUAUUCAUGGAAAGUUACCUUGCUUAAAUUCUGGUAAGGUUCUUUUCGUUACGGUGGUCUAUACUGAGCAUAGUUUUGUGGCUAGACGUCCUCUUUGGGCUGACAUUAUUCAGACUAGCUCUCUCCUUUUGGAUUUCCCUUGGAUACUAGCAGGAGACUUUAAUGCAAUUCGUGACCCUUCGGAUAGAUUGGGUAGUUCUAAUGGUUGGAUCCUAGUUUUUGAUGAGUUGCGUGAGUGCCUCAUUCAAACUGGUCUUGACGAUCUCAGGUAUACCAGGAAUAGAUUUACUUGGGCUACUUCCAUGGGUGCCAACCGUAAGCAAAGAAAGAUUGAUCGUGUUCUUGUUAAUUCUUGUUGGACAGCUGAAUUUUCUUUUUCUGAGGCCUCUUUCUUGGCCCUUGGCAUUUUAGAUCAUUCUCUAAUGAUUAUUAAGAUUAUGCCUGCCCCUAAGUCUCGCAAGCCUUUCAAGUUCUUCAAUUUCUGGUUUUCUCAUCCGGAUUUUACUGAUGUGGUUUCGCAAGCUUGGAGUUCUCCCUUUGUGGGUUCUCCAAUGUUUAUUCUUUGCUCCAGGCUUCGGCUUCUCAAAUGUAAGUUGAAACAAAUCAACAAGGAGUCCUUCUCGGACUUGUCCUCUAGAACGGCUGAAGCAAGACGUGCAUUGCUCUAAACCCAAGAUGCUCUUAAGAAUGACUAUUCGAAUAUUCAACUUGCUGAAUUGGAAAAACAACAGCUCCAAUCCUUCUUGGAUUUGCGCCUUCAAGAGGAAUCAUUUUAUAGACAAAAGUCUCGGGUGCGGUGGUUGAAAGAAGGUGAUCUUAAUACUAAAUUUUUCCAUAACUCGGUAAACAAGAGACAACUUCACAAUAGAAUUAUCUCGCUCUCCGAUGGGAUCGUUUCUACCUCAAAUCCCUCUGAAGUUCAAAACCUGUUUGUUGACCACUUCCAGGAGUUAUUGGCCUUCUCUCCCCCUACUGCGAGGCCUUCGGUGGAGGAGAUGCGUGCGGUGUUGAGGCACACCCUUGAUGCGGAUCAGGUACGUUUUAUUUCUAGCCCCAUCUCGGAGACUGAAAUUAAAGAUACUCUAUUCUCUCUUGUGGUGGGUAAGACCCCUAGCCCUGAUGGAUACAAUGUGGAAUUUUUUAAACAUUCUUGGGAGAUUGUUGGACCUUCUGUUAUUCUGGCAGUGAAAGAUUUCUUUGAGACGGGCAUGUUGUUGCGGGAAAUUAACACAACUAUUUUGGCCCUGGUCCCCAAAGUCCCGAAUGCUUCCAAUGUGAAUGAUUUUCAGCCAAUUGCUUGCUGUAACACAUUAUACAAGUGUAUUACCAAGCUUAUUGCUAAUUGGCUCUCUCGGGUGCUACCUUCUAUCAUUGGUCUGCCCUAAAAUGCCUUUGUAAAAGGUAGACACAUCAGUGACAAUAUUUUACUUGCUCAGGAGCUGUUUUGUGGUUUUCACAAUGAUCCUUACCGGCCUAAAUGUGUUAUUAAAGUUGAUUUUAGGAAGGCCUACGAUACGGUGGAUUGGAGGUUUAUUGAAUUGUGUCUGCAGGCUUUCGGUUUCCCCCAGGAGUUCAUUGCCCGGGUUAUGAUUUGUAUUCGUACCCCCAAGUUCUCGGUUGCAAUUAAUGGGGAACUCCAUGGGUUCUUUUCAAGUGGGAGGGGUAUCAUUAGGGUGAUCCCAUGUCGCCGUAUAUUUUUACUUUUGUGAUGGAAGUCUUUACAGGUAUUCUGGACAUUCAAACUUCACAUUCGGACUUUGGUUUUUUCUGGCAUUGCAAGCCCACCAGACUUUCUCAUCUUUUCUUUGCUGAUGAUGUACUACUCUUCGUUGAAGCUAACUUACCGUCUAUUGAUCUUCUCAAGAAUGGUAUCGAGAAAUUUUCUAGCUAGAGUGGGCUGAUUCUGAAUCUUCGGAAGAGUGAAGUUUUCCUUUCUGGAGGCUCCUCUAACCUUCAUGAGGAUAUCCUCAAUAAGCUGGGCUAUUAGUUGGGCACAUUUCCUUUCCGCUAUCUAGGAGUACCGGUUAUUUCAGCUAGAUUGGGAAAAGCUAACUGCGUCUCCUUGGUUAAUUCAAUCACGGCUUGUGUUUAGUCUUGGACCAAUAGAUUCCUCUCCUUUGCGGGGGCGUCUUCAACUUAUAAGGUCGGUGCUUCAUUCUAUACAAGUCUUUUGGGCUAAUGUGUUCUUUCUGCCAUGUUCGGUUCUAAACUGAAUUAAGCACAUUUUCCGCCAAUUCUCUUGGAGAGGCCCUCAGAUGGGUGCAAGUGGUGCUAAAGUCUCGUGGUGUAAUGUUUGCCUUCCCAAAAAUGAAGGGGGCUUAGGUAUUCGUACUCUAGGGGAGAACAACAUUGCGUCCAUGCUCAAACAUAUUUGGAUUCUUUUCUCCGAUAAGGAAUCCCUGUGGUGUAAGUGGAUUCAUUCCAAUUUCUUACAACAGAAAAUUUUUUGGGUGGUCCCUUGCCCUACUCAUUGCUCUUGGCCCUGGAGGAAGUUAUUAGAUUUUCGUGAUCAAUUUUAGCAAUAUUUCAGAUGGAGCAUUGGAAAUGGGAGGUCGGUCUCCUUUUAGUUCGACCCUUAGCACCCAAAUGGUCCUUUGUACAAGAUCUUUUCUAAUCAGGAUAUUUAUCGCUCGGGUAUAUCUCGCUCUGCUUCGGUUGCUGAUGGUUUUGCUACUUCUAUGGGCUGGUAUAUCAUUAACAUCAUGGCUAAUUGGUGGAAUCCCCUUCCGGUAUUCAACCAAGAGGAGGAUCGUUUUCAGUGGCUUCCGCACCCAUCCGGUCGCUUCUCCAUUGCUUCUGCUUGGGAUUUGAUCCGACCGAAGCGUAAUGUCAUCUUGUGGGCUUCUUUUGUUUGGAAUAUUGCGUUGCCUCCAAGAUAUCAAACGCAUCUUUGGCUUAUUUCGCGCAAUCGGCUGCCGACUUAGGUUUUGCUCAUCUCUUAUGGUAGGAUCCCCCCUACAAAUUGCCCCCUUUGUUCAUGUAGACCUGAUUCUAUAGAUCAUUUGUUCUUUGCUUGCCGUCCUUCAGAUAGUCUUAUUUCAUUUUGGGCAGCAAGAUUCAACCUAGUGUGGUGAAACAAGCUUUGGGCGGAUAAUUUGGCCUGGGCUUCCAAGCGGUUUAUGGGGAAGAGUUUUUAUCAGAUCUUGGCUCGGUUUAGUUUUGGUGCAAUGUGUUAUAUCAUUUGUAAAGAGCAGAACAAUGUGCUUUUUCGGAAUCAGACUCUCUUUCUUCCAAUGAUGAAAAUGCAUCUUCAGAAGGCUAUCAAAGAUAAGGCUAUGACCUUUAAACAUGUUCUUGAUGUGCCCAUGAAUAGAAGACUUCAACGAAGCUGGAACAUCCAUCCUUCUAUUUUUGAUUGAUGGAGGUUUUCUAGUUUUUGUUGUCUUUUGUUUCCUUUUGUUGUUGUUGCUCCUUUUUUCUGGUAACCAUGGCACCCUUACACUCGUUCUAGACUUUUGUCUUCUUGAGUGUCUGUUUUUGUUGGUGCCGGACCUCCCUCUUGUAUUCUUUCUUGCAAAAUCAAUAUAUUACUUACCUUUACAAAAAAAAAAAAAAAACAAAAAAAAAACAAUUGAAAUAAAGCAGGCUGAGUAAAUCACGCAUUCCCAAGAUCACGAGCGUGCCAUAUUGCAUAGAAUAGUACCAAUAUUAUAGCACAAAAAACUAAAGUUUAAAUUAAGUGAAAAUCUAAUCCAAACAUACAAUGUAAAUGACACAAUCCAAAAAUGCUCGGGAUAUUAUUGUGUAUGAAGAUCCAAUGACUUGUAUAGAUUUCAACAUCCAAAUUCCAAUAGGAUUAUGUUAUAGAAUAUGUUUUCAUUAGUUGAUUUAUUCACCUAGGAGUAGGGACCCCCAAAAAAAAAAGGAUUUAGGUACGUUUGUUUUAAUUAUAUGAGGUUUCUUACUAGUAAAAAAAUUCCUAAAUUACCAAUUAGUGUCCCUUUGCAAUUGUAGCUCCAAAUAUUUUUCUCCUCUUUCCUUUCCUUUUAGUGGAUUUUUUUUUUAUAGUUUUGUAUUGCAGUGUGACUUAUUAGGGUGGUGAUUUAUUACAGAAGAAUGAGUCAUUUCAUUCAUCGUUUAUAAAAUAAAUUCCCAUUGAGUUAUCCACCUUACCAAGAUUAGACUUCAGGAACUCAACCCCCAACUCUUCUCUUGAUGAUGCGAUAGUUACUUACUAGUGGAAUGGAGGUUAGGAGAUCACUCGACAAAUUGUGAGCCAUUGAUUUCAACAUUCGGAUGAAAAACGGCAAAUAGAUAAAGAAAAAGAUCAAAUAAUUUCCUUUUUUGUAUCACUUUCGAAUCAAUACUUAACUUUUAUUUGAGGAAAUCAUAUAAAAAAAUAACAACGACUGCAGAAAAUCUAUGCGAGAAUUAAUUGUAAGGAGGUAACGUGGCAAAAAAAAAAGUCCAUCUAUUACUUAAAUUUCUAUAUACUCGUCAAUUUAAUAAAAGAAAAAUGUCAAAGUUAGAGUAGUCUUGAUUUCGAAUCUUGCAUAAAUGACAGCCACAUCCAUGACUUCUAGCAUUCUCGAUUAUGUCGGGAUGGCCCAGGAUUUGUUCUAGACAAUGAAGGAAAAAGGCAUUGCCAUAUUUUCACUUUGGGUUUUGCCAUUAGCUCGCUUGCCGUUUAGUUUUUAGUAUGUAACCCUCUUAGUUUGAUUUGUUUUUUUUCAUUGGUAAUAAUCAAAUUUUUUCAUUAGAUUUGACAAGCUCAAUUCUCAAAAUUUUGUUCUGAAAUCGAUCUUUGACAAGUGCAAGCAAAUUAUCACAAUGAUCCGACAAUGGAGCAUGGAUGAUACCUACUGGAAAUGAGGGGGCUUAUAACAUACGGANNNNNNNNNNNNNNNNNNNNNNNNNNNNNNNNNNNNNNNNNNNNNNNNNNNNNNNNNNNNNNNNNNNNNNNNNNNNNNNNNNNNNNNNNNNNNNNNNNNNNNNNNNNNNNNNNNNNNNNNNNNNNNNNNNNNNNNNNNNNNNNNNNNNNNNNNNNNNNNNNNNNNNNNNNNNNNNNNNNNNNNNNNNNNNNNNNNNNNNNNNNNNNNNNNNNNNNNNNNNNNNNNNNNNNNNNNNNNNNNNNNNNNNNNNNNNNNNNNNNNNNNNNNNNNNNNNNNNNNNNNNNNNNNNNNNNNNNNNNNNNNNNNNNNNNNNNNNNNNNNNNNNNNNNNNNNNNNNNNNNNNNNNNNNNNNNNNNNNNNNNNNNNNNNNNNNNNNNNNNNNNNNNNNNNNNNNNNNNNNNNNNNNNNNNNNNNNNNNNNNNNNNNNNNNNNNNNNNNNNNNNNNNNNNNNNNNNNNNNNNNNNNNNNNNNNNNNNNNNNNNNNNNNNNNNNNNNNNNNNNNNNNNNNNNNNNNNNNNNNNNNNNNNNNNNNNNNNNNNNNNNNNNNNNNNNNNNNNNNNNNNNNNNNNNNNNNNNNNNNNNNNNNNNNNNNNNNNNNNNNNNNNNNNNNNNNNNNNNNNNNNNNNNNNNNNNNNNNNNNAUCGAUAUCAGAGCGUCAUUUCAACCCAGUUUGUUUCAUAUAUGUAGCUCUCCAUAUAAUGGUGGCCGACACAAGACAAUCAUAAUUAAGCUACUCCUUCGACAAGGGCAUGAUUAUGGAAUGCCACAUGAGACAAAAGCAACUUUAACCCUGCUAUGGUAUUAAGAUGACAAUAAUAAUAAUAAUAAUAAUAAUAAUAAUAAUAAUAAUAAUAAUAAUAAUAAUAAUAAUAAUAAUAAUAAUAAUAAUAAUAAUAAUAAUAAUAAUAAUAAUAAUAAUAAUAAUAAUAAUAAUAAUAAUAAUAAUAAUAAUAAUAAUAAUAAUAAUAAUAAUAAUAAUAAUAAUAAUAAUAAUAAUAAUAAUAAUAAUAAUAAUAAUAAUAAUAAUAAUAAUAAUAAUAACACAUAAUGUUGAUUCAGUUUUUGUAAGUCUAAAGUCCAAGCUUAGGUCGAAGUAUGUAAGGAAUGACAAGGUUCAUUUUUUUUUUUUUUUAACUAUGGCGAUCUUUAUAAUAAAAAUGAAAUAAAAUGUAAUUUUUAAUCUUCAAGGAGUUGAUUGAGUAUGUGAGAGAUUUAUUUAUAAGACAGAUCCUGUAUUUAGUUGUAUACUAAGAAUAACUCUAAGGGGUCAUGCUCACGAUUGGCCCAUUGAUGGAGUCUUAUUGCAUGUGAUCGAGACAAUCAUAGGGUUUUAGUCAAGUAAAGAUUCGCAUCCGUUGUUACAAUUUAUUUUUACCACAUACCUAAUUUUAAUAAUUACAAAAAUUACUCUAUAAGUAUGCCAAUAUCAAUUGAUACUUAUCAAUUUUUUGGUUUAUGGGGAAAUUCUUUGAGCUAAAAAGGGGUAAAACAAUAUCUGAUGGACUAGCUAGAUGUAGACGGAAUACAGAAGUGCGGUGAACAAAUGGGUUAAAGGAGAACACCUAAGAACAAGAAGCUGCAGUACAAAUCCAAUAGAAUUGUCCAACCUCGCUAAACAUUCGGAAUGUGUAAACCGUAUUGACUUUGCACGUUAUAUCACCAUAACUCGUAAUAUCAUAAAUUAAUUUUACCGAUGUAUCAUAAUAAUAUUGUACUUUUAAUUACAACGAGAUGUUGUAACAUUAUAUUAUACAUUUGAAGUAGUAUAGAAGUGACUCUAACUUACGAGUUUGUUAUUGAAUAAGAAUGAUACGUUGAAAAAUAAUAAGUUUUCUAGUUUUAUGUCAAUCGGAAAAAAAAAGGAGGGUUUUUCAAUUUACGGCACAGAUAAGCUUAUGGGAACCAAAAUCGAGUUUAUGUAAAACUUAAACAUGAGUGGUCGAUUAAAAAAAAAAAAAAACAUGGAUGUGCCAUACAAUUCGGCCUCUUCGGUUGGCCCCUCCCUAAACAAGUCACCGCCGUCGAUCAUAUCCAACGACCCUUCUUCGUCAUUUUUCCCACUCCAUUCCGUUUCUUUAUAAAUAAAUAAAAAAACGGAGUUAAGUGUAAAUAAAAAUAAAUUUUAUUAAGAGGUAUCCAAAAGACACUGGUUAAGAAUAAUAAAAUAAUAAAAACACAUAUAAACGCAUUGUAAAGAAUUAAGCAAGAACAAAUUUCGAAUGAGAGCAAUUUAUUUUAAUUUAAUUUAAUAUAUACAUUUUUUUUCUUUUCCUCCUCUUGAAGAGUUUUUAGUCCCAUUUCAAUUGGCAAGUGAAAAUGCCAAGUGAUUUCCUCUAAGAAUAUUUUAUAAAGUGAAGUUCAUACUAGGAUUGUAUUUAUAUUCUUCAUUGACUUGCGCUAAAGUUUAAUCUCUCUCACUUUCCAUCUCAUUAGCGACCCUUCAUUUCAAGUCUUGGAGGCCUAAAGUCAUGCGCAAAAUCCAAUGAAGUAGAAAUGAUAUUGCCAAUCACUUUCUGAACUCAAGAAAUUGCCCAGAACCAGUGUACACGAUCAUUUUCGAAUAGUGGGGGAGAGGGAACGAGGAAAGUUCCGAAAGGGAAAUCGGAGAAAGAAACUUGGGCUACGGGCAAAUGGCACACGAUCAUUUUCAGAUAGUCUCUGACUGUACCUGAUGGUGAUCUACGUAUAACUUUCUUUGGUCUUUGUUCCAUUGCGUAAGCCAUAAUCCACAAACAAAGUGAUCUAUAGAUGAGAGCUAGAGCCUAGAAACCCCAUCAGAUCUUGAAGUCCAUCAUUCAUCGGCUCUUCUCAUGGCUGCUUCUUCAAAUCAGAAAAGGUGUUAUCAUGCUCCUGAGUUUCAGAGGCAAGAACGUUCGCAACAACUUCCUUGGUCAUCUCUCUACUAGAAAUUUGAAAAUGUCUACUCCUUCGAUCAGAAAUCAAAAUCACUUUGAAAUAUAGAUUUUGCAUCAUGCUACCAACAUGGUUGAGGAACUUCUUCUUUUUCCUCUCUUUAUUUAUGAUUUUGUGAUGCUGAGUAUUUUAAUUCAAAAUUAAUUGGAUGCUUGCUGAAUGGCCAUGGUCUUUCAAGUUGCUUUGUGUAAUUUAUCAUAUGGACAUCUAUCUCCUCUUAUAAUCUAAUUGAUGAUGCUAGCACUUCAUACUCUAAAAUUUUGAGAUAGUAAGUUUGGCUCAAUCUAAUAUAAUCCAUCUAUUUGGGAAAGCAUUGAUCUAAUUGUCUCACAGAUCAAAAGGUCUAUACAGGGAAGAUUAGUUGGCUCCUCUGUUGUCGCUAGGCAGAUCGCAUUAUAUAGGUACUAAGGGAGAGCUUUAGCUUCAAGAUUUUGCAUUUAAGCAAAGGACAUUGACUCAAAGGAAUUGCUUUUAAAGUAAAUAGUGUUUAAUACAUUGUUAAAAUACUUACUGCAGAGCAUUUUUUUUCAAAUAAGCAAGAAGAAGAGAACGGAUGAACUUGCAGUUACAUAUGAAAACUCAAGCGGAGGCCACAAAACUAGACCAGUGCCAACGUGAUGCGAUCCCAUUGUGCUGCCGUGGUCCCAUGCGAUGCGCAAUGCCAUGGCCACACAAUUAGGUAAUGCAAUGCUCGACCCUCAACAAACUAGAUAUGGUGUCAGGUGACCCUAGGCAAGUAGAAUCUGGUGUCGAGCGACCACUUCGAUAAAGCUUGCUGAUGUCCCCCAACCCUCGUCAAGCUUGCCAAUGUCCCCCAACCUUCUCCAAAAAGCAUCCCAACCAUGAGCGACCACGGCUCUCUCUAUCUCCAUCCAAGAUUGGGUUGGGGUAGGGGUGUCAAAAACCAAACCGAAAACCGAACCGAACCGAACUGAAAAUUUUGGUUUUUUUUUCGGUUCGAUUCUCAUUAAAAAUCGAAACUUUUUAACCAGUUCAGUUUUUAUUGGUUUGGUUAACCAAACCAAAUCGAUAAAAUCUAAUGUUUUUCCUCUUUUUUUAAAUUAUUUUUAAAAUUUUUUAAAUUUUUUUCUUUUCCUUCCUCUUCUUAUUCAUUGGCCGGCGAAAAAUUAAAAGAAAGAAAAGGAAAAAUAAAAUAAAAUAAAAUAAAAUUAAAAAAUCGAUUUUAAAAAUAAAAAAUUUAUAGAAAGGGGGUGUAUGUAGGGAGAAAUACAAACAUAAAAGUAAAAACCGAAAAAUCAAGAUUUCGGUUCAGUUCAAUAAAUUAUUUAUUGGUUCGAUUCGGUUUGAUUUUUCAAAAAUACCAAACCGAACCGGACCAUUUACACCCCUAGGGGGUGCUAUUGGAAAAAAAAAAUUAACAUGCAUGCCAAAGAUGUUAAACCCCCGAGCUCUCCCUCGCCUUGAGCUUUGACCAUUUUCAAUGCAAAAUUUUGCACCAAAAUAUUUGAAGUCGUGUUCCAAAAUGCCAGAACUUUGACUCAAGGGCUUUGGGAAAUUCAAAGCUGCUCGUCUCCCAUAUGCAGCUUGAGCGUCCUGGCUCGAUAGGGGCAGAAGUGUAAUUUCAUCAGUGCCAACUCAGUCGGCUCAUAAUUUGGGCCUCUUGACUCGGCCCCUUCCCCCCCAACAGAUAAAACCUAAAAUUUUCUUUUGAAACGGAUCUUGGUGUCCGACGUCUUCCCGACUUUCUGAACCUUUUAGCCCUGAGAGCAAAAAUAGAAAUCUCUUUUUCUAAUUAUUUUCUCUCUUUCUAAAAUUUUGAAUUUUAGCUUAUUCCACUUUAAAAUUUAAUAUCAACUUACAAUGCUCUCUGAAUUGGUGCUUUUUUAAGGCGAUCAAUAUUCACAUCUACAACCAUUUAAUAACAGGAUUAAUCAAUCUUUUUUUUUCAAAUUUUUUUGUCAAGCUUGCACCCUUUUUUAUAUAUAUAAUUUAAGAAUUAGGAGGUAAGAACAUAGUGAUUCAUGGUUCAACAAUUUACAUUAACCUCAAGAAAAAAAAAUAAACGUAGUUAUAAUUACUCUAAAUAUUAUUCUAUCAAAGAAAGAGCCAAUAAAUAAUCUCCAUACUAUAUAAGGAGUUGGCCGAUAUUGAUAAACAGUUAGGAGGACUAAAUAUUCAUUACCCUUAUUAAAAGGUUUACUUGUUUUCUUCUCUCAGAAUCAUACAAGUGUGAAAUAUUAUGUUUACUUCAUUUAUACUAUAAAGAACCCUAAUACUGUGCACACAAUUCAGGCUUUAUAUUUUAUUUUAUUUUUAUUGUAUAAUUGAUGUACACAAAAUAUAAACACGUCUUUGUCUUUCUUCCUAUUUGGUAAAAAAAAAUCUUUCACAAAUUAGAAUAUAUUAAUGUAAACACUUAAUUCGUGUGCUUGUUACACUAUAACUAUACUAAUACAACCACAAAAUAGAANNNNNNNNNNNNNNNNNNNNNNNNNNNNNNNNNNNNNNNNNNNNNNNNNNNNNNNNNNNNNNNNNNNNNNNNNNNNNNNNNNNNNNNNNNNNNNNNNNNNNNNNNNNNNNNNNNNNNNNNNNNNNNNNNNNNNNNNNNNNNNNNNNNNNNNNNNNNNNNNNNNNNNNNNNNNNNNNNNNNNNNNNNNNNNNNNNNNNNNNNNNNNNNNNNNNNNNNNNNNNNNNNNNNNNNNNNNNNNNNNNNNNNNNNNNNNNNNNNNNNNNNNNNNNNNNNNNNNNNNNNNNNNNNNNNNNNNNNNNNNNNNNNNUAUAUCAAGCUAAGUUGAACCCUUUUUUUUUUUGUAUGUGUGGCUCUCCAUACAUCAAUUUCACCUAUCAUUUUAAGAUCGGUUUUGCACGCUAAAAGAGAUAUUAUAAUAUUAUACAUUGCUUGUUUACAGAAUUUAUACUUACCUUAUUAUCUCUUCACGAAUAGUGGCCAACAAAAAAAAUCAUAAUUAAGUGACUCCUACAAGUGCACGAUUACAGAAUGCCGCAUGUGAAAAAAGUAACUUUAACCUGCUAUGAACUGAGAUGACAAAAACCAAUCAAAACAAAUAAUGUUGAUUAAGCUUUUUUAAGUCUAAAGUCCAAGUAUGCAAGGACUGACCUAGUUCAUUUUUUUUUUUAUUUAACAUAGUGAUCAAGAUAAUAUUUUUUACUUACUUAUAGUAGAUAGAAAUAAAAUCUAAUUUUAAUUCUCCAAAAAGUUGACUGAGAUAGUGAGAGAUUGAUUCAUACGACAAAUCCUAUAUCUAGUUACAUACUCGCCAUUGGUAAUCAUGGGCGUGCAUAUCCCAAGCUUAUGGGGUUCAUGUCCCAAGGUUAAAUAACAAGACAUUAUAUAUUCUUUUUCCAACUUAACAUUGUGUUUAGCUUAUGGGGAUUCAUGUCCUAAGAUUUAAUAACGAUGCCAUGUUUAUUUUUUGCCUGACUUGUAUCGAGUUUUUCAUCUCCCAUACCUUUUCUUGGAUGCUUUCAAUGCUUGGUUGUUUACUUUAAAAAGCCAUUUCAAUGGCCUAUAUGUUAAUUUCCUUUCCAGAAGCUUGAGACUAGAACAAUUUUUUUAGUUGUCAACUAAAACUCAAAUGUCAAUACUAAUGUAGACAAUUUUAAAUUUUAAAUUCUAUUUUUAUUUUCUUCACAAGGCCAACAAGAUUGUCGACCUCCCUCGCUAGGCAUGGGGGAGGGUUCGUUGUGUCACAAAAAUAAUAUUUACAAUAUACGAAAAUCGAGAUUAGGCGAAACUUAAACAUGAAUGUGCCAUAUGAUAUUGAACUUCAACUCGUUAGUACUCAGCUCAAUAGUUUUACAAGUCUAAUUGAGUUUUUCUUUUUGUAAAUUAUUUAUGUGAAAUUUCAAGCCCAAUCUAUUUAAAUUUUAGCAUAAUAAAAUUGAAUUCAGGUGCAGCUUUUGAAUACUUCGAUUUUCUUUUCCAAUUCAGUUCGAGCAAGAAAUUCAAUUCUCAAUCAAGCAAAGCUCGAGUGAAGUUUCGCGCUAUCAAACACGUGAGUCGAGCUUGACAUUGCAUCAGCUCGUCUCAAUGUGAUUGUCCUUCUUUCUCGAGGACUAAGCCUAGGACGCUAGCGCUUAGACUUGAUACCUCAAAGGUGGAUUUGCGCGUCCUUUUUGCGCGUUCUUUUUGCGCGUCCUUGGGCGUGGGCCGGACCCGAGACCUCACAAACGAAUCUGGAACUACGAAGAAUCGGCCAAGGACUCAGAAGACAAAAGCUGCCACUAGAUUUAUAAACCCCUAGUGGCAGCUUUUGUCUUCUGAGUCCUUGACUUCCGCCGGUGUACCGUUNNNNNNNNNNNNNNNNNNNNNNNNNNNNNNNNNNNNNNNNNNNNNNNNNNNNNNNNNNNNNNNNNNNNNNNNNNNNNNNNNNNNNNNNNNNNNNNNNNNNCCACCGUAGUUCCAGAUUCGUUUGUCGAUCACGUCGAUCUCGCCCUCCACACCCUCACCGCCGCGCAUAAGCAGCAUAUUUAUCUGAAAUCGAAAGCUGAAAACGUCUUCACGAGCCAAUAUUUUCCUGAGAAUGGGACAGGCUGAGAGCGCUUGUUUCUUUGGAGCGAGAAAGAGCAAGAGCCAGAGCAAAGGGAAGAGAUCGUCGACCUCGCUGCCGAUCGGGGAAGGGCAACCCCGGGUCAGAGGCCGCCGAGCCUCUCCGAGAGCAAAGCCCACUCUGCUUCAGCCUUCAGCCCUUCUAAUGGCCGCUUCUUCGAAUAUGAAAAGGAAUUACCAUGUGUUCCUCAGUUUCAGAGGGACAGAUGUCCGCCAAGGCUUCCUCAGUCAUCUCUACGCGGCUCUGGACCAGCAAGGAAUAUACACUUUUGUGGAUAGCGAGGAGCUUAGGAAAGGAGAGGAAAUAUCGCCGGCGCUCGUGAGGGCGAUCGAGGAAUCGCGCAUCGCGAUCAUCGUUUUCUCUGAGGACUACGUCUCCUCGCGGUGGUGUUUGGAAGAGCUAUUGAAAAUCAUGGAGUGCAAGAAGCGAAAUGGCCUGAUUGUGUUCCCUGUGUUUUACAAAGUGGAACCCAGAGAAGUAAGAGGAGGGAGAGAGAGCUAUGAGAGAGCUAUGGCUAAGUAUGAGUCCAAGUUCGGAAAGAAUUCGGAGAAAGUGAAGAGAUGGAAGAAGGCUCUUUUGGAAGCCGGUAGCUUGUCUGGGUGGGAGUUGAAUGACAGGUAUGCAAAAAUGUGACAUGGUGUUUCGUGAUUGUUAGCUUGUGAUUGUUUGUUAGAUAUCAAAUUGUAUGCUCUUUUUUGGAUCUUCGAAUUGAAGAUACAAAGUGGAGAUAAAUUAGACAGUAGACACAUAACAAAUAACCAAAGCUCGUAGAUUCUUUGAAUUGAUUUUUGCUGUGUGGAUAAUGAGAAAUUUAUCAAACAUAAGUAGUGUGAUUCAUAGUGCCUUAGUCAUUAUUGUCUUCAGAUUCAGGUUCUUUGUAAUUUUCCUUGCGUAGAUGAUGGCGCAGGUUCACCCACCUUUCGUCUUAUUAUUUGCUAAUCUUCUUAUGAAAUUUUCCUUAUCACGUUAGAGGUUGAAUUCCUGCUAUGGCUUUGAAAUGCUAAAACGGGUUUUUCUUUCUUGGAGUGCUUAUCAGAGAUGAAGCGGAUCUCAUACUAUGCAUUGUAAAGGAAUUAUUGAUUCGUCUCAACCGAAAAUCUUUACAUGUCGCUAAGUAUCCGGUUGGAAUAGAUUUCCAAGUUCAAGCACUGUUAAGGUUGUCACAGAAAGAGUCGGCUGAUGAUGAUAUUCUGAUGAUAGGUCUAUGGGGACCUGGAGGCAUAGGGAAGACAACAAUUGCCAAGGCCCUGUAUAAUGCUAUGAUGGGACAAUUUCAGGUUUGUUGUUUUUUGGAGCAAGUUAGAGAAAAAUCAAACCGAAGCGAUGGUCUUGUUACUUUACAAAAGGAUCUUCUAUCUGAGAUCCUGGUUCAUCCUUUAACGAUCUACAGUGUCGCCNNNNNNNNNNNNNNNNNNNNNNNNNNNNNNNNNNNNNNNNNNNNNNNNNNNNNNNNNNNNNNNNNNNNNNNNNNNNNNNNNNNNNNNNNNNNNNNNNNNNUGCAAGAAGGUUCUCCUGGUUCUGAUGAUGUGACCAUAUGAGUCAACUGAAUGCAUUAGCUGGAAAAGGCAAUUGGUUUGGAAAAGGAAGUAGAAUCAUUGUUACAUCAAGAGAUAAGCAAUUGCUGACUUCUCAUGGCAUAAAUUGUGUGUAUGAAAUUCAAACUUUAGGAUGCCAUGAAGCACAAUAUCUUUUUAGUCAAUAUGCUUUCCCAAAUAGCAAGAGUGUUGAAAUAAGAAGGGAUCUCAUAGAUAAAGCACUGCAUUAUGCCGACAGACUUCCAUUAGCCCUGGAAGUGUUGGGCUCAUUCUUACGUGGAAGAAAGGAACCUGCAUGGGAAAGUACGUUGCAUAAACUCUCCAAAAUUCCUGAAACAACUAUCAAUCGAGUUCUCAAGAUAAGCUUCAAUGGAUUGGAGAACAACGAGAGGGAGAUUUUCCUUGAUAUUGCUUGUUUCUUUAAGGGGAAAAAUAUAAAGUACAUCAAGGAAGUUCUUGACAGCUGUGGUUUUCACACAGCCAUAGGAAUAGAUAUUCUCAUGGAAAGGUCCUUGAUAAAAAACCAGGAUGAGACCUUGGAAAUGCAUGAUUUGAUCCAGUCAAUGGGUCGGGAUAUUGUUAAUGAAGCAUGUCGUGAUGAUCCUGGGAAACGCAGCAGAUUAUGGCUUUUGGAAGAUGUUGAGGACAUUUUUUGUUAUAAUACGGUAAAAGUUGUUUAUGUCAGUUUUGCUACAUUUCAGUUUACAUUACUCUAAUUCGGACAGUAUAAUGUAGAUCUUAACUUGAAAUUUUGUCUAACAACUGAAUUUGCCCUGUUAUGGAUAGGGGACGGAUGCAGUAAAGGCUAUAGUAUUGGAAAGGUCCCCACCAGAAGAAAUAAUCAUCAUUCCUAAUGCUUUCACAANNNNNNNNNNNNNNNNNNNNNNNNNNNNNNNNNNNNNNNNNNNNNNNNNNNNNNNNNNNNNNNNNNNNNNNNNNNNNNNNNNNNNNNNNNNNNNNNNNNNAGUACGUCUCAUGAGCUAAGAUGGCUUGUAUGGCCCAAUGCCCCAAAUCUAGAAUUUGGCUCUGGUCCAAAUAAACUUGUGAGACUCGAUGUCCCGCAAAGUCAUAUCAGACAAUUAGGGGGCAACUCUCAGGUAAGCCCUUGUGAUGAUUAGCUUUUCCUUUUUAUAGCUAUAAAAAAUAUUUGCAGAGCUGAAUGAUUGCACUAGUAUGUUUUUGCAGAAAUUUAGAGAGCUGAAGUGCAUCAAUUUCAGUGCAUGCAAGUCCGUGGUUAGUAUUCACGACCUGUCAUUGGCUUCAAAUAUGGAGAAAUUGAUUCUUGAUGGAUGUGAGAGCUUGGUGGAGGUUCACCCAUCCGUUGGAAAUCUUGUCAAGCUAGAAGUUCUGUCACUAGAGUCUUGCUCUAAUCUUGGUAAUUUUCCCAAUACACUGAGGACUAAAUCCCUUCAAACCCUUAAUCUCUCUGGUUGUUUUAAAUUCAAGAAGUUCCCAGAUAUUGACGGAAAGAUGGAACAUCUGAAAGGACUUUAUCUUGAUAGGACGGCUAUUAAAGAACUCCCUGCAUCAAUUGAAAAUCUUGUCUCUGUGAAGCGGAUAACAUUAGCAUUUUGCAAUAACCUCGUAAGGCUUCCAUGGCACAUUUAUAAGUUGAAAAAUCUCAAGGAUUUGAAUCUUUCUAACUGCUUGAAUUUAAUCACAUUUCCAAAAAAUAUGGAGUAUUCAACUGAUCCCAAUGUUGGUUUCCAAAAACUAAAGUUCCUAAAACUUAGCCACUGCAAUCUAUCGGAAGUAGACUUCCUCGAGAGUUUUUCCAGUUUUCCCAUAUUGGAGAGACUAUACCUUUUAGAUAACAAGUUUACUCAUCUGCCGGCAUGCAUCGACAAGUACCCUAGUUUGUACGAAUUGUGUGUUGAUAGAUGCGAGCUGCUACAAGAGAUUCCUCAGCUUCCACGACAUAUCGUGCUAUCAGCCGAUCGUUGCAAAUCUCUGGAAAAAAUUCCCCAGAUCUGGGGGGGGCCGCCCCCUUCCUCUCUCUUUGGCGUUUGGCUGGGACUUCAUGUUGUGAAUUAUACCGCAGAGGGGUCACUAUGGCUGGAUGUGGGGUGAAUUUGUUCGGUUACUCAAGGGGCUCCUCUCUCUCUCUCUCUCUCUCUUCUCCUCUCUCUCCUCUGAGGAACCUGCCAUGGAUAAAUACGGAGCCCAUUGGAUAAUCACACUUUUCAGAUUACGUAGUGAUGGUUGAAAUAGGGGGGGAAAAUACUUGUAAAAAAAAAUUCCUGCCAGAGAGGAAAAAAGGCCUAAAAGGAAGUCCCCCCCGGGGGGGGGGGGGGGGGGGGAGAAAGUUGUUUUUCCCCCCCAGCGGAGGGAGGGAAAGAGAAUGAAUUUAAAAAAAAUACCCCCGGNNNNNNNNNNNNNNNNNNNNNNNNNNNNNNNNNNNNNNNNNNNNNNNNNNNNNNNNNNNNNNNNNNNNNNNNNNNNNNNNNNNNNNNNNNNNNNNNNNNNUAUAUGUAACUUCAAAUGCUUGAUAUGCGUACAAUCUGUGUGACAGGAUCUGCCAAAGGUGGAUCGUCUCAACAUUGACCUGCCUGGAAGAGAGAUGCCUAAAUGGAUUCUCCCCUGUGAAGGGGAUUCCAUAUCUUUCAUAAUUCCCCAGGAUUUGUACGACAAGUUCAAAGGAGUAGCACUCUGUGUUGUUCUUGGCCCAGACGAAGGAAAAGUGGUCAAUGCUUCAUGUUUAGCCAAAGUAUGUGCUGAUGGCCAGUCAGCGGGUGAAUUCAAGCGAAUUUUUUAUUCAAUAGAAUCUGACCAUGUGUGGUUUAGUUAUAUUCCACUCCUAUUGGUAAAUCUGCGAGACAAUGGGAUCCAUUACCGAGUUCACCUCUCGGCACAAAAAGCAAGCAUAAAGAAGUGUGGAUUCCGUCCAAUAUGCAAGCAAAAGGAGGAUGUUCUGAGGAUGGUGAUCCCAGCACCAUCAGACGAUGGAAACAAAUUGAAGUUUUCAAGGAGUGACUCAGAAGAAGAUAGUUCAAUAGGCACCAUGGAAGCAGAUGAUCUAUUUGAAAUAUAUGCAGGGUAAAGCUCAUCAUGUUUAACAAAGAAGAGAAGGCGGUCUUAACUAUGGUGAGACUAUGAGUUCCAAUGUCUUUGCUUUUCCCUUUUCUGGGCCUCCACUAGAGAUUUGCAAGUGCCUGCUCCUUCAAUUAGAAUUCAAGAUCAUUAUAAAACAGGGGUUUCCCACCAUGCUACUGACAUGAUUGAGGAACCUUUUUUUUUUUUUUUUUUUUUUUUUUUUUUUUUGCGUUGCUUCUCUAUGAUUUGUGAUGCAGAGUGCAUUAAACCAAAAAUUAAGAGGAUGCUUGUUAAAAUGGCCAUAGUCUUCCAAGUUGCUCCGUGUAAUUUAUCACACGGGCCUCUGUUGCCUCUCUUAAUCCAAUUAAUGAUGCCAAUAUUUUGUACUUUAAAAUUUUAAGAUAGAAAGUUUUGCUCAAUAGUAAGUUUUGCUCAAUUUAGUAUAGUCUGUAUUAUAGUAAGUUUUGCUCAAUCUAGUAUAAUCUAUAUCUUUAGGAAAGUGUCGUUUGAAUUGUCUAAAAGAUCAAGAGGUCUACAGAGGGAAAAUUAGUUGAUUCCUUUGUUGUUGGUUGGCAGAUUGCAUUGGAUAGGUAUAAAGGGAUAGAGCUGGCUUCUAAGAAACUUUCCAUUUUGGCAAAGGAGGUUGACUUCAAGGAUUUUCAUGAAAAGCAAAUAGUAUGUGGCAAACACCUUCUAAAAUAAGUAUUGCAGAGCAAUUUUUAGAAUGAGAAAAAAGAUUAAAAAGGGAGAACGAAGGAACUUGCAGGUACACGUGAAUAAGGGUGUCAGUAACCGAACCGAACCGAAAAAUUCGAUUUUUUCGGUUCGGAUUUCAUUCAGUUCGGUUUUCAUUAAAAACCGAAAUUUUUCGGUUCGGUUCGGUUUUUAUUGGUUAACCGAACCGAACCGAACCAAUAAACCGAAAAAUAAAACCAUUAACCAAACCGGCAGAGGGCCAAUCCUAUUUCUAAUUCUCUCCCGUUUCCUCUCGUCUUGAAGGUGUGACGGCGCCGUCGCGACGACUGUGGCUGCGACGGCGACAGGGACGGCGACGGCAGCAGGGAUGGCGACGGCACUGGCGACAAGGAUGGCGACCAAUUGAGGGACCGGUUGUUCUGCCACGCCCUUUUCUCUUCUUCUUCUUCUCCUUCUUUGUCGGCAGCGGUGAUUCGUGGAGCUGUGUGCUGUGCUGGGUCGAGCAACGGCGCUUCGGAGACUGACCCUUUUGUCCUCACGACGCUGCUCUACUACGUUAAUGGGGGGGGGUUGUUUUCUUAUUGAAAUCACUCUAGUGGGAUGGCUUACUGGUGAAAGUGGAGAUUUUGGGCAAGUGGGUUUGUGUUUAUUCUAAUCCAGAAGUUGAUUUAUUUCAAAUGCCAUCGGCACGGCGUGAUUGGCAUGGUGUGUCCCCGAUUUACAUUUGCCUUGAGCGCAGCGAUAUCAGUUUAGUUAAUUGGGUGGUUUGAGGAUGUCGUGGCUUGACCUCUUUUAUAUGCAAGAAGAAAAUUUGGGUUUUCUCUGUUAGCUGGUCCCAAUUUAUUUUGUGAUAGGCUUGGGGCAUGAAGUUGCUUCCUUUGAGUUGGAAGAGGUGGACAGUGAGCAGCCAAAUUGGGUGUUCCCAUUGUUUUCUUUUCUGGUUUAGUUGUUUUGAAUUAUUGGUACAUUGAGUUUGGUUUGUCUGUGUGUGGUUUUGUAGGCAUUCUGUGAAAUAUAUAUCCUCAUCUGAAUUGGUACUUCAGAAAGCAGAGGAUGUUUCGUGGUUGUUGGUGUUAUUGUCAUAGUGCUCUCUUGUAGUGUUCGGUGUUGCAAAGCACCAGGAAGGAGAAAAGGAGAAGAUAUGAGAUUCUGCUACAGUUUGCGGUGUGCGUAUUUUGAAUUGGUUGAGUUCAAGAAGCCCUUUCCCUGGCAUGAGUUGCAUCUGUUAAUGCUUGAAGCCCAUAGGUUCUGCGCAUUUUGGUCGAGGUUUGAGUGGAGAACAUAUUGGAGGUCUUCAUUUGUGCGAUUUCUAAUCAUAGUGGAUUUUGCUUUGUACAAUGUUAAUGUAUGGAGAGUUUGCUUGCCAAAUUUAAUGUGUAGAGAAUAGUAUUGACUGAGGCCCCUGCUUUAAACUGUGCUGUCUUUCUUAUACGUGUAUCUGUCAUUGUAUCAUGUAUGUACGCAAUAAGAAGAGAAAUGUUCACUGUACAGGUUUUGCUGACAUAUUGAAUCUAGAUUUUUUUUUUUGUCAGAAAUUUGUAUUUAAUACUAACGAUUUGAUGGAUUACAUAAUGUUCCAAGAUCAAGACAUAAAAUAGAGCAUAGUGGAGGUGGGGGAUUCUGUUUCCAAGUCGGUGGUUGAAAAGAAAAGAAAAGAAAACCAAAAGCUGAAAACCAAAAAACCGAACUGAACCGAACCGAAAUUUCGGUUCGGAAAAAUUUUCUAAUGGUUCGGUUCGAUUUGGUUUUUUUGAAAAACCGAAUCAAACCGAACCAUUGACACCCCUACACUUGAAAGCACAAGCGAGUGGCACAACAGUAGGACCAAUGCCGACGUCGAGCGACCCUAGACAAUAUGCCGUUGAGGUCAACCAAACCUAGGGGACAUGACACCAGUGUUGCUUGACCCUAGGCGACAAAACACCGAACGCUAAUGUCCCAUGACCUCAAGUGGCGGAAUGGUGGAGCCACAAGACUAGGCAAUGCAAAGCUCAACCUCCGCGAGCUAAACCUGGCAUCAAGCAACCCUUGCAAAGCUUCUCGGAAUCAUGUAGCCCUCGACGAAGCUUUGCCGGUGUCCAUUAACCCAGCUUCCUUCAUGAAGCUUCCUAGCCAUGACCAACCAUGGCUUUCUGUCCUAACCGAGGUUGAGGGACAAAACAUUAUUACAAAUAUAUUAAUGAUGGUAAGAUUGUAAGGAAAAAAAAAAUUCAUUAAACUCCCGAAUUUGCAUUCGGAAAAUGCUAAAGCCCAAAGGUGAGACUUGCCUCGAGCUUCAAGCAUUUUAAAGUAGAACUUUUCGCUAAAGUCUUUGAAAUUGUGUUACCAAAUAUCUAAACUUAUUUUAAGAACUUUUCAAAGCCCAAAACAGUUUAAUUCAAGAUGACGGAGUACCCCUAUUUUUAAAGGCCAAAUUGGAUGGUAUUGAAAGGAGGGCAAAAUUGGAUUAGUGUAUCACUUUGGGGGUCCUUGUGAGUCAAAAAAUAAUUUUUAGUAAAUUAUUUAAGGGUGCCGAUUUAAGAUUUUGCGUGAAGUUAAUCCAUAUAAUAUCUAUGUAUUAUUUUCUUUUUCUUUUUUACAUUUUGAAGAGUUGAGUUUGAUUCAUUUGACAAGUGAAAUGCCAAGUAACAUGUUAAUAAUUUCCACUGAGAUUAUUAGUAAGUUCAUACUAGGAUUGUCUUUAUAUUCUUCAUUGGCUUACACCAAAGUUCAUUCUCUUUCUCACUUUCUACUAUUAGUCACCCUUCAUUUAAGUCUAGUUGGCUCGAUAUCGUCUAUUUGAAAUGCAAAAUUCAAUAAAGUAGAAAUGUUGUUGCCUAUCACUUUUUGAAGCCAAAUGUAAGAUUAUUAUAACCUCCAAAAAGGUGACCCAAUCACAUUAUUAGAGAAUACGAUAUAUCAAAUGCUCAUUACUAAACUAUUAAUUACAAUCAUUAAGGUUCGGAAUCAUGUACACCGAUAAUAUAUUUUUUCAAUAUCUCAUUCAGAUCGUAACACAUAUUCACCUCAAAUUAAAUCUACCACCCACGAUCAGAUUCCAAAAUUAUAGCAUCCCCCCUCCUCCUUGUCCUCCUUUUCCUCUCUCUCUAGAUAAAAAGAUGGAGAAGAGCUAUCAACACUAGUGACCCUUUUUGAAAUGUGCCAACCCAUUAAGAGUAUAUACUUCAUUUCACAUCUUAUUAUAAUUGGAGAAACACUGCCUAUGGGAAACGAUUAAUACUCCCGGAAGCAAUAUGCUGAUUCUAUUUAGACAUCAAGUCAUCCCGCAUGGUGAACCUUUCCUAAUUCUUGUGAUUUAUAAUGUAUUAACGACAUUCAAAAGCAAAAUCAAACGGAUGUCUCCAACCUUUGCAAAGUAUGCAACCCAAAAUGUCAACAAGCAUGAAGUGAUGUUGGGCAACUACUCGAGCAAAAUCUUGGGCCGACCAGAAUUGAAACAGUCCCAGGUGAACUCCACCAAAUGGGCAACCAAGACUGAAAUGAUGGGCCGAUUCUCUUGCUGAUCCUCAAGCAAGACUGAAGAAUGGGCCAUCUUCAUACCUCAUAUCUAAAAUAAAUCGACAUUGGGUUGUCGACCUUGACAAGAUUAGAGAUCAUAUCAUCUCAUCAAUCAUAAAAUUCAUCCCCCAACUCCUCUCAAUUAAAAAUAAUGUGAUAGUUACUUACUAGUGAAAUCGAUGUUAAGAGAUUACUUGACCAAUUAAGAGCCGUCCAAUUCAACAUUUGAAUUAAAAACCACAAACAACCAAAAAAAAAAAAUCCUUCAUAACACUUUCAAAGCAAAACUAAACUUUAUUUGAGAGAACUAUGAGAAAAUGACACCCGAUUACUACUGAAAAACCUAUUUAAAAUUAAUUGUUGGGAAAAGUCUUGGCCCAAAAAAUCCUUCUUAUAUUAAUUAACCUCCAUUUACUUGUAAAUUUUUUAUUGAAGAAAAAUGUCAAAAGUAGAGCAAUCUUGAUCUUGAAGCUUGCAUCAGCGAUAGCCACAUGGACAACUUCAAGCAUCCUCAAUUAUGUUAGGAUGGACCAGGUCUUGUUCUAGAAAAUGACUUCAUGAAAAUGUUUGUCAUUCCAUAAACAUCGACAAGGGGUCCAAAAGAUCAAAAAAGUGGGGGAAAUUGAAAAAAAGGAAGGGAAUUGCCUAUAUUUUCACUUUUGAUAUUUGCAAUUAGCUCCUAUAUUUUUAGUACUUUAGUAUAUAAUCCUCUAAGUUAUUUUUUUUUUCAUUGGUAAAUCUUUUUAUUAGAUUUAACAAGCUUAACUCUCCAAAAUUUUGUUCCAAAACCAAUCUUCGACGAGCAUAGACAAAUUUUCGCGGCUAUCCAACAAAGCAGCAUCGACAAUUCCUACCGGAAAUGAGUGGAUGCAAAAAUAAAUUGGCCAGAGCUAGAAAGAGAGCAAGAUCAAGCGGGGAUAAAAUUAUCCUAAUGUUAUCAAUUUUUUUUCACCUAAAAGAUAUUUUUAUUUUCUUCUUUGAUUUUGUGCUAAGUAAUUUAAUGGUCAAAUUUCACGUGUAAUUGACUUUUCUUUUCUCCUUUUUUAUCCAAUCAGUGUUCUCUCCGUUGCCGUUGAAUUCGGUUUAUUGUAAAAAAAAAAAAAAGCGGCACUUGAUUCAACCAUCGAGUUGUCUCCGGAAAAAAAAAAGGAAAAUGAUAAAAUCGUCCGACUACACGAGCCGUCCGAUUGUGUGUAUUUAUAAGUGUAACCUUGGCUCUCCUGGAAAAGAGGGGACGUCGGAAUUUUCUUAAAUUUUGGUCUCCAUCGUUUCUCAACUUUCCGAGCUCCUUAACCUAUUGAAAUGCCAUUCAAGUUUUAUAUUUUAGUUUUCUAAUAGUACUUAAUGUACAAAAAAUGUUAACACGUGGCAUUCUUUCUUCCUAUUUGAUGAGCUUAAAAAAAACUUAUGCAAAAUAGAGUUUAUUAAUGCACACUCGCAAUUCAUGGAUUUGUUAUUCUAUCACUACACUAAAUCCAGCCACAAAAUAAAUUUAUUUUAAGUUAUUAAUGUCUGCUCACUUCAAGUAAUUUUACAAUGUUUUAUACCAAAGAAGUAACUUUAGUAUGCUAAAAUGUCUCUUUACUUACUGGGUUUACACGGGUUUCAGGUAAAUGUAUUCUCUAUCAGUAUAACGCUUUUUGUUUUUGGGGUUAAUCAUUUUCACAUAUCACAAAGUCAAGUUCUAAACUAGUUUUUUUUUUUUUUUUGCACUCCUUAUUCGUUAAUUCUGCAUCACAUUAGUUUUACACGCUGAAAAGCUUAUUAAAGAAUUACAUAUCACUUGUCUAUGAAAUUUAUACGAGCCUUAUCAUCUCCCUAUGGAUUGUAAACAAUCAAAAUAUAUAUAUAUAUAUAUAUAUAUAUAUAUAUAUAUAUAUAAUUUACUCCUUCAAGUGAAUGAUUACAAGAUACCAAUUGCUAGAAUUAAAAUGUCGAAGUUCACUGUAUGCGUCUUAAUUUUUUAAAUAAUGAGUGAUUGACUUACACUUUACAAAAUGAACGUGAUGCAUCUUUAUAUGUAAAAAAGAAAAAGUUUAACCUAGCUACAAAAGUGAGAUGAAAAAGAAAAUCAAAAUAAAAUGUUUAUCAAGCUUUUUUUUUUUUUUUAGUUUGAAGUCUAAGUCUAGGUGGCAAGUACGCAUAGAUUGACAAGGUUUUGUUCUUUUAAACUUAUAAUUCAAGAGGUAGUUUGAGUAGUUAAAUGUUUAAUUCAUACAAUUGAUUUAGCAUUUAGUUACGAAGUCACCGUUUACAAAAACUUUAAGCAGUCACGCCCGUUAUUGGCUUAUUGAUGAGGUCUUGUUGCUCAUGGAUAAGAUGAUUUGCAUGCAUUAAUAAGAUUUAGUCAAGUGAAGAUUCGUAUCACUAUUGAAAAAAAAUUAUACUAUAGAAAUAAUCUUAUUUAUUGUUAAAAAAAAAAAUCCUAGAUGAGGGAGAGGGUUCUGUCGGCUAGGGGUGAGCAUGGUCCAGAUUGAGCCGGUCCACCCUAUAACCCUAGGACCAACCCGCACAGUGCUGGUCCUCAAUUUUUGGGACCGAGGAUCGACCCUAUUGAGCUUGGGACCGAGGACCGGACCGACCUAGUGGGUUUGGUCCGGUUCUAGGGUCAACCCAAGAUCAACUGAUAAUUUUUUAUUUCAUUUUUUUUUUAUACCUAGGGAACCUCGUACAGUCGGCAGCCGGCGGGUAAACCCUGGAGCGACGCUAGCGGAGGACCCACCACCUCGACGUCGCGCUUAAGAUACCGUGCGUCCUGCGGGAUUUGAACCCCUCCAUCCUUGGUAGAUGUCAUGGGGGCUCUUAUCCAGCUAGGCCACCGCAGGCGGUGGUUUUUUUAUUUCAUUUUUUGUACUCCUUAAAAAAGCGAUUGAUGACUGGGUUGACCCAAUGAAUUCGGUCCAGUUCCAAGGUCAACCCGAGACCAAUCAAUAAUUUUUUAUUUCAUUUUUUGUACUCCUUAAAAUGGCAAUCGAGGACCAGACUGACUCAAUGGGUUCGAUGACGAGCGAAGUCAAUUAAGAAAGUCAAGCAAUGAGGGUCUAGUGAGGUGAGCGUCAAACAAAGUGGGCAUCGAGUGUCAAGCGGGGAGCAACAAGCCAAGCGAGCAUUGAGCGGCAAGUGGCACGAGUAGCCCAAAGCGAGUGAGACGAGUGUCAAGUGGCGAGCGGAGAAGUUAUUUUUUUUCAAUUUUUAUCUAUAUAAAAAAUUAUAAAUAAUAUUAUAUAUAUAGUCAAGGUUGGUACAGGUUGGAUUGACCAUGAACUUCCAAGAUUGUGGAUCAACCCACAUAGUGCUAGUCCAGGAAUCCUAGAAUCAAGAAUUGACCCAAUCUCCCUAGAAACUGGACCAGGACCGAUAGGGUUGGGCCAGUCCAGGGUCGGUCCAGGGUUGACCUGGACUGAUGCUCACCCUAUCGGCCCAACCUUCAAUGGCAAGUGGCAAAUGGGUUGGAAAGGAAAAAAAAAAAACUGCAAAUGAAAGCUGCGGUGCAAAUCCUACAUGUUGUGAACUAAAUUCUACGAAAGUGAAAAAUGUACCAUAACGGUUUUACGUUAUGGUUACGAUGAUCCGUGAUAUAAUAUAUUAAUACAUACAUACAUACAUACAUACAUAUAUUUAUAGUGUUACGACGUUUUUGUAUUUAAUUGCAAUGACACGUAAUAAUCUUAUACGAUACAUUUGAAGUAUCGUAGAAGUGCAAAAAAGUGACAUUCACACUUUUUAUAUAUGGCAACAUGCCAAUUUGAAACAAGGUUUUUCAAUUUAUAAUAAGGAUCAAUUAGACAAUGCACAAAUGAGUUCAGAUGAAACUUAAACAUGAGUGUAGCACACAAUAUCAAGCUCAAACUCGCUAAUUCUCAAUUUGAUAGUCUCAAGAGCCCAAUUAGGCUUAACUUACUUUUUGUCCAUUAUUUAAUAUAGUCAAGUGGAGUAAGUGAAAUUUGAAUAGUCCGAUUUUCUUUUUCAAGUUGAGCUUGAACAAAAACUUUAGGCUCGGUUCAUUUCAUGGAAUAUAAUUUUCAAGAAAAUAUUUUCUAACUUCCCGGUAUUCAUUUCACGGAAAAUGAAUUGUUUGGGGAAAACAUUUUCCAUGAAGGAAAGAGAGUCUUCUAAACUAGGGAAAAAUAUUUUCCACAUCUCUUUUACCUCAUACCCCUAUAAGCCCUCACUUCCUCCACCACCUCCACCUCCUCCUUAUUCUUUUUUUUUUAAUUCAAAUUAUUUUUUAUCUUCUUUGUUUUCCCUCUUCUUCUUGAUUUUUGUGUUUUCAUUUUUUAUUGAGUUUUUAAUUCUUUUUCUUUUUCCUUGGCCGGUCGCCGGCCACGGUAGUGGCCGGCAACCGACCAUAGGCCAACUUCAGCCUCGCCCAAGGCCAGAUCCAACGAGGGUGAGGCUUGAGCUUGCCGACCUCGGCGAAGCUUGGCCUCACCUAGAUCAGGUCGAUGAGUUCGUGGCUCACCCGAUCCAGGCGAGCCCGAGCUCUAUCAAGGCCAGCAAGCUUGAGGCUCAGCCGAUCUAGGCAAGCCACAUCCAUUUGUUGGUGAGCUCGUGGCUCACCGAAUUUGGCAAUUGCAUCUUGAUCGGCCGUCGGGCAAUCGACCACAUCGAGGCAUGCGGUAGCAAAGGAAGGAGGAAAAAGAGUGAGGGAGGAAAAAAAAAGGAAAAAAAAAAUAAAUAAAAAAUUGAUUUUUAAAAGUAAAAAUAAUUAAAAUUUUAUUUUUUAAAAAAUAUAUAAAAUUUUAAAUUAAAUUUUGUUGGUCAAUUAAAAAUAUUAAAAUUAAAAUUUUUGGUAUUUUUUCCUAAAAAAUCAAAUUAGAUAACGAACAAUGAAAAACAUUUUUUCAUUUAAAUUUUAGGUUUCAGCCGAACGCCAGAAAAUAUAGUUAUUUUCGUGAAAAAUGAUUUCCUAAAAAAUAUUUUCCGAAAACGUGAUAUUUUUCGUGAAAUAAACGAGCCCUUAAUACUUGAUUGAGUUCAAGUGAAGGUUUAAGCAUCAAGAUUUAUUAGCUCAACUCAAUUUGGAUUAUAUCUCCACAUUGAGGGCUAGACCUAGGACCCUAGCACUUGGAUUAGAGACACCAGCAAAACAAGUUAUAGCAUGGGCCGCCUACGACCCUACCAUAGACUCGGGACCUUGGCCUUGGACUUGAGUUGUGAAUUAUGGAACUAUAACAUGCUAUCAUCAAUUUGUAUUUAUAUAUCGCAUAACAACUCCAUAUUACAAAAUACUUGACGAUGUUGUACCAAAAAGAUCAUUGAGUCCACCACAACGCAAGAUAUUAAUAGAGUACCAAGUAAUAAGUACGAAAACAAUCUCUCACAGCAUAUUUAUUCUCAGAACUUACCAAGAGAAACUCUAAAACACUCUUAAGUAGAACCAUGCGAAUGCAAAUUCUAUCUUCAGAUCGAUCUUCACUCCAAGCUUUAAGCCAAGUCAAACUCGUGCUCUGGUUUGGCCACAACCCAUGGCGUCAAAAUGACACAUCCGAUUACUUGAUCUCUUCUCAUAAAUUUUCGAUCGGAAAAAAAUUCAUUAGGGUACACGAAAAUGCGCACGAUGAUUUUCGGUUAGUCGCUUUGAUAGUACCUUUGCCCGGUUCCCGUACGAAGAAGGAAAAUAAAAAACGAACUCGCUGCUCUCCCUGAUGGUGCGAGCGCCUUGGCUCACCGAGGGCACGAGCGCCUAGCUCAGUCGGCUCAAGAUUUCGGCCUCUCGAGUGGGCCCCAUCCCCCCGAGACGAAUCACGGCCGUCGAUAAUACCCGGCCUGUGUGUCGGCACACAGUGACCCGACACACGUGCGGAGUCUCAUUAACGUGCUGUCCCUCCCACUAGCCAACGACCCAUCCCUGUCUUUGUGGGACCCCGCUGCAUAUCCCCAUCACUGGGCCAUGGCCCCCACCAUACGCUUAUCUCGAAUGUAAUCUCCGCCCAUUUCCAAUUUUUUCUUAAAAAGAAAUUGAGCUUAAAUAAAAAUAAAAAAGGAAAAUGACACCGCAAUAUCUGAAAUUUAGCCCAACAAGUUCUUGAACUUUUAAUUUGUUUAAUAUGAUCCCUAAAAUUCAUAUUUAAUCUAGUUCAUACUGUUCUUGAACUUAAAUUAUUGAUAUAAUAGCUAAGGGUGAUUGAUUCAAGGGUAGGUAAGUUUUAAAAUUGGAAUUUGAAUUCUACCCUAUUAUAACCGGUUUCUAUUUUUUGAACCCUAGAACCUAUUAUUUCCUCUAUUUUUCUGAUUUGGUUUGAGGGUUCACUCGAGAAUCUGUUUUAUCUUUUUUUUUUUCCUUUUUUUUUAUUUUUACUGCAAAAUCAUAUAAGAUUAUGAGUAACGAAAUGAUUCAAAGUAAAAGAUGAAUAACAUAAAUCCUAAUCUACCAAAAACAACAAUCUGAAUACGUAGUCAAGUACAAUUAUAAACGAUAAAAAAGUUCAAAUGCGUAAUAUUAAACAUAAAUUCCCCAUUCAUCCAUAAAAGUUAAAUGAAAAUGAAAGACUAGCAAGAAGUUUCAAAAAAGGACAAAAGACGAAAGAAUGCUGAGGUUAAAAUUUAGGGAAAAAACAAUUAGAAUUUAAGCUUUUUAACUUAUAAAAUAGAUUCCAAAGUAGAGUGGAAUCGGUGGAUCUUUACUUGAAACCUAUUCCUAGAACUAUUUCAAGGAGAAUCAAUCCUCAGACAUAGUUUUCCGAAAGUUGGAUCCAAUUUCUAAUUAAAAUCGGUUUAGUUGCACAUCCCUAAUAACAACAUUAAACAUCUUCGUAUAGCAUAGGAACUAACUUGAAUAUGUACUAAAAUUUUAAGGAUCAUAUUAAAUAAAUUAAAAGUUCAAGGAAUGCAUUAUAAAUUGAGUCAAAAUUCAAAGACUAUAUAUGUCAUUAUCCAAAAUUGAUAUCAAUAUCCAUUUAAAAAUUUUAAAAGAGCAAUUUGCUUUUAAGUUAGCAAUUUUUUUUUAAUAUUAUCAAAGCACUAUUAAUAACCCGGAAGUCCGCCACCACAAAAACAUUAUCGCUAUCUCCCCCUAUCUUAAAGUCUCAAAGCUCAAAAGGAAAAAAAAUAUCAACAGCGCUCAGAGCUUCUCACUCGAUAAACCCUCGCGGCAGCUUUUGUCUUCCGAGUCCUUGGCCGAUUCAUCAUCGUUCCAGAUUCGUCGGUCGAUCACGUCGAUCUCGCCAUCCAAACCCUGAGAGCGCUUGUUUCUUUGAAGCGAGCGAGAGCUAGAGCCAGGACAUAGGGAAGAGAUCCUCGACUUCACUACCGAUCGGGGAAGGGCAACCCCGGGUCAGAGGCCGCCCAGCAUCUCCGAGAGCAAAGCCCACUCUGCUUCUGCUUUAAGCCCUUGAUUUUCUUAGCAAGAAUCUUUCUCUCUCUUUGUUCCGAAGCUUGGCAUUCUAGAGAAGCACAUGUACCAUCAGCUCUUCUAACGGUUGCUUCUUUGAAUAUGAAAAGGAAUUUCCAUCUGUUCCUCAUUUUUAGAGGGAUAGAUGUCCGCCAAGGCUUCCUCAGUCAUCUCUACGCGGCUCUGGACCAAAAAGGAAUAUAUACUUUUGUGGAUAGCGAGGAGCUUAGGAAAGGAGAGGAAAUAUCGCCGGCGCUCAUGAGGGCAAUUGAGGAAUCGCACGUUGCGAUCAUCGUUUUCUCUGAGGACUACGCUUCCUCACGGUGGUGUUUGGAAGAGCUCUUGAAAAUCAUGGAGUGCAAGGAGAAAGAUGGCCUGAAGGUGUUCCCUGUGUUUUACAAAGUGGAACCCAGAGAAGUGAGAGAGGGGAGAGACAAUUAUAAGAGAGCUAUGGAUAACCAUGAGUCCAAGUUGGGGAAGGAUUCAGAGAAAGUGAAGAGAUGGAAGAAGGCUCUCUCUGAAGCCGGUAGCUUGUCUGGGUGGGAGUUGAAUGACAUGUAUGCACAAAUGUGACAAUGGUGUUUUGUGAUUGUCUGUGAGAUAUCAGAUCAUAUGCACUUUUUUGGAUCUUCAAUUGAAGAUACAAAGUGGAGAUAAAUUAGACAGUAGACACAUGAUCAAAUAACCAAAGCUCGUAGAUUCUUUGAAUUGAUUCUUGCUGUGUGGAUAAUGAGAAAUUUAUCAAACAUAAAUAGUGCGAUUCAUAGUGCCUUAGUCAUUAUUGUCUUCAGAUUCAAGUUCUUUGUAAUUUUCCUCGCGUACAUGUUGGCGCAGGUUCACCCACUUUUCAUCUUAUUAUUUACUAUUCUUCUUAAGAAAUUUUCCUUAUCACGUCAAAGGUUGAAUUCCUGCUAUGGCUUUGAAAUGCUAAAACGGGUUUUUCUUUCUUUUGAGUGCUUAUUAGAGAUGAAGCAGAUCUCAUACAAUGCAUCGUGAAGGAAUUAUCGAUUCAUCUCAACCAAACACCCUUACAUGUCGCUAAGUAUCCGGUUGGAAUAGAUUCCCGAGUUCAAAAACUGAUAUGUUUNNNNNNNNNNNNNNNNNNNNNNNNNNNNNNNNNNNNNNNNNNNNNNNNNNNNNNNNNNNNNNNNNNNNNNNNNNNNNNNNNNNNNNNNNNNNNNNNNNNNNNNNNNNNNNNNNNNNNNNNNNNNNNNNNNNNNNNNNNNNNNNNNNNNNNNNNNNNNNNNNNNNNNNNNNNNNNNNNNNNNNNNNNNNNNNNNNNNNNNNNNNNNNNNNNNNNNNNNNNNNNNNNNNNNNNNNNNNNNNNNNNNNNNNNNNNNNNNNNNNNNNNNNNNNNNNNNNNNNNNNNNNNNNNNNNNNNNNNNNNNNNNNNNNNNNNNNNNNNNNNNNNNNNNNNNNNNNNNNNNNNNNNNNNNNNNNNNNNNNNNNNNNNNNNNNNNNNNNNNNNNNNNNNNNNNNNNNNNNNNNNNNNNNNNNNNNNNNNNNNNNNNNNNNNNNNNNNNNNGUCCAUUUGCAACAUCUCAGUUUUUUUACUUUGCUCUGAUUUGGAUUGUAAUAUGUAAAUUUCGAUCGAAAAUUUUGUCUGAUGAUUGAAUUUGCUCUGUUAUGGAUAGGUAAUGGAUGCAGUAAAGGCCAUAGUAUUGAACUUGGCCACACCAAAAGAGAUGACCAUUAGUCCUUGUGCUUUCAAAAAAAUGAAAAGGUUGAGAAUGCUCAUCUUGCACAAAGUGCAUAUCUCUUCACAAGGUCCUGUACGCGUCCCUAAUGCACUCAGAUGGCUUGAAUGGCCCAAUGCCCUGCAUCUAGAAUUUGGCCCUGGUCCAAAGAAACUGGCAAGACUCCGUUUUCAGAACAGUCAUAUCAAACAAUUAGUAGGCAACUGUCAGGUGAGCCCUUAUGAUGAUCAGCUUUCCCUUUUCAAAGCUAUGAAAAUAUUUCAGAGCUUAAUGACUGCACCAGUAUGUUUUUGCAGAAUUUUAUAAGUUUGAAGUCCAUCGAGUUCCGGGAUUGCAAGUCCCUGGCUAGUAUUCCUGACAUUUCAUCAGCUCCACUUUUGGAGAGCUUAGAUCUUUUCAGUUGCAAAAGCUUGGUAGAGGUUCACCAAUCCGUUGGAGAUCUUGACAAGUUGAAACAUUUGAAUAUAUCAAGUUGCUCCAAUCUUCGGAUCUUUCCAAACACACUCAAGACAAAGUCUCUUCAAUGGCUUGAUUUCUCUGGUUGCUCUAAACUUGAGAAAUGCCCUGAUAUUCUGGAAAAGAUGGAACACCUAAUAUAUAUUUUUCUAAAAGGGACGGCUAUUAAAGAACUCCCUGCAUCAAUUGAAAAUCUUGUCUCUAUAGAGCAGAUAGAUUUAGGUUGUUGCAAUAACCUCACAAGGCUUCCGUCGAGCAUUCAUAAGUUGAAAAAUCUCAAGUCUCUGGUAGUUAGCUACUGCUCAAAUUUUGUCAUGUUUCCAAAGAACUUGGAGGAUUCAAUUGAUCCUGAUGACGAUUUGGGAUUCCCAAGUUUAAGGUGGCUAGACCUCUCUCACUGCAAUCUAUCAAAAGCAGAGUUUCUUGAGAAUGCUUCCAGUUGUCCUAUAUUGACGUGCCUAAAUCUUACAAAUAACAAAUUUACUCAUCUUCCUACAUGCAUCAACAAGUAUGAUUAUUGGAAAGACUUGUUUGUUUAUAGCUGCAAGCAAAGCAAAGGGGUCAUUGUGGCUGAUGCGUCAUCACCCAAGGUCUCUCUCUCUCUCUCUCUCUCUCUCUCUCUCUCUCUCUCUCAUUUUGAAUGUUUGAUACGUGUACAUCUGUAUGACAGGAAGUUGAGAUUCUUGUAAAUGGAAGAGAGAUGCCUGAAUGGAUUCUCCAUUGUAAAGAGGACACCAUAUCUUUCAUGGUUCCCCCAGACUUAUGUGACAAGAUCUUGGGACUAGCAAUCUGUGUUAUUCUUCGCCGGAAUAAGAAAGGCUCCUUCAACGAUUCGUCCUGUUCAUUUGACAUCAGCUUGUUUGUAAAUGGCAUAAGAUCGUAUUACCGUUUGAUAUUUUUUGAUCCAUUGGAAUCCGAUCAUGUGAGUCUUGUUUAUUUCCCAAGCAACAGAAAGAUAGAAGAUAAGCCUCUGCAAAACGAUUGGAGCCAUAUCCAAGUUUGUGUCAGGGCAUUGGAAGGAACCAUAAAGAAGCGUGGAUUCUGUCUAAUAUGCGAGCAACAGGAAGAUGAUCUGAGGGUCUGUUUUCCAACACCAUCGGCGGAUGGAAACGGAUUGAAGUUUCAAGGAAAGAUACUCGAAGGAAGACAAUUAUCAACAGACACUGAGGACGAAAAUAGUCCACUGGAAUAGAACUCAACAAAGAAGAUGAGACGGUCUUAGCAAUGGCGAGAGUAUGGGUUGAACUCGCACCACCUGUUGAGGUAGCGAUUCUUGGGGAUACGAACCGAUGAUCUUGAUUUCAAUGCCUCUUGCUUUUCCCUUUUUUUCUCGUCUCUACUAAAAAUUUGCAAUUGUCUGCUCCUUCAAUUAGUCGCAUAGUGCUACUGACA
rnacentral:lncRNA from 1 species